rnacentral:lncRNA from 1 species
AUUACGAGACGGAGGGAGUACUGUAUAUUGUUACACCACUUACAAAUAGAUUUUCGGUGCCGAUUUUUUCUAACACCUGCACAUUUUAUUUGGAAUACGAUACUCGCUGCAGAUUUUAUUUGAACUAUACGUACGGAUGUGUGAAAAAUGGCUACUUCCGCAGCCUAAUUAAUGAACAGUAUCAUGCUCAUUGCCGUUUGCCCUGGCAAGCCCGCCGAAGAGGCACGGGCGGGUCGGAGAGCGCGCCGUCGACGAUCUGGUCGAAGACGAACCUGUUGGCCGCCUCGGUGAAGUGCACGCCGUCCCAGCUCACGCUCCUCGACGGGUCAUCACACGACUUUCCUGCCAGCACCGACGUCCCGUUCACCUGCACCUUAUCACCACACCGGAUGUUCCGGUCGAAGUUGUCCUCGCCGCCGCCGUACCCGCAGCACACGCGCAGGGGGUCCCCAAAACCGAGCUCCUUGGCCUGGCUUAUCAGCCUGUACUUGGCGGCGUACACGUCGACGUAGGUUAACGCUGCCCCUGGGAGCGUGUCCCUGAGCCUCGCCACGGUCUCCUUGAGCCGCGCGUUGAAGAACCGGGCGCCGGCGUUGAGCGCGACGGAGCAGCCGGCGGCGUCCUUGUCGGCGGCGAGGUCCGGGCGGAACACCAGGGCGUACGGCAGGCACCCGAGCGGCGCCGUGUUGUGCACCCAGAAGUGCCUCCCCCCGAGGUUGUAGACCGUCUGGAUCGCCGACGAGAUCCUCUCCAUGAGAUCGGGGACGUAGGCCUCGACUUGCUCCGUGGUCAUGUUGUCGAAGUAGCCCACGGUGAGGUCGUUCUGGCCCAUGUCCAAGGUGUAAAGCGCCUUGGAGAUCAACUGCUCCGGGUUGGGCAGGAUCUCCCGGUAGACUCCGCCGAUGUCGUUGUCGUAGACGAAGCGGCUCCUGUUGAUGAACUGCUGGAGCUGCCAGACCUGCACGUCCAGGGAAAUGGGGCUGUACCCUGAGGUCCACAAGCUCCCGUUCACUCGCCUGAUGGUUCCGGCGGCGCUCGCGAAAUUGGCUCCCUGCGUGAAGUUGCUCCCCAGAGAAUCCAGAUACGCACUCAGGUAACGGAGGCCCAGGCUUUGAGCUGCAAGCAAUACGUACACGUCGUAAAAAUUCUCCCGUUUUGAGCUGUUUGCGCGGGAAAAGGGUAAAAAAAAAACUGCUUCGGUUAACAUGCCGUAGACAAACGUACUCACGUACAUACCCAUGAAGUCGAUGGUGAGGCGGCCGUCGCUUUGCCGGCCGGCCGGCAUGCCGAAGAAGGUCCGGCCGUAGGGCGGCUGCACCGCCGGGAAGAGGGCAGGGAAUGCACCGGUGUCCGAGUUGGAGUCACCGAGGUUGAAGAUGGCCGGGAAGCCGCACGGGGAAUCAUCAGAGCGCGCUCCCGCAGAGAGCUUUAGCACCACCACCGCCAGCAACAGGACACACACGAGUUUGGUCGCCAUGGAUGGAUGAGCCGAUCGACGCCGUUUAGCUCCUGCCGCUCGUCCGGUGCGAAAAUGAUUUUAUGCCCUGCCGCGAGUGCAGCACCCGUGUUGGACCGACUGCUGCUCCGACGCGGCAGCGAUUUUCUAGCCACCAGAAUACUAAUUACCACAUGCAUUAUUCAUGGACUGGUCAAGGUUUAUUAUUAUUUGUUUAUCUUUUGUGAAGUCAGGAUUCAUACACGCCGGCACCGGCAGGUCCAGCACCCCGUCUUGGACUGGUGCUCCGACGUGAUCCUAAUCAAAGAUGUGCAGAAGAUUCAGCGAGGGAUAGCUGCGUUUUGUUGACAAGUAUCCCCUCCUCUCGUUUGUGCACCACCCGAGUUAUAUCAAGAGAGUGACGGGACUGUCACCCUUUACGUGGCAGGUUUGGACAAGCAACUAAGCGUGCUUGACCCUGAUUACUCUCUUAAAAUAAAUGUCUCAAUUUUAUACUAGAUUUAGUACAAAUUUAUAUUAAAUUUGAGACAGUUAUUUUAAAACAAAGGGAGUAUUUGACGUUUCUGUGGUGAUGUAGCCAAGACCGUUAUUACUUGUCAACCUAAAGCUUCAAGAACACAUGACCCGGGAAUGGGAGUACGGGACCUCCGGCAACGACCACGGUUCCUUACCCCCGAGGGCAUCCCGAUCACCAUUCUGCGCGUGGCGCAACGACUCUGCCACUCCAGUAAACACAUAUAUUUUUUUUAAAUAUGACAAUUAAAAAAAUAAAUAUCAGCACGUGUUCAAAAUAAAUAAAUAUCAGCAGCGAAUAUCUAUAUGUAAGGUGUGUAACCUGAAUUUUUGAUUGAUUUCAUCAAUAAAGUAGCUACAUACAUCGCAUUGAUGAAACGACGGGAGGGAAUCAUCCCUCCUUUUCUAAAAUAGGAAAAUACUAUUUAAGAAGAAUAGAAAUUGGACGAAUACUUAUUUGGAGUAUGAAUACUGUAGAUUUUUAUACAUACAUUUCAAGUAUGGAUGUCUAAAAAAAAUAUUCCAACAUCCGCAUCUUAAUGAAUGAACAUUAAGCUCAUCACCAUUUACCCCGGCAGGCCUGUCAUGGCGGACCGACGGGUCAGAGACCGCUCGUAAACAAUCUGAUUGAAGAUAAAUUUAAAUAUGGUACAUAUAUUUCUUGAUAAAUCGGUUACACUAAAACUCAUGGAAAUACGCAUGGGCUUGGAAAAGGGUUCCCCGAAUAUUGGAUUGCCGUUGUUAAACUAGGUUGUAUACUUUAUAAAAUCGAGGAAGUAUCUUAAACUGUAUGUAAAGCAGCUAUCUCCAUAGCUGUAAACCGUCAUGCUCAAUUGCACGCCAUCAUUCCAGCUCACAUCGUUAGAUUUGUUCUCGAAAGAGUUCUCGAGAUCUAAUGCACCGUUCACCUCCACCUUAACAUCGCAAUGGUCUAUUUAGAGCAGCUAGCUAUCUCCAUAGCUGUAAGCCAUUAUGGUCAACUGCACGCCAUCAUUCCAGCUUACACCGAUAGAUUUGUCCUCGAACGAGUUCUUGAGAACCGACGCACCGUUCACCUCCACCUUAACGUUGCAAUGGUCAUGUAUUCUACUUCACAAGUGAAUUGGGCAACUAGUGCUGUAAUAUUGCCUUCCAACUCACAACACAACCACCGAUAAUGUUGGGGAACGUCGCAUGGGAAACAAAAAAUUUCUACGCGCACGAAGACCUAUCAUGGUGAUGUCCAUCUACGAGAGGGGAUGUGUGAUCUACGUACCCUUGUAGACCGUACAGCAGAAGCGUUAGUGAACGCGGUUGAUGUAGUGGAACGUCCUCACGUCCCUCGAUCCGCCCCGUGAACCGUCCCGCGAUCAGUACCACGAUCUAGUGCCGAACGGACGGCACCUCCGCGUUCAGCACACGUACAGCUCGACGAUGAUCUCGGCCUUCUUGAUCCAGCAAGAGAGACGAAGAGGUAGAAGAGUUCUCCGGCAGCGUGACGGCGCUCCGGAGGUUGGUGAUGACCUUGUCUCAGCAGGGCUCCGCCCCGAGCUCCGCAGAAACGCAAUCUAGAGGAAGAACCGUGGAGGUAUGUGGUCGGGCUGCCGUGGAAAGUCGUCUCAAAUCAGCCCUAAAACCUCCGUAUAUAUAGGUGGGAGAGGGGGGACCUUGCCUUGGGGGUCGGCCGAGCCAAAGGGGGGAAGGACUCCCCCCAAACCAAGUCCUACUUGGUUUGGUGGGUGGAGUCCUUCUUUCCUUUCCCACCUCCUCCUUUUUUUCUCCUUUUCUCUUUGAUUUUUCUUCCAAUGCGCAUAGGGCCCUUUUGGGCUGUCCCACCAGCCCACUAAGGGCUGGUGCGCCACCCUCAAGGCCUAUGGGCUUCCCCGGGGUGGGUCCCCCCCCCCGAUGAACUCCCGGAACCCAUUCGUCAUUCCCGGUACAUUCCCGGUACGGUAAUCCCGUCUUAUCAAUCAUGUUGUUAGACAACAAUGAACCUGCAAGUUAUGAAGAAGCAAUGGUGGGCCCAGAUUCCAACAAAUGGCUAGAAGCCAUGAAAUCCGAGAUAGGAUCCAUGUAUGAGAACAAAGUGUGGACUUUGGAGAUACUACCUGAGGGCCGCAAGGCUAUUCAGAACAAAUGGAUCUUUAAGAAGAAGACGGACGCUGACGGUAAUGUGACCGUUUAUAAAGCUCGACUUGUGGCAAAGGGUUUUUCACAAGUUCCAGGAGUUGACUACGAUGAGACUUUCUCACCCGUAGCGAUGCUUAAGUCCGUCAGAAUCAUGUUAGCAAUGGCUGCAUUUUUCGAUUAUGAAAUCUGGCAGAUGGAUGUCAAAACGGCGUUCCUUAACGGUUUCCUUAAGGAAGAGAUGUAUAUGAUGCAACCCGAAGGUUUUGUCGAUCCUAAAAAUGCUGACAAGGUGUGCAAGCUCCAGCGAUCCAUUUAUGGACUGGUGCAAGCAUCUCGGAGUUGGAACAAACGCUUUGAUGAGGUGAUCAAAGCAUUUGGGUUUAUACAAGUGGUUGGAGAAUCUUGUAUUUACAAGAAAGUGAGUGGGAGCUCUGUGGCGUUUCUAAUAUUAUAUGUGGAUGGCAUAUUACUGAUUGGAAACAACGUAGAGCUUUUGGAAAGCAUAAAAGGUUACUUGAAUAAAAGUUUCUCUAUGAAGGACCUGGGAGAAGCUGCUUACAUUCUAGGCAUUAAGAUCUAUAGGGAUAGAUCAAAACGCCUGAUAGGACUUUCACAAAGCACAUACCUUGAUAAAGUUUUGAAGAGGUUCAAAAUGGAAUAGUCCAAGAAAGGGUUCUUGCCAGUUUUACAAGGUACGAGAUUGAGUAAGACUCAGUGCCCAGCAACUGAUGAAGAUAGAGAGCAUAUGCGCUCCGUCCCCUAUGCUUCAGCCAUAGGCUCUAUCAUGUAUGCGAUGCUGUGCACUAGACCAGAUGUUAGCCUGGCCAUAAGUAUGGCAGGCAGGUUCCAGAGUAAUCCAGGAGUGGAUCACUGGACAGCGGUCAAGAAUAUCCUGAAGUACCUGAAAAGGACUAAGGAGAUGUUUCUCGUGUAUGCAGGUGACGAAGAGCUCGCCGUAAAAGGUUACGUCGAUGCAAGCUUUGACACAGAUCCGGACGACUCUAAGUNNNNNNNNNNNNNNNNNNNNNNNNNNNNNNNNNNNNNNNNNNNNNNNNNNNNNNNNNNNNNNNNNNNNNNNNNNNNNNNNNNNNNNNNNNNNNNNNNNNNGGGGGGGGGGGAGUCCUCCCCCCUUGGCUCGGCCGACCCCUUGGGAGUCCCUUGGACCCCAAGGCAAGGUCCCCCUCCCUCCUCCUAUAUAUAUGGGGCUUUUAGGGUAGAUUUGAGACGACUUUCUCACGGCUGCCCGACCACAUACCUCCAUAGUUUUUCCUCUAGAUCGCGUUUCUGCGGAGCUCGGGCGGAGCCCUGCUGAGACGAGAUCAUCACCAACCUCCGGAGCGCCGUCACGCUGCCGGAGAACUCUUCUACCUCUCCGUCUCUCUUGCUGGAUCAAGAAGGCCGAGAUCAUCGUCGAGCUGUACGUGUGCUGAACGCGGAGGUGCCGUCCGUUCGGCACUAGAUCGUGGGACUGAUCGCGGGAUUGUUCGCGGGGCGGAUCGAGGGACGUGAGGACGUUCCACUACAUCAACCGCGUUCACUAACGCUUCUGCUGUACGAUCUACAAGGGUACGUAGAUCACUCAUCCCCUCUCGUAGAUGGACAUCACCAUGAUAGGUCUUCGUGCGCGUAGGAAAAUUUUUGUUUCCCAUGCGACGUUCCCCAACAGUGGUAUCAGAGCUAGGUUCAUGCGUAGAUGUCUUCUCGAGUAGAACACAAAAGUUUUUGUGGGCGGUNNNNNNNNNNNNNNNNNNNNNNNNNNNNNNNNNNNNNNNNNNNNNNNNNNNNNNNNNNNNNNNNNNNNNNNNNNNNNNNNNNNNNNNNNNNNNNNNNNNNGUGAAGAACAAUAAGAAAUAGGAUAAAUAGUUACUAAGAUAACAUAAAUGUUUUACCUGGGAGAGACGGCGCCUGCGAGAUGACGUACGGCAAGUCAAAGUUGAUGCCCCUUAUAUGCUUGUGGCGCCCCCCCCCCCCCGGGCGGCGCCCGUCCCCCCGCCGACGUCGACGAGGACGCCGACUCCGUCGAAGCCGUCGAAGCGCUCGACCAUCUUGCUGAUGACCUUGACUGACAUGUGGAACAUGGCCUGGUUGAACACCCCGCUUAGCCGUGGGUUCUUCCCCAUGUACUGAAACAGCGGCACCCCGUGCGCCCUCUCGAACGGCGGUGGAACGCCGCCCACCACUGCCGCACCCAGUUGAUUCCUACAUGGAUGCUAAUGCUUAAUUAGCAUGGCAGUCAGCCAUCGGCGAAGUGAUGGAGCGCACACUUACCAGGUCGGCAAGUAGUCCUGGUCGACGGCGAAUAAGGCCAAGGGGGCCAGCGACCCAUCGCUGUGGUUGCUGGUGAGCCACCGGCACACCGGCGCGGGAGUGUACUUCCGGACCGCCUCACCGUCAGGACCCGUCUCCGUCGAGCAACGCACGACGUCGAAGGCGGCGAGGAGCCGGAGAAGCCGGUCCACCGAGGCUGCUGCCUGGGCCUUGUUCGGUGCCGGGAGUUGCGCGGCAAGGUCGUCCACCGUCAUCGCGCGGCCGGCGGCGUUGGUGAGUGCGUCAAUGAGGCCGAGCUCCACUGCCGUUUUCAGGGUCAGGGAGACGGCGAAGCCCGAGAUGAGGCCCCAUGCCCCCCCCCCCCCCCCACGUCGCUUCCUCGUCGUCACCAGCAGUUGGGUUCCUACAAGCCACGAUGUUUUCUCUGUUUUCCAUAACUAAACCACCCUGUGUUUGACUUUGCUUUCUGUGGUUAUGUAGUUUGAAUGGAUAGAAGCUGUAGGAAGGCGGUAUAUAUAUAAGGAGUGUGCCCUGCCGGAUCACCAAACUCCCUACCGGCCGGUGGUUCAUCAUCAUUGUUUGCAACAAUGAUGAUGCCUAAAUUGGUUGUCGAAAACUUGUACUUCUGCACUGAGAAGCAAACUAGUACUCCCUCGGUAAAGAAAUAUAAAAGCAUUUAGAUCAGUAAAUAGGGAUCUAAACACUCUUAUAUAUAUAUUUGUAUUGUUGUUAUCUUGUGGAAGAAUAUGAUUUCUGUUCUCAAGUGGAACAGAGAAGAGAGAGAAAAAUAUCACAUAAUCAGUUCGAAUGGAAGCACAAAGUGAGCCACUGUACUCGAUGUAAAAUUAUACUGAGUUUGAACGUGCCGCUUUCUCUUCCCGACUUCCUCGCCAUCUCUUGUAGACCAGAGGUGACCACCGUACCCUCCCGAUUCGUCUAGCCGACAACCAGAUCCUUGGAGCCCGAACUAGGAUUUGUCAGCCCCGACGUCCCCUGUGCCGCGCGCUCCCAUAUCCUCCACGGCCUCACCCCCUCGUCUCCUUUCCGUCAGAGAUGCAAGAAGUAGCUAAGCAAGGUGGAACCAUUGAAGCAGCUGUCACAUCCUAGAUUCUGUUUAUGGAACAUGAUGUUGCAAAGGCGAGAAAUAUGAAAUUGAUUCUUUGUUUGUUUGAACAGUUGCCCGGUCUGAAGAUAAAUUUUCAUAAAAGUGAACUGUUCUGCUUUGGGAAAGCCAAAGAAGAGCGGGAUACGUAUAAACAACUGUUCGGGUGCGCUUUAGGUAGCUUGCCGUUCAGUUAUCUAGGCAUACCAAUGCAUCAUCGGAAGUUAUCUAACAAGGAAUGGAAAUGUAUUGAGGACCGGUUCGAGAAAAAACUGAGUUGCUGGAAGGACAAGCUGUUGUCUUAUGGAGGUAGGCUGGUCUUGAUUAAUUCAGUACUCACAAGCAUGCCAAAUGUUCCUUGUUUCCUUUUUUGAGAUACCUCUUGGGGUACGAAAAAGGUUGGACUUCUAUAGAUCCCGCUUGUUUUGGCAGAGUGAUGAUGUCAAAAGAAAAUAUAGACUUUCUCGUUGGGAUGUUAUCUAAGACCCAAAGAGCAAGGAGGUCUUCGGAUUGAGAAUUUAGAGGUCAAGAACAAAUGUCUACUAAGCAAAUGGUUGUAUAGACUGUCUCUAGAGUCGGAAGGCAUGUGGAUACAAAUUUUGAGAAAUAAGUACUUGCAUGCUAAAACCUUGCUCGGGUCACUUUGAAACCCAAUGAUUCACCCUUUUGGAAAGGGACUAAUGAGAAUGAAAGCAUCUUUCUUCCAUAGGUCUAAGUUUAUCGUUGGUAAUGGUGAGAAUACGAGGUUUUAGGAAGACGCGUGGUUGGGGGAGACGCUGCUAGCCACACAAUAUCCGGCUCUAUAUAAUAUUGUGCAGCGUAAGGAGGCCUACGUUGCUACUGUCUUACAAUAUGUUCCUCCAAACAUACAGUUAAUAGAAGGAGUCUGUCGGGAGAUCGAUGGUUGGUUUGGCUUAAUCUAGUCAAGAGGCUGAUGGAGGUUAAUAUAUCGGAUGAGUCUGAUACACUUCAUUGGAAACUAUCUAAGAAUGACAUCUUUUCGGUGAAAUCGAUGUACUUGGACCUCAUUGACUCUAGAUCAAUUCCCAAAUAGAUUCAUAUUUGAAAGAUCAAAGUCCCUUGAAGAAUGAAAUUUUUCAUGUGGUUCGUUCAUAAGGAAGUGAUUCUCACUAAGGAUAGUUUGGCAAAGCAUAAUUGGGCGGGAAACACAAGAUGUAGCUUAUGUGAUCAACUUGAGACUGUCAAACACCUCUCUCUCGAGUGCCAUUUAGCAAAAAAUCUUUGAAGAUCCAUUCGUAUAGCCUUUAAUAUCACACCUCCAAAUAACAUUCACACGUUGUUUGGGACGAGGCUAGAUGGAGUAGACAUUUAUACGACAAGACAUAUUUGCAUAGGAGUAUGUGUGUUACUUUGGGCUAUAUGGAAUAGCAGAAAUGACAUGGUCUUUAACAGGCAAAAUCAUGCCAAUUUUUGGCAGAUUUUGUACAGGGCAACUUCUUUGAUCCGUAUAUGGUCGUUACUCACUCCUGCGAAGAACAGGGAGUCUUUGGUUACUGGAUCUACCCGAUGAAAAAUGGUACCUGAGGAUAUCUACAACCGGUUUGGAUGAUGAUACAAUAAUAGAAUAGGUGGAUAGGAUUUUCAUCCUAUUUUACGCCGGUUGUGGCUAUUUAUUUUUUAAUCUAUGUCGGAGCUUCUUCGUAAGCUUGUAUUGGAUUGCAGACUAUUUGUUCAUUGUUUUAAUAAAGAGGCCGUAUGAAUCUCUCUGGUUCAAAAACCGAAGGUGAGACUCCUGUUCUAAAAAAAGCAUCCUAGCUUUUUUUUCCCUAAAUCUACAAUGUUUAAAAUUUCCUAGAGAAUCAUCUUUUUUCUCCAAGAAACUUUUAUGAUUGUUGCUUUUAGUUAGUAUUGAUAAGAGUUGUUUGAAUUGUUCGGAGAAGUGACCAGAUUAAAAUUUUGGAAUUAGACAAAGUAAUGGCGGACAAGUUCCACCUGGCUUCAAGCUCGUUAACAUCAAGUUAUAUGGCAGAUCAACAGAUCCCUUUAUAUGGAUAGAAGACUAUACCCUCGCUAUCAACAUAGCAGAUGGCGACGACUUGCAUGCCAUAAAAUACCUACCGUUAAUAUUUAAAGGCUCAACUUGACACUGCCGCACUCCAUGCCGCUGAAUUCGAGUGGUACGGGGACGAUUUAGAGGCCCAAUUUAUGGCAAAAUUUCAGGACACGCAUGUCAAGCCUCCGGAUGCCAUUGACCUGGCCCUAGUAGUGUAGAAACCAGGCAAGUGCGUGCGCAAGUUCUGGUAUCGAUUUCUUACAAAGAAAAAUUAGAUAGUCGACUGCAGUGAAGUACUCCCUCCGUCCUAUAAUUCUUGUUUUAAGUUUGUCUAGAAAUGGAUGUAUGUAAAUACAAAAACGUGACUAGAUACAUUCAUACGUAGAAAAAUUUAAGACAAGAAUUUUGGGACGAAGGGGGUAGUGAACUUGCAGCAGUCCAGAACAAUAUUAACGACGAGUGGCUGUCGAGAGACUCAGACACCAUAAACUGAGGACCAUGGGUGCCCUCACACAGAUGAUGACNNNNNNNNNNNNNNNNNNNNNNNNNNNNNNNNNNNNNNNNNNNNNNNNNNNNNNNNNNNNNNNNNNNNNNNNNNNNNNNNNNNNNNNNNNNNNNNNNNNNGGGUUGCGUGGGGCGCGAGACGGGACGAGGGUGCAUAGCGAAAUGAGCAAGACGCGGGGGGUGUUAGCAGAAUUUUCCUCAUGCCACAGCCACAUCUCUCGGCGCACGUUUUGCGGGCGACUGGCCCCUGUGGGCCGUCCGAUGGGGGAGGCGGGCGGCUGGGAUCGGGCUGUGGGUCUCCCUGUGCCGUUCCAGAGGUGGUGCUUUCGCCAGCGGGACGGGGUAAUUUCGCUGGAAGCAACGGGGGGUUGCGCAAAUGUCGUCAGGGCCCAGUUAUUUUUUUUAGAAGGUCGUCAGGGCCCAAGUUGGGUUUUGUAUCGGCGUCGAAUGAUUCGGCCUUUGUUCGAAUGGGUCUAUGGGACCAGAAAUGGACGCGAAUUUCAGCCCGGAAGCCGAUUGUAACCCAUGUGAGAACAAAAAAUGCGGCCUGACAACGAUGCUUUCCCUUAGAAAAGCACAGCUAUUAUUAUGGUUUUUUUUUGGUAUGCUUCGGAACUAUUUGUUGGCUGAAAAACUAGACGGCCUCGUACAAUAAAGAUGUCGCUACCCAUCUUAAUAAAUUUGUUGAACUUGGUCACAGGCAAAAAUCUAAAGAUACGGGCAAUGAUACUAUAAGAGUAAGUCUAUUUCCCUUCUCCUUAAGAAAUAGCAUCGAUUCUUGAUCAAAAUGCAAAGACGCUUUUAUUGAAACGUAUUAACCUUCUGUGACAUUAUUUACUUGAGAAAUUUUUAUCNNNNNNNNNNNNNNNNNUAAUAAUAAUAAUAAAGAGGCUAUUGCUUCCGUCAGAAAACCCACCGCUGCCGUUUUUCAAAAAAGCCACUGUCUUUUAGGUAAUUAAACCCGCGGUACCUUUUUAUGUGUUACGAACAGGAAAACGUUUAAUUUUUGCAGAGAGCCCCUAUGGCAUUGGAUAAGAGAAACGCAUCUGGGCUGACAAAAAACACAUGAGAGGGAUAUCGCUUCUGCCCUCAUAAUCCCACAUCGAUACUUCACAGAUAAUUUCAUCACUUUAUAUACAUGCGCCUUGGUGAUUUUACAAGAGGCAACGGAAAUCAACAGAGGAACAAAUUCGAGAAGAAGAAAUUGGAAUGACACGAACAGAGGUGGAGCCGCGAGACAGAGGGGGUUAGGGGCGAAGGAAAGGGGUUGGCACCGGCGAUGCAUAGGUGGAGGUGGGGGCGUCGGGGUUAGAGGAUUCAGGCAACCGGCGGGGUAAGGCUUGCCGGAGACGCAAGAAGCACCAUGGGGGCGGAAGAGAAAAGAGAGGAGACCGGGGGUAGGAGUACCGGCUGGCGCUCGGGCACUGGAGCUGGCCCCGUCACCCCCAGUCUCCAGCAACCCUCCACAAUGGCCCCGUAGGCCGACCUCGCAGAAGCACACCAUGGGAGGCGGUCACGAGGUGCGGAGGUGGGAGGCGGUGGAGGAGCAGAGGAGGGAAGUGUGGGCGCCAUUGGAAGGGGUAGUCAGGGAGAUUGGGGAUCCACUGGGGCUCUCUCCCCUAGCGACACGGGGUGGAGGAGAGGAGGGGGGCUGGGGAUCGGGCUAGGUUAGGGGAUUUAGGAAUGGGUAAGGCUCGGCCUUGGCAGGCCUAAUGGGUUGUGCACUACUACUCUCUCUCUUUCCUUUAAUUUCUUUCUCUAAAUUCUUUAAUUAAAAAUGUGUGGUAUUAUUUUUUCCCGUUGCAACACACGGGUCCUUUUGCUAUAAUAAUAAAGAGGCUAUUGCUUCCGUCAGAAAACCCACCGCUGCCGUUUUUCAAAAAAGCCACUGUCUUUUAGGUAAUUAAACCCGCGGUACCUUUUUAUGUGUUACGAACAGGAAAACGUUUAAUUUUUGCAGAGAGCCCCUAUGGCAUUGGAUAAGAGAAACGCAUCUGGGCUGACAAAAAACACAUGAGAGGGAUAUCGCUUCUGCCCNNNNNNNNNNNNNNNNNNNNNNNNNNNNNNNNNNNNNNNNNNNNNNNNNNNNNNNNNNNNNNNNNNNNNNNNNNNNNNNNNNNNNNNNNNNNNNNNNNNNCCUCUAGGGCAUAAUUCCAACAGUCUCCCACUUGCACUAGAGUCAAUAAUCUAGCCCUCACAUCAUCAUGCGAAUUACAUUGUAAUAAAUCUAACACCCAUACAGUUCUGGUGUUGAUCAUGCUUUUGCCGUGGAAGAGGUUUAGUCAGCGGGUCAGCUACAUUCAGAUCCGUGUGCACUUUGCAUAUAUUUACGUCCUCUACUUCGACGUAGUCGCGGAUGAGGUUGAAGCGUCGUUUGAUGUGUCUGGACUUCUUGUGAAACCGUGGUUCCUUUGCUAAGGCAAUGGCACUUCUGUUGUCACAGAACAAGGUUAUUGGAUUCAGUGCGCUUGGCACCACUCCAAGAUCCGUCAUGAACUACUUCAUCCAGACACCCUCCUUAGCCGCCUCUGAGGCAGCCAUGUACUCCGCUUCACAUGUAGAAUCUGCUACGACGCUUUGCUUAGAAGUGCACCAGCUUACCGCACCCCCAUUAAGAAUAAAUACGUAUCCGGUUUGCGACUUAGAGUCGUCCGGAUCUAUAUCAAAGCUUGCAUCGACGUAACCUUUUACGGCGAGCUCUUCGUCACCUCCAUACACGAGAAACAUCUCCUUAGUCCUUUUCAGGUACUUCAGGAUAUUCUUGACCGUUGUCUAGUGAUCCACUCCUGGAUUACUCUGGAACCUACCUGCCAUACUUAUGGCCAGGCUAACGUCCGGUCUAGUGCACAACAUUGCAUACAUGAUAGAACCUAUGGCUGAAGCAUAGGGGACGGAGCACAUAUGUUCUCUAUCUUCAUCAGUUGCUGGGCACUGAGUCUUACUCAAUCUCGUACCUUGUAAAACUGGCAAGAACCCCUUCUUGGACUGUUCCAUUUUGAACCUCUUCAAAACUUUAUCAAGGUAUGUGCUUUGUGAAAGUCCUAUCAGGCGUUUUGAUCUAUCCCUAUAGAUCUUAAUGCCUAGAAUGUAAGCAGCUUCUCCUAGGUCCUUCAUAUAGAAACUUUUAUUCAAGUAAUCCUUUAUGCUCUCCAAAAACUCUACGUUGUUUCCAAUUAGCAAUAUGUCAUCCAUAUAAUAUUAGAAACGCCACAGAGCUCCCACUCACUUUCUUGUAAAUACAAGAUUCUCCAACCACUUGUAUAAACCCAAAUGCUUUGAUCACCUCAUCAAAGCAUUUGUUCCAACUCCGAGAUGCUUGCACCAGUCCAUAAAUGGAUCGCUGGAGCUUGCACAUCUUGUUAGCAUUCUUAGGAUCGACAAAACCUUCGGGUUGCAUCAUAUACAAUUCUUCCUUAAGGAAACCGUUAAGGAACGCCGUUUUGACAUCCAUCUGCCAGAUUUCAUAAUCGAAAAAUGCAGCUAUUGCUAACAUGAUUCUGACGGACUUAAGCAUCGCUACAGGUGAGAAUGUCUCAUCGUAGUCAACUCCUUAAACUUGUGAAAAACCAUUUACCACAAGUCGAGCUUUAUAAACGGUCACAUUGCCGUCAGCGUCUGUCUUCCUCUUAAAGAUCCGUUUGUUCUGAAUAGCCUUGCGGCCCUCAGGCAGUACCUCCAAAGUCCACACUUUGUUCUCAUACAUGGAUCCUAUCUCGGACUUCAUGGCUUCUAGCCAUUUGUUGGAAUCUGGGCCCACCAUUGCUUCUUCAUAAUUUGCAGGUUCAUUGUUGUCCAACAACAUGAUUGAUAAGACGGGAUUACCGUACCACUCUGGAGCAGCACGUGGUCACGUCGACCUGCGUGGUUCGACAGAAACUUGAACCGGAGUUUCAUGAUCAUCAUCAUUAACUUCCUCCUCAACCGGCGUCGCAAUGACAGAGGUUUCCCCUUGCCCUGCGCCACCAUCCAGAGGGAUGAGAGGUUCGACAACCUCGUCAAGUUCUAUCUUCCUCCCACUCAAUUCUCUCGAGAGAAACUCCUUCUCGAAAAAAGCUCCGUUUUUAGCAACAAACACUUUGCCCUCGGAUUUGAGAUAGAAGGUGUACCCAACUGUCUCUUUUGGGUAACCUAUGAAGAUGCACUUUUCCGCUUUGGGUUCCAGCUUUUCAGGCUGAAGCUUUUUGACAUAAGCAUCACAUCCCCAAACUUUAAGAAACGACAACUUUGGCCUUUUGCCAUUCCACAGUUCGUAUGGUGUCGUCUCAACGGAUUUCGAUGGUGCCCUACUUAAAGUGAAUGCAGCUGUUUCUAAUGCAUAACCCCAAAACGAUAACGGCAAAUCGGUAAGAGACAUCAUAGAUCGCACCAUCUCUAAUAAAGUACGAUUACGAUGUUCGGACACACCAUUACGCUGUGGUGUUCCAGGCGGUGUCAACUGUGAAACAAUUCCACAUUGUCUUAAGUGAGCACCAAACUCGAAACUCAGAUAUUCACCCCCACGAUCAGACCCUAGGAACUUGAUCUUCUUGUUACGAUGAUUUUCAACUUCACUCUAAAAUUGCUUGAACUUUUCAAAUGUUUCAGACUUGUGCUUCAUUAAGUAGACAUAACCAUAUCUACUCAAAUCGUCAGUGAAGGUGAGAAAAUAACGAUAUCCGCCGCGUGCCUCCACGCUCAUCGGACCACACACAUCGGUAUGUAUGAUUUCCAACAAGUCACUUGCACGCUCCAUUGUUCCGGAGAACGGAGUCUUAGUCAUCUUGCCCAUGAGGCAUGGUUCGCACGUGUCAAGUGAAUCAAAGUCAAGUGACUCCAAAAGUCCAUCGGCAUGGAGUUUCUUCAUGCGCUUUACACCAAUAUGACCUAAGCGGCAGUGCCACAAAAAUAUGGCGCUAUCAUUGUUAACUCUAACUCUUUUGGUCUCAAUGUUAUGUAUGUGUGUAUCGCUAUCAAGAUUCAAUAUGAACAAUCCUCUCACAUUGGGUGCAUGACCAUAAAAGAUGUUACUCAUAGAAAUAGAACAACCAUUAUUCUGUGACUUAAAAGAGUAACCGUCUCGCAAUAAACAAGAUCGAGAUAUAAUGUUCAUGCUCAACGCAGGCACUAAAUAACAAUGAUUCAAGUUCAUAACUAAUCCUGAUGGUAACUGAAGUGAAACUGUGCCGAUGGCGAUUGCAUCAACCUUGGAACCAUUUCCUACGCGCAUCGUCACUUCAUCUUUCGCCAGCCUUCGUCUAUUCCGCGGUUCCUGUUUCGAGUUACAAAUAUGAGCAACAGAACCACUAUCGAAUACCCAGGCACUACUACGAGAGCCGGUUAAGUACACAUCAAUAACAUGUAUAUCAAAUAUACCUGAUUUUUUCUUUGGCCGCCUUCUUAUCUGCGAGAUACUUGGGGCAAUUGCGCUUCCAGUGACCCAUACCCUUGCAAUAGUAACACUCUGUUUCAGGCUUAGGUCCAGCUUUGGGUUUCUUCGUUGGAUUGGCAACAGGCUUGCCGCUCUUCUUUGAAUUACCCUUCUUGCCUUUGCUGUUUCUCUUGAAACUAGUGGUCUUAUUCACCAUCAACACUUGAUGCUCUUUACGGAGUUCAGACUCUGCUACUUUCAGCAUCGCAAACAACUCGCCGGGUGACUUGUUCAUCCCUUGCAUGUUGUAGUUCAACACAAAGCCUUUAUAGCUUGGCGGCAGUGAUUGAAGGAUUCUGUCAGUGAUAGCCUCUUGCGGGAGUUCAAUCCCCAGCUCAGCUAGACGGUUUGAGUACCCAGACAUUUUGAGCACAUGUUCACUGACAAACAAGUUCUCCUCCAUCUUGCAGGCAUAGAAUUUAUCGGAGGUCUCAUACCUCUCGAUCCGGGUGUUCUUCUGAAAGAUAAACUUUAACUCCUGGAACAUCUCAAAUGCUCCAUGACGCUCAAAGCGACGUUGAAGUCCCGGUUCUAAGCCAUACAAGACUGCACAUUGAACUACUGAGUAGUCCUCCUUACGUGCUAACAAAGCGUUCUUAACAUCCUGAUCAGCCGUAGCGGGUGGUUCAUCUCCUAGCGCAGCAUUAAGGACAUAAUCCUUCUUCCCAGCUUGUAAGAUUAGCUUAAGAUUACGAGCCCAGUCUACAAAGUUGCUUCCAUCAUCUUUCAACUUAGCUUUCUCUAGGAACGUAUUAAAAUUCAGGGUGACUGUCGCGUGAGCCAUGAUCUACAACACAAAUAUAUUCAAAGUGGACUUAGACUAUGUUCAAGAUAAUUAGAGUUUAACUUAAUCAAAUUAUUCGCUAAACUCCCACUCAAAAAGUACAUCUCUCUUGUCAUUUGAGUGGUUCGUGAUCCACUUACACUAGCUCAAGUCCGAUCAUCACGUGAGUUGAGUAUAGUUUCAGUGGUAAGCAUCCCUAUGCUAAUCAUAUCAUCUAUAUGAUUCAUGAUCGACCUUUCGGUUUCAUGUGUUCCGAGGCCAUGUCUGCACAUGCUAGGCUCGUCAAGCUUAACCCGAGUGUUCCGCGUGCGCAACUGUUUUGCACCCGUUGUAUGUGAAUCUAUCACACCCGAUCAUCACGUGGUGUCUCGAAACGACGAACUGUAGCAACGGUGCACAGUCGGGGAGAACACAAUUUCGUCUUGAAAUUUUAGUGAGAGAUCACCUGAUAAUGCUACCGUCGUUCUAAGCAAAUUAAGGUGCAUAAAAGGAUUAACAUCACAUGCAAUUCAUAAGUGACAUGAUAUGGCCAUCAUCACGUGCUUCUUGAUCUCCAUCACCAAAGCACCGGCACGAUCUUCUUGUCACCGGCGCCACACCAUGAUCUCCAUCAACGUGUGGCCAUCGGGGUUGUCGUGCUACUCAUGCUAUUACUACUAAAGCUACAUCCUAGCAAAAUAGUAAACGCAUCUGCAAGCACAAACAUUAGUAUAAAGACAACCCUAUGGCUCCUGCCGGUUGCCGUACCAUCCCGGUACAUUCCCAAUAACUCCGAAAACCUUCCGGUAAUCAAAUGAGGUCAUCCUAUAUAUCAAUCUUCGUUUCCGGACCAUUCCGGAAACCCUCAUGACGUCCGUGAUCUCAUCCGGGACUCCAAACAACAUUCGGUAACCAACCAUAUAACUCAAAUACGCAUAAAACAACGUCGAACCUUAAGUGUGCAGACCCUGCGGGUUCGAGAACUAUGUAGACAUGACCCGAGAGACUCCUCGGUCAAUAUCCAAUAGCGGGACCUGGAUGCCCAUAUUGGAUCCUACAUAUUCUACGAAGAUCUUAUCGUUUGAACCUCAGUGCCAAGGAUUCAUAUAAUCCCGUAUGUCAUUCCCUUUGUCCUUCGGUAUGUUACUUGCCCGAGAUUCGAUCGUCAGUAUCCGCAUACCUAUUUCAAUCUCGUUUACCGGCAAGUCUCUUUACUCGUUCCGUAAUACAAGAUCCCGCAACUUACACUAAGUUACAUUGCUUGCAAGGCUUGUGUGUGAUGUUGUAUUACCGAGUGGGCCCCGAGAUACCUCUCCGUCACACGGAGUGACAAAUCCCAGUCUUGAUCCAUACUAACUCAACGAACACCUUGGGAGAUACCUGUAGAGCAUCUUUAUAGUCACCCAGUUACGUUGCGACGUUUGAUACACACAAAGUAUUCCUCCGGUGUUAGUGAGUUAUAUGAUCUCAUGGUCAUAGGAACAAAUACUUGACACGCAGAAAAUAGUAGCAACAAAAAGACACGAUCAACAUGCUACGUCUAUUAGUUUGGGUCUAGUCCAUCACGUGAUUCUCCUAAUGACGUGAUCCAGUUAUCAAGCAACAACACCUUGUUCAUAAUCAGAAGACACUGACUAUCUUUGAUCAACUGGCUAGCCAACUAGAGGCUUGCUAGGGACAGUGUUUUGUCUAUGUAUCCACACAUGUAAAUGAGUCUUCAUUCAAUACAAUUAUAGCAUGGAUAAUAAACGAUUAUCUUGAUACAGGAAUUAUAAUAAUAACUAUAUUUAUUAUUGCCUCUAGGGCAUAAUUCCAACACGAUCUUGUGUGAGUCCAUGGUGGUUUCGUGAGCCCCUUGGGAGCUCCUAUUCCAUGUUGAAACCAUGUAUUUGUUGUUAUAACUCUGGCAUCUGGCCCAUGAUACUCCUGCUUAGUGUGGUUAUGUGCUUCGCUCACUCGCUUAGUUUAUUUUUUCAUCGUUCCCUUUGUACCUAAGAAAAAAAAACAUAUUUUUUUAUUUUGAAAAGUUCAUCAAAUCGAGAGAUAUUCAUGAAUUUUAAGAUUGGUGCGAAUUAAAAAAAACAUAAAUGUGAAUAAAUUUCCACAUCUUAAAAAAAUGCUCAUCGCAUUUAAAAAGAUUCACAUAGUUUUUAAUUGUUUUUUAACUUUAAAAAUAUGCAUAAAUUUUAAAAACAUUGAUGAAUUUGUAAAAUAAAAAUUCAUGUCUUUUAAAAAUGUUCAUGAUUCUUUUAAACACUCAUGAAUUAAAAUGUGAAAAAGAAAUAAAAAAGAGAAGGCUUUUUUAUAAAAAAUUAAAAGAGAGGAAAAACAAGAACUAAAAGAGUAUUAAAACAGGUAGAAAAAAGAAGGAAAAAUUAAAGAAAACAGUCAAGGCCUUCUAAAACCUUGCUAAAACCACGAACGCCAACAAAGGCAUUAUGGUUAUAUAAAUGUCCAUUACUCUCAAGCAACAACACACACCUUCCAAAUGAAGCCAUAGCGACCUCGCAGCCAUCGAUGCACGAGAAAGAUCCAAAUCGAAGGACCUUCGUAUCCUACUUGUAGAUAUUAGUUAGAUUUCAGGUUUCCAUGAAAUUUCUGAAAAAAAAGAAACGGGCAAAAGAUUUGUCGCAAGGAGGGGAAAUGAUGUUUAUGUUACAAGCCUCCAAGCUAUAAAUACGUUACUCUCCUGGAACGAUGGUCCCUAACUUUUUGGCGCUUGCGGUGAUCCAAAGCCUAGCUUCGAUCCUGAUGUUGUUGAACGAGAUUGUCGACGGAGAGGACCUGUUGCGGAAGACCUUCGCGUUGCGUCCAUUCCAGAUAACCCAAGCUAUUAGCAUGGUAAGGGAGGCCCGGGCCUUGCGAUAUGGCACUGUGAUGUUGGAGCGGUUGAGCCACCAGUCUUUGACCGAUGGCAUGGCAAAAAUGUGGUCUGCUCGUUAUAUGUAUGUGGGUUACUUGGGGGCAAAGAUGGGUGUGUGCUGAUCCGAAGGCGCAGAAGCAUGUCAUAAGGCUGACAACAAUCUCGCAACGAGAGGCUCAUAUAACAAGCAUUGCUGCAUCGCCGAAUGAAGAUAACAAAUAAAUAANNNNNNNNNNNNNNNNNNNNNNNNNNNNNNNNNNNNNNNNNNNNNNNNNNNNNNNNNNNNNNNNNNNNNNNNNNNNNNNNNCCCGCCGCUCCAGAGCCAGGCCAAGUCUCCCCCCAACCUCCCAGAACCCGAAUUGUUAAACCGUGCAUCCAUCCAUCCAUUCAAUUGUUAAUUUGUUAAUCCUGAAUGGUUAGAAUUUAUAAGGAAACUAAAACGCGAUGCGCUAAAGUAUGCUAAUGCUGGAAUUUCCAAUCACAGAAUUGAUAAUCAACUUCAAUGUCGAGUUAGGCUCUCAAGCCUGAACUCAAAAGCAACCGCUGUGGCCGGCGUUGAUAUUUUAGGAUUACCUUCCAUGGUCCACUCCAAAUGUCAAGUUAACGUCCAAAGAACAGCGAGCAACUCUGACUUGUUUUCAAAUGAUUUACCGAGUGAUGGAUCGUUCGAUCGUUUACCCGUCCAUCGUGUGCAGCGUACGUUGUGCUAGAACUACAAGCAAGCAAGCACGCAUGACCGUCAGACGAUGCUGACAGAGAGAGAGGGAGAUCCAUCGAUCUGCAGAUUGACAGAUCCAGCGACUCGAUCCUCUCCCUGCAGAUUGAAAUCCAACUCAUCAUCAUGUCUUCUUCUUUAUCCUCUUAAUUAAUUACGUAUCACUCUCGAAGGGAGAUGGCCAGAUGCGUCCCCCCUUGCUUGAACCACUCGUAAUCGAACAAGGGAAAAAAGAUAAACCUCUCAACUGUUCGUGGCGUCCGACUCAGCAGAGAGAGAGAGAGAGGUCGUUGCUGCCGGACUCAACUUUCUUAAGGCCGGGCGAGGCCGUCGCCGUCGCCCGACCGUCCACAUACUCUAAGCGGCGCACGCAUCAAGCCCGCCGGCCGGCCGGUCCGGAUGCGUGCGACCUCUAGCUAGCUAGCUAGCUUAGAUCAAACCCUGAUUUGUUUGCUUUGUUUUUCCCAUCUCUUUUGUCCAUGGCGAUGGACGCCAAGCUAGCUGUCUGGCUGCCUCCCGCUGCCACGUCGCCAUUCUUCCAUCNNNNNNNNNNNNNNNNNNNNUAAACUAAACUAAACUAAGCUAAGCUAAGCAUGGUGCUGGCUAGCUGUGGCCACAAGUUGAGCAAGCCUUGCUGAAUGAAUGCUGCUGUCUGUCCUAACCCCUGAGCUGCAGCACACUAAUCAUUUGCUUGUCCUUUUCCAUGCAUCACCCACCAUCAACUUACCACCUCCUCCGAUCAUAUACCCACACCGUCUCCUCUCCAUUGAUCCCACCCCACCCCACCCCCUCUACCCCUCUCUCUCNNNNNNNNNNNNNNNNNNNNNNNNNNNNNNNNNNNNNNNNNNNNNNNNNNNNNNNNNNNNNNNNNNNNNNNNNNNNNNNNNNNNNNNNNNNNNNNNNNNNAUGAUGCCACUGUUGGGGAACGUCGCAUGGCAAACAAAAAAUUUCCUACGCGCACGAAGACCUAUCAUGGUGAUGUCCANNNNNNNNNNUGAACCGUCCCGCGAUCAGUACCACGAUCUAGUGCCGAACGGACGGCACCUCCGCGUUCAGCACACGUACAGCUCGACGAUGNNNNNNNNNNACGCCCCGCGAACAGUCCCGCGAUCAGUCCCACGAUCUAGUGCCGAACGGACGGCACCUCCGCGUUCAACACACGUACAACUCGACGAUGAUAUCGGCCUUCUUGAUCCAGCAAGAGAGACGGAGAGGUAGAAGAGUUCUCCGGCAGCGUGACGGCGCUCCGGAGGUUGGNNNNNNNNNNNNNNNNNNNUCGCGUUCAGCAUACGUACAGCUCGACGAUGAUCUCGGCCUUCUUGAUCCAGCAAGAGAGACGAAGAGGUAGAAGAGUUCUCCGGCAGCGUGACGGCGCUCCGGAGGUUGGUGAUGACCUUGUCUCAGCAGGGCUCCGCCCCGAGCUCCGCAGAAACGCAAUCUAGAGGAAGAACCGUGGAGGUAUGUGGUCGGGCUGCCGUGGAAAGUCGUCUCAAAUCAGCCCUAAAACCUCCGUAUAUAUAGGUGGGAGNNNNNNNNNNNNNNNNNNNNNNNNNNNNNNNNNNNNNNNNNNNNNNNNNNNNNNNNNNNNNNNNNNNNNNNNNNNNNNNNNNNNNNNNNNNNNNNNNNNNGAACAAGGUGUUGUUGCUUGAUAACUGGAUCACGUCAUUAGGAGAAUCACGUGAUGGACUAGACCCAAACUAAUAGACGUAGCAUGUUGAUCGUGUCGUUUUGUUGCUACUGUUUUCUGCGUGUCAAGUAUUUGUUCCUAUGACCANNNNNNNNNNUGUGGAUACAUAGACAAAACACUGUCCCUAGCAAGCCUCUAGUUGGCUAGCCAGUUGAUCAAAGAUAGUCAGUGUCUUCUGAUUAUGAACAAGGUGUUGUUGCUUGAUAACUGGAUCACGUCAUUAGGAGAAUCCCGUGAUGGACUAGACCCAAACUAAUAGACGUAGCAUGUUGAUCGUGUCAUUUUGUUGCUACNNNNNNNNNNUGAGAUCAUAUAACUCACUAACGCCGGAGGAAUACUUUGUGUGUAUCAAACAUCGCAACGUAACUGGGUGACUAUAAAGAUGCUCUACAGGUAUCUCCGAAGGUGUUGUUGAGUUAGUAUGGAUCAAGACUGGGAUUUGUCACUCCGUGUGACGGAGAGGUAUCUCGGGGCCCACUCGGUAAUACAACAUCACACACAAGCCUUGCAAGCAAUGUGACNNNNNNNNNNNNNNNNNNNNNNNNNNNNNNNNNNNNNNNNNNNNNNNNNNNNNNNNNNNNNNNNNNNNNNNNNNNNNNNNNNNNNNNNNNNNNNNNNNNNGUCACAUUGCUUGCAAGGCUUGUGUGUGAUGUUGUAUUACCGAGUGGGUCCCGAGAUACCUCUCCGUCACACGGAGUGACAAAUCCCAGUCUCGAUCCAUACUAACUCAACUAACACCUUCGGAGAUACCUGUAGAGCAUCUUUAUAGUCACCCAGUUACGUUGCGACGUUUGAUACACAUAAAGCAUUCCUCCGGUGUCAGUGAGUUAUAUGAUCUCAUGGUUAUAGGAACAAAUACUUGAUACGCAGAAAACAGUAGCAACAAAAUGACACGAUCAACAUGCUACGUCUNNNNNNNNNNUUAGUCCAUCACAUGAUUCUCCUAAUGAUGUGAUCCCGUUAUCAAGUAACAACACUUGCCUAUGGCCAGGAAACCUUGGCCAUCUUUGAUCAACGAGCUAGUCAACUAGAGGCUUACUAGGGACAGUGUUUUGUCUAUGUAUCCACACAAAUAUUAUGUUUCCAAUCAAUACAAUUAUAGCAUGGAUAAUAAACGAUUAUCAUGAACAAAGAAAUAUAAUAAUAACUAAUUAUUAUUGCCUCUAGGGCAUAUUUCCAACAGAUAAUAAACACAUAAUUGUAUGGUGUCUGCUUUUAUCCAAAUCACUAGAAGCAAAAUCUUAAUCCAUGUACCGAACGAGUCAUCAAAGAUAGAAAGGAACGUUGAACAUCGUAUUUGCAAUAUUUCCAGUAUUAUAGAUGUAGAAACCAGCAUUGUUAAUCAAGGUUUUUCUUUAAAGUGUAUUUCUCCCUUCAAAAUACCAUCCAUCUAAUUUGUUAAAGUAUGGAACUCUCGCCCAGAGCCGCGGAACUCAUGACUCUAUUAGAAAGUAGAAUGACCAACUUUUACAUGAAUUUUCAAGUGGAUGAGAUCAGUCGAAUGGUCUCUGUUCGAGAUGGGAUAGUAUGUGUUUAUGGACUGAACGAGAUUCAAAGCAGGAGAAAUGAUGGAAUUUGCCAGCGGUGCAAAAGGAAUCAUUUUUAAUCUUGAGAAUGAGAGUAGGUAUUGUUAUCUUUGGUAGUAAUACCACUAUUAAAGGACAUAUUGUCAAACACACUAGAUCUAGUGUGGAUGUACCUACGGUUGAGAAACUAGAGAACCAGAAACACAAGCUUUCUAGGAAAGAUACUUCAAAACGAAUAACAUUUCUUCGAAGCAAGAUUGCAGGAUCAGCCUAACUGAGUAAACAUUGAGACGAGUUUCUUGUCUAGAAAUCUGUGCCAUCAAGAAAAAUUCUUGAAGGUUCUUCUACCCUCCACAAAAUGUACCGGGACACCAAAGCUCGUGCGCAAAUUGUCUUCAAAAUCAAACCAAGCCUGAGCGUUGAGGUCCGAAAGUGUCAUGAUUGAAAACCCGAAACACAAUGGGUCGGUAUGGUGCCUAUAGCUGCCGGAGUGUCCGCGAGAGGGAAAGGGGUGGUUGACGCGACCGGGGCGUGGUCAGCACCAGGGGGUCAGUGGUCGCCGCCGGUGAGGGGCUGAUUACGCAGAUGCUAGCAUGGGGCUAGGGGCUAGUACAGCUCGCGCCGAGUGUACUUACAUGUUUGUCAUGUAGUUCAAAUAUCAUAUUGAAGUAAAUUAUAAAUUUUGGCAUUCUACUUACUGUGUAAGUUCAACACACGAUUUUACCAUACAUACAUAGGGAGGUACAUUUCUUAUUCAUUGAUUUUUUUACAAGAGUUAUAAAUAGAUACUCAUUGCAUAUUUUAUUUGGAGUACGGACGUCAGAAAAAAAUCCUACAUCCGCAGUCUAAUUAAUGAACAUCAUGUUCAUUGCCCUUUGCCCUGGCAGGCCCGACGCAAAGGCACCGGAGGGUCGGAGAGAGCGCCGUCCACGAUCUGGUCGAAGAUAAACUUGUAAGCCGCUUCGGUCAAGUGCACCCCAUCCCAGCUCACGCUCUUGGACGGGUCCACGCACGACUUCCCCCCCAGGACCGGAUCGCCACACCGGAUGUUCUUGUCGAAGUUGUAUUGGCCGCCGCCGUACCCGCAGCACACGCGCAGAGGAUCCCCAAAACCGAACUUUUUGGCUUCGCUCAUCAGCUUGUACAUGGCGGCGUACAGGUCGACGUAGGUGAAGGCGGCCUCUGGGAGAGCGACCCUAAGCCUCGCCACGACCUCCUUGAGCCGGGCGUUGAAGAACCGGGGGCCGGCGUUGAGCGCGAUGGAGCAGCCGGCGUCAUCCUUCUCUCCGGCAAGGUCCGGUCGGUAGACCAGGCCGUAGGGGAGGCACCCGAACGUCCCCGUGUUGUGCACCCAGAAGUACCUCCCGCCGAGGUUGUACACCGUCUGGAUCGCCGACUCGAGCCUCUCCAUCAGAUCGGGGACGUAGGCUUCCACUUGCUCCGUGGUCAUGUUGUCUAGGUAGCCCAUGGCGAGGUCGUUGGCGCCGAUUUUGAAGGUGUAAAGCGCCUUGGAGACCAGGUGCUCGGGGUUCGGCAGGAUCUCCCGGUAGACUCCGCCUACGUUGUUGUAGAUGUGCGAUAACUAUGUCACAUCUAAAUGUGUCCUAAACACACCCUUGCUAAAAAUACAUCCAGGAGCUGCAUUUAAGUUUGAUUUUCACCUAUGUUGUUGUAGACGAAGCGGCUCCUGNNNNNNNNNNGCUGCACGUCCAGGGAAAUGGGGCUGUACCCGGAGGUCCACAGGCUCCCGUUCACCCGUCUGAUGGUUCCGGCGGCGCUCGCGAAAUUGGCUCCCUGCGUGAAGUUGCUCCCUAGUGAAUCCAGGUACGCAUUCAGGUAACGUAGCCCCAGGUUUUGAGCUGCGAUACGUCGUACGUGUUAGGAAAAAUAAAAAAUCUCUAGUUUUGAGUUGUUUGUGCAGGAAAGAAAAAACUCUAAAUCCAUCCUAGUUUUGAGUUGUAGAUAAAUGUCAUGAGUACCCAUGAAGUCGAUGACGAGGCGGCCGUCGCUCUGCCGCCCGGCCGGCAUGCCGAAGAAGGUCUGGCCGUAGGGCGGCUGCACCGCCGGGAAGNNNNNNNNNNGAGGAGUCGCCGAAGUUGAAGAUGGCCGGGAAGCCGCACGGGGAAUCUUCGGAGCGCACCAUUUCUAGUACCACCAGCAACACCACGAACGUGAUCAGUUUGUUGGUGGCCAUGGUGGUGCGACGGCGAGCUGAAAUCAUUUCCGACCUCUCGACCGUGUGCCGUGACGGUGAAGCUGCUUGAAGUGGAUUUAUACACGCCGGCACCGAGGUCGUCACAGUCGAGCACCCGUGUUGGACUGGCGGUCUCCGACGUGAUCCUAAAGAGAUGGAAUAGCUACGUUUUGUUGACAACUAGUAUUAAGCGGCUGAUUUCCAUGCACCACCCUCCAUAGACCAACGGGUCAUCACCGUUUGCGUGGCACCUUAGGACAAGCAACAAGGCGUGCUUGACCCUUGAUUACUCUCUAGCACUACAGUAUCUUGACGUUUAGUUCCAUGGUGACGUGGCCAAGAUGCAUUCAUUUCUGCGAGAAAUAAUUAUGGACUGAUGAAAUAUCUUCUGUACAAUAUUUGAGUAGCGACACGUGUCGGAGUGGGAACAAGUGAAGGCGAUGGAUUCGGGGGCGGCGAUCAACUCGAUGCUGCAGACUGAAGAACGAUCAGGAUGCAUGAAGUCCUUUUGCGUUUGUCUUUCAAACUAUGCUCUCGUUUCGCAUGCGGAUUAUGCUUUAUUGUUUAAAUUCGAACUCAUUUGCCGAAAUCGCUGUCAAAUUCCAACUAUGUUCUAUUGCGUGGUUUUUCGGUUUGCGGGUCGCCGCGGUGGCACCCGAGCACACACCACAUUGACAACCCGUAUAAUAGCAUUUUUUUGCGAAUAUGCUUUAUACGGCUCCGUUUUGGGGGGUCCACCUCUGUCCGCACCCGCGCCGCCCGCAAGAUCCAUUUUUCACGAACUGUAAACGAUUUUUGCGGGUCGAAAUUAUACGGGGUCUGCUAGAAAUGCCCUUAUGAUCAUGUUGGAGCACCAGCCCAAAACGGAUGAUGGACUCCGACGACUUGACGGUGCCGGCGUGUAUGAAUCCUGACGGCCAGUGCCAUUCUCAAAAGGACAAAAGAAGAAAAAAAGGACCAGUCCAGUAGUAAUGCAUGUGGUACUUCAUGUUCUGGAUGGAUGCUGGACUUGACUUGCCGGCCGGCCUGUAUAAACCACAAAUCAUUUUCCCUGCAGCUUCACCGUCACGGGCACCGGACGAGCGGCGGGAAAUGGCUUGAGCUCAUGGUUGAACUACCAUGGCGACCAAUCUCAUGUCCGUCGUGUUGCUAAUGGUGAUAAAGCUCUCUGCUGGGGCGCGCUCUGACGAAUCCCCGUGCAGCUUCCCGGCAAUCUUCAAUCUCGGUGACUCCAACUCGGACAACGGAGCUUUCCCGACCCUCUUUCCGGCUGUGCAGCCGCCCUACGGCCAGACCUUCUUGGGCAAUGGGCAUGCCGGCCGGGCGGCAAAGCGACGGCUGCCUCACCAUCGACUUCCUGGGUACACAUCUAUCUACAACAUCUCAUAGGGAUCGUAUGCAUCGUGCUGCUGCAGAGGUGAUAACCGAUGAUUUUAUUUCCUAACACACGUAACGUACGUAUUGCAGCUCAAGCAUGUUACCUGAGUGCAAUUUACUCAAUAUAACAUGUUUGUCAUGUAGUUCACCAUAGAUAUAUUUCUUAUUCAUAGAUUUUCUACACGAUAUUAUCUCAUUGCAGAUUUUAUUUGGAUUACGGAUACUAGUGCAGAUUUUAUUUGGAGUACGGAUGUCUGGAAAAAUAAUCCUACAUUCAGAAUCUAAUUAAUGAACAUCAUGCGCAUUGCCCUUUGCCCUGGCAGGCCCCACGCAAAGGCACCGGAGGGUCGGAGAGAGCGCCGUCCACGAUCUGGUCGAAGAUGAAUUUGUAAGCCGCCUCUGUCAAGUGCACCCCAUCCCAGCUCACGCUCUUCGAUGGGUCCUCGCAAGACUUCCCCUCUAGGACCGGAUCACCGCACCGGAUGUUCUUGUCGAAGUUGUACUGGCCGCCGCCGUACCCGCAACACACACGCAGAGGAUCCCCAAAACCGAACUUUUUGGCUUCGCUCAUCAACUUGUACGUGGCGGCGUACACGUCGACGUAGGUGAAGGCGGCCUCGGGGAGAGCCACCCUGAGCCUCGCCACGGUCUCCUUGAGCCGCGCAUUGAAGAACUGGGGGCCGGCGUUGAGCGCGACAGAGCAGCCGGCGUCGUCCUUCUCCGCGGCGAGGUCAGGGCGGUAGACCAGGGCGUAGGGGAGGCACCCGAGCGUCCCCGUGUUGUGCACCCAGAAGUACCUCCCGCCAUGGUUGUACACCGUCUGGAUCGCCGACGCGAGCCUCUCCAUUAGAUCGGGGACGUAGGCCUCCACUUGGGCCGUGGUCAUGUUUUCUAGGUAGCCCAUGGCGAGGUCGUUGGCGCCGAUGUCGAAGGUGUAAAGCGCCUUGGAGACCAGGUGAUCUGGUUUGGGCAAGAUCGCUCGGUAGAUUCCACCUGCGUCGAUAUCGAGGAACCUCCGGUAAGAAAUUGCUAAAAGACAUCUAGAUGUGAGAUAACUAUUGCACAUCUAAGUCCUAUGUGAUUGACCUUACGUCGAGAUUCGUGUGAGUAUCUUUUUUACUUUUUACUUUUUUUUAUGCUUGAUUUAGCAUUUUAGAUGUGCGAUAAUUAUGUCACAUCUAGAUGUGUCCUAGACACACCCUUGCUACAAAAUAUAUAUCGAGGAGCUGGAUUUAAGUUUGAUUUUCACCUAUGUUGUUGUAGACGAAGCGGCUCCUGUUGAUGAACUGCUGGAAUUGCCAGAUCUGCACGUCCAAGGAAAUGGGGCUGUAUCCGGAGGUCCACAAGCUCCCGUUCACUCGUCUGAUAGUUCCAGCGGCGCUCGCGAAAUUGGCUCCCUGCGUGAAGUUGCUCCCUAGCGAAUCCAGAUACGCAUUCAGGUAACGCAGCCCCAGGCUUUGAGCUGCGGCACAUACGUGUCAGGGAAACAAUAUAGAAAAUCUCCAGUUUUGAGAUGUUGUAGGUAGAUGUGUGUACCCAUGAAGUCGAUGGUGAGGCGGCCGUCGCUCUGCCUCCCGGCUGGCAUGCCGAAGAAGGUCUGGCCGUAGGGCGGCUGCACCGCCGGGAAGNNNNNNNNNNUAGGAGUCGCCGAAGUUGAAGAUCGCCGGGAAGUCGCACGGAGAUUCAUCGGAGCGCACCCUCUCUAGUACCACCAGCAACACGACGAACGUGAUGAGUUUGCUGGUCGCCAUGGUGGUGCGGCGGCGAGCUCUCGGCCGGUGUCCCUGACGGUGAAGCGGCUGGGAGAGGAUUUAUAAUACACGCCGGCACCAGCAGGUCGUCAGAGUCCAGCACCCGUGUUGGACUGGCGGUUGGAAUAGCUACGUUUUGUUGAUAAGUAUCCUCCCCGUGUGAUGUUGAUGCACCACCCUCUAGAGAAUGACGGGUGAUCACCGUUUGCGUGGCACCUUAGGACAAGCAACUACGAGGCGUGCUUGACCCUUGAUCACUCUCUAGUGCUACAGUAUCUUGACGUUCGGUUCCAUGGUGAUGUGGCCAAUAUGCAUCCAUUUUUACGACAAAUAAUUCUGAACGGAUGAAAUAUCAUGUACAGUAUUUGACGUUAUCAUGAUGAUGAUGUGGCCAAAACCGUUAUUACUUCUGUCAGAGAACUUGCGCAGAACAAGGAAAAACGUGUGUGGGAGGGUCAGAGACACGUAUCUGAACGGUGACGUGGCCCGCCUAGUGUCCGUCAGCAGCAACGCGGUGUUUCGAGUGGAGCAUGUCGUCGGUGGUCUAGCUCGUGAGCGACCCGAUCAAGUAGGAGGAUUUCAAGUUCAAGAUCCGUGUGUUUACUGUUAGAGACUCACUACUCGCCCCGAUCUCUCGUUUGAUUUACUCAUGGAUACAGGUUAAAAUGUUGUUGUGUCACUAGUGGCUGGUGGCCCUUGUUUUAUGGUUGGCCCGCACAGUGGACGGUGGCUAAGAGCAUCCCUAAGAAACUCCGUAUAAUGCUCCGAUCUGUAAAAUAACUAUCGAAAUAUGGAUCGGGGAAGAAAUUGCUAUCAGACCAGACCCCGCAAACGCGUCCGAUCUGUAAAUUUUUUUGUCGGGGCGACAAAAAUUCGUCCUCAACCUUCAGAUUCACGGGGUGGGAGGCCGAUCCAAGCUCGUUCCUUAUCCGCAACGAGAUUUGGCACGAGAGAAAUUUCCGCACGGCCGUUCCCCGCUCCCCCUCCUCGACAACCAUUUCCCCGCCCACCGCGCGUUCUGGACCUUCUUCCCCGCCAUUCUUAGCCGGCGUGGAAGCCUCCCACCCGACGGAUCUCGUAAACGUGGAGGUCGCGCACGUGCAAUCAUGUCCGGCGGAUCUCGUUGCCGGCCAUGUCGCCCCCGACGUUGCCUAAGCCACCAAUGCGCCUGCCCACAAGUGGCAAGGCAACGUUGUCAUGCAGGGCGGCAUUCCGGUUGGCCCCGCCGGAAGGGAAGGCGCGCUGGGCGCCACCGCUGCUGCGUGAACUGCUUGGCCGCCUGCGCGGAAGAUGGGCAAGGUUUCGGGCGUGAAGCGAAAGAAUGUUCAUACGAAAAAACCGUCGUACACUCACUCCGUCCUGGUGAGACGUUCCCCGACGGUGCCUUUCUACGGCGCUGCUUCCACCGCAGGCGAGGUGUUCGAUGAAAGGACCGGAAGGUAUGCAUCUUCGCUCGCUUAUUUUUGCUUUGAUUUUUCGCCAUUGUGGUAGGUCAUGAUGUGCUGUCACUCAAUGUAGAGGAGGAUGCUUGCGUAUUAUGACGGCGAUGGUUUCUCGUUUGAAGUCGAAACCAAUAUCGCCGAUGAUUUCGGUGCUGGAGUAGGGACAAAUGCAAGCGAUGGAUUCAAGGGAGUCGAUGGAUUCAGAGGCGGCGAUGACCUCGAUGGUGCGGAGUGAAGAGCGACCCGGAUGCAUGAGGUCCUUUUGCGUUUGUCUUUUAAACUAUGCUUUCAUUUCACGCGCGAACUAUGUUUUAUUGUUAAAAUUUGAACUCAUUUGCCGGAACCGCUGUCAAAUUUGAACUAUGGUUUAUUGGAAGGUUUUCCGGUUUGCGGGUCGACGCGGCGGCGUCCGAGCAGAUCCCGCAUUGACGAUCCGUAUAAUAGCAUCUUCUGCGAAUAUCCUUUUUUAUGACCGUUUUGGGGAAUCUGCCUCUGUCUGCGUCUGUGCAGGUCCGUAAAAGCCGUUUUUCGCGAAGUGUGAACGACUUUUGCGGGUUCGGCUUUAUACGCGUUUUGCUAGAGAUGCUCUACCACCUCCCCCUUUUUAACCCGACUUAUUCCCCAGCCGUUGCCACAUAGAGCUUUCCAAGAUCCCGAGUUGCUUGAACAUUCCUUAUCGUGUCGAAAUCGCCAUGGCAGUUGUUGUAGUAGUAACUAUUUUUUUUUAGAAAAGGAGGAUUACCUCCGGCCUGUGCAUCAGCACGAUGCAUACAACCCCUUUAUUUAGCAAGCAAACAAAUAUCGGUCCAACAUUGCAGUGGUAGCUAUGGUCGAGGUCGACUUGAACAAGAUCAAAGGAGAAGCCGUCCUCGAUGUAGUAGUCACAGCCGUUGGGAACUUGCUCGAGGAUGCUGUCUAAAUAAAUAGGAAGGGGGGUACAAAGUAUAAGCACAAACUUUAGUGUGGUACCAAGUAUAACACAUACUACACUUUAUAAGGAGAAGGAAGAAUCAAAAUAUAUUAUACUUCCAGCAUGUUUUUCAUCUGUGCGCAAUUACAAAUUAAGAAUAAACUUAUAGCCUCACAACUUGGCUACGCGGAAAUACGCAUAGUUACUUAGUCAAACCAUAAACUAAGGAUGAGAACUAGGGUUGGAUCGUGGGAUUCUGAGAAAGAAAGUGAGAAGGGUGUGGUCGAGGGGUGGUUUUGGACUUCCAGGCCUGUUGAGCUGUGAUUUUCUUAUUUUUGCAUCAUGUGCAUGUUACAACGCUACACGUUACAACAUUAUAGCAAGGCAUAGCGUCCUAAUUAUGUGAUUAGCAUCGUAGCGGAUGAAUUUGUUAAAAUGUAGCAUCUUCUUUUCUAAUACGCUUUAACCAAAAUUGCGCGCUAUUUUUUUUCGUUCGACGUGUCAUAAUUUUUAUUAGCAUUCUUUCAAACCCUUAGGAAACAAUUCUUUGAUUUUGCUGUGAUGGAGUCAAGCAAACAAAUAUCUCGCGAAUUGCGGCGCUGAUGGAGGUGCAAGUGGCAGCCGCGGAGCUCGCCGCUGGCCGUUGGGGCGAGCGGCGGCGGUGGCGGCCAGAUGUUUAGGGUUUGCAUUCGAAGCGAUUUUGCAGAUGGUAUUGCGAGAAUGCCUGGUUGCCAUGAUCUGAUCAAAGAUUAUCUUGUUUUUUCUAACGGAACAUUUUGGUGCCCUGUAUCAAAUUUUCGAUCUGAAACUGAAAGAUCGACCGUACAUGCUUUUCUGCUUCAUUCGCUGUCAUAUAUGGCCAUCUCUAUUAUUGCUCGGUAACUUUGCAUUUCGCUGGAAGCAAUCUGCAGAAGGCUGGUGGGGAAAGGACCGUGGCGGCGGAGAGCUGCGACCGAGUCCGAGGCCAAGGCCGCGGCAUCGAAGAUCACGGUCAACUUAGAACCCAAGUUGCUGGAGUGCUCCGGCUGCUGCAGCCCAUUGGCUCCACCCAUUUUCCAGGUACCCAACAGGAGUACAGGACCUUGUAUUCCUUUGCUGAAUGCUUUCUGCAUUUUACUAGAUUCAGUUAUACCCUGCAGUUUAGGUAUGCUGGAUUAUUGACCAUUUGUAUAGUUUCUGAUACCAUCUGCAUGUUGAUGUAUAGUUUCUCCUACUUCACUUUCAGCAAAUCUUGCGACCGUCAAUUAGUAUGCUGCUUCUAGACUUCUGAUUCCUUUUCUUCUGAAUUCAGUACAACUGGUUCGAAUCUUACUAGUGAAGACAAUAAACUUAAAAUGUGGACAGAUUGUUCACAACUCAUUUAGUUAUGUCUCUGACAAGAGCAAUAUUGUUAUGACCGACACUACUUAUAGCCGGAGGAGGCCUAAUUGGCCCGUUUAGUUAGGGGCUUAGCCCAAGUUAUCUUAUUUUUAUUAGUAGUACUAGCAAAAGCGUCCGUGCGUUGCAACGGGAGAAAAAAAAUCACCAUCUUCAAUAACGAUGACCACAUUAUGUUCAUAUCUCAUCGCAUAAUUUCAAAAAUUUGUUCACAAAUGCAAGAAAAUAUUUCUUCUUUUAAUUUUAUUCACAAUUCAAAAGUUGAAAAAUGUUCAUAUAUUUUUUUUUAAAAUCAUGGUUGUCAAAAAACUUGGUAACUCAAAGAAUUAUUCUGAAUUUCAAUUUUUUUAAAUAUACUAUAAUAUUUCGAUUCACCCCGACAACUAAUUCUUCAAAAUUUACUCAGGUAUAUAAUCAAAAAGACUCAGAAGCAUUACCAUUUAACUGCAUACAUUCAAUCAUUCGUGAACAUUUUUAAAAUCGAGAUUUUUUUACUAUGUAUAAACAUUUCUUUAAAAUUCCAAACAAUAUUUUAAAUUACGAACUGUUUUCAAGUAUUUUCUUGUGAAUUGGCGAAUAAUUUAUUUAUUAAAAAUUAGCCAGCUUUUAUGUUGACCAGUGGGCAGUUCUACAACCAUUUGAAUUAAAACUAAAACUGAGCCAUCCACAUAGUUUUAGAACACAGAUGAAAACACACUCUUAAUUUCACAGAACGUUUUUUUGCAUAAACACCAAAAAUAAGAAUAACAGGAGGAUCACUCCCGGCUCCAUUUUCAUCACGAAGCCCAUGACCAUAGGCACCAACAGCAUCUCUUGAGAAGCAGUACUGAAAAUAUUACAAAACAGAAUCAUGGAUUCAUGAUGCAUCAAAGGCAAACAUCAGAGAUAGUAAAUCUUAUAGGAUCUGAACAGCAGCACCUCUUUAGAUGGAGACAGUUGGACGCUUCCCCCCUUGGUGGUAAAGAAGGCCAGAGGUAGCUGUCCAAGAUUGAUAUAUUGGUGCAGAGGAGCUAUGCUAAAUUUGUGGACAGGCGGUAACACGAAAUAGAAACAGAACGAAUGGGGCUGGAAUCCCCUACCUAUUUCAAUCUCUGCACACUGCACGGUAUGAAGAUCCAAACGAAAAUUACAGGAAUUAACUUUCUUUGCUGAGAAAUAUUAAAAUGCCAUAAGAAGCUGGUGGUGACCAGGUUCAGAUGGAGAGAACCAAGAAUCCCAUUGCAUUCAUAUUCAACCAAGAAGUGACCUUAAUGAUGAUAUGGUUUGCAGUAGAGAAUACAGAAUUCACACUUUGAGAGCAAAAAUUAGUGACUCAAAUACUGCAUCGUUGAAGCUCUUCAGAAAAUUGGUGAGCAGAUGAACCCACCGUUCUUGCCCCUUCUCCUCAUUUGUUGCUGGAUGCUAUAAGAAGAACACCACCUUGGCUGAAAUCUGCAUCAGGUCAAUUGCCAUGAAACUAUCUCCAUCGGGUCAAUUGUCCACAAAACAUCCAAGGUCGCCACCGAGUUCGCGGAAAAAGAAGCUCCGACUUCGUCGGAGGUAGAAGAUCAUCCGUUGAGCACUCCAAUGUCGCCUGCUGCGGCUACACGAGAGGUAUGUAUCACACCGACCACUGUAUUUUACACAAUGUUUCCUUGUUGAGUGUGAACGAAGAACAACACCAGGGCUGAUAUGCCUCCUGCAGCCAGUGAUUUCUGGCUUCAGUUCUUCAUGUAACUCAUUACUCCACCAGCUGCAAAAGGUAGUAGCACAAUGAUCAGUUGUUGGUAAAUGUUGCAACUUCCCGAGAUAAGUCAAUACUUUCAGCAUGCUUUCAGUUAUAACACUGUAAAAGGUUGCGGAACCUCAUAGUUCUAUAAGAUGGUUGAUGGAGCUAAAAUAAUGUCAGUGGUAUUUAGGGGGGCAGUAAUUGAGCUUGUAUUACUUACCUUUAUCCUACGGGGCUUCUUCUCUCUUAAGUAAUCCGGCUCAAUCAUGUUGGAAGUCUGCCCCAUCUUAGAGAAAAAGGGGUCUGAAUAUCGUUUCAAGGAGGCCCCAGCACCAGCAACAUCGAACCUGCAGAAUAAUCCUUGUGUGUAAUUACUGAUAACACAUCCAUGGUAUAUAUCCACACACAAAAAUAGAAAGCAUCCACAUAUAGUGUAGUUUUUAAGGAGGUAUGAGUUUUUGACACUCCCAUUUCUGCAAAUACCAUCUUAGCAUACUGCUUCAUCUUUCCUUGCUAGAGCUCAUUAUCCCUAAUCUCCCAGGUAACAUUGGAGGCGCCUGCAACUGAACUCUUGUUGAGCUCUCCUCUGACCAUAGGAAGCUGGUGACAUCUGAUUAUGUGUACUAAGUUGUGCUGCGGUAGACAUGCAUCAGUGGCUGAUCUUAUCCAAACUGAUACAGUACAAGCUAAUUGUGUUUGCUAUCGGCACUACACAGACCGGCAGGACAACCAACAUACGCACUCUGACGAACUGAAUGCAUUCAGAUCCUCUAUCCGCGCAAGGGGCGAGGGCGGCGAGGCUCCGGUGGCAGGUUGAUGGCGGAGAUGGUCUCCCCCGGACCGGAUCGGGGCGGCGGCGACGGAGAUCGAGGCAGAGGGCGGCGCGGUACAGGCGGCGCUUGGGGCCGGCGAGUGGAGUUGGCUGCAGGCCGGUGGCCGACGCGGGGUGGCUCGACUACGGAUGGUGGUUCCCCGGCGAGAUGCAUGCGAGGGACCGGCGGCGUGCUGCGAGGUCUCGAGCAUGGAGCGGCUCGUCGCCAUGAAGGAGCUCGGGAGGAUUGCGGGUUGAUUAUCAAAAACUAUGAGGACUUUUUUGCAAAAUGGCAGAAAACGAUUCGUUGUUACUUAAAACUGGACUGCGGGUUGAUUACCUAAAACUGCAAGGGCUUUUCUGCAAAACGACCGACGACGGACGACAGAAGCGCUGCGCGCUUUAUUAUUAGGAGAGAAAGUUAUAUAAACAGUUGUAAGACACCCUUUUGGAAUUAAGCAAUAAGACAUACUCCCUCCGUUCGGAAAUACUUGUCAUAGGAAUGGAUGUAUCUAGAUGUAUUUUAGUUCCAAAUACAUCCAUUUUUAUACAUUUGUGCGACAAGUAAUUCUGGACGGAGGGAGUAUUCUAUUGCUCGGCUUUCGGAGGAGCCGGAAUCCCUAACCCUAGUCGCCGCGUCUUCCAUCGCCGUUGCCUCUCCACCACGCGAGACGGCGCCCUCGCCCUUGCCAGCUUCCCUCCUACCCCUACAGCCUCCGGCCAAAACCCGGUAGGAUCCUAGCUCCUACCAGUUUGGUAUCAGGAAGCUUCGGUUCGAUCAUGUCUUCGCCGUCGCGCUCCACAUCCCUUCUGCUGCCGACCUCCACCACCGCCCCGCUCGCCACCACCUCCGCCGCCGCACCGCUUCCCGCUGUCCUCACCCCGGAGGAGCUUACAGGAGCGAUCCACUGUCGUGCAGGGGAUCCGACUCUACCUAGCCGGUCCCUACGGGCCACCGCGCCACCACCCACCGCCAACGGGCUGCUGCUGCUUUCGUGGCAGCCGCCGCACUCGCUGGGCCGUUGGAGCCGGCGCUUCAGCUUUCGCGGCCACCAGCCACCUCCUCCGGGCCGGGCCCCACCUCGACGCCGGGGGUCCCUCUUCAUCAACUCCACUUCCCGCCCUUGCCGUCGCCGCUAUCGUCCUGGGUAACCGGGACGCAGUCGGUCUACACGACGGCCUCGGCGCCGCCGUACAUCCAGUCGCCAUCGGCGCCACCCCCUAGUAAGGUGGACCCUCCAGCUUCGCUGAUCCUCAAACUGGCCCCGACGGGUACCCGGGGACGACCCCGCACUUCUCCGCGCCGACGAGCCCUACCAUCACGGCGCCCAUACCCAUACGCCACCGCGGUUCGCCAAAUUGGACUUUGCCACCUACGACGACACCGAGGACCCCCUGAACUGGCUCAACCAAUGUGACCAGUUCUUCCGAGGGCAACGGACGCUCGCUUUGGAACACACCUGUACUGAAUUCUUCUACCAGAUCGACAUCCUCCACAGAUUCUACUGUCACCUGGAAGAUUGUGCUGGUCUCUUGGUUCUACUUAANNNNNNNNNNGUAGUUCUACUGUAUAAUAUGACCAUCUAUUAUACACGAGACCAAACAGUUGAGCACAUGCCUUGUUGUUUCAGACCUUUGUUUGUUGGUUUCUAGUGGCCUCUAAGCGCAAAAUCACAUUUCAGGCUACGCAGUAGUGAUAAUUAUACCAUACCAGUAUGAUGCUACAUAGAUUAUUGAGUUAUUACUUUGGUUGAUUACAUCUAAUUCUUCAUAUAUAAUAUCAUCUAUUAUGGCCCACUUAGUAGUGAAAUUUACAGUUGGGUAAGACCAAGUGCAGUGUAUUAUGACUCAGUGUCUACUUUCUGUGUUACUAGGCUACUUCAUUCAUCUUAAUUAAGUUUUUUUGUUGUUUUCAUUUUUCAUGAAUCAUUAGGCUCUGCUUCAGCAGGCAAACAAGUUAGGCAUAUUGGACUUAUUUAUGGUAUCUAGCAUCCUUAAUGAAUCACUAUGUGUUGAAGUAGCCUAGUGAAUGUAAGGGUCUAGGUUUAACCCAUAACUUCUCUAAACAGUGUGCUGUAUUGUGUUAUCUAUACUGCUUUUGCUUUAGUUCUACAACUCUGCAAAGCACUACAUUCACCGGAUACAAAAUUCCAAUUUGUUUCGACUAUGAAAAACUUGUUUUGAUUAUAUUUUCUAUUUGGCCACGUGCAAUUUCUUAAAGGGCCAAAUGGCUAGUGAGGAAGAAAGGUUGCAUAUGGCUAGUGAGGAUACGGCUAGUGAGGAGGAACCAGAUAGGGCUAAUGAGGCUGCGGAUGAAGCGCCAAAAAGGGUUACGGAGGCCAAAGGACCGGAAACCCGGUGGAAUCCCGGUGUUGCAACACAAUUAAUUUCGAAGUUUCCAACCAAAAUGUUGAAAAUGCUUGAGCAGUUAAAGCUUAGUAAGAUGGCGGACAUGAAGGUAACAUUCCUUCAAUACAGAAAAACCUGNNNNNNNNNNUAUUUUGGACAGAUGUGUUGUUCAUCAAGACUCAAAUCAAACUGAACUUAAAAUAAGGAUGAUAAAUCAGCGUGGUUCAAUCCAAAAGUUGUUCAACAUAUUCUUGAGCUGACGCAAGACACUGAUAAGGAGUUAAAAGCUAUGUAGUUAGGCUCGUAGUUGCAAAGUACCCAAAAAAGACAAAGAAAAAGGCAAACACAAAUGUAAAAGAGGAGACAUCAGGCCACUGCCAGAGGAGAAGAAUAAUGGCAGAGCGAUCAUGAUGUCGGAGAACAUUGGUUUGUUGUUUGCACACUCUGAUGAGGAAGAUAUCAGAUCACAUGCUGAAAUAGAUAUGCUCGUCAGGCUUUACUUUGUGGCAGUGCAUGAUAGAAUGUUACUGCCAGAUACAGCAUCUUAUGUAACCAAAAGCGCAGUUGAAAAUAUAUAUCAUCUAGAAAAACUUUGUGAGCUUGACUGGGUACAUAUGGUCUUCAAUGCCUUGAAAAAAGCUUAUCUGACGAAGGACAAAGCUUAUAUGAGGUGAUGUGUGGAUGUCCUUUUGGUAAGUAGUACUAGCUACUGCAAGUAAUAAUUGUUCUCAUUUUGUGUCUAAAUUUAGAGUUAUUGGUUCACAAAUAGUUUUUUGCGGACUGCAUUGUGGAGAAUCCUGUGAGAAGGGAAUUAUCAGGGAGAAUCAAACACUAUACUGAUGACAUCCUCAGGAAACUUCUCGAAUAUCAGGAUAGGAAAAGUAAGUCUGGGGGUAAGAAAUUGUAGCAACUUCUUAUAAUUAUCGAAUAUCUUGAUGCAACUUAUAUUUCUCAAUGUCAUUUUGAGGAGAAGAACUUGAAGUCGCUAGAGGUAAUUAAUGUAAGUACAAACAAGUUUACAAAUUAUCUGUUACCAUUUUUAAUUAUUUAUUUAUGUUAUUUUCAGUUUAUUAGGUGGGAGGAUAGCACGUAGAGCGAACUGUAGAGGUGUUUGAGAAUGACAUGGUACAUAGUGCUUACGAAAAGCGUGUUUUAAAAAGAAGGCACGAUGGAAUUGUAGUAGAGUAUGUACCCGAGAAGAUAGUUGAGUCCGAGUUUAUAGACUGCUUCAAACUAGAAGGUCGUAGAGAUACUGCAUUUAAUAUGCGACUUGUGGUCAGAACAAUGGCGUGAUACAAUUGUCCUUCAGUAUUCUUCUGAUACAAUUGUGGACGCCGAGCCUGAUCUACGUUUUUGGAUAAGUACUUACAAUAAAAGAAUACUUAAGGAUAAUUGUAUCACGCCAUUUUUCUCACCACAAGUCGCAUAGUAGAUGCAGUAUUUGUGAGGUCAUACGACCUUCUGGUUUGAAGCAGUCCACAAACUCAGACUCAAUUAUCUUCUUGGGUCCAUACUCCAAUACAAUUCCGUCGCUCCUUCUUUUCAAAACACGCUCCUCGUAAGCACUAUCUACCAUGUCAUCCUCAGAUACCUUUACAGUUUCGCUGUAGGUGCUAUCCUCCCACCUAAUAAACUGAAAAGAACAGAAAGAAAUAAUUAAAAAAUGGUAACAGAUAAUUUGUAAACUUGUUUGAACUUACAUUAAUUAUCUCUAGCGGCUUCAAGUUUUCUCCUCAAAAUGACAUCGAGAAAUAUAAAAAGUUGCAUCAAGAUAUUCGAGAAAUAUAAUAAGUUGCUAUAGUUUCUUACCCCCAGACUUCCUUUUCCUAUCCUGAUAUUCGAGAAUCUUACUCAGGAUGUCAUCAGUAUGGAGUUUGAUUCUCCCUGAUAAUUUCCUUCUCACAUGAUUCUCCACAAUGUAAUCCGCAAAAAGUAUUUGCAAAUCAAUAACUUUAAAUUUAGACACAAAAUGAGAACAGUUAUUAUUUGCAGCAGCUAGUAGUACUUAUCAAAAGGACUGCCAUAGAACACCUCGUAUAAGCUUUGUCCUUCGNNNNNNNNNNNNNNNNNNNNNNNNNNNNNNNNNNNNNNNNNNNNNNNNNNNNNNNNNNNNNNNNNNNNNNNNNNNNNNNNNNNNNNNNNNNNNNNNNNNNNNNNNNNNNNCGCCUUUUUCUCUAUCUUUUUCUGGGUACUUUGCAACUACGAGUGUAAGUGCAUAGACCAUCUUGUCGUGUUCUUAUGUUACAUCAUGUGCAGCUUUGAACUCCUUAUCAGUGCCUUGCGGCAGGUCAAGAACAUGAUGAACAACUUUUGAAUUGAACCACGUUGAUUUAUCAUCCUUGAUUUUAAGUUCAAUUUGAUUCGAGUCUUGAUGAACAACACAUCUGUCCAAAAGCUCUCCACAGGUUUUUCUGUAUUGAAGGAAUGUUACCUUCAUGUCCGCCAUCUUAUUGAGCUUUAACUGCUGAAACAUUUUCAACAUUCUAGUUGUAAACUUCGAAAUUAAUUGUGUUGAAACGCUCGGGUUGCACUGGGUUUCCGGCCCUAGGGCCUCCGUAACCCUUUUUGGCGCUUCAUCCGCAGCCUCACUAGCCCUACCUGGUUCUUCCUCACUAGCCAUAUGCAGCCUUUCUUCCUCACUAGCCAUUUGGNNNNNNNNNNNNNNNNNNNNNNNNNNNNNNNNNNNNNNNNNNNNNNNNNNNNNNNNNNNNNNNNNNNNNNNNNNNNNNNNNNNNNNNNNNNNNNNNNNNNNNNNNNNNNNNNNNNNNNNNNNNNNNNNNNNNNNNNNNNNNNNNNNNNNNNNNNNNNNNUAGAGAUACAUUAAGGAUGAUACAUACCAUAAAUAAGUCCAGCAUGCCUAACUUGUUUGACUACUGAAGCAGAGCCUAAUGAUUCAUGAAAAAUGAAAACAACAAAAGAAACCUAAUUAAGAUGAAUGAAGUAGUCUAGUAUCACAGAAAGUAGGCAUUGAGUCAUAAUAAACUGCACUUGGUCUUACGCAAGUGUAAAUUUCACUAUUAAGUGAGCCAUAAUACACGAUAUUAUAUAUGAAGAAAUUAGAUGUAACCAACCAAAGUAAUAACUCACUAGUUUAUGUAGCAUCAUUCUGGUAUGAUAUACUUAUCACUACUGCGUAGCAUGAAAUGUGAUUUUGCGCUUAGAGGCCACUAGAAGCCAACAUACAUAGGUCUGAAACAACAAGGCAUGUGCACAACUGUUUGGUCUCGUGUAUAAUAGAUGGUCAUAUUGUACAAUGGAACUACUAGUUACCUAAACAAUUUAAGUUAACCAUGUUAAGUAGAACCAAGAGACCAGCACAAUCUUCNNNNNNNNNNAAGCAGAACAUCAUACAUAUGCUACAUAACAACAACAACGACCGCUUUCAAAGACUUCAACCGAUGCAAAAGGAUCACCAUUACAAAAACUCGGCUUAAUGGUUCCAUCACAAGGUAAAUAUGUCAUAGUACUUGUUCUAUGAAUGCGAGAGUGAAAUAAAGUAGGAAAAUUUCAUCGGGUUGAAAUUCAGACUUAAGCAUUGUGUCUCUUAGAAAACUAAAAAAAAGAGUAGUGUUGGCUAGUAAGAACAUUAAGCAAAUUUACAUAGAGUUCCGCGUGAAGGAAUCAUGGAAAUACAAAAGCUCAAGAAGCCAACAAUGUAAAACAAGGCAUGAAAUAACAAAGAUUGUGCAAGAUAAAAAUUUGAGUACCUAACGAAGACUGUGCAACAUGAAAGUUGGAGUGCCUGAUGGUCUACUCUAGUCUCUAAAACCGCGCUAAAUUAUGUCUGUAAAGAAGUUAUCCGAGUGAAUGUAAGGCUUGAGGUUUAAGCCAUAGUGAUUGAUUAAGAAUGCUACAUAUUGUGGAUAGGUCCAGCAUGCCUAACGGAAAGUUGGACGACGCCAUGCUUAUCUGAACAGUGCUAUCACCUUCCCACCGUUCCUCCACAUCCGAGGGGCCUACUGUCUAUAUGUUAAACCCAAACCCAAUGAGCACCUGCCAACGAGGAUCUGUUCCACGCAGAAUUUGGUACGAUUGCUCAAUUAUUCACAAACCAACAAAGUACAUGUAGUUUGGGUAGUUCCUUCAGUUUAAGAAGUUCCUUUGGUUUGAGAAUUCAUCGAUUGGUGAGGUGAGAUUGAUAGAUUUGUUAAAUCAAUGAAUCUGUUCAAUUGGUAUACAUAUUGGUGUUGAACCACACACACUUCCAGGACCAGGAGCAGCAAGAAUUUUUCAAAAAGGAUGACACCAUGAGCAAGAAUUUUUCAAAAAGGAUGACACCAUGAGCAGCAAGAACGAUCCUUAGUGUUAGUAACCAAACAAUUUGCAGAUCAAGGGAAGACAAGGAGGGCACCUUUUGGGCAAUUUGUCGAGCACCUUCGUGUUGCCUACACUGCGUCGAGCCGCUGCUCACUGCGAGACUCAGCCUGUGCCGAUCCUCCGCCCCGCCGAGCCGCUACUCACCAUGAGGCCAGUGCCGAUCCUCCGCCCCGCCGAGCCGUUGCUCACCACGAGGCCCGUGCCGAUCCUCCGCCCCGCCUGGCCGUUGCUCACCAUGAAGCCUCAGCCCGCUUCAGCCUUCGUUGACGCCGACUCGCGAGGCCGUGCGAAGAAUACGAAGAGAGGCAGGAGGGCGAAGAAUACAAAGAGGGGCGAGGAACAUUUAGUUAUGUCUCAAUACUGGAGAAGCAUUGUUCACAACUCAUUUAUUUAUGCAAACAUAUAUUUUCUCCCGCUUAAAUCUUUUAAGUAACUAGCAAAAUGGCCCAUGCGUUGUCACGGAAGAAAAAAAACAUAAUCUCCAAUGAUGGUGACUACAUUAUAUUCACAUAUCAUCGCUUGAUUUAGAAAUUUUGUGCACAAAUGUAAGAAAAUGUUUCUUCUUUUAAAUUUAUUCACAAGUUGAUGCAAUCUUUACAUUUUCAAAAAAUAUAUAUCAUGGUUGUCAAAAAUCUUGGUAACUCAAAGAUUUAUUCUGAAUUUCAAGAAUUUUGUUUAGAAAACAUAUAAUAAUAAUCCGAUCCAUCCAACAGUUAAUUUUUUAAAAUCCACACAGGUAUAUUGUCACAAAGACUUAGAAGCAUUAAUGUUUAAUUACAUACAUUAGAUAUUUCGUGAACAAUUUUACAAAUAUGGAAAGAAUUUUAAAAUCGAGAAGAUUUUUUACAAUUUACAAACAUUUACUAAAAAUUGUGAAUAUUUUUUAUAUUUCGAACGAGUUUAAAUAUUUUCUUUUAAUUGGCGACCAAUUCAAGAAAAGACGAACAUAAUUUUUGAUGUUGGAGGAUUUUAUUUCAAAUUCACAAACAUUUUUUGAAACGCAUGAACUUUUCUGAAUAAAGAAACAUUUUUAUAAAUCAGUAAUAUAUUUAUUAAAUUUAUGGACAUUGUUUAGGAAUUUGAAAAAAAUAUAUGGAAAUCCAGCGCUUUUUUGAAUCCUAUUUUUAAUUCAAAAUAAAAUUUCGUCAGCAUUUUAAUUCAAAAUUCCUAUUUUUUAAUAUGCAAAAGUUUUUGUAGUUCUAAAUUAUUUAAAUUCUAAAUAAACAAAAAUGGAACGAAAAAUUUUAAAUUAAAAAAAGAAACUAUCAAAACAGGCAUUAGCUAUUUUUAAAAUUUUGUGACAUUUUUUAAAUGCAUUAACAUAUUUUAAAUUAGAAAACAUUUUUUUUAAAUGCCUUUAAUAAUUUUUAAUACAUGGAAUUGUAUUUGAGAUCAUGGACUUUUCUUAUUGUACAAACAUUUUUCUAAAAUUGCAAACAGUUUUUGAAGUCACACACAUUUUAAUUUUUUAAAUAUGUUGAUUUAUAAUUUUCAGUUUAUUAAAAUUUUAAAGAUUAUUUGAAGUUCUAAAUUAUUGAAAAUAAAAAAAGUAAAAUGGAACUGAAAAUAAAUAAAUAAAUGGAACUAAAAGCAGGCGCCUGUCCAUGGGCCGGCCCAUACGGUGUUCUGGAUAUUCUCCCAGCGUGCAGAGCGUAAUAUAGGAGAUUUUUACAUGGGCCGGCCCAGUCCAAGAUUUUUUUGCUUUGUGAAACGUUUUCUAUUACUUACCGGUGGCAUGGUGGGUAAUUUAUGCAAACUUUAGGGGUAAUUUCCAAAACGGACGACCAGAAACCGUAUUUGCUUUAUUAUUAUUAUUUGGGAGAGAUAAAACGUCCCUUUUAAAAAAAAAAAAAAUUCUUCCGUGGCUUUCUGAUUGCCAUGACCAAGAAUAUGUGAUGCAUUACUAGUAUGUUUGUGCACUUGUCAUGUUUUUGACAGUUUCUGUAAAUACCGUAUGUUUCUGUUUCUCUCUUUUUGUCUGCAGUGUACAAAUGGCCACAUCACAUGCUCAGAGUGUCGCACCAAUGCGGAGUACACUUGCAGCUUGUGUGUGGAGCCUGCCAAACGCCCGCUGCGGCAUCAUGGAGCGCGUACUUGGCAGCAUGACCACGCCGUGCUCGUUCCGGGAGUUUGACUGCUCCGCUACGAACCCGUUUACGGAGAAGCUGACCCAUGAAGAAUCCUGCCUCCACGCUCACAUACCCUACUGUCCCAUCCCCUACUGCCGCCUCUACGCCAACCAUGGCUGGUCCCUGCACGAACACAUCGAGACGGAACACUACUUGAUCCCAUACGGCGAGGUCACAGCCGGCAGCCUUUCCCCGGUGAUGGUGUCCGACAAUGAGCCGGUGUGCCUGGUGCUUCUUGACUCCACGACGGUGUUCCUGCUGGUGGUCGAGCGGACAAUGCCAUCGGGGUGCGCCGUGUCGGUGGUCCAGCUCGUCAGUGAGCCGGUCAAGAAGAUGGAGGAGAAGGAUUUCAAGUACAAGAUCCAUUUCAAGUACAAGAUCCAGGUGCGUAUGCGAGCAGGCGUCCUCUCUCUGUCCGGCGAGACGCAGAGCAUUGGGCGGCUGAUGAGGCCUUACCAGGCCACCGCGUCGCUGUUCGUCUCCGACGCAGUGUGGUGUCCCCGGUAUUCCGUUGAGUUGGCAAUGAGUGUAGACAAGCUGCAUGCCAUUGAGUUGGCAAACCUAUCCCAUCUUGUAGAAGAAUUCAGUACCGCUGGCACCUGGAAGAUGUCGAUCUGACACCUGGAGAAUUUAGUCCUGCGCCUCUGCCAUCUGGAGGAUGUCGAUUAGCUCUGAAUACCUCGUGUAGUUUCUCUGGCGAUAGUUUGGUGAGGACUUGACCGUGUCGGAGUGGAAUGUGGAUAGGGUUUUCUCAAUCUUCUAACUGUCGGUAACCUCAGUACCGCACAUCUGAAGAGAUGUACGAAUCCGGUGCAUUGUACUCCCCAACCGUCUUAAAGUCUGCGAACCUCAGACGGAUCCACUCCGCCUCUGCAUGUGGCUUGACGGUGUACUUCAGCCUCUCAAACCGCUGCUUAAGAGCGGUCCAAAGGCCAGAAGCACUCCGCUCAAUCAUAUACUUGUCUUCCAGAGUAGGGCAAAGGUGAUGACGGAGGAAAUGGAGAGCCUGGGCAUUUUCUGGCGUGAACCUGGGUGAGUUGGGGGGGGGGGGGGGNNNNNNNNNNNNNNNNNNNNNNNNNNNNNNNNNNNNNNNNNNNNNNNNNNNNNNNNNNNNNNNNNNNNNNNNNNNNNNNNNNNNNNNNNNNNNNNNNNNNNNNNNNNNNNNNNNNNNNNNNNNNNNNNNNNNNNNNNNNNNNNNNNNNNNNNNNNNNNNNNNNNNNNNNNNNNNNNNNNNNNNNGGAAACUCCCUGUUGACGAUUCCGGUCAUCUGCAAUUGAUGCAAAAAAAUAAUGAGAUUACAGCACAUAAUCUUUUGCAUAAAUGCGAUGUAGAAAAACUUAUUCAAUAAAAAAUGACGUUUCAUUAUUUAAUACAUUUUUAUUAUAUGAUUUACUUAAUGAUUAAAGUGCUAAACAAUUGAUCUACAGCAGUAAAAUCAUAUAAUGAAGUCAUGUUAAAUGAGAUAGUAUGUUACGCGUAGCUAAUACGAAAAAAAUAGUUCGAAAAACAAAUUUCCGGGCUUUUUUUUAAAGCCAGGAUAUACGUUUUUACGAAAAAAAAAAUGGGCAACCAGCCCAAUCAGUCUACUGCCAGCCGGCCCGACCCCCUUUUUUUAACUAGCCCGACACCCACCCCUUUAUUUUUAUUAGCCCCUCACGCCGGUCUGGCCAGCCAAACAGCAGCCCAUGGGGGCGGCGGCCGAGCCCACCAAGGCCCGGGGGCGAGCCGACCCAUCAUGUAGGGCGACGCUAGGGUUUCCCUUCGCGAUGUUUGUGUGAACGAGGUUGGCUAGGGCGGCGGCUGUGGCAAGCCAGCGAGCCGGCAGCGCACCACGAGGCCACCGGGGCGCGGUACGGCCACCAGGGCACAAUGUGCAUGCGAGGCAGGAGCGGCGGAAGCCGAGGCUAGCAUGGCGCGGCGCGGCCAAGGGGCCAGACGGCGGCCGAGGCCAGCAGGGCGCGGCACGGCCAAGGGGCCAGAUUACGGUCGCGGCCAGGCAGCAUCGNNNNNNNNNNNNNNNNNNNNNNNNNNNNNNNNNNNNNNNNNNNNNNNNNNNNNNNNNNNNNNNNNNNNNNNNNNNNNNNNNNNNNNNNNNNNNNNNNNNNGGCAGAUGGAUGUCAAAACGGCGUUCCUUAACGGUUUCCUUAAGGAAGAGAUGUAUAUGAUGCAACCCGAAGGUUUUGUCGAUCCUAAAAAUGCUGACAAGGUGUGCAAGCUCCAGCGAUCCAUUUAUGGACUGGUGCAAGCAUCUCGGAGUUGGAACAAACGCUUUGAUGAGGUGAUCAAAGCAUUUGGGUUUAUACAAGUGGUUGGAGAAUCUUGUAUUUACAAGAAAGUGAGUGGGAGCUCUGUGGCGUUUCUAAUAUUAUAUGUGGAUGGCAUAUUACUGAUUGGAAACAACGUAGAGCUUUUGGAAAGCAUAAAAGGUUACUUGAAUAAAAGUUUCUCUAUGAAGGACCUGGGAGAAGCUGCUUACAUUCUAGGCAUUAAGAUCUAUAGGGAUAGAUCAAAACGCCUGAUAGGAAUUUCACAAAGCACAUACCUUGAUAAAGUUUUGAAGAGGUUCAAAAUGGAACAGUCCAAGAAAGGGUUCUUGUCAGUUUUACAAGGUACGACAUUGAGUAAGACUCAGUGCCGAGCAACUGAUGAGGAUAGAGAGCAUAUGCGCUCCGUCCCCUAUGCUUCAGCCAUAGGCUCUAUCAUGUAUGCGAUGCUGUGCACUAGACCAGAUGUUAGCCUGGCCAUAAGUAUGGCAGGCAGGUUCCAGAGUAAUCCAGGAGUGGAUCACUGGACAGCGGUCAAGAAUAUCCUGAAGUACCUGAAAAGGACUAAGGAGAUGUUUNNNNNNNNNNNNNNNNNNNNNNNNNNNNNNNNNNNNNNNNNNNNNNNNNNNNNNNNNNNNNNNNNNNNNNNNNNNNNNNNNNNNNNNNNNNNNNNNNNNNUCCCCCCUUGGACUCGGCCGACCCCCUUGGGGCUCCUUGAGCCCCAAGGCAAGGUCCCCUCCCUCCCACCUAUAUAUACGGAGGUUUUGGGGCUGAUUUGAGACGACUUUUCCACGGCAGCCCGACCAAAUACCUCCACGGUUUUUCCUCUAGAUCGCGUUUCUGCGGAGCUCGGGCGGAGCCCUGCUGAGACAAGGUCAUCACCAACCUCCGGAGCGCCGUCACGCUGCCGGAGAAUUCUUCUACCUCUCCGUCUCUCUUGCUGGAUCAAGAAGGCCGAGAUCAUCGUCGAGCUGUACGUGUGCUGAACGCGGAGGUGCCGUCCGUUCGGUACUAGAUCGUGGGACUGAUCGCGGGAUUGUUCGCGGGGCGGAUCGAGGGACGUGAGGACGUUCCACUACAUCAACCGCGUUCACUAACGCUUCUGCUGUACGAUCUACAAGGGUACGUAGAUCACUCAUCCCCUCUCGUAGAUGGACAUCACCAUGAUAGGUCUUCGUGCGCGUAGGAAAUUUUUUGUUUCCCAUGCGAUGUUCCCCAACACAUUCCUCAAUGCAAUUUCUCAGAAGGUAAUCGAUCAAGAAAGUCUAUCAGGGUUACAGAUUGAUGUGGUCCAAUGUUUGGUCAGCUUUGAGUUGUUGUUCCCGCCAUCCUUCUUCAAUAUAAUGACACACCUCCUAGUUCACCUAGUCGAAGAGAUUAGAAUUCUCGGUCCUGUGUUUCUACACAAUAUGUUCCCCUUCGAGAGGUUCAUGGGAGUCUUAAAGAAAUAUGUUUGUAACCGUGCUAGGCCAGAAGGAAGCAUCUCCAAGGGCUAUGGAACAGAGGAGGUCAUUGAGUUUUGUGUGGACUUUCUUCCUGACCUUAAGCCGAUUGGUGUUCCUGAAUCUCGGUAUGAGGGUAGGCUGACAGGAAAAGGCACACUAGGAAGGAAAGCAAAAGUAUGUAUGGACAGAAAUUCUUUCUCUCAAGCACACUACACAGUUCUACACAAUUCCACCGUGGUGGCUCCGUAUAUCGUGAGACACAAGAAUAUUCUACGCUCCGAAAACCCGGGGAAGGCUGACCCUUGGAUUAAAGGGGAACACGAGAAGACUUUCGGCAGUUGGUUGCAGACACAUCUCAUGAAUGACGACACCGUUGGAGAUCAGCUGUACUGUUUGGCCAGGCCACCAUCUUCGACUAUAUGUACUUUCCAAGGGUAUGAGAUAAAUGGGAAUACAUUUUACACGGUUGCCCAAGAUAAAAAGAGCACCACCCAAAAUAGUGGUGUCCGCUUUGAUGCAACAGACGAGAAUGGGCACUGUUUGGAAACAUAUUACGGGUACAUAGAGGAGAUAUGGGAACUUGACUAUGGACCUACUUUUAAGAUCCCUUCAUUUCGGUGCAAAUGGGUGAAGCUGACAGGAGGCGGGGUAGUUGUAGACCAAAAGUGCGGCAUGACAACAGUGGAUCUCAAUAAUCUUGCGUACAUGGACGAACCAUUUGUCCUAGCCAAUGAUGUCGCUCAGGUUUUCUAUGUGAAGGACAUGUCUACAAAAACGAGACAAAGAAAUCAGCAAAAGAAGAUAUCGUCCGAUGAGCCAAAACGCCACAUAGUUCUUUCAGGGAAAAUAAACAUCGUGGGAGUAGAUGACAAGACAAACAUGUGAGUAGAUUAUAAUAAGUUUCAUGAAAUUCCGACCUUCAAAGUGAAAACUGACCCAAACAUCCUAGUGAAUGAUGAAGAUUCUCCAUGGCUACGACCCAGAAGAAAGCAGAAAUAAUAGAUAGGAAUAUUGGUGCAAUAAUGUAAUAAUGCAUUAAACCUUUUAUGUAAUACAUGUAUGGAAUGUACUAAACCUUUUAGUUUUGAAUUAUUUAUUCAAUUUCAAACACUUUUCAUUAUCAUAAUUUUGUCAAAUUCUCAAAUAUGCAAAAAGAAUUUUAAUAAACAUAGUUUUUAAUUGAAAAUAACAAAAUAGUUAAUAGUUUGGAUAGUCAAAAUAAUUAAUUUUGAAAAUAGAAAAUAGUUUUGAAUUAUUUAUUCAAUUUCAAAAACUUUUCAUUUUCAUAGUUUUGUCAAAUUCUCAAAUAUGCAAACAGAUAACUAUUUAUAUUCUCAAAUAUGCAAAAACAAAUAAAAUAAGAAAAAAAAAUGAAAUCCCUUUGUAAUAGAUGAGUUCUCGUUCGAAACCCUCAUACUUCGAGCGAGAUCGUCUGUUUUGUACACGAAGUGCAUCCAGUUUUUGUCGUAACCCUCUCCACUUUUUAGCACAUGCUAUGUGGCUGAAAUGAUGAUACCAUGCCAACUUUCAACAUUUUCACAGUUUAUUUGUAGUGCUUUCCAAUUUUAGGGUCAACUAGCUCAAAAAAAAAGUAAAUGCACGAAAAAUACCAAAUGAAGUCAUAAAUUGUUGAAAUUAUGUGAUGUGCCUUUGAAUGGUGCAUUUUGAACACACAAAAAGUAUGGAGUUCAAAUAAGUUCAAAAAAAUGAAAUCCCUUUGUAAGAGACGAGUUCUCGUUUGAAACGCUAAUACUUCGAGAGAGAUUGUCCGUUUUGUACACGAAGUGCAUCCAGUUUUUGUCGUAGCCCUCUCAACUUUUUAACACAUGCUAUGUGGGUGCAAUGAUGAUAUCAUGCCAACUUUCAACAUUUUCAGAGUUCAUUUGUAGUGCUUUUCAAUUUUAGGGUCAACUAGACCAAAAAAACAAAAGUAAAUGCACGAAAAAUACCAAAUUAAGUCAGAAAUUAUUGAAAAUUUGUGAUGUGCCUUUGAAUGGUGCAUUUUAAACACACAAAAAGUAUGGAGUUCAAAUAAGUACAAAAAAUGAAAUCCCUUUGUAACAGAUGAGUUCUCGUUCGAAACCCUGAUACUUCGAGAGAGAUUGUCCGUUUUGUACACGAAGUGCAUCCAGUUUUGGCCGUAACCCUCUCAACUUUCUAGCACAUGCUAUGUGGGCGAAAAUGAUGAUACCAUGCAAACUUUCAACAUUUUUAGAGUUCAUUUGUAGUGCUUUUCAAUUUCAGGGUCAACUAGCUCAAAACAAAUAAGUAAAUUCACGAAAACUAUCAAAUGAAGUCAGAAAUUUCAUAAAGUUUUUUUUGUUAAAAUACUUAAUAGAAAACAAAAAAAAAGUCAACUAAAAAGAAUCAACUAAAAUAUUAACUAAAAUGAAUGAGUUAAGAAUAAUUUACUAAAAUUUUCAAAGUGCUUAUUUGUUGGAAAGAAUCAAGUAAAACAUUAAUAAAAAGAAACAAAAAAAGAUCAACUCAAUAGAAAACUAAAAUAGAAGAGAAAAAAAUAUUGAAUAGCAAAGAAUUAAAAUAUAAACUAGGACUAAAAAUUAUUAAAGUAAAAAAAAAUGCCGCCUAUUGGGCCAUCACGGCGUGCAUACGACUAGAAAACCCUACCCGACAGGUGGGCCAGGAUGAAGGCCCGCGGGCCCAAUAGGCCCAACAGGCAGCGAGAGGAGAGUUAGGCUCAUAGCCUGCAAUAGAGAGAAGCUCAAUUGAGCAAGGCGCGGCAGUGCUUAUAAAGCACUGACAGCGUCCCUCGCUAGGCGAGGUGGGACUAAAGGUUGCCCUGCGUCGCACCGGAGCCACCCCAGGUCUUUAGUCCCGGUUCGGGGCUCGAACCGGGACUAAAGACCACCUUUAGUUCCGGGUGGAGCCACGACCCGGGACUAAAGCCNNNNNNNNNNNNNNNNNNNNNNNNNNNNNNNNNNNNNNNNNNNNNNNNNNNNNNNNNNNNNNNNNNNNNNNNNNNNNNNNNNNNNNNNNNNNNNNNNNNNGUCAUCAUCUGUGUGAGGGCACCCAUGGUCCUCAGUUUAUGGUGUCUGAGUCUCUCGACAGCCACUCGUCGUUAAUAUUGUUCUGGACUGCUGCAAGUUCACUACCCCCUUCGUCCCAAAAUUCUUGUCUUAAAUUUUUCUACGUAUGAAUGUAUCUAGUCACGUUUUUGUAUUUACAUACAUCCAUUUCUAGACAAACUUAAAACAAGAAUUAUAGGACGGAGGGAGUACUUCACUGCAGUCGACUAUCUAAUUUUUCUUUGUAAGAAAUCGAUACCAGAACUUGCGCACGCACUUGCCUGGUUUCUACACUACUAGGGCCAGGUCAAUGGCAUCCGGAGGCUUGACAUGCGUGUCCUGAAAUUUUGCCAUAAAUUGGGCCUCUAAAUCGUCCCCGUACCACUCGAAUUCAGCGGCAUGGAGUGCGGCAGUGUCAAGUUGAGCCUUUAAAUAUUAACGGUAGGUAUUUUAUGGCAUGCAAGUCGUCGCCAUCUGCUAUGUUGAUAGCGAGGGUAUAGUCUUCUAUCCAUAUAAAGGGAUCUGUUGAUCUGCCAUAUAACUUGAUGUUAACGAGCUUGAAGCCAGGUGGAACUUGUCCGCCAUUACUUUGUCUAAUUCCAAAAUUUUAAUCUGGUCACUUCUCCGAACAAUUCAAACAACUCUUAUCAAUACUAACUAAAAGCAACAAUCAUAAAAGUUUCUUGGAGAAAAAAGAUGAUUCUCUAGGAAAUUUUAAACAUUGUAGAUUUAGGGAAAAAAAAGCUAGGAUGCUUUUUUUAGAACAGGAGUCUCACCUUCGGUUUUUGAACCAGAGAGAUUCAUACGGCCUCUUUAUUAAAACAAUGAACAAAUAGUCUGCAAUCCAAUACAAGCUUACGAAGAAGCUCCGACAUAAAUUAAAAAAUAAAUAGCCACAACCGGCGUAAAAUAGGAUGAAAAUCCUAUCCACCUAUUCUAUUAUUGUAUCAUCAUCCAAACCGGUUGUAGAUAUCCUCAGGUACCAUUUUUCAUCGGGUAGAUCCAGUAACCAAAGACUCCCUGUUCUUCGCAGGAGUGAGUAACGACCAUAUACGGAUCAAAGAAGUUGCCCUGUACAAAAUCUGCCAAAAAUUGGCAUGAUUUUGCCUGUUAAAGACCAUGUCAUUUCUGCUAUUCCAUAUAGCCCAAAGUAACACACAUACUCCUAUGCAAAUAUGUCUUGUCGUAUAAAUGUCUACUCCAUCUAGCCUCGUCCCAAACAACGUGUGAAUGUUAUUUGGAGGUGUGAUAUUAAAGGCUAUACGAAUGGAUCUUCAAAGAUUUUUUGCUAAAUGGCACUCGAGAGAGAGGUGUUUGACAGUCUCAAGUUGAUCACAUAAGCUACAUCUUGUGUUUCCCGCCCAAUUAUGCUUUGCCAAACUAUCCUUAGUGAGAAUCACUUCCUUAUGAACGAACCACAUGAAAAAUUUCAUUCUUCAAGGGACUUUGAUCUUUCAAAUAUGAAUCUAUUUGGGAAUUGAUCUAGAGUCAAUGAGGUCCAAGUACAUCGAUUUCACCGAAAAGAUGUCAUUCUUAGAUAGUUUCCAAUGAAGUGUAUCAGACUCAUCCGAUAUAUUAACCUCCAUCAGCCUCUUGACUAGAUUAAGCCAAACCAACCAUCGAUCUCCCGACAGACUCCUUCUAUUAACUGUAUGUUUGGAGGAACAUAUUGUAAGACAGUAGCAACGUAGGCCUCCUUACGCUGCACAAUAUUAUAUAGAGCCGGAUAUUGUGUGGCUAGCAGCGUCUCCCCCAACCACGCGUCUUCCUAAAACCUCGUAUUCUCACCAUUACCAACGAUAAACUUAGACCUAUGGAAGAAAGAUGCUUUCAUUCUCAUUAGUCCCUUUCCAAAAGGGUGAAUCAUUGGGUUUCAAAGUGACCCGAGCAAGGUUUUAGCAUGCAAGUACUUAUUUCUCAAAAUUUGUAUCCACAUGCCUUCCGACUCUAGAGACAGUCUAUACAACCAUUUGCUUAGUAGACAUUUGUUCUUGACCUCUAAAUUCUCAAUCCGAAGACCUCCUUGCUCUUUGGGUCUUAGAUAACAUCCCAACGAGAAAGUCUAUAUUUUCUUUUGACAUCAUCACUCUGCCAAAACAAGCGGGAUCUAUAGAAGUCCAACCUUUUUCGUACCCCAAGAGGUAUCUCAAAAAAGGAAACAAGGAACAUUUGGCAUGCUUGUGAGUACUGAAUUAAUCAAGACCAGCCUACCUCCAUAAGACAACAGCUUGUCCUUCCAGCAACUCAGUUUUUUCUCGAACCGGUCCUCAAUACAUUUCCAUUCCUUGUUAGAUAACUUCCGAUGAUGCAUUGGUAUGCCUAGAUAACUGAACGGCAAGCUACCUAAAGCGCACCCGAACAGUUGUUUAUACGUAUCCCGCUCUUCUUUGGCUUUCCCAAAGCAGAACAGUUCACUUUUAUGAAAAUUUAUCUUCAGACCGGGCAACUGUUCAAACAAACAAAGAAUCAAUUUCAUAUUUCUCGCCUUUGCAACAUCAUGUUCCAUAAACAGAAUCUAGGAUGUGACAGCUGCUUCAAUGGUUCCACCUUGCUUAGCUACUUCUUGCAUCUCUGACGGAAAGGAGACGAGGGGGUGAGGCCGUGGAGGAUAUGGGAGCGCGCGGCACAGGGGACGUCGGGGCUGACAAAUCCUAGUUCGGGCUCCAAGGAUCUGGUUGUCGGCUAGACGAAUCGGGAGGGUACGGUGGUCACCUCUGGUCUACAAGAGAUGGCGAGGAAGUCGGGAAGAGAAAGCGGCACGUUCAAACUCAGUAUAAUUUUACAUCGAGUACAGUGGCUCACUUUGUGCUUCCAUUCGAACUGAUUAUGUGAUAUUUUUCUCUCUCUUCUCUAUUUCCACUUGAGAACAGAAAUCAUAUUCUUCCACAAGAUAACAACAAUACAAAUAUAUAUAUAAGAGUGUUUAGAUCCCUAUUUACUGAUCUAAAUGCUUUUAUAUUUCUUUACCGAGGGAGUACUAGUUUGCUUCUCAGUGCAGAAGUACAAGUUUUCGACAACCAAUUUAGGCAUCAUCAUUGUUGCAAACAAUGAUGAUGAACCACCGGCCGGUAGGGAGUUUGGUGAUCCGGCAGGGCACACUCCUUAUAUAUAUACCGCCUUCCUACAGCUUCUAUCCAUUCAAACUACAUAACCACAGAAAGCAAAGUCAAACACAGGGUGGUUUAGUUAUGGAAAACAGAGAAAACAUCGUGGCUUGUAGGAACCCAACUGCUGGUGACGACGAGGAAGCGACGUGGUCUCAUGCAUGGGGCCUCAUCUCGGGCUUCGCCGUCUCCCUGACCCUGAAAACGGCAGUGGAGCUCGGCCUCAUUGACGCACUCACCAACGCCGCCGGCCGCGCGAUGACGGUGGACGACCUUGCCGCGCAACUCCCGGCACCGAACAAGGCCCAGGCAGCAGCCUCGGUGGACCGGCUUCUCCGGCUCCUCGCCGCCUUCGACGUCGUGCGUUGCUCGACGGAGACGGGUCCUGACGGUGAGGCGGUCCGGAAGUACACUCCCGCGCCGGUGUGCCGGUGGCUCACCAGCAACCACAGCGAUGGGUCGCUGGCCCCCUUGGCCUUAUUCGCCGUCGACCAGGACUACUUGCCGACCUGGUAAGUGUGCGCUCCAUCACUUCGCCGAUGGCUGACUGCCAUGCUAAUUAAGCAUUAGCAUCCAUGUAGGAAUCAACUGGGUGCGGCAGUGGUGGGCGGCGUUCCACCGCCGUUCGAGAGGGCGCACGGGGUGCCGCUGUUUCAGUACAUGGGGAAGAACCCACGGCUAAGCGGGGUGUUCAACCAGGCCAUGUUCCACAUGUCAGUCAAGGUCAUCAGCAAGAUGGUCGAGCGCUUCGACGGCUUCGACGGAGUCGGCGUCCUCGUCGACGUCGGCGGGGGGACGGGCGCCGCCCUGGAGAUGAUCACCUCCCGCCACAAGCAUAUAAGGGGCAUCAACUUUGACUUGCCGUACGUCAUCUCGCAGGCGCCGUCUCUCCCAGGUAAAACAUUUAUGUUAUCUUAGUAACUAUUUAUCCUAUUUCUUAUUGUUCUUCACUUCUUGUGUUCCAAACAGAUUUAGCUUAGCACUUCUUUGAAUUUUGGCCGCAGGUGUGGAAAAUAUAGGUGGUAAUAUGUUUGAGAGUAUACCCACUGGAGAUGCAAUUUUUUUGAAGGUAUAUAUGCUGACUUAUACUCAUUUAAAAAAGUAUUAGUUUUUUUAGAUGUUACAAUUUUAUUCACUCAAUCUCCGUAUUGUUAAAAAAACAAUUGGCAUACACUGUAUUGUAAAGUGUGUUUAAGUCCGACAGACAAGUAGGCAGAACUAUGUAAAAUAAUUUGAACGAAUAAUUAAUACUAGUAAUAAAGCUCAUUCUAUGGACUGAACACUUUUAUGUGCAGUGGAUACUCCAUCUACAGAAUGAUGAUGCUUGCAUCAAGAUCCUCAAGAACUGCCACCGUGCUCUUCCAGCCAGCGGUAAGGUGAUCGUCGUGGAAAUCGUCCUGCCGGCCACCACGGAGGCGACUCGUGAGGCGCAGGAUAUGUUCCUUCUAGACGUCAUCAUGUUCAACAACCUUGAGGGUGGAAAGGAGAGGACUGAGCAGGAUUUUGUAAACAUGGCUAGGCUCUCUGGGUUCGAUGGUGCCUUCCGUUCCACCUACAUCUUCGGUAACUUCUGGGCCCUCGAGUUCAACAAGUAGCUGCCAUGGUCAUGCAGACUGCAGCAACUCCGAUAUGGAUAUAUCUACGCCAUGCCUGAAUCGUUGUUUCUAUUAAUCUCUUCUCCUGUAUGUAUUACUUCGACUGUAUCCUUGUUUACAUUAAUGUUGUAUAAGCUGGGCAACAGUACCUAUUUGUAUUCGCGCAAUAUGAUGUGAACUUAUUUGUAUUCUCCUCGGCGUGAGGAAGGACGUUAUAAUAUUUAUGCUUCCUCCUACAAUAAUCAGCUCAUGGAAACGAUCCAUUUGUUCUGACCAUUGCUGCAUUACUUGUACUACUUGGCGGAGCCAGGUAGAAGCUGUUGGGGGACCAAAGGGUAAAACACAAGCGUUUAAGGGUGUAAAAUGCUAAAAAAAUCUCACCUAAGCUCUUCUUAAAAAAAMYUUGUAGUUGUAUAACGUUGAGGGGGUCAUAGAGGAUUGAGUAGUUAAACAAUUAAGUAGUUAUGUGAGGACUCUCUCUGAANUUCUUGUGUUCCAAACAGAUUUAGCUUAGCACUUCUUUGAAUUUUGGCCGCAGGUGUGGAAAAUAUAGGUGGUAAUAUGUUUGAGAGUAUACCCACUGGAGAUGCAAUUUUUUUGAAGGUAUAUAUGCUGACUUAUACUCAUUUAAAAAGUAUUAGUUUUUUUUAGAUGUUACAAUUUUAUUCACUCAAUCUCCGUAUGUUAAAAAAACAAUUGGCAUACACUGUAUUGUAAAGUGUGUUUAAGUCCGACAGACAAGUAGGCAGAACUAUGUAAAAUAAUUUGAACGAAUAAUUAAUACUAGUAAUAAAGCUCAUUCUAUGGACUGAACACUUUUAUGUGCAGUGGAUACUCCAUCUACAGAAUGAUGAUGCUUGCAUCAAGAUCCUCAAGAACUGCCACCGUGCUCUUCCAGCCAGCGGUAAGGUGAUCGUCGUGGAAAUCGUCCUGCCGGCCACCACGGAGGCGACUCGUGAGGCGCAGGAUAUGUUCCUUCUAGACGUCAUCAUGUUCAACAACCUUGAGGGUGGAAAGGAGAGGACUGAGCAGGAUUUUGUAAACAUGGCUAGGCUCUCUGGGUUCGAUGGUGCCUUCCGUUCCACCUACAUCUUCGGUAACUUCUGGGCCCUCGAGUUCAACAAGUAGCUGCCAUGGUCAUGCAGACUGCAGCAACUCCGAUAUGGAUAUAUCUACGCCAUGCCUGAAUCGUUGUUUCUAUUAAUCUCUUCUCCUGUAUGUAUUACUUCGACUGUAUCCUUGUUUACAUUAAUGUUGUAUAAGCUGGGCAACAGUACCUAUUUGUAUUCGCGCAAUAUGAUGUGAACUUAUUUGUAUUCUCCUCGGCGUGAGGAAGGACGUUAUAAUAUUUAUGCUUCCUCCUACAAUAAUCAGCUCAUGGAAACGAUCCAUUUGUUCUGACCAUUGCUGCAUUACUUGUACUACUUGGCGGAGCCAGGUAGAAGCUGUUGGGGGACCAAAGGGUAAAACACAAGCGUUUAAGGGUGUAAAAUGCUAAAAAAUCUCACCUAAGCUCUUCUUAAAAAAACUUUGUAGUUUGGUAUAACGUUGAGGGGGGUCAUAGAGGAUUGAGUAGUUAAACAAUUAAGUAGUUAUGUGAGGACUCUCUCUGAAUAAAGAUUUUUAGAACUGAUAUUUAUUUAAAAACAACAAAGAAAACAAAAGACACUCCAUGAAUACCACAUAUUUUGUGAACAAAUAAAAAUUUAUGCUCAACAUAGUCUAACCGAUAUUUGUUUGCUGAAGAGAGGUGAGAUGCGUAGCAUUCCCAACUUUAGAUGCUUGAGACUUCUUGAAUUAUUUAUUUUGGGUGCCUUGGACAUCCCCAAUCUUGAGAUUUUGUAUCUCCUUCAAGUCUUUCAUAUCCCGGCUUCACCUAUGUCUCAAAAACUUCAUCCACAAAAAAACUCAAAAAGAACUCGUAAGUUAGGUUAGUACAUAUAAGAAUAAAUCAACACUUCAUGUACUGUAAAGACAUGUUACAUAAUAAUUUUAAACAUUAGUUAUUGUAUACUUUUAUUUCCAUAAUUUAUAUCUACUAAUAUAAGUCAUGAAAACUCUAGGAUAAGUGGAUAAUAAAAUUAUGACAACAAUAUGUCCAAACAAAACCGUAUAUAACAAUUAAUUCUAAAAAUGUAUUUAUGCAUCUUCAAAAAUUAUAAAAAUUUAGGACAUGAUAACGAAUUUAUAUCAGGGUACUGCAUAAACAUUUCAUAAAGUUUGAGCGUGCGAGUAAAAUCUGAUAAUUCAAAUACUACAACAAACGGUUAUAUUUUUGUACAACACAUAUUACGCAUGCAAUUCAUGCAUUCUAAAGGCCAUUCUUGGUACUUUUUAUUAAAAACUAAGAUAAUAAAUAGAAGCAAACAAAUAUUAACAAAAUCAAAUGACGCUCAAAACAAAACACAUAUCAUGUGACGAAUAAAAAAAUAGUUCAAAUAAGAUAUACCAAUAAUAUUGGAGAAGAAAGAGGUGAUGUCCUUUUCAGGAAUCCUCAAGCUUAGACACUUGAGUCUUCCUUUAAUAUUACCUUGGGGGUGCCUUGGACAUCCCUAAGCUUAGGUUAUUGUUGUUCUUUAGGGGGCUCGUGACCGUUUUGGAUUGGCCAAUGUAGCCGUUCGGCUUACAACUCAGAUGUUCAUUGUUCGGGAACUGGGCCUGGCCCAAAGGCCACGCACGAGGCGGUAAAGCCAGUUAGCGUGGGAGGCACGCGGGUAGCCUCUUUCGUUUCCUAAACUUACAUUAAAUGGGUACUUAUCCCUUCAUCCAACAUCCCAAUAUAAACAGAGUAGAGGUUAUUAUUGAAACAAACUUCCUGGUGUUCUUUGACUCUGUGUGUUCGACUACUUCGUCUACGACGCCCGCUCUCGCUCCGCAACCUUGGACCGGACUCGCCGACAGGAGUUGCGGAACACGUUAUGAGCACGCUUUGCUCCACCAACUCUCCAUCGAGCCUACAUCAAGCCUGCAUCAAGCAUGCUCUCGUCGAUCGCAAAGAGGUAUAAAUCCAAUCCCCCUCUUUGCAAAAAUGGAUUCCCCUCGUUAUCACGGUUUCGAUUUUGCGAUUAGUUUACUUUUUCGGAUUUAAUCUACCUAUGGUGUGGAUUUCUCUCACAUGAACUCGCUGACGAACACGUCGCCGAUCAAUGUCGAUGUUCAUGGAUUACGAGAGAUUUGUUGAAUACACCUAGGGAGACGGUGAUGAGAAGUACUCCAGAUGAGCACGACACCGCCGCGACGUACCGGAUGUACACUCGCCGUGACGUCCGUCAGCAUGUUUAGUUUUUUUGGAAUGCUACAGUAGCCGUCGUCGCCGUACACCCGCAGUUGCACCGACCACGCCCGCUAGCCGUCGUCGCCGGACACCGCCCUCGGCCGCACCGACCGACACACCAGCCACUGGCCCUGCUGGCCAGCUCGUGAUGCGCUAUGCUCAGGUGGCUGGCCGACUCGAGCUCGUGCUGCAUGCUGCACCAUGGCUGGCUCGCUGGCUCGCCGCGCCGUGCCAUGGUGGCUGGCUCCGGCUCGGGCUGCGUCGUGUGCUGUCGGCUGGCCAGCCCUCGCCGCGCCCUGCUGGCUGGCUCAGGCUCGGGCUGCGCCGUGNNNNNNNNNNNNNNNNNNNNNNNNNNNNNNNNNNNNNNNNNNNNNNNNNNNNNNNNNNNNNNNNNNNNNNNNNNNNNNNNNNNNNNNNNNNNNNNNNNNNAUGUUGGACAAAAGCAGGCUGCGCUGCAGGCGCUGCAUGAUCUCAUUACAUCAAAGAGAUACAGAUCAUGGCAAAAGCCUCUUGAGAAGAUCAUGAUGAAGUAUGUGGAGCUGUGUGUUGAUCUAAGGAAGGGCAGAUUUGCCAAAGAUGGCCUUAUUCAGUACAGAAUUGUCUGCCAGCAAGUCAACGUGUCAUCUCUGGAGGAGGUCAUAAAACACUUUAUGCAGCUGUCCAAUGAGAAAGCUGAGGAAGCCAGGAAUCAGGCACAAGCACUGGAAGAUGCUCUGGAUGUCGAAGAUCUUGAAGCUGACAAGCGUCCGGAGGACUUGAUGCUCAGUUAUGUUAGCGGAGAGAAAGGCAAGGACCGAUCAGACAGGGAGUUUGUUACUCCAUGGUUUAAGUUUCUGUGGGAGACAUACAGGACAGUGCUCGAGAUACUGAGAAAUAAUUCAAAGCUUGAAGCACUAUAUGCUGUAAGCUAUUUUACUGCUUUGCCAUUACCUUAGUGCUCACUUCAUAUGUAGGUAUGUUUUUUAGAUCUGUCCUUUUGAAUGGAGUUCUUGUGAAAUAGACUAUUUGAUUCCUUCUGCACAUACUUGACCAAUUCACUCUAUCGGUACCCUUUUCUUUCCUUUGAUGAAAAGAAACCUGUAGUAUGGACUUUGUUCCAUGAACAUAGUGUUCUUUUACAUGAUAAUUUGUCUGGUUCUUUUGCUACCCUACCUAACUUUGUAAGAACUAAUAACGAUUUGUUUCCUUUUGUUACWAAGCUUACCAAUGCAUUAUGUAACUACUGUCAUUUACCUUCUGUUUUUAUUGUCUUACUAAAUGCUUUUCACCAGCUGAUCUAACAUUGACUUUUCAAUAUGCAGAUGACUGCGCACAAGGCUUUUCAAUUUUGUAAGUCAGUAUAAAAGAUACCACCGAGUUCCGUAGGUUGUGUGAGAUCAUUAGAAACCAUCUUGCAAAUUUGAACWAAUAUACGCGACCAGCGUGAUCGUCCUGAUCUGACUGCCCCCGAAAGCCAUCCUUAACAAUUGGACCUUGUUGCACCUGGUAACAAACAUUCACUAAACCAUUUACUCAAGGUACAUGUCCAGAUAGCUCAAAAUGUGGAUAAUUAGCUCUAGGUAUGUACUGGCUUAUGUGUCUUGGACUAUAUUAGACGGCUUACACAGUGUAAGCCAAGAUCCUAUUCACGUGCACUUGGCUUACUUAUAAGCUGAGAUCAAAACAAUGUCUCUUGGCGAAAUAAAGCAGCACGAUGGUCGUGUGAGCUAACGGUGGUGUCAAAUGGCACCUUUGUAAGCCGAGUGUACCACUUGGCUUAAGUUUCUCUCUAAGCCGAGUAUCGUAGGCCCCACAUGACGUAUACAUAUCCCGAGAGUCGUAAAUAAUUCAAUCUUAAAAUAGACGUACUUAAUUGCGUUAUCUAUUUUGAAAUGUUUCAGUACCCACGAGAGAGAAGUUAAUUUGCUAGAUUUAUUUAUGAAAAUUUACAAUGUUGAACUAAAAUGAUCAUUUUUUGAGUAAGAGACAUAAUAUCAUGGAUUUAGAGUCAUGAAAUUUCCAGCAUCAAAAUCAUACAUAUUCACUUCCACUUAAAAUUUGAAAUUUGGGAAAUCAUGCUUUCCUAUAAAUAAUUCUAAGUUUUUUAUCACAGAAUUGUAAAAAUUUCCUAUGAGAGACAUAAUUUUCCAAAGCUAGUAACAUACAAUUUAAGUCAAAUUCUUAAAAGUAAUGACUUAGUAUCACUGAAUGUUUUUCUAACAUUAAGUACUUAAAUUAGUACGAGUAAUAUAUUUUCAAAAAUGAUUCACAGAAUUAGUAUAAUAAAUUUAUCUGCUUCUUAUAAGAAAUAUAAUUCCUUGGAUUUAGUAUAUUGCCAUUUCACCAGCUUUGUAUCAUGGAAUCCCACAAUAAUUCAAAUUACAAAAUAUUCUAAACUUUCAUGAAUUUCAAUGAGAAAUUUUCUUACUGUUCUCUUAGAAAUAGUACCAUGAAAUUCUCAGCUUCCAUUGAAGAGACACCGUUUCCUAGCUAGAUAUAAUAUCACGAAACACGAAAAACUACUCUGUGUUUAUUUUAAAAUGGUGGAGCUGGACCGAAGCCAACAUCCUGGAAAGGAUGCUAAACUCUGACGUUGCGACGAUUGCUAGAUAAGAUCGAAGGGUUGGCGUUUCCACUCCAUGUGACCAAGAUCUCCAUGACCGACGUAAUGAUAUUGACUACCACCUACACAACUUACUGUCUAUUCCUAGCAAAUUAGGAACUUAGACAUGUGUAACAUAAGUCAACUACUCAACUACAAGUAUUCAUCACCGUCUGUUGUUCAUCGUAAUUCACAUGCAUGCAAUCUGGACGAGCCAACUGAAUCAUAUUCAGCCAACAAUUCCAUGUAAUUAUUGUGUGAAAAGCAAGGUGUGACAAUUUAAGUGCACAAUGAAGUACCUAUACAGCAGGAUAAAAGCUAUCCCAAAUUUAGGAGUAUCAUAUGUGCAAACAUAACAUUUUGAUCGGUAGAUGGCAUUUUAAUAUGGAAAAUAACAAGUGCAGCCUAUGAUCCCCAUUUAACGCGAUUAAUGCCCAAUGAUUUUGUAAUUAGGCAUAGCGGGGAGUUAGUUAGACUAGUGUCAUACAUAUGACACUAGUCUAGGUUACUACCUUCAUAAUGCAAAGUAUCAUAUAUGGUUUCAUUUAUUAGGUUAUAGACCUUGCUUUGUGUUGCGUUAUGUGACGAUAACAUAUUAUCUUAGCACACACACUUAUAUCCUCAUUAUGCACAACUCAGCCCAAUCCAUGGUGCAACAUCCUCUUUUAGUCCACAUUUUAAAGAGGUUAAUUUCUUUAAUUAUUACACAAUCCAUGGUGCAAUAYUCUCCUUUUUAAGGAUGCAUGGCAGCAGCACAAUCCCUCCCUCCUUUUCUUUAAUCAUGCAUGCAUGCCCAAUUCAUGGUGCAAUGUUCUUCUAUUUUAACCACAUGCAUGAGACGCCCCAUAAUUAAUUCCUCUUUUGACCAUGCAUGCCCAAUCAAUGGCAACGUUCUGCUUUAACUAUGCAGGACAGCCCCAUAAUUCCUCUUUUAAUCGAAUGAUGAAAUUUCCUGCACUAAUCAUGCAUACWWUUUUUGAUUUCUUGUUGGUCUCCGUUCUCAAUUGAGAUUUCUGUCGGAAGGACUAUUAAUCGUUGCCGCGGACGAUGAACAAAAGUAGGCUGGUUGAACCCUUUACUUCUUAUAAUUAUCGGGUGGGCGAAAGAAAAAUUCAGAGAAAUGCACUGUCCUUUAUUAUUAGGUAUAGAUAUGCAAUUGUACAAAUAAGUCGAAAGGGUGCUAGCUUUAAUAAUAAUAUAUUUGAGGUUUUGCCAAAAAAUGUUACAAGUUUGCACAGUUUAAUAUGUAUUUUCAUUCAUAAAUAGAUAAACUUUGGAUGGKAUAAUUUUUUCCCUUUUUUUCGCCAGAUAUUAUAAUUAUUCUAUUUCAAAACAGAUGACAUCUUUAGUUUUCAUUUUCCCCAGUAUGAAAUUUUGGCAGUUAUAUAUAGGCACACAAUUACAAAAAUACUGUGAAUAUAUUUUCGUGGCAAAUCAAAAGAUAUAAUUUCAGCUUCCAUUACAGUAGGUUUAAUAUAUUUUUAUCACGAGGGCUUGGUUAUUUUUUGGUAGAAAAACAAAUGAAAAGGUCCUUUCUCCAAAGACAAUAAAAUACGUACAUAUGCGCCUGAACUUGUCCUUGAGGUGUUGCUUGUGAUCACUGUUGGUGACACGGAAGUAGAAAUCURGRAACGUGCUCUGCUCCAACACGKUGCUAGGGUUGGCCGUUCCUAUGGCCAAGAUGGAGGCCGUGCCCAUGGCCUUCUUCUGCCCAUGCACCCUAGGCACCUCACCCUGGCUACCCAUGCCUACGUCUACACUGGCUUCCUGAGCGUAAUGCUAGCUUCAAGAUGGAGGUUGUGCUUGGCUUCUCAACUCAUGGAGCUUAGCAUGCCUAUUUAUAAGGGGCUGCAUGUAUUGAUGGUAGGUGUGNNNNNNNNNNNNNNNNNNNNNNNNNNNNNNNNNNNNNNNNNNNNNNNNNNNNNNNNNNNNNNNNNNNNNNNNNNNNNNNNNNNNNNNNNNNNNNNNNNNNCUUUUCUUCUUUUCCCUUUUUGCUUCAGACAUUUUGUACUCGGUGGAGACUUUUUUGGCUAAUAAUAUAUGGCCGUAUGCAUCACUCGAUGCAGAGGCCAGGGCUCGACCUCCUUUUCUAAAAAAAAGGCGUAUUUAAAGCAAGCAGAAAAGUUAUAAAGUUUUAGGAAUACAGUAAUUGCUCUGUCGACUACCAAGCAUAUAGAGGACAUCUUGGAGCAGAAUUUCUCCCUCGGCCAACAACAGUCUAUUAUUYCCUUCCAUGAAAUUCAGCCAAGCAAAUAGACAGCGAGGUAGUAUUUUGGUACCAACAUGCCAAGCUAGCGGAAUUCUUCACAGGAAAACAACAACUUAUACGUAGAGCUCACUGCACUAUGUACCAACAUUCCGAUAGCAGGUUUAUUUAAUCAUUUAUACGUAUGUGCAGCUCGAUCCAAUCCAAUCUAAAGGGGGAUAGGGUCGAGGAAGAGCGCCUUGACGAGGUCCUUGGCGUGGCUGCCAAAGGUGAAGCCGUCCCUGCCGUGUAGAUAGAUAACCUCAGACAUUCCGGCUAUGUUCACCACCAGCUGCGCUGCCGGCAGCAGCGCACGGUCGAUCUCCAUACAAGUUCGGUUCAUCACCCUCCACAUGUGCUCGGUCAUGGCGGCGAUCGCCGCCACGGCCUCCUCCCCCGUGCAGCCCUUCUCCAGCAUGUAGCACUCCACGGUGCUAACCACAUCUUUCUUGUUCUUCCCCAACCUGCAUAUAGUAGGGUCAACGCAUGGGUUGUCAAAUGUCAUGAAUGAAUUUUCUUCCUUUUUUGUGGUUUGAAAAUUCUUUCUUUUUAUUUUUUCUKKAAAUUUAUAAAAUAAAAAUGAAGAAUUUGUAUGGAAUUUUUUGGAUGAACAUAUGUAUACAUGUACCUUAUAUGAAGAGAUGUCGUUGAGGAAGCGGACGAUGAGUGCACCCGCUCGAACCACGUCGGGACGGCACGCUCACCCAMUCAAAUACCUCUUGGGUUGCGACUUUGCUAUCAUAACCCAUCAGGGCCAUGACGACAAACAUAGGUAUGCCAGAGGACAUGCCAGAUAUCCCUAUGUGUUCCUCAAAGGUAGGACGGUGCUUGUUAUUUGUCCAUUCUGCCUCCUGCAUAUAGUAUUCCGACUGCAGUUGGAACUGCACUCACAAUAAUUUAAGACAUGCCCUUAGUUUGGAACUCUUGCCAAAAUAAAUGAUGUUUAGCUACUUUUAAGGAGGAAUUUUGAGUACUACACUUUACUACUAUAGUAUAUGCACAUAACGCAUAAAUUAUACAGACUUAGUUUUUAAGUACCAGUCCAGAUACUUGAAACAAGUAACUUCAAAUAUUAUAAAGUUUGACUGUACAUGUUGUAUACUCAGAAUGUCACUUCUUUAUGAACGGAGGUAGUACAAUCUUAUUAAUCAUUUAUAUGUUAAAAAUAAUAAAGGAAAAUACCAUGAUGUAUGGAACCUGGAAGAAAUUGGACAACCUGAAUGUGGGUAGAAGGUUAUGCGAGAAAGAAAAUGAUUAAGGAGAAAAUUAAUAGUAUAGGUGUGUGGAAGGGAUAAACUUUUCAUCAAGUACAAAAAAAUCAGCAUAUGUGCAUACGGCUUUCUUAGCAUAAGACAUGCGGUACUUCUCAUGUGGUUCUAGAAGAUCCCCAAAUUCUUUGAAAUUGCUUAGGGUUUUGAGGUAUAGCGUGUGUAGGUAUUCGGGUAGAAUAGAAACUGCGCUUUCAUCCAACCUGCAGAUAAAAACAAUACGUGUAAAUAAAAGCUUGAAUUUAGGUAGUCAAAUUAUAUCCUGCAUUUUUUGGAGGAGGUGCUAUAGAGGUCUACUAAAUGCCAAUUAUAAGGUCCCUUCAAUUACGUCAAAAUAAGCGAGUUACUUCUACAUAUGUACCUUUGCAUUGCUUGGUUGAGACUAUGACACUCAUCUAUGGUGGCAUGGACAUCAAAAGUAUCGUCCAGAAAUGAGGCAAUUCCAAAAAUCUUCGCGAAAAAACAAGCGUGCACGAGAGUGCUCCUCUUCAGGAAGCAUUCCACAGCUCCAAGAGUAUAUCUCCACCAUACGGUCCCGAGUGUACGUCAGAUUUACAGUAUCGUAAAGCUCCCUCCACCACCUGCAUGUUAGAAAAUUUAACAUCGCCAAUUUACCUCGAAUAAGUCUUUACUUCCCAGUGGUGAUUUCUUCUCCCAAUUAUCUUUGGAGGAUUAUCGCUGCAUGCAUCAUUGCAAUGCAGAGUCGGGGGCAGCUAGCCCUCCUUUUCAAAAAAAUAUCUUUGCAGGAUAGUAAUAGAUUUCUUCUUUUAAUUAAUAUUAGCAGGUUCUAUCUGCAUAACUUGUGUAAAUGUAUUUGAUCUAGAAAAAAACUCCCAAUUUCUAAGCCUCAAGAGGUCUAUGUGGGACUCGUUUUAAAUUUAUAAUUCUCAACUUCACCCCAUCGAUCAACAAACAUGCAACUCAUUAUUUAUGUUACUAGAAUUGGCAGCUAUGUUUUUAGGUAUGAAACAAUAUGGAUUGGAUUCAAAGUUGGUACACCGGUUAGCAUUUUCUUAAAUUUAGAAAAAACUAUGAAAUCAAUCACACACCAUGGUAUUGGUAAGAAACUUGCAUGUGUAAAUUUCAUAAAAUAGAAAAAACAUGUGUGGCUUGAAAAUGAGAAAUUGAGAGUGGUUUGGUUUCAGUUUCAAAACUAAGACUNNNNNNNNNNNNNNNNNNNNNNNNNNNNNNNNNNNNNNNNNNNNNNNNNNNNNNNNNNNNNNNNNNNNNNNNNNNNNNNNNNNNNNNNNNNNNNNNNNNNCUAUCGGUCUCUUUCGAUGAUUUUCUGAUAUAUCAAUUAAUGAAAAACUUAGCAAAUCAUUUUCCUGUCGGGCAGGGUUUGGAAGCGGUUCAAGUGCGUGACUCCCGAUAUCGAGCAUGAGAAGCUGACCUUUAGAGCGGCUCAGGUAAGUAGUAGUAUGAUAUACUUCUAUUUUUCAAUACAUUUAUGAUGCUAGAUUAUUAUUUUGAUUAUAUAUAUUCUAUUCUCGUAAAGUGCGACCAGCAGCCACGGGGGACACAUCUAUGCGGAUACUAUGUUUGCGAGACCAUUCACAUGUUUACCUCUGAGCACAAGGAUUACAGAUACGACGUAAGCAAUGAACAUUCACACCUCUAUUUUUACCCGUCAUUCUUUGUUAUCAUGAUUGAUAUUCAUAUUCAUCUCCUCUUCUUAUAUAGUACACGGCCAUGAGGUAGAAGUACCUACCAGAGCAACGCGCGAUUGCUGUUGCAGAGGAGCUUGCGACCUUUCUGAGGACGGAAGCUAUAGAUGACAAAGGACGAUUUAGUGUAGCUAGGGGCCAUUACUGAUGUUGGUCCAUGUAAUCGAAUAGACGGGCUCUAGUCUCGAUAAUUCAGAUCUCCAUAUAAUUGUAUAUAUAUGCUCGCUUGUAAGAUGAGUUAAUCUUAUAUAUAUAUAUAUGCAUAAACAUGUAUAUUUAGAAUUAUAUGAAAACUAAUUCCCGAACACCAAACGAGGCAUCACGUUAAUCUCCCGAACACCUAAACCCUAAAACCCUAAAAUAAACAAAAUCUGCAGAAACUCUUUAGUCCCGGUCCAUGUUAAGACCCGGGACUAAAGGGCCUGCCCCUGAGGGCGCUCCGAGGCGUCCACAUGGAGCACCUUUGGUCCCGGCUUGGAACAGGGCCGGGACUAAAGGUUAGGCCUUUAGUCCCGCCUCUUUGGUCCCGGUUGGUGAACCGGGACUAAAGCCCCUUACGGGCCGAGACUAUAGGCCCUGUCCCCACUAGUGAUACACAGGGAAACCUAUUUUUUUUUCAAAGGAAGGCCACAAAGCGCCAAAUUUUCAUUCAGCUCAAUAGCAUUGAUUUAUUUGUGUAAUAAUACUAAUAUGGUGCAGGUUCACUAACUAGAGUCAGAAAUUGUUUUUCAAAACAUUUUUACACAUGAAUUUCAUAUAUUGAUCUCUAUGUUUCAGCCAAGUGAAAGUUGCUGUAUAUUCAAGUGGCUUUCAUCACUUAUUCAACAUGUUUAUAAUUUAUUUAACUUACUCAUAUUAUUAAUGUUUGUGACGGGGGAUAAUUGAUGUGGAAUUUCACUCGAGAAAGUGAACUCUAAUGGAAUACAAUAGAGAAAUUAAUAGGGGUCAACUCUAUUGAACACCCACAUAUUUUUUCUGAGACACCAGAAGAUGAAAGAAUUUGGUUCGUUUUGUAGCAUCGGCUCUGCACACUGUUGACCCACAUGAUUAAGGUCGUAAGUUGAUCUCGGACAUACAAUCUAAUCAUGACACAUGACUCACACAUGUGUGCUAGGGACUAGUAUAUUUAGACUAAAAAAAACGCAAUGUUUUAUCGUGGUUGGUAACAUUGCUUAGGAGUCAUAUAAAUGUUUCCGAAAAACCGGUGAAAUAAUAAAACACUUACGCACCAUAGAAAAGAAGACGAAUUAGACGGUAGACCGGAUAACCUAUAAUCCUCGUGGGGAGAGGCGCGGACGCGGCGAGGUCUUGCGCUCGUUGGAGGCACCCCGUCACAUCGAUGGCAUGGAUCUACGAGAUGGAGAUCCUGGUCGGGUGCCGGGGGUGGUCUGGUGGAUGCGCGGGGUGGCCAAGGAGGAGCACGUGCACGAGGCCUAUGACAAGGAUGGCGUAGAAUUAGAUCGGCUCGUCGACGAGGCGCACACCGACGAAGACAAGCAUCUCAUCAAGGGUGUGCCUGCAAGGUGCUCGAGAGAAUGUCUAAAAGAGAUGGGUGACUCACCUGGGCGUUUGGGUACCCGAACCCGCUACCCGAACCCGAACAGAACCGAAUUACCCGGGUAUCGGGUAAGGKUCGGUUCUCAUUUCUUGACUAUUCGGUUUUCGGGUUAGGGUUCGGGUUCUAGUGUGGAAAACCCGAAAUACCCAUACUAUUCAAAUUAUUCAUACUGUCCAAAAUUUUCAUGAUAUUAUUACACUAACUUGUUACCCAUACUAACUGAAAUACCCAUAUUACCAAAAAUACCCAUACUAUCCGAGUUAUUCAUAUCAAAAGUUGAUGUAUGCUCCGAAUAUUUGGNNNNNNNNNNNNNNNNNNNNNNNNNNNNNNNNNNNNNNNNNNNNNNNNNNNNNNNNNNNNNNNNNNNNNNNNNNNNNNNNNNNNNNNNNNNNNNNNNNNNCGCAAUUAAGUACGUCUAUUUUUUUAAGAUUGAAUUAUUUACGACUCUCGGGGAUAUGUAUACGUCAUGUGGGGCCUACGAUACUCGGCUUAGAGAGAAACUUAAGCCAAGUGGUACACUCGGCUUACAAAGGUGCCAUUUGACACCACCGUUAGCUCACACGACCAUCGUGCUGCUUUAUUUCGCCAAGAGACAUUGUUUUGAUCUCAGCUUAUAAGUAAGCCAAGUGCACGUGAAUAGGAUCUUGGCUUACACUGUGUAAGCCGUCUAAUAUAGUCCAAGACACAUAAGCCAGUACAUACCUAGAGCUAAUUAUCCACAUUUUGAGCUAUCUGGACAUGUACCUUGAGAAAUGGUUUGUGAAUGUUUGUUACCAGGUGCAACAAGGUCCAAUUGUUAAGGAUAAAAUACCCUUUCAUAUUUGUAUGGAAUUUUGGAAAUGGUAAUUAUAGAGAACCCCUCUUCACUAUUCUGUAUAAAUAGACUAUUCUAUUUGUAUAGAUACGGUAGAGGGAUGUAUCCAACCCUCUUUAUCUGCUAGUUAUCCCUCUUUAGUUUAAGAGGAUGGAUUAGUUUGGUACCUCGCAUAAGGCUCAUAACUUUUGGGGGUUGCGGGUUUGAUUCUCACUACCAGCUCCUGGUGGGACCAAAAAAAUUUCAUGUGUUAAAACGCUUGGCCUGAUUUCAAAAUUGUCAAGAAUUUUAUAGGUUGUUUUUAUUGCAAAAUGAUGAGUCUCCUUUCAUAGCUUUCCAAUUACGAGUAUGAGAAUUUAAAAUCAUGAAAAUUCUCGACACCCGUCUUACAAUAAGCCAAGGUUGAUCUCGCAUUAGCCGAGUAUGUCUCAUACUACUCUGCUUUAUUAAAUUUUACAUGUAGUUUAUGUAAGCAAAACUUAGCUACCGUAGUCAACUUUYCYAUAAAGUACCGAAAUAUUAGAGCGUUUAGGCUAAGUCAUGUUGGAAGCAACUUAGCUAGUAACGUAACAGAUUUUAAAAAAAACUUAAUGUGUCAUGUAAUGAGAAGAGAGGUGUUUAAAGUAACAUACUACGAGUAUGUUAUUGUAACAUAGCGACUUCGAUAAAAGAUAAGUCUACAAGCUAAUAAAUAAAUCCAUCUAUGACAUUAGUACAAUGUUCUUUUGCACUAUGAAUGGAGUAACUUAGACUAGUGUCAUAUGUAUACUCUUGACUAUGAUCAGUCUUGAUAACUAGUACUCAGUGGCGGAGGUAGCAAUCUGGCAAGGUUUGGCCUCCGCCACACCUUAAAAAUCCCAGCUUCAAGCUAUAUGCACGAUCAUAUAAAGGAAAGCUUCAAUCUCAUGAUGAUGUGUGACUGGCCGCUUGCAUCUGCCGUACCUAAAUAAAAGUUCUGCCUCCGCUACUGCUAGUACUAGUACAAAAAAGGAACUGCUAGUCUUAAAUCUGUGCCGCCAAUAAGAUCUUAUAUCUGUAUGUAUUCACCUACACUCAACGGUAAAAACUGCAGGUGAGAAAUCGACCAUCAAGAAGCGGCACCUCUACAUCAACGAGGCACUGCUGGCUGCUAAUCCUGAGAUGGCCACGUACAUGGCGCCUAGCCUGGACAUGCGGCAGGCCAUCAUCUCCGAGAAGGUCCCAGAGCUCGGCGCCGCUGCGGCCACCGCUGCGCUCAAGGNNNNNNNNNNNNNNNNNNNNNNNNNNNNNNNNNNNNNNNNNNNNNNNNNNNNNNNNNNNNNNNNNNNNNNNNNNNNNNNNNNNNNNNNNNNNNNNNNNNNGAGGUAGUUCUUAUAACUACGUCAAGGAUCGCGAUAUUCAUCACAUGUGCGGUAUAUUGGACACCCGAUCACACGAUCCUAUGUGACAUAUUCAGAAGAGGCAGCACAUAGGAUUCUGUGUGGACGAACAUUAGAAUUGCCCACAUGUCCGGACGUAGCUACUUCGUGUCACGCGUACGACAACAACUACUCAUCACGAACUCGCACGUGUGGCACGAAGCAAUUUUACGCUGAUAUUUUAUGGCAACUUUAUUUAUCCUGGGGAUGUCAACUUCUCUAUUUUCGUUAACUACCGUUGCCAUGUUUAAUUAACGAUAGUUGCCACGUAUGAUCAAAUCAUAGUUGUCAUGCAUGGUCAAUCGUAGUUGUUAUGUGUGAUUAACUAGUUGUCACAUGUGGUCAAAUCAUAAUUGUCAUAUAUAAUCAAUCAUAGUUGUCAUGUGUGAUUAACUAGUUGCCACAUAUGGUCCACCAUAGUUGUCGUGCGUGAUUAACUAGUUGUCUGACAUGCACAAACUGUAGUUGUCAUCUGUCAUUGUACGAGUGUCAUGCGGGUGAGCAGUUCACCCACACGGCGUGGACUGGAUGGUGUCCGUGUGAACGAGGACCGGUUCACCCACACAACGUGGACUUGACUGUGUCCGUGUGGAUAAAGAUCGGUUCAUCCACACGACGAAGCUGACAACCGCUUGUUGCACGUCGUGCAAGGCUGUGUGGGCAAGCGUGCGAACCCCCCACACAACACACUACGCCUAUGGAACACUCCAAUUUCGUCAGAAAUCGUCAAGAUUCGUGCAAACCAGAACGUACGAAGAUUAAGAUGUGUAAACAAAGUGUAGAAAUGCCACACAUGUGGGCGCUAUCAUUUGGGUUCGCCAAUUAGGUUGUUUUGUUGGACGAUUUGUCCAUGUGUUUAAUCUUUUUUUCUCGAUAAUGGAAAGAUUGCAGUGUGUUCUAAAUACUGUUGUUUACAUUGUGGUACUAUUUCUGGUGUACCAACUCAAGAAAGGAGAAGUGAUCCCCAGUGAACUUUUUGACCCAAUGAGCUUCUGCAAGUGGUGAAACCAUGAGACAGAAACAAUGGAAGUUGUGUUACUACAAAACAAGACCAGUGAGGGAGGAUCCCUGCGGCAGUUCGAUACGGAAGAAGGUGUGGACACUGAACUCAAUCCACAACAUAAUAAUACCUCUAUCCGGGAUUGUAAGGCAGGCACGGGUUUUAGUGUUCAAGUUGCCUAAUGAAAUGUAUAAUAUGCCACCAUAAGUACAUGUUUAGAAACUUCGUUCGACGGUGAAUCCAAUGAUGCACAUUGGUGACAUAUAACACACAUGUAACGGCAACAAGUCCACGAACAUUGUAAAAGAGGAAACUCUACAUGGAUCUUCUCAAUGCCACGGGAAAGACGCGGCUGGUCGGGCAUUUUUAGGAAAUUAAAAGAGAUUAUAAUGCCACUGAAAGUUUCAUGUGUUUCAUCAANNNNNNNNNNNNNNNNNNNNNNNNNNNNNNNNNNNNNNNNNNNNNNNNNNNNNNNNNNNNNNNNNNNNNNNNNNNNNNNNNNNNNNNNNNNNNNNNNNNNUAACCCCCUCUGUCUCGCGGCUCCACCUCUGUUCGUGUCAUUCCAAUUUUCUCUUCUCGAAUUUGUUCCUCUGUUGAUUUCCGUUGCCUCUUGUAAAAUCACCAAGGCGCAUGUAUAUAAAGUGAUGAAAUUAUCUGUGAAGUAUCGAUGUGGGAUUAUGAGGGCAGAAGCGAUAUCCCUCUCAUGUGUUUUUUUUGUCAGCCCAGAUGCGUUUCUCUUAUCCAAUGCCAUAGGGGCUCUCUGCAAAAAUUAAACGUUUUCCUGUUCGUAACACAUAAAAAGGUACCGCGGGUUUAAUUACCUAAAAGACAGUGGCUUUUUUGAAAAACGGCAGCGGUGGGUUUUCUGACGGAAGCAAUAGCCUCUUUAUUAUUAUUAUUAUUAUUAUUAUUAGGUAAAGAUAAAAAAUUUCUCAAGUAAAUAAUGUCACAGAAGGUUAAUACGUUUCAAUAAAAGCGUCUUUGCAUUUUGAUCAAGAAUCGAUGCUAUUUCUUAAGGAGAAGGGAAAUAGACUUACUCUUAUAGUAUCAUUGCCCGUAUCUUUAGAUUUUUGCCUGUGACCAAGUUCAACAAAUUUAUUAAGAUGGGUAGCGACAUCUUUAUUGUACGAGGCCGUCUAGUUUUUCAGCCAACAAAUAGUUCCGAAGCAUACCAAAAAAAACCAUAAUAAUAGCUGUGCUUUUCUAAGGGAAAGCAUCGUUGUCAGGCCGCAUUUUUUGUUCUCACAUGGGUUACAAUCGGCUUCCGGGCUGAAAUUCGCGUCCAUUUCUGGUCCCAUAGACCCAUUCGAACAAAGGCCGAAUCAUUCGACGCCGAUACAAAACCCAACUUGGGCCCUGACGACCUUCUAAAAAAAAUAACUGGGCCCUGACGACAUUUGCGCAACCCCCCGUUGCUUCCAGCGAAAUUACCCCGUCCCGCUGGCGAAAGCACCACCUCUGGAACGGCACAGGGAGACCCACAGCCCGAUCCCAGCCGCCCGCCUCCCCCAUCGGACGGCCCACAGGGGCCAGUCGCCCGCAAAACGUGCGCCGAGAGAUGUGGCUGUGGCAUGAGGAAAAUUCUGCUAACACCCCCCGCGUCUUGCUCAUUUCGCUAUGCACCCUCGUCCCGUCUCGCGCCCCACGCAACCCUAAUAAACCCUCCUCCUCCCGGCCGCCGCCACAUCCACUCCCCCCNNNNNNNNNNNNNNNNNNNNNNNNNNNNNNNNNNNNNNNNNNNNNNNNNNNNNNNNNNNNNNNNNNNNNNNNNNNNNNNNNNNNNNNNNNNNNNNNNNNNCAUGGUUGUCAAAAAACUUGGUAACUCAAAGAAUUAUUCUGAAUUUCAAUUUUUUUAAAUAUACUAUAAUAUUUCGAUUCACCCCGACAACUAAUUCUUCAAAAUUUACUCAGGUAUAUAAUCAAAAAGACUCAGAAGCAUUACCAUUUAACUGCAUACAUUCAAUCAUUCGUGAACAUUUUUAAAAUCGAGAUUUUUUUACUAUGUAUAAACAUUUCUUUAAAAUUCCAAACAAUAUUUUAAAUUACGAACUGUUUUCAAGUAUUUUCUUGUGAAUUGGCGAAUAAUUUAUUUAUUAAAAAUUAGCCAGCUUUUAUGUUGACCAGUGGGCAGUUCUACAACCAUUUGAAUUAAAACUAAAACUGAGCCAUCCACAUAGUUUUAGAACACAGAUAGAAAACACACUCUUAAUUUCACAGAACGUUUUUUUGCAUAAACACCAAAAAUAAGAAUAACAGGAGGAUCACUCCCGGCUCCAUUUUCAUCACGAAGCCCAUGACCAUAGGCACCAACAGCAUCUCUUGAGAAGCAGUACUGAAAAUAUUACAAAACAGAAUCAUGGAUUCAUGAUGCAUCAAAGGCAAACAUCAGAGAUAGUAAAUCUUAUAGGAUCUGAACAGCAGCACCUCUUUAGAUGGAGACAGUUGGACGCUUCCCCCCUUGGUGGUAAAGAAGGCCAGAGGUAGCUGUCCAAGAUUGAUAUAUUGGUGCAGAGGAGCUAUGCUAAAUUUGUGGACAGGCGGUAACACGAAAUAGAAACAGAACGAAUGGGGCUGGAAUCCCCUACCUAUUUCAAUCUCUGCACACUGCACGGUAUGAAGAUCCAAACGAAAAUUACAGGAAUUAACUUUCUUUGCUGAGAAAUAUUAAAAUGCCAUAAGAAGCUGGUGGUGACCAGGUUCAGAUGGAGAGAACCAAGAAUCCCAUUGCAUUCAUAUUCAACCAAGAAGUGACCUUAAUGAUGAUAUGGUUUGCAGUAGAGAAUACAGAAUUCACACUUUGAGAGCAAAAAUUAGUGACUCAAAUACUGCAUCGUUGAAGCUCUUCAGAAAAUUGGUGAGCAGAUGAACCCACGUUCUUGCCCCUUCUCCUCAUUUGUUGCUGGAUGCUAUAAGAACACCACCUUGGCUGAAMUCUGCAUCAGGUCAAUUGCCAUGAAACUAUCUCCAUNNNNNNNNNNNNNNNNNNNNNNNNNNNNNNNNNNNNNNNNNNNNNNNNNNNNNNNNNNNNNNNNNNNNNNNNNNNNNNNNNNNNNNNNNNNNNNNNNNNNCACAAAGGCAAUACUGCUGAAAACAGCGUCAUUCCAGGUUAGUUCCAUUCAAAUCAUGCAAAUUAGAGUCCAAAACAAGGGCAAAAGAGUUUGGAAAAGUAGAUACGAUGGAGACGUAUCAGUAACACUAGUGAAGAAAGGGCAUUUAGUCCCGGUUGGUAAUGGCCUUUAGUCUCGGUUCGUCAACCGGAAUAAAAGGUCCGACCCUUUAGUCCCGGUUGACCACACCUCGGGACUAUAGGUCUCUCAUGAAGCGGGACUAAUCUUCGCCAUGCCCCCGGCCGUUCCUAACCGCUGGAACCGGGACAAAUAGUCACAUUAGUUUCAGUCUCAAACCCGACCGAGAGUUCGGGACUAAUGCUCCGGAUGAAAGGUAUGUUUUCUACUAGUGCAAGUGUGCGUGUGUGCAUGCUGCCCAUCCACGUUCACGUCUCAGGCUCCGUGGAUGAUGAGGUUGCUUCUUCUACGAAAAUAUGCUGCCAAGGACUAGUUUUGGUCGUCCUGUUGUUGGUGAGGGCUACUUUCCAGGAUGGUCAACUUAGGUGUGUAUUUUUCUGUUUGGGUUGAGCAUCUCAUGCCUCUAUGCUUUGGACGCCAUGUUCACGCCCUUGCUUCCGUGUAAUGUGUUAUACCUCAUCUCUAUUUAUUCUAACUCUCUUUAUCAAUGAAAUGAUAUGCAAGCUCUUUGCGUAUUCACGAAAAAAUAAUAUUUUUGUUGUUCUAUAUAGUGUCACUUUAAAACUCCCCCGCCACAAGGACCCUGUAUUUUUAGUACUCCGGCUACAUCGGGAUUGUUAAAACGGCUAGCAAUACUUUUAUUUUCACUUUAGGCCCUGUUUGAAACCACAAUAGAUUAUAAUAAUCUAGAUUAUGAAGGCAGAUUAUAUAAUCUGGUUCAUAAAAAUAAUCUAGGUGGGCAUGUUUGGAAUCCAGAUUAUAUAAACUAUAAUCCAGGUUUUACAUUGCGUAAUGACAUGUCUACCCUUUGUUUUUUUAAGAAAGAGGAGGGUGGCGGUGGGGAAUGUAAUUACUUCAACUUUACAAGGUAAUAGGGUCAUUAGCAAUCCAUAAUCUGAUUUUAGCUUAGAGUAGAGUAGAUUAUGAGUUUUAANNNNNNNNNNNNNNNNNNNNNNNNNNNNNNNNNNNNNNNNNNNNNNNNNNNNNNNNNNNNNNNNNNNNNNNNNNNNNNNNNNNNNNNNNNNNNNNNNNNNCCCCCCUCUCCCACCUAUAUAUACGGAGGUUUUAGGGCUGAUUUGAGACGACUUUUCCACGGCAGCCCGACCACAUACCUCCACGGUUUUUCCUCUAAAUCGCAUUUCUGCGGAGCUCGGGCGGAGCCCUGCUGAGACAAGAUCAUCACCAACCUCCGGAGCGCCGUCACGCUGCCGGAGAACUCUUCUACCUCUCGGUCUCUCUUGCUGGAUCAAGAAGGCCGAAAUCAUCGUCGAGGUGUACGUUUGGUGAACGCGUAGGUGCCGUCCGUUCGGCACUAGAUCGUGGGACUGAUCGCGGGACUGUUCGCGGGGCGUAUCGAGGGACGUGAGGACGUUCCACUACAUCAACCGCGUUCACUAACGCUUCUCCUGUACGGUCUACAAGGGUACGUAGAUCACUCAUCCCCUCUCGUAGAUGGACAUCACCAUGAUAGGUCUUCGUGCGCGUAGGAAAAUUUUUGUUUCCCGUGCGACGUUCCCCAACAGUGGCAUCAGAGCUAGGUUCAUGCGUAGAUGUCUUCUCGAGUAGAACACAAAAGUUUUUGUGGGCGGUGAUGUGCAUUUUGCGGACCUCCUUAGUUUUUUCUUGAUUCCGCGGUAUUGUUGGAUUGAAGCGGCUUGGACCGACAUUACUCGUACGCUUACGAGAGACUGGUUUCAUCGCUACGAGUAACCCUGUUGCUCAAACAUGACUGGCAAGUGUCAGUUUCUCCAACUUUAGUUGAAACGGAUUUGACGGAGGAGGUCCUUGGAUCAGGUUAAAUAGCAACUCAUAUAUCUCCGUUGUGGUGUUUGCGUAAGUAAGAUGCGAUCCUACUAGAUACCCAUGGUCACCACGUAGAACAUGCAACAACAAAAUUAGAGGACGUCUAACUUGUUUUUGCAGGGUAUGCUUGUGAUGUGAUAUGGCCAACGAUGUGAUGUGAUAUAUUGGAUGUAUGAGAUGAUCAUGUUGUAAUAGAUAAUAUCAACUUGCACGUCGAUGGUACGGCGACCGACAGGAGCCAUAGGGUUGUCUUUAUACUAACGUUUGUGCUUGCAGAUGCGUUUACUAUUUUGAUAGGAUGUAGCUUUAGUAGUAAUAGCAUGAGCGUUCUACCCCGAUGGCGACACGUUGAUGGAGAUCAUGGUGUGGCGCCGGUGACAAGAAGAUCGUGCCGGUGCUUUGGUGAUGGAGAUCAAGGAGCACGUGAUGAUGGCCAUAUCAUGUCACUUAUGAAUUUCAUGUGAUGUUAAUCCUUUUAUGCAUCUUAUUUUGCUUAGAACGACGAUAGCAUUAUGAGGUGAUCUCUCACUAAAAUUUCAAGACGAAAUUGUGUUCUCCCCGACUGUGCACCGUUGCUACAGUUCAUCGUUUCGAGACACCACGUGAUGAUCGGGUGUGAUAGACUCAACAUUCACAUACAACGGGUGCAAAACAGUUGCGCACGCGGAACAGUCGGGUUAAGCUUGACGAGCCUAGCAUGUGCAGACAUGGCCUCGGAACACAUGAGACCGAAAGGUCGAUCAUGAAUCAUAUAGAUGAUAUGAUUAGCAUAAGGAUGCUUACCACUGAAACUAUACUCAACUCACAUGAUGAUCGGACUUGAGCUAGUGUAAGUGGAUCAUGAACCACUCAAAUGACUAGAGAGAUGUACUUUUUGAGUGGGAGUUUAGCGAAUAAUUUGAUUAAGUUAAACUCUAAUUAUCUUGAACAUAGUAUAAGUUCACUUUGAAUAUAUUUGUGUUGUAGAUCAUGGCUCACGCAACAGUCACCCUGAAUUUUAAUACGUUCCUAGAGAAAGCUAAGUUGAAAGAUGAUGGAAGCAACUUUGUAGACUGGGCUCGUAAUCUUAAGCUAAUCUUACAAGCUGGGACGAAGGAUUAUGUCCUUAAUGCUGCGCUAGGAGAUGAACCACCCGCUACGGCUGAUCAGGAUGUUAAGAACGCUUGGUUAGCACGUAAGGAGGACUACUCAGUAGUUCAAUGUGCAGUCUUGUAUGGCUUAGAACCGGGACUUGAACGUCGCUAUGAGCGUCAUGGAGCAUUUGAGAUGUUCCAAGAGUUGAAGUUUAUCUUUCAUAAGAACGCCCGGAUCGAGAGGUAUGAGACCUCCGAUAAAUUCUAUGCUUGCAAGAUGGAGGAGAACUCGUCUGUCAGUGAACAUGUGCUCAAAAUGUCUGGGUACUCAACCCGUCUAGCUGAGCUGGGGAUUGAACUCCCGCAAGAGGCUAUCACUGACGGAAUCCUUCAAUCACUGCCGCUGAGCUAUAAAGGCUUUGUGUUGAACUACAACAUGCAAGGGAUGAACAAGUCUCCCGGCGAGUUGUUUGCGAUGCUGAAAGUCGCAGAGUCUGAACUCCGUAAAGAGCAUCAAGUGUUGAUGGUGAAUAAGACCACUAGUUUCAAGAGAAAUGACAAAGGCAAGAAGGGUAAUUCAAAGAAGAGCGGCAAGCCUGUUGCCAAUCCGACGAAGAAACCCAAAGCUGGACCUAAGCCUGAAACAGAGUGUUACUAUUGCAAGGGUAUGGGUCACUGGAAGCGCAAUUGCCCCAAAUAUCUGGCAGAUAAGAAGGUGGCCAAAGAAAAAUCAGGUAUAUUUGAUAUACAUGUUAUUGAUGUGUACUUAACCGGCUCUCGUAGUAGUGCCUGGGUAUUCGAUACCGGUUCUGUUGCUCAUUUUUGCAACUCGAAACAGGAACUGCGGAAUAGACGAAGGCUGGCAAAAGAUGAAGUGACGAUGCGCGUAGGAAAUGGUUCCAAGGUUGAUGCAAUCGCCGUCGGCACAGUUUCACUUCAGUUACCAUCGGGAUUAGUUAUGAACUUGAAUCAUUGUUAUUUAGUGCCUGCGUUGAGCAUGAACAUUAUAUCUGGAUCUUGUUUAUUGUGAGACGGUAACUCUUUUAAGUCAGAGAAUAAUGGUUGUUCUAUUUCUAUGAGUAACAUCUUUUAUGGUCAUGCACCCAAUGUGAGAGGAUUGUUCAUAUUGAAUCUUGAUAGCGAUACACACAUACAUAACAUUGAGACCAAAAGAGUUAGAGUUAACAAUGAUAGCGCCAUAUUUUUGUGGCACUGCCGCUUAGGUCAUAUUGGUGUAAAGCGCAUGAAGAAACUCCAUGCCGAUGGACUUUUGGAGUCACUUGACUUUGAUUCACUUGACACGUGCGAACCAUGCCUCAUGGGCAAGAUGACUAAAACUCCGUUCUCCGGAACAAUGGAGCGUGCAAGUGACUUGUUGGAAAUCAUACAUACCGAUGUGUGUGGUCCGAUGAGCGUAGAGGCACGCGGCGGAUAUCGUUAUUUUCUCACCUUCACUGACGAUUUGAGUAGAUAUGGUUAUGUCUACUUAAUGAAGCACAAGUCUGAAACAUUUGAAAAGUUCAAGCAAUUUCAGAGUGAAGUUGAAAAUCAUCGUAACAAGAAGAUCAAGUUCCUACGGUCUGAUCGUGGGGGUGAAUAUCUGAGUUUCGAGUUNNNNNNNNNNNNNNNNNNNNNNNNNNNNNNNNNNNNNNNNNNNNNNNNNNNNNNNNNNNNNNNNNNNNNNNNNNNNNNNNNNNNNNNNNNNNNNNNNNNNUUCAACAAUUUCUGACUUCAUUUGGUAUAUUUCGUGCAUUUACUUAUUUUUUUUGAGCUAGUUGACCCUGAAAUUGAAAAGCACUACAAAUGAACUCUGAAAAUGUUGAAAGUUGGCAUGCUAUCAUCAUUUCACCCACAUAGCAUGUGUUAAAAAGUUGAGAGGGCUACGACAAAAACUGGAUGCAGUUCGUGUACAAAACUGACAAUCUCUCUCAAAGUAGCACGGUUUCGAACCAGAACUCAUCUCUUACAAAGGGAUUUCAUUUUUUUGAACUUAUUUGAACUCCAUACUUUUUGUGUGUUCAAAAUGCACCAUUCAAAGGCACAUCACAAAAUUUCAACAAUUUCUGACUUCAUUUGGUAUAUUUCGUGCAUUUACAUUUGUUUUUUGAGCUAGUUGACCCUGAAAUUGAAAAGCACUACAAAUGAACUCUGAAAAUGUUGAAAGUUGGCAUGCUAUCAUCAUUUCACCCACAUAGAAUGUGUUAAAAAGUUGAGAGGGCUACGACAAAAACUGGAUGCAGUUCGUGUACAAAACUGACAAUCUCUCUCGAAGUAGCAGGGUUUUGAACGAGAACUCAUCUCUUACAAAUGGAUUUCAUUUUUUUGAACUUAUUUGAACUCCAUACUUUUUGUGUGUUCAAAAUGCACCAUUCAAAGGCACAUCACAAAAUUUCAACAAUUUCUGACUUCAUUUGGUAUAUUUCGUGCAUUUACAUUUGUUUUUUGAGCUAGUUGACCCUGAAAUUGAAAAGCACUACAAAUGAACUCUGAAAAUGUUGAAAGUUGGCAUGCUAUCAUCAUUUCACCCACAUAGUAUGUGUUAAAAAGUUGAGAGGGCUACGACAAAAACUGGAUGCAGUUCGUGUACAAAACUGACAAUCUCUCUCGAAGUAGUAGGGUUUCGAACUAGAACUCAUCUCUUACAAAGGGAUUUCAUUUUUUUGAACUUAUUUGAACUCCAUACUUUUUGUGUGUUCAAAAUGCACCAUUCAAAGGCACAUCACAAAAUGGACAAUCUCUCUCGAAGUAGAAGCGGCCCCCACAAUAAGAGACGACAUUCUUCUUCUCUCAUAUAUGGUGGACACUAGCUCACCUGAUUUUUCAACCGUCGAUGAUGGUCGCUACUCCUACUUCCCCUAGUGCAUAACCAAUAUCUAGCACAAGGUGAAGAAGGAGAAGCGACCCCCACAACAAAAGUGGUUCCGCGGCACGCCACGUGGUUCCGCUGCACGCCACGUGGUUCCGCUGCACGCCACGUGGGACUAAUGGUCUUUCAUUUUUAAAUGAUUGUUUUAAUCAAAAACAGAUCUGUUACAAAAGGGAUUUCAUUUUUGAACUUAUUUGAACUGAAGAAUUUUUGUAUAUAUAUGUGGUCGAAAUAAAUGAUACCAUGAAGUUAGAAAGGGCUAAACCAUUCAAAAGUAGCAAAUGAAGUUAGAAAGGGCUAAACCAUUCAAAUUUGGAAACUAUAAUGGCACAAAUAGAAACUAGACAUAUAUAAAUUGGUCCAAGAAGUACAUGAUACUAGUCCAAACAGUACAUAAUAAUAGCUACCAUAGAUAUAUAUACAAGUGUUCGACGUUAAGAACAUUACUCGUCUGAAUCAUCUAAAUCAGAAUGUCCACGUUCCUCGAAGUGACGCUGGCCAUAAUUGACGACUCGAAUCCUGCGGUACAACUCGUAUGAAACGUAUGCAUCUUUUGCUGCAUACUCAAUGUUGAUAUCAUCAAGUGGGCCCUUCUCCCAAAGUCUGUGCUGAGACUUUGGGAAACUGGUCUUCAUAUCACCAUAUGACUCGUCGAUCAAGGCAACUGCCAUAUGAUCCAUGGAAGUCCUGUCAUGUCGAAGCCUGAAUAUCGUUUGGAGAUCAACGAGGCAACCAGCUGGUAUCUCAAUACCGAAGUUGUGCCUCAUCUUCAGCUUGUCGUUCCUUAUGUCAACGGAAGCAAAAGUGAUGCCGCUGCAAAGGAACUCCAUGAGUUCUGGACAAUGCUUGUCACUCCUGCAACAGAAACAAAUUAAAAUGGAACAAAUGUUACAUACUGCCGCAAUAAGGAAACAUGUUUCACUACAACUAAAGAGAAACUUAUCUUUAGGAUUCAAAUAGAACAUAUGCAAUGGAACCUAGAGAGAUCACUAUAGCUAUCCAAUGGAACCUAGAGAGAUCACUAGCUAUAUGCAAUUUUCAUGACUAUGACAUAUCAUAUUGCUAUUCAAUGGAACCUAGAGAGAUCACUAGCUGUAUUCAUUUUUCAUAACCUUGGAUCAAAGAACACCGCAUAAAAUUGUAUCACUACAACUAUGAUUUCAAUGGAACAUAUUGAACCAAUCAGAUUUUUCAGAUUAUGGAACACUAUUCCAAUCAGAUUGUGUUUCCUUCAACUAAUCAAAAUUGUUUCACUACAACUAUUUGAAGCGAACCAACUAUGAUUCCAAUGGAACAUAUUAAACACUAGUUGAUUCUAAUACGAUUUUUCAGAUUAUGAAACACUAUUCCAAUGAGAUUGUGCUCCCCUUCAACUAAUCAAAAUUGUUUCACUACAACUAUUUGAAGGGAACCAACUAUGAUUCCAAUGAAACAUAUUAAACACUAGUUGAUUCUAAUACGAUUUUCAGAUUAUGGAACACUAUUCCAAUUAGAUUGUGCUCCCCUUCAACUAAUCAAAAUUGUUUCACUACAACUAUUUGAAGGGAACCAACUAUGAUUGAAACAAAUAAACUUACAAUGUCAUUACCUUGGAUCAAAGAAAGCCUCAAAACUUACCUCGCCCAUUGGAAGAUCAAGACAUGGCGUGCGAAGCAUAGUUGGAUGACGGCAACACCGUGUUGAUCGGCCGUGUACUCCAGAUCAAGCCCCAAGGACUUCUCAUGAUCCGCUGCGUGGUCAAACCAUUUUUCCUUCAACUGUUGAAGAAAAAACGGCACCUCGUUGCUCAGGUUCGUGUACAUGACAUCGAGCAUCGUCGUGCCAUGUGCGAGCACCUUACGGAAGCUAGUUGGCAUGGUGGAAGAAGAGAAGGGAAGAAGAGAGGAGAAGAACAGAGAGGGUGACGCGAGAGAGAAGAAGAACAGAGAAAUGGCGACUGUACGCUUCGGUUCGUGCUUUUCAUCGCCCGAAACGACGCGGGAUGCAAACCGUUUGGGCCUUUAGUCCCGGAUUGAGCCACCAACCGGGACUAAAGGGGGAUACCAACCGUCGCCACCACUACGGCAGGCCACGUAUUAGUCCUUUAGUCCCGGAUUGAGCCACCAACCGGGACUAAAGGGGGAUACGAACGGUUGCCACCACCACUGCCCACCACGUAGCCCUUUAGUCCCGGUUUGGGACACGAACCGGGACUAAAGGCUCCUUACGGGCCGGGACUAAAGCCUCGAGGGAGGCAUUGAGAAUUGGGGCGACGUGGUCGGGCCUUUAGUCCCGGACCAGAGACAGGCCGGGACUAAAGGGUCCAGGCCAAAGGCCCGUUUUCCACUAGUGGCCGCGAGUCAUAUCUAUAAUAAGAAGGUGUUUUAAAAAUAUUCUUAGACUUGAACCUCAAAGUUACACGCACACUAAAUCUUACUUUUUAGAGAUACUAUCUCGUUAUCAACUUGUACAAUCUAGUUUGGAAAGAGUAUAAUANGGGCUCGGAGAUGUGUAUAAGAGACAGAACUAAAAAUACAUCAAAGUAAAAUACAUGACGUAUACGGUUCUGUGUACCGGCGCAGAACAUCAUUACAUAGUUUAGCAAAGGUUAUUCAAACAGAUAUGGUGAAAAAUUUCAGUAUCACAAAUUUAGUUAUUUUGGCCAUUUAUGCGCAAAUAACUCAGCCAAAAGAUGUUAAAACAACCUUAUUUUUUAUUACAUGGAAAAUAUUAUCGAUCCAUUAAUUUAAUUCUAUACAAACAUUAAUUUAAUGAUUAGCGCAACAGUUAAUAUGACUUGAAGUAAAAUGUUACUAACAGAGCUGAGGUGUCCAACAAAAUAUUGUAAGAAUACAUAAAUUAUAGUUAGAAUAAUAACUUUUAUUGAGGAAGAUGUAUGUUGCGCUAAGAAUAGCCGUACAUGCAAACUGGUUUUUCAGUCCAGCUAUUUCAUCGGCCUGAAAACAAAAUGACAUAAAUUUGCCAAACAAACCAUAGCACUUUAAACACCAAUGAAUGGUCGAUCUGACAUCGUACUCUGGUUCAAUGCAUUGUAACAUCAUCAAUACCUUGCAAAACUGGAAAACGAAAUUCUCGUAAUGGGUGUGCUCUUAUACCCAAGUAGCAAACUAUUAGCAAAAUAUAUAGAUUGUUGCAAACUAUUGUUGUGAGGUAUUACUGAGGUUCUACAACCUUCCGUCCAGAACCUCACUAAUACCUCGCAAAACCUAAGGAGACAAAAUCGUAAAGACGAUGAUCUCACAUUCCUUAGUAAUGGAGUAUUGACAAAAUAAAGGCACAUAAAAGAAAAACUAAGGCACACAUAUCAUUCUUGCUAUAUAUGAUGAACAAAAGAAUGUAUCUUGCAAACCUAAUAAACCUGUGUGGUCCAUGAUAAUCAAAAUAGCUAACCACAACAUACAUGACGACCUACUUAACAACAUAAUAUAAUGUUAGUGAUAAGGUUUAGAAAUAUCCGACUCACAUAAAUAUAAGAAAGCAACAAUCAUAUCUAGAUCUAUUUUAUGUGGUUUAUACUUGGCUAUAACUCCCAUGUUCAAAUCCCAUGUAGCAAAGCAAAAUCAUAUCAGUCUUGUUCUUACACACAACAUCACAUCCGGUAGCCCAUGCAAAUAUUGCAAGAAGAGAAUGAAGUACACAAAAGGAAGUAGAGUAGAUGCAGGGAACGGCAGCGAACCAGUGGAUAUAUGUAAUGCACCUUUGAUUUUCCGGUUGGAGUCGAAGAAAACAUGGGUGGCCGCCAUUGGCGUACCAGACAAUCUGCACGACACAGAAAGAUCAUGGAGAAGAAGACAUGGUUUCUGUGGACAAUGGGAUGGUGAUCAGCUGCGAUGAGACUUGAAUGAUCACCUUGUGCGUUUUUAGGAGAUAAGCAAGGCAUGUCAGUUUAAAAUAAAAGAGACACUUACAGUUAGUUUCUUUUCGUUUUCAAUCUGUACAUUCAUGCAGAUUUUUUUGGGAAAAAUACAUGGACGCGGAUGUUUUUUGUACGUUCACAAAUCUUGUAUGCGCUCUCAGUUUUUCUAAGACCUACAUAGCAAGUACAUUCUUGUUGUGUUAUCCAGAGUUUUAUAUAAUUCUAAGAUGUAAUACUUGGGCCAAUCAAAUCAAUGGCUAGAGAGACACACGUGAGAUACAUGAGAUAUUUUAUUUUAUGGAGAUACGUGCGAUUUUGGGAGGAGUGUGCCAUGGAAAAAAAAUAGAAGGGAGAGACAUAGUAUAUACUUCCUCCGUCCCAAAAUUCUUGUCUUAGAUUUGUUUAAAUAUAAAUGUAUCUAGUCAAGUUUUAGUAUUUAAAUACAUCCAUUUUUAAACAAAGUUAAGACAAUAAUUUUAAGACAGAGGGAGUACAAAGGUUGAGCCAGGAAAUAAAAGGAUAUGUGAGACGUGAGAGUUUGGGUCAUGUCUUGGACGCGAGAUUGAGCGAGUAAAAAAUAGGGAUGCCUGAGAGAUUGGGUCAGAUUUAGGUGCGGUUUUAGUUGGUUGAUUCUUUUUUUUUNNNNNNNNNNNNNNNNNNNNNNNNNNNNNNNNNNNNNNNNNNNNNNNNNNNNNNNNNNNNNNNNNNNNNNNNNNNNNNNNNNNNNNNNNNNNNNNNNNNNAAAAAAAAGUCAAGAGGGAGAAUUAUACUCACCCAAAAUAGAAAUUGAUAUAUUUUUUUUCUUGGGAAAAUGUUUCCAUCUGAUUGUGCGGUGCACAACACACUUCACGCCGCACACGUGUUUCGCAACAUUGGUCGUGUUGUAAGAUCGCAACAGAAUACGUGUUACGGAUCUAUAAGUCGUGUGUCGAUCAUUUAUGUAGCCUUGUCUUCUCAAGAUGUCUGUUUUUCUUUUGACGCCCCCCCCCCCCCCUUCCAUGUCCGCUCGUGAUAAAUGACCAUAGCCGCUCGAGCGCGCACGCCGGAGCUACGUUUCAUCCCAAUGCUACAUCACUUUAUGCUUUGUUGUGAGCCAUUGUCGUUGGUCAAGCUCCAUGGCCCUUCCAUUGCCAGUCAUGAUCAUCUCGUAGGCAACACCGCACGUCCCUUCCCCAACCAGAACGAGCUCCUACUCAAGGUCAUGAUGUGAGGGGCACAUCGUCGUGGAUAUGAUCGACAAUCGAUGCCUCCAUCGAGCUUUUGUGAUCACGUAGGGGGAUCUGUAUGGACCACCAAUAUGGGUGCUAAAACCGGCGGGUCUUGGAUAGGAGGUCCCGAGCUGGUGAUCUUAGCUAGAUGGUUACCUCCGCCUCAGAUCUGCUUGAAAAUCAAUGUAGAUGGAGCAGUUGCUAGACAGGAAAAAAAAAGAACAGUUGCAGCAGUCUGUCGAGACAAUCAGGGUUCUUUUCUUGGGUCGUCUGUGGUGGUGGUCCAGGGAGUAACGGAUUCGGUGGUGCUUGAGACACUGGCUUGGAGAGAGGCUCUAGCUCUUGUAAAAGACCUUAACAUACAAAGUUUUUUAGUCGCUUCGACUGUUAAGAAGUCGUCAAUGAUAUUACCAAGGGAACGGGAGGACCCCAUGGGACCAUUAUUCAUGAAAUAGUAGGGCGUAGUAGUAUUUUUCAGACGUGUUUUUUUACUCAUGAAUGUAGAAAUUUUAAGCAUGAGGUUCAUAAACUUGCUAAGUUCUCUUGUAAUGUAGGCUAGGUCGACACUUAUGGUUGGAUAAUCCCCAUGACCGAACUUUCUCUGGAAUAAAGCUUGGCGAGUUUUUCUAAAAAAAACUACUAGAUAUAGAAAGUUUGUCUAGGUCUCAGUCGACUGAGACUUUGGUCAAGUAGUGUAAUAUGCAAGAAGAAAAAAACUGAAAAAAUAAUAUCUACACGAAUCUCAAUGCAAAAUCAACGGAUUAAAGUAUCGAUUAAGACUUGACGACAGUCGACUGAUUUUUAACAAAGCCGAUAGAAAUAUAGAUUGCCCUUUCCCCUCCCUCGUCCCAGCCGCCAUCAGCAGACGGACCUUCCUCGAUGGAGCAUUGUUAGAUCCGCCCCCUUGCCCUGCACAAUCCGUACGUCAACCAAGGCCGGCCACCCUGCGUGGUUCCUCGCUGCCGCGGAAGGCUUCGCCGGCGACCGGUCCAACGAGAGGUCCUGAGCAUCAAGGCGUCCUUUGCCCCCCAACCACCAGCCUCAACCAUCCAAGCUGUGGGUGCACUGCCCGGAGGCCGUGCACGUCGGCACCCCCUGUCUCCUCUGCAUCGCCGGCGACCUGAUCCUCUUCCGGGUCGACAAUCUCCGAUCGUGUCCCAGACAGCCGUUUCUCGACGCGGCCGGAUGGAUUGCGACUAUCUCAUCUACCAUGCUGACCCCCGGUUUGCGAGUGCUCAGCUUCGAAGACACUGAGGUUGGUCUUCUUCCCCGUGGUCUCCACCACUACACCAUCGCUGCGCUGGUUCCUUGUCCUCUCUGCAGCUUCCACAAGUUCGAGCUCUCCGAGACAUCCAGCUGGACCUCCAUGGUGCUUCGAUUGCGUCAUCCCCACUAACACGGAUCUUUUCUACUGUACUACCAUAGUACUUCCAGCGUCAUCGAAAUCGGUGGUAAAUAAGGCACCAUGGGCUGGGUCGAUCUCUGGCGAGGCAUCCUGCUCUGCGAUGUGCUGCGUGAGAAGCCAACUCUCAGAGGAAUAACCGUUGCCGCUGCCGAUGGAACAGAUCAUCCGCGGUGAUCGUUUAGGCCGUGCAAUGGAUUGCCGAGGCAUUGCCUUCAUCAAUGGCUGUCUCAAGUUUGUUCAACUGGACAUCAGCGCAAGUUACCACAUGGACAUCAUGGACCCGGAAACAGGGCAUCCAACUUUGCUGCUAUGGAUUUUAUGGUGAGUUCGGCACAUCAAGCCCUCUAUCGAGCCCCUAUCAUACAUUGGCUCAAGCCAUUGUGGAAGGCCCCUCUUCCUCUCAAGAUCAAAAUCUUUGUGUGGCAGUUACUCCGCAAUUGCCUUCCCUCGGGGAUAGAGGUGCGCAUAUGUCGGGUGAUGACAUGGGCCUCUUAUGCGUGAUCCCGGAGUCAACGACCCACAUUAUUUUUUACUUGCAUGGCGGCAAGGGCCAUGUGGGAAUUCUUACGCCAGGCCCUGGGACCCGACUGGGAGGCCCAGGACCUCACAGAGUUCCUACAAACCAAAGACCAUCACACUAGGUAGCGCCGACACCUGUUCUAGCUCAUCUUUGCUGCUAGGGGUGGACACGGUCCGGUCCGGUCCGGUCCCGGUCCGAACCGACGUUUGGACCGGCCGCCGGCGGUCCGGUCCGGAUCGGACUGAGCAGGUUGGCGGUCCUCUUUUCAGGGACCGCACCGGCGAGGCAAAAGCCCGGGCCGGACCGGCCAGCAGCGACGGCGAGGUGGUGACCAUGNNNNNNNNNNNNNNNNNNNNNNNNNNNNNNNNNNNNNNNNNNNNNNNNNNNNNNNNNNNNNNNNNNNNNNNNNNNNNNNNNNNNNNNNNNNNNNNNNNNNGGGGGGGGGGAGGGGGGGUAGACCUAAAAAUGUUGUACGAGAUGACCAUGUGUGACCAUCUAACAAUGUCCGUCAACGCAUGCCAUGUCAGCCUGAUAGGUGGGUCCUACUUGCCGGUUUGGUUGUUUUCGCGACCAAAUUAGAACACCAGUGCUUCGUCUUACAGGUUAGGCGCAAUUUCAAUGGUUUUUUUGUGUCCUGACACAAUUUGAUACAAAAUCAUUAUCCUACCACCAGCUGUGAUGGUUUGCAUAAAUAACCUGAUAACCAGGCAGAUGUAGUGGCGGAAAUAUAGUUCCAAUCCGAGCAGGGUGUAGAGCAGUACUGGACUAUGCUAGAUUGGGUACCACAUUACCCAGGAGGCCGAUUUCACUGUUUUUCUUUUUGACAUAGUUUAGCCCGAUCUGACCUCAUUCAUGAUUUUUUUUUUGGAUCUGGUCCUUUUUUUUCUACCGCUAUCCGCUGUGGCGGNGGGUCGGGUCAAUGCAGACGGUGCCGUUUGACCGCGCUGACCCGAUGACACUANNNNNNNNNNNNNNNNNNNNNNNNNNNNNNNNNNNNNNNNNNNNNNNNNNNNNNNNNNNNNNNNNNNNNNNNNNNNNNNNNNNNNNNNNNNNNNNNNNNNUGUUGGAAAUAUGCCCUAGAGGCAAUAAUAAUAUGGUUAUUAUCAUAUUUCCUUGUUCAUGAUAAUCGUCUAUUGUUCAUGCUAUAAUUGUAUUAACAGGAAACAGUAAUACAUGUGUGAAUAAAUAGAUCAUAAUGUGUCCCUAGCAAGCCUCUAGUUGGCUAGCUCGUUAGUCAAUAGAUGAUCAUGGUUUCCUGAUCAUGGGCAUUAGAUGUCAUUGAUAACGGGAUCACAUCAUUGGAAGAAUGAUGUGAUGGACAAGACCCAAUCCUAAGCCUAGCACUAGAUCGUAUUGUUCGUAUGCUAAUGCUUUUCUAAUGUCAAGUAUCUUUUCCUUCGACCGUGAGAUUGUGCAACUCCCGGAUACCGUAGGAGUGCUUUGGGUCUAUCAAACGUCACAACGUAACUGGGUGACUAUAAAGGUGCACUACGGGUACCUCCGAAAGUGUCUGUUGGGUUGGUAUGAAUCGAGAUCGGGAUUUGUCACUNNNNNNNNNNNNNNNNNNNNNNNNNNNNNNNNNNNNNNNNNNNNNNNNNNNNNNNNNNNNNNNNNNNNNNNNNNNNNNNNNNNNNNNNNNNNNNNNNNNNNNNNNNNNNNNNNNNNNNNNNNNNNNNNNNNNNNNNNNNNNNNNNNNNNNNNNNNNNNNNNNNNNNNNNNNNNNNNNNNNNNNNNNNNNNNNNNNNNNNNNNNNNNNNNNNNNNNNNNNNNNNNNNNNNNNNNNNNNNNNNNNNNNNNNNNNNNNNNNNNNNNNNNNNNNNNNNNNNNNNNNNNNNNNNNNNNNNNNNNNNNNNNNNNNNNNNNNNNNNNNNNNNNNNNNNNNNNNNNNNNNNNNNNNNNNNNNNNNNNNNNNNNNNNNNNGGCAAGUUCUAUACCGACAAACAAAGGGAAUCGUAUACGGGAUUGAUUGAAUCCUUGACAUCGUGGUUCAUCCGAUGAGAUCAUCGUGGAGCAAGUGGGAGCCACAAUGGGUAUCCAGACCCCGCUGAUGGUUAUUGGCCAGAGAGGUGUCUCGGUCAUGUCUGCCUGUCUCCCGAACCCGUAGGGUCUACACACUUAAGGUUCGANNNNNNNNNNNNNNNNNNNNNNNNNNNNNNNNNNNNNNNNNNNNNNNNNNNNNNNNNNNNNNNNNNNNNNNNNNNNNNNNNNNNNNNNNNNNNNNNNNNNGUCAGUGAUAGCCUCUUGCGGGAGUUCAAUCCCCAGCUCAGCUAGACGGGUUGAGUACCCAGACAUUUUGAGCACAUGUUCACUGACAGACGAGUUCUCCUCCAUCUUGCAAGCAUAGAAUUUAUCGGAGGUCUCAUACCUCUCGAUCCGGGCGUUCUUAUGAAAGAUAAACUUCAACUCCUGGAACAUCUCAAAUGCUCCAUGACGCUCAAAGCGACCUUGAAGUCCCGGUUCUAAGCCAUACAAGACUGCACAUUGAACUACUGAGUAGUCCUCCUUACGUGCUAACCAAGCGUUCUUAACAUCCUGAUCAGCCGUAGCGGGUGGUUCAUCUCCUAGCGCAGCAUUAAGGACAUAAUCCUUCGUCCCAGCUUGUAAGAUUAGCUUAAGAUUACGAGCCCAGUCUACAAAGUUGCUUCCAUCAUCUUUCAACUUAGCUUUCUCUAGGAACGUAUUAAAAUUCAGGGUGACUGUUGCGUGAGCCAUGAUCUACAACACAAAUAUAUUCAAAGUGGACUUAGACUAUGUUCAAGAUAAUUAGAGUUUAACUUAAUCAAAUUAUUCGCUAAACUCCCACUCAAAAAGUACAUCUCUCUAGUCAUUUGAGUGGUUCAUGAUCCACUUACACUAGCUCAAGUCCGAUCAUCAUGUGAGUUGAGUAUAGUUUCAGUGGUAAGCAUCCCUAUGCUAAUCAUAUCAUCUAUAUGAUUCAUGAUCGACCUUUCGGUCUCAUGUGUUCCGAGGCCAUGUCUGCACAUGCUAGGCUCGUCAAGCUUAACCCGANNNNNNNNNNNNNNNNNNNNNNNNNNNNNNNNNNNNNNNNNNNNNNNNNNNNNNNNNNNNNNNNNNNNNNNNNNNNNNNNNNNNNNNNNNNNNNNNNNNNNNNNNNNNNNNNNNNNNNNNNNNNNNNNNNNNNNNNNNNNNNNNNNNNNNNNNNNNNNNNNNNNNNNNNNNNNNNNNNNNNNNNNNNNNNNNNNNNNNNNNNNNNNNNNNNNNNNNNNNNNNNNNNNNNNNNNNNNNNNNNNNNNNNNNNNNNNNNNNNNNNNNNNNNNNNNNNNNNNNNNNNNNNNNNNNNNNNNNNNNNNNNNNNNNNNNNNNNNNNNNNNNNNNNNNNNNNNNNNNNNNNNNNNNNNNNNNNNNNNNNNNNNNNNNNNNNNNNNNNNNNNNNNNNNNNNNNNNNNNNNNNNNNNNAAUUCAUAAGUGACAUGAUAUGGCCAUCAUCACGUGCUCCUUGAUCUCCAUCACCAAAGCACCGGCACGAUCUUCUUGUCACCGGCGCCACACCAUGAUCUCCAUCAACGUGUCGCCAUCGGGGUUGUCGUUCUACUCAUGCUAUUACUACUAAAGCUACAUCCUAUCAAAAUAGUAAACGCAUCUGCAAGCACAAACGUUAGUAUAAAGACAACCCUAUGGCUCCUGUCGGUCGCCGUACCAUCGACGUGCAAGUUGAUAUUAUCUAUUACAACAUGAUCAUCUCAUACAUCCAAUAUAUCACAUCACAUCGUUGGCCAUAUCACAUCACAAGCAUACCCUGCAAAAACAAGUUAGACGUCCUCUAAUUUUGUUGUUGCAUGUUNNNNNNNNNNNNNNNNNNNNNNNNNNNNNNNNNNNNNNNNNNNNNNNNNNNNNNNNNNNNNNNNNNNNNNNNNNNNNNNNNNNNNNNNNNNNNNNNNNNNCAUACUGCACCGGGAGAUCCAUUGCAUCAGCUACAUGAUCGACGACGCCAGGGUUUACGACACCGUCGUGCUGGCCCUGGCCUCGGCCACGCUCGUCAACCCCACCUCGGCGGUGCUUACCAAGAGGCUGCUGAAUCUGGGGUACGAGGACGACGAGAUGAGCACCUGGGACUCCACCAUGGAGCUCAAGCUGGCGCACCAUACCAUACCACCACAGGGUACGGUUUCUCAGGAUCGGCCUCGGCGGGGAGGUCACCAUCGCGGCAGCCGAGUUCUUCGGGGCGUACGACACUACGACUGGGGCUAGGCCAUGGCGAAGAACGAGAGGCGUGAGGUCGUGUACGAGGCCGUGGCGCCGCCCUGGACUAAGGUCACCAUCAGACCAUCGCGACGAGGAGCGGCAUCGAUGUCCCCUUCACCUAUAGGCAGCGGAGGAGGGUUUCCAAGGGGGGUGGCCUCUACACCGGCAUCAACAUUUACAACUUCAACUUGAAGACCGUCGAGGAGAAGCUGCCGGCCCUUAAUUCUCUUUUAUCUUAUAUAUCGUCAAUUGCACUAUCUUAAUUAUACUAGCAUAUCUGUGCAGUGAAGGAAUAAGACGAUCGACAGCUUUGUGUUCCUGCUCCACACCCAUAUACAUGUCUGUGUUGUACUAGAAUGCAUGAACAAAAUGAUCGAUCAUGCAUGCUCAUGAAACAUCCAAACCUAAGUACCAUGCAUUUUACCAGUCGACGCCAUUGCAGCAUUAUAUAUACUAGUCGCCGACCCGUGCAUUCGCACGAGCUAGUUUAGUUAAUGUAAGAUAAAAUGCUUAAUAGGUUCACUACUUGUAACGUGUUUUAGACAGCCGGAACUAAUUUGAAUUUCCAGUUCUUGUUGAUCGUUUGAAGUCCACGCAUUGAACGAAUAACAGUUUCUUGGUUAAUUGAAUUUUAGCAAUCAAUUCAUAUAUUUACCUAUUCCGAGCGGAGGAACUGUCCGGUCUCGAAGUUUCAUGAAUUAGUACUUUGUUGUUCUAUAUAGUGAUCUAUCGAUCAUCCAUAACUAACAAUAUAUGUUGAGAGCUACAUUCUCGAGUGUCUAUUGUCGGUAUUUUGACACAUAUCUUAGUUAUUACUUCUUGUAAAUUUCCUAUAUCACGAAAUCAGUCGGACUACAUAACGAGAGGCACAUGACUUUUGAUAUUUGGUUUUAACCAAUAAAAUGUGGCUCCAUCUCCCAAAAAUUAUAUAACAAAAUUCACAACAAAAGGGAUUUUUAUAUCUAUUAAAAGCCAAGUGAGUACCUAACAAAUGCACCUGACUUUACUUGCGUGAACUAAAAUAGAUGACAAAAUGCUAAAGAACAAAUAAUAGUUUUUGUGAACUAAAAUUAUUCAAAGUAGCAUAGGUGAAUUUUAUAAAGAAUAAGAUUUUAUGGUAAAGCAUUCUCAUGACACCGCCUACUCCUCUAGAGCCCACUAGUGGGGACAGGGCCUAUAGCCCCGGCCCGUAAGGGGCUUUAGUCCCGUGGCUGUUGGUCGCACUUUACGAGAAUAGAAUAUAUAUAAUCAAAAUAAUAAUCUAGCAUCAUAAAUGUAUUGAAAAUUAAUAGAARUAUAUCAUACUACUACUUACCUGAGCCGCUCUAAAGGUCAGCUUCUCAUGACUCGAUACCGGGAKUCACGCACUUGAACCGCUUCCAAACCCUGCCCGACAAGGAUAAUGAUUUGCUAAGUUUUUCAUUAAUUGAUAUAUCAGAAAAUCAUCGAAAGAGACCGAUAGAGCGCAAGAAUGAUUAAAAUUACCCUUGGAGCAUGUCCUGCAGGCUUUGGAACUGUUCCAAGGGUCUCGAUAAUGGGUCGAAGGCAUCAACUCUUCCCUUAUCAAUUUGAAUGUCCAACAGAAUCCAAUGAAAGCUGCACAUGUAUAUAUAUAUAUAUAUGUGUGUGUGUGUGUGUGUGUGUGUGUGUGUGUGUGUGUGUGUGUSUUAUWCUAAUUAUACUUAUAAGUGAAUGGACACAACAGAGUAAAGAACCCUCACUUGAAGUUGUAUGGAAACAGUAUGUGGUCACAGAAAUUUUGAUCUAUUAGAAACCUUAGAAGGUUUUCCUCCGUCUCCUUGGGUUUAUCAGUUAGCGUCGCUAUAUGUAUUUUAUCUGGGUCAAUAAACCCAAUAUUUAGGAUGUUCCUACUUUUACAUUCCAGAAUCUUCAUUCUGCAUAAUAGAGUACAAGUUAUAUGUAGACAAUGAAUUGAAAUAACUAAACAAGUUAUAUGUAGAUAACGAAUUGAAAAACUUACAAACAAUAGCAACUCAUAAGCGAUUUGUCGAGGGCGUCGGCAUUGUACAUCUGGAAGAGUUCAUCAAAGUCGAUAUGGAUUUCUUCGGGGCGGCCGUAGUACUCCCGUGGGACACUCGCCACGAUCAUCGUUCUCCCAUUCUUUGAUUCACUUAAGUACCAUGUAUGCAAGUAACGCAUAUUUGUUGGGAGAUCAUCUUUGCUGACCAAAGGCGCUUCCAUGACAAACUGUGGCUUAGGGGCUACCACAGCCUUGGGUAACCUGUCGUCUUGGGAAGCCAGGACGUCUUCAACCGGGAUACCCCAUUCAUCCGCCCACUUCUUUGCUAAUUCCAAAUCUUGCCCCUGCACCAGAGAGGGAACAUUCUCGGGUAACACCCUGAGGGGUGGGAUCGACUGUUUGGCCUGUUGUCCAAGCUGAGGAACGUCUGAUCUUUUUUUCCUUGUAGUUGAACUUGAUUUGCUCCCACUUGCACUUGCACGUGAUCUGCUCUUUUUCCCUUCCUUCUGCAAUGUGCGUGUAUAGUCAUCGGGCUUAUGGUGUAAGUCAUAUUGUGAUGGAAGGGUCGUGAAGUAUUUUGCAUAUGCUAUUUGCUUCUCGGUGUAUUCCGGGCGGGGCUCGGGUUCCUUCUUUUUCAUCUGCGCAUCAUAAUGUCCCUUUGCUAUCCUGGCGUUUUCCUCGUCGGUACGAUCAUAAGGUCUGAUAGGAAGAUUAGCAUGAGGUACCUUUGGGAGGGGCGACAGUUUGCGCUUUGGGGAGCUCCGUUGCUUAGAACUCAUCGACGGAGCGUUCUUGCUGGCACGCUUCCGCUUAGUAUCCUUAGCGGGCGGCGGCGGAGACGGACGACCCAAGUCCGGCGGCGGUGAUCGAGAUGGACUCGUGUUGUGCUGGCCGUCGUCAUGUGGAGGGCUUGGAGGUGAUGGAGGUGUAGGUGACCUGCGACGACUCGAAGGCGGUGUUGUCCUUGGGGCCGAGCCUGGAAGCUUGAUGUAGUUCUUGUCCCAUAGGAUGACUCCACCGAGUACUUCUCCGAGUGUCCUCUCAUCUUCGGGUCCAGCUAUGUCGAGCUCCAUAUCAUGAAACCCCGCCAUGAUUUCAUCCACCCCGACUUUAGCAAAGCCAGCUGGAAUCUCACGGCCAUGCCAGCGUGCAUCAGGGCCAGAAGGUAAAGCUUGUCCGACGGCCACCUUCAUGGAUAUGUUCUUGAAUUUCUGAUGGAGUUCACAUGAUGUUCACUCCUUGAUUCCAUCCACGAGGUAGCCGGGACCGCCCUCUAUCAUUCUUCGUGNNNNNNNNNNNNNNNNNNNNNNNNNNNNNNNNNNNNNNNNNNNNNNNNNNNNNNNNNNNNNNNNNNNNNNNNNNNNNNNNNNNNNNNNNNNNNNNNNNNNAAUUUAUUUCAUCGGCAUACAUUAUACACAUGUAGAAUACAUCUGUAUGAACGUAUAGAGUUAUUUUCAGAAUUUUAUGAAACUUGAAAUGUGAAUUUUGUAAUUUUUUUUUAAAGAAGGAGCUUCAUGGAGCUCGUCCUCCAAAAGGCCUUACUCUAUAUGAGACCAAAGUGCCAAUGAAGUCCUAAAUUUGGAAAUUCAAGCUUUUCAAUUAAAAAAAUCGCAGAAAAAUAUGUAUAUACAUAUUAUAUAGACAUAAUGUAUAUAUGUGUAAAUUUUCAGAUCAAAAUACGUUUAAAUGAGAGAUAUCGAUGACCUUUUAGCACAUGUAUUGUCCAUUCUCAAAGUCCAUGAUUUUGUUUACAGUUUGCAGAUCUAGAUAUUUCAUCCUAAAAUAUUAAGCACGUACACAUUACAUUCUUGUAUACAUUUGUAUUUUUACUGAAGUUCCUGAAACUAAAAAGUUUGGAUUUACUUUUUUUUUAAAUGUCGUACUCUCUCAUAUAACUGUAUAAUAACUAGUUAAACAGCUAUUUGGUUGGCUUCCGUCAAGAUAAAUAGUGGUUUCCACCAAAGCUACUACUCUCCCCGUUCUUAAAUAUAAGGUUUUUUAGAAGUUUCACUACAAGAUCACAUGUAAAAAUAUUUAUACGUAUUUUAAAGUAGAUUCAUUUAUUUUACUUUGUAUAUUUUCCUCUUGUGAAAUAUCUGUAGAAAGACUAAUAUUUAGGAACGGAAAAAGUAGUCCAUAUUAAUAUUUUUGCGAAAGCUACUCGUCCAUAUUUACAUCUUUCCCUCAAAUACAUGCAUGCUAACGGUCACAUGCUAAACACAUUUCCCCCAAAUACAUGCGCUAAUCCUUCUUCUUCCCGCCAAACAGUAGCCCUACCAUAAAAUUUAUAUGAUGGCUUUUGACUUGUCAUSUGGAUAUUCGGACUUCUGCGAAGCUCUAGCAKAUUUUCUUCCAGUUUGCGGAAUUGCACUGAAUAUAGAUAAGAGAUGCGUCCGCGGACAAAAACAAGUCCGCGUUGGAUGGCAAAGUGCGUUCAGACAGCUCAGUCCGGACGUUCCUUGCUAUUUAAGGGUCUGCAUUGGACAUGCCCUCACAUAUCACAAACUAUUUUUUGGACACCGUAUAUAGCAUCAACUAGUAAUGAGUUCUGAUUCUAAAUCAACAUGCAGGUGUGUUCGACAAGUUCAGAGAUGACACAGGCAGUUUCAGUGCAAGCCUAAGCAACGACCCGAGGGCUCUGCUGAGCUUGUACCACGCGGCUCACAUGGCGGUACCAGGCGACGCUGCUCUAGACGACGCCAUCACUUUCGCACGUCUUCACCUCGAGUCCAUGAAAGGAGAGCUCGGGUCACCAAUGGCGCAGCAGAUCGCCCGCGCCCUCGACCGCCCUCUCACGCGGUUCUCUAGACUGCUGGAGACCAUGCAUUACGUUUCGGAGUAUGUGCAGGAGGAGGCGCACGACGACACACUGUUAGAGCUUGCUAGGCUCAACUCUAACCUCAUGAGAUCCCUUCACCUCAGGGAGCUCAAGGCCCUGUCCUUGUAAGUCCAUUACUACAUUUCCAGUUUGGUCAGUUCUCUUCAAGAGAAAGGUGUGACAGCUCCCGGUUGUCUAGGCAUCCUUUAUAAACAGUAAAAUAAAAAAAAUAGUAAAUAAAAUCUAAAAAUACUGAAACUUUGUCAUUAUCAAAGAUGAUCAGACUUUGUAGGUUCCUACUAGUUUUCUAUGUCAAAAUAUCAUGAGAAAGACAUACAAACAAUUUUCAGAUUAAAGUGCUAAAAGGGUUCAAAACUUUAAGCACUUAAAUAUUUUCCAUGUGUAGAGCUCCUUGAAUAGUUUUUUGGCAUGAAAACUUGCAAAUANNNNNNNNNNNNNNNNNNNNNNNNNNNNNNNNNNNNNNNNNNNNNNNNNNNNNNNNNNNNNNNNNNNNNNNNNNNNNNNNNNNNNNNNNNNNNNNNNNNNACGUUCGGGUGCCUCCCCUACGGCCUGGUCUACCGACCGGACCUUGCCGGAGAGAAGGAUGACGCCGGCUGCUCCAUCGCGCUCAACGCCGGCCCCCGGUUCUUCAACGCSCGGCUCAAGGAGACCGUGGCGAGGCUCAGGGUGGCUCUCCCCGAGGCCGCCUUCACCUACGUCGACCUGUACGCCGCCAUGUACAAGCUGAUGAGCGAAGCCAAAAAGUUCGGUUUUGGGGAUCCUCUGCGCGUGUGCUGCGGGUACGGCGGCGGCCAAUACAACUUCGACAAGAACAUCCGGUGUGGCGAUCCGGUCCUGGGGGGGAAGUCGUGCGUGGACCCGUCCAAGAGCGUGAGCUGGGAUGGGGUGCACUUGACCGAAGCGGCUUACAAGUUUAUCUUCGACCAGAUCGUGGACGGCGCUCUCUCCGACCCUCCGGUGCCUUUGCGUCGGGCCUGCCAGGGCAAAGGGCAAUGAACAUGAUGUUCAUUAAUUAGACUGCGGAUGUAGGAUUUUUUCUGACGUCCGUACUCCAAAUAAAAUAUGCAAUGAGUAUCUAUUUAUAACUCUUGUAAAAAAAUCAAUGAAUAAGAAAUGUACCUCCCUAUGUAUGUAUGGUAAAAUCGUGUGUUGAACUUACACAGUAAGUAGAAUGCCAAAAUUUAUAAUUUACUUCAAUAUGAUAUUUGAACUACAUGACAAACAUGUAAGUACACUCGGCGCGAGCUGUACUAGCCCCUAGCCCCAUGCUAGCAUCUGCGUAAUCAGCCCCUCACCGGCGGCGACCACUGACCCCCUGGUGCUGACCACGCCCCGGUCGCGUCAACCACCCCUUUCCCUCUCGCGGACACUCCGGCAGCUAUAGGCACCAUACCGACCCAUUGUGUUUCGGGUUUUCAAUCAUGACACUUUCGGACCUCAACGCUCAGGCUUGGUUUGAUUUUGAAGACAAUUUGCGCACGAGCUUUGGUGUCCCGGUACAUUUUGUGGAGGGUAGAAGAACCUUCAAGAAUUUUUCUUGAUGGCACAGAUUUCUAGACAAGAAACUCGUCUCAAUGUUUACUCAGUUAGGCUGAUCCUGCAAUCUUGCUUCGAAGAAAUGUUAUUCGUUUUGAAGUAUCUUUCCUAGAAAGCUUGUGUUUCUGGUUCUCUAGUUUCUCAACCGUAGGUACAUCCACACUAGAUCUAGUGUGUUUGACAAUAUGUCCUUUAAUAGUGGUAUUACUACCAAAGAUAACAAUACCUACUCUCAUUCUCAAGAUUAAAAAAUGAUUCCUUUUGCACCGCUGGCAAAUUCCAUCAUUUCUCCUGCUUUGAAUCUCGUUCAGUCCAUAAACACAUACUAUCCCAUCUCGAACAGAGACCAUUCGACUGAUCUCAUCCACUUGAAAAUUCAUGUAAAAGUUGGUCAUUCUACUUUCUAAUAGAGUCAUGAGUUCCGCGGCUCUGNNNNNNNNNNNNNNNNNNNNNNNNNNNNNNNNNNNNNNNNNNNNNNNNNNNNNNNNNNNNNNNNNNNNNNNNNNNNNNNNNNNNNNNNNNNNNNNNNNNNGAUGUUGCUUGUCAUAAAUAAUUUACUCCAGAACUACUCUGGUGUUUCUGCCUAUACUGGUCUGGUCUGUGAAGAAGACAUAGUAAUAAUUGUGUAAUUUAGGUUACAAAAAAAUUGUAUGCACAGUGAACAUGAGGACAAUUGGGCCACUUAGCUGUCAAUUGUUAUUUGAAAAUUAACUGCAAGAGGUUGUCUUGGUGCUGCAUAGAGAAAAUGCAUGUUUGAUCCGUUUCUAAUUGGGAAUGGUAUUGCAUGGCAGUCAUGUGCUGAAUUGCAGUGUAUCAUUAUUCAUUAACCUGCAAGUUGGAAGCGUUUUUCUUUUCUUUUCAUUCACUUUGAGAAGUCCAUGUUGAUUACGCAGUAGCAGCAACCUCUUACUGGUUCAUAUGCCAACAAGGUCCAGAUCAAAUUGUUCAAACACAUGAAACUAUCAGUGAACAAUUUAACCAAAAACUACCACUUGGUCUUAGAAAACUACCACAUUUAAUUUUGUGUCUAAACCCACUUCGGUUCUAAAAAAUUCCUUCAAAACCGUUUGGAAUUUUGUGCCUAAAGCCCACUUCUGUUCUAAAAUUUUCCUUAAAAACGGUUCGGGCAAAAUUAAACGUGAUUAUGACAUACUUGGCCCACAUGUCAGGGUUAACUGUUAUGAUAGGUGGGCCCACCUGUCAGCACUCUCUCUCCUCCAUCCACUCACCCAUCAGCCUGGGCAUUCGGGUAUUUUGAUUAUUUCGGUUCGGAUAGUUCGGUUUAUGGGUAAUUCGGGUAUUUGAAAAUGAGAACCAAAAUUGUUUCUGUCAAAAUAAUACCCGAACCCAAAUUACCCAAAAUUUCGGUUCGGGUAAUUCGGGUACCCAAAAUAUUCGGAGCAUACAUCAACUUUUGAUAUGAAUAACUCGGAUAGUAUGGGUAUUUUUGGUAAUAUGGGUAUUUCAGUUAGUAUGGGUAACAAGUUAGUGUAAUAAUAUCAUGAAAAUUUUGGACAGUAUGAAUAAUUUGAAUAGUAUGGGUAUUCGGGUUUUCCACACUAGAACCGAACCUACCCGAAAACCGAAUAGUCAGAAAUGAGAACGAACCUUACCCGAUACCCGGGUAAUUCGGUUCUGUUCGGGUUCGGGUAGCGGUUCGGGUACCCAAACGCCCAGGUGAGUCACCCAUCUCUUUUAGACAUUCUCUCGAGCACCUUGCAGGCACACCCUUGAUGAGAUGCUUGUCUUCGUCGGUGUGCGCCUCGUCGACGAGCCGAUCUAAUUCUACGCCAUCCUUGUCAUANNNNNNNNNNNNNNNNNNNNNNNNNNNNNNNNNNNNNNNNNNNNNNNNNNNNNNNNNNNNNNNNNNNNNNNNNNNNNNNNNNNNNNNNNNNNNNNNNNNNGAGCCUAACUCUCCUCUCGCUGCCUGUUGGGCCUAUUGGGCCCGCGGGCCUUCAUCCUGGCCCACCUGUCGGGUAGGUUUCUAGUCGUAUGCACGCCGUGAUGGCCCAAUAGGCGGCAUUUUUUUUUACUUUAAUAAUUUUUAGUCCUAGUUUAUAUUUUAAUUCUUUGCUAUUCAAUAUUUUUUUCUCUUCUAUUUUAGUUUUCUAUUGAGUUGAUCUUUUUUUGUUUCUUUUUAUUAAUGUUUUACUUGAUUCUUUCCAACAAAUAAGCACUUUGAAAAUUUUAGUAAAUUAUUCUUAACUCAUUCAUUUUAGUUAAUAUUUUAGUUGAUUCUUUUUAGUUGACUUUUUUUUUUGUUUUCUAUUAAGUAUUUUAAACAAAAAAAACUUUAUGAAAUUUCUGACUUCAUUUGAUAGUUUUCGUGAAUUUACUUAUUUGUUUUGAGCUAGUUGACCCUGAAAUUGAAAAGCACUACAAAUGAACUCUAAAAAUGUUGAAAGUUUGCAUGGUAUCAUCAUUUUCGCCCACAUAGCAUGUGCUAGAAAGUUGAGAGGGUUACGGCCAAAACUGGAUGCACUUCGUGUACGAAACGGACAAUCUCGUCUACGAAGUAUCAGGGUUUCGAACNNNNNNNNNNNNNNNNNNNNNNNNNNNNNNNNNNNNNNNNNNNNNNNNNNNNNNNNNNNNNNNNNNNNNNNNNNNNNNNNNNNNNNNNNNNNNNNNNNNNCCCCCGAGGUUGUAGACCGUCUGGAUCGCCGACGAGAUCCUCUCCAUGAGAUCGGGGACGUAGGCCUCGACUUGCUCCGUGGUCAUGUUGUCGAAGUAGCCCACGGUGAGGUCGUUCUGGCCCAUGUCCAAGGUGUAAAGCGCCUUGGAGAUCAACUGCUCCGGGUUGGGCAGGAUCUCCCGGUAGACUCCGCCGAUGUCGUUGUCGUAGACGAAGCGGCUCCUGUUGAUGAACUGCUGGAGCUGCCAGACCUGCACGUCCAGGGAAAUGGGGCUGUACCCUGAGGUCCACAAGCUCCCGUUCACUCGCCUGAUGGUUCCGGCGGCGCUCGCGAAAUUGGCUCCCUGCGUGAAGUUGCUCCCCAGAGAAUCCAGAUACGCACUCAGGUAACGGAGGCCCAGGCUUUGAGCUGCAAGCAAUACGUACACGUCGUAAAAAUUCUCCCGUUUUGAGCUGUUUGCGCGGGAAAAGGGUAAAAAAAAAACUAGCUUCGGUUAACAUGCCGUAGACAAACGUACUCACGUACAUACCCAUGAAGUCGAUGGUGAGGCGGCCGUCGCUUUGCCGGCCGGCCGGCAUGCCGAAGAAGGUCCGGCCGUAGGGCGGCUGCACCGCCGGGAAGAGGGCAGGGAAUGCACCGGUGUCCGAGUAGGAGUCGCCGAAGUUGAAGAUCGCCGGGAAGUCGCACGGAGAUUCAUCGGAGCGCACCCUCUCUAGUACCACCAGCAACACGACGAACGUGAUGAGUUUGCUGGUCGCCAUGGUGGUGCGGCGGCGAGCUCUCGGCCGGUGUCCCUGACGGUGAAGCGGCUGGGAGAGGAUUUAUAAUACACGCCGGCACCAGCAGGUCGUCAGAGUCCAGCACCCGUGUUGGACUGGCGGUUGGAAUAGCUACGUUUUGUUGAUAAGUAUCCUCCCCGUGUGAUGUUGAUGCACCACCCUCUAGAGAAUGACGGGUGAUCACCGUUUGCGUGGCACCUUAGGACAAGCAACUACGAGGCGUGCUUGACCCUUGAUCACUCUCUAGUGCUACAGUAUCUUGACGUUCGGUUCCAUGGUGAUGUGGCCAAUAUGCAUCCAUUUUUACGACAAAUAAUUCUGAACGGAUGAAAUAUCAUGUACAGUAUUUGACGUUAUCAUGAUGAUGAUGUGGCCAAAACCGUUAUUACUUCUGUCAGAGAACUUGCGCAGAACAAGGAAAAACGUGUGUGGGAGGGUCAGAGACACGUAUCUGAACGGUGACGUGGCCCGCCUAGUGUCCGUCAGCAGCAACGCGGUGUUUCGAGUGGAGCAUGUCGUCGGUGGUCUAGCUCGUGAGCGACCCGAUCAAGUAGGAGGAUUUCAAGUUCAAGAUCCGUGUGUUUACUGUUAGAGACUCACUACUCGCCCCGAUCUCUCGUUUGAUUUACUCAUGGAUACAGGUUAAAAUGUUGUUGUGUCACUAGUGGCUGGUGGCCCUUGUUUUAUGGUUGGCCCGCACAGUGGACGGUGGCUAAGAGCAUCCCUAAGAAACUCCGUAUAAUGCUCCGAUCUGUAAAAUAACUAUCGAAAUAUGGAUCGGGRARGAAAUUGCUAUCAGACCAGACCCCGCAAACGCGUCCGAUCUGUAAAUUUUUUUGUCGGGGCGACAAAAAUUCGUCCUCAACCUUCAGAUUCACGGGGUGGGAGGCCGAUCCAAGCUCGUUCCUUAUCCGCAACGAGAUUUGGCACGAGAGAAAUUUCCGCACGGCCGUUCCCCGCUCCCCCUCCUCGACAACCCAUUUCCCCCGCCCACCGCGCGUUCUGGACCUUCUUCCCSSCAUUCUUAGCCGGCGUGGAAGCCUCCCACCCGACGGAUCUCGUAAACGUGGAGGUCGCGCACGUGCAAUCAUGUCCGGCGGAUCUCGUUGCCGGCCAUGUNNNNNNNNNNNNNNNNNNNNNNNNNNNNNNNNNNNNNNNNNNNNNNNNNNNNNNNNNNNNNNNNNNNNNNNNNNNNNNNNNNNNNNNNNNNNNNNNNNNNGAAUUAUCGAGACUAGAGCCCGUCUAUUCAAUUACAUGGACGAACAUCAGUAAUGGCCCCUAGCUACACUAAAUUGUCCUUUGUCAUCUAUAGCUUCCGUCCUCAGAAAGGUCGCAAGCUCCUCUGCAACAGCAAUCGUACGUUGCUCUGGUAGGUACUUCUACCUCAUGGCCGUGUACUAUAUAAGAAGAGGAGAUGAAUAUGAAUAUCAAUCAUGAUAACAAAGAAUGACGGGUAAAAAUAGAGGUGUGAAUGUUCAUUGCUUACGUCGUAUCUGUAAUCCUUGUGCUCAGAGGUAAACAUGUGAAUGGUCUCGCAAACAUAGUAUCCGCAUAGAUGUGUCCCCCGUGGCUGCUGGUCGCACUUUACGAGAAUAGAAUAUAUAUAAUCAAAAUAAUAAUCUAGCAUCAUAAAUGUAUUGAAAAUAGAAGUAUAUCAUACUACUACUUACCUGAGCCGCUCUAAAGGUCAGCUUCUCAUGCUCGAUACCGGGAUUCACGCACUUGAACCGCUUCCAAACCCUGCCCGACAAGGAWAAUGAUUUGCUAAGUUUUUCAUUAAUUGAUAUAUCAGAAAAUCAUCGAAAGAGACCGAUAGAGCGCAAGAAUGAUUGAAAUUACCCUUGGAGCAUGUCCUGCAGGCUUUGGAACUGUUCCAAGGGUCUCGAUAAUGGGUCGAAGGCAUCAACUCUUACCUUAUCAAUUUGAAUGUCCAACAGAAUCCAAUGAAAGCUGCACAUGUAUAUAUAUAUAUAUGUGUGUCAGUAACUUAUCAAUUACACUUAUAAGUGAAUGGACACAACAGAGUAAAGACCCUCACCUGAAGUUGUAUGGAAACAGUAUGUGGUCACAUAAAUUUUGAUCUGUUAGAAACCUUAGAAGGUUUUCCUCCGUCUCCUUGGGUUUAUUAGUUAGCGUCGCUAUAUGUAUUUUAUCUGGGUCAAUAAACCCAAUAUUUAGGACGUUCUUUCUUUUACAAUCCAGAAUCUUCAUUCUGCAUAAUAGAGUACAAGUUAUAUAUAGACAAUGAAUUGAAAUAACUAAACAAGUUAUAUGUAGACAACGAAUUGAAAAACUUACAGACAAUAGCAACUCAUAAGCGAUUUGUCGAGGGCGUCGGCGUCGUACAUCUGGAAGAGUUCAUCAAAGUCGAUAUGGAUUUCUUCGGGGCGGCCGUAGUACUCCCGUGGGACACUCACCACGAUCAUCGUUCUCCCAUUCUUUGAUUCACUUAAGUACCAUGUAUGCAAGUAACUCUGAAAAUAGUUGAAAGUUGACAUGCCAUCAUCAUUUCAACCACAUAGCAUGUGUUAAAAAGUUAGAGAGGGCUACGACAAAAACUGGAUGCACUUCGUGUACAAAACGGACAAUCUCUCUCGAAGUAUCAGCGUCGAUGAUGGUCGCUACUCCUACUUCCCCUAGUGCAUAACCAAUAUCUAGCACAAGGAGAAGAAGGAGAAACGACCCCCCACAGCAACAGUCGACAUUCUUCUUCUCUCAUGUAUGGUGGAUACUCCCUCACCUGAUUUUUAAACCGUCGAUGAUGGUCGCUACUCCUUCUUCCCCUAGUGCAUAACAAAUAUCUAGCACAAAGAGAAGAAGGAGAAGCAACCCCACGCCACGUGGGACUAAUGGUCUUUCAUUUUUAAAUGACUAUUUUAAUCAAAAAUAGAUCUGUUACAAAAGACAUUUCAUUUUUUGAACUUAUUUGAACUGAAGACUUUUUGUAUAUAUAUGUGGUCGAAAUGUGUGAUACCAUGAAGUUAGAAAUGGCUAAACCAUUCAAAAGUAGCAAAUGAAGUUAGAAAGGGCUAAACCAUUCAAAUUUGGAAACUAUAAUGGCACAAACAGAAACUAGACAUAUAUAAAUUGGUCCAAGCAGUACAUGAUACUAGUCCAAACAGUACAUAAUAAUAGCUACCGUAGAUAUAUAUAUUGAAGGUGACGCUGGCCAUAGUUGACGACUCGAAUCAGAAUGUCCACCUUAUUCGAGGUGACGUUGGCCAUAGUUGACGACUCGAAUCUUGCGGUACAACUCGUAUGAAACGUAUGCAUCUUUUGCUGCAUACUCAAUGUUGAUACGAUCAAGUGGGGCCUUCUCCCAAAGUUUGUGCUGAGACUUUGGGAAAUUGGUCUUCAUAUUACCAUAUUCCUCGUCGAUCAAGGCAACUGCCAUAUGAGCCAUCGAAGUCCUGACAUGUCGAAGCCUGAAUACCGUUUGGAGCUCAAUGAGGCAACCAGUUGGUAUCUCAAUACCGAAGCUGUACCUCAUCUUCAGCUUGUCGUUCGUUAUGUCAACGGUAGCAAAAGUGAUGCCGCUGCGAAGGAAGUCCAUGAGUUCUGGACAAUGCUUGUCACUACUGCAACAGAAACAAAUUAAANNNNNNNNNNNNNNNNNNNNNNNNNNNNNNNNNNNNNNNNNNNNNNNNNNNNNNNNNNNNNNNNNNNNNNNNNNNNNNNNNNNNNNNNNNNNNNNNNNNNAACAACUAUGUUGCCAUUACAGUGCUAUCUGCAGAUAUCAAAUACAACUAUGUUGUCAUUACAGUGCUAUCUGCAGAUAUCAAGUAGGAAAAUUUUAAGAUGUUCUUAUUUGACGAUUAACUACUUGAUGAUACAAAAGUAUUAUUUAUUUUGUUUUGGUCAUUUGUAUAUGUUUUCAGCUGCUCAAUGUGUACCAGUACCGCCGCACCUACCAGUAUACGCCUGCAGCCACGGCCUCGCCUGCCGCCCAGCGCCUCGCCGACCCCGCCGCCUCCAGGAGCUCCGGCAGCCGCCGGCGACCUCCAGCAGGUCGGUGCCCCGCUGCCCUUUCCCUCUCCUUCCCUUGCUCUCUCUCCCUCUCCUCCUCCUCACCGCCCCAUCUCUCUUUCUCUUUUCUUCAGGAGCUGCCCCAUGGAGCCAUGGCCGCGCCCCGCGAGCUCCAGCUCGACGGACCUCAAGCUGCCGCCGGAUUCGGCCGGGAAACGGAGGGAACCGUCCAUCCUCGACCUACGGUUGUCUCUGCCUCGCCGGAACGCCGCCGCCUCACGCCUUGCAAGAGCCAGCAACACUACCUCGACGACGCCNNNNNNNNNNNNNNNNNNNNNNNNNNNNNNNNNNNNNNNNNNNNNNNNNNNNNNNNNNNNNNNNNNNNNNNNNNNNNNNNNNNNNNNNNNNNNNNNNNNNGAAUUAUCGAGACUAGAGCCCGUCUAUUCAAUUACAUGACGACAUCAGUAAUGGCCCCUAGCUACACUAAAUUGCCUUUUGUUCAUCUAUAGCUUCCGUCCUCNGAAAAGGUCGCAAGCUCCUCUGCAACAGCAAUCGUACGUUGCUCUGGUAGGACCUUCGUCCUCAUGGCCGUGUACUAUAUAAGAAGAGGAGAUGAAUAUGAAUAGCAAUCAUGAUAACAAAAAAUGACCGGUAAAAAUAGAGGUGUGAAUGUUCAUUGCUUACGUCGAAUCUGUGAUCCUUAUGCUCAGAGGUAAACGUGCGAAUGGUCUCGCAAACAUAGUAUCCGCAUAGAUGCGUUCUCCAUGGCUGCUGGUCGCACUUUACGAGAAUAGAAUAUAUAUAAUCAAAAUAAUAAUCUAGCAUCAUAAAUGUAUUAAAAAUAGAAAUAUAUCAUAUUACUACUUACCUGAGCCGCUCUAAAGGUCAGCUUCUCAUGCUCGAUACCGGGAUUCACGCACUUGAACCGCUUCCAAACCCUGCCCGACNNNNNNNNNNNNNNNNNNNNNNNNNNNNNNNNNNNNNNNNNNNNNNNNNNNNNNNNNNNNNNNNNNNNNNNNNNNNNNNNNNNNNNNNNNNNNNNNNNNNGGUGGUAGAGCAUCUCUAGCAAAACGCGUAUAAAGACCGAACCCGCCAAAAAGUACGUUCACACUUACGCGUAAAAACGGACUUUUACGGUACCUGCACAGACGCAGACAGAGGCAGAUUCCCCAAAACGGUCAUAAAAAAGGAUAUUCGCAGAAGAUGCUAUUAUACGGAUCGUCAAUGCGGGAUCUGCUCGGACGCCGCCGCGUCGACCCGCAAACCGGAAAACCUUCCAAUAAACCAUAGUUCAAAUUUGACAGCGGUUCCGGCAAAUGAGUUCAAAUUUUAACAAUAAAACAUAGUUCGCGCGUGAAAUGAAAGCAUAGUUUAAAAGACAAACGCAAAAGGACCUCAUGCAUCCGGGUCGCUCUUCACUCCGCACCAUCGAGGUCAUCGCCGCCUCUGAAUCCAUCGACUCCCUUGAAUCCAUCGCUUGCAUUUGUCCCUACUCCAGCACCGAAAUCAUCGGCGAUAUUGGUUUCGACUUCAAACGAGAAACCAUCGCCGUCAUANNNNNNNNNNNNNNNNNNNNNNNNNNNNNNNNNNNNNNNNNNNNNNNNNNNNNNNNNNNNNNNNNNNNNNNNNNNNNNNNNNNNNNNNNNNNNNNNNNNNAUUUAUUUGUGUAAUAAUACUAAUAUGGUGCAGGUUCACUAACUAGAGUCAGAAAUUGUUUUUCWAAAACAUUUUUACUACAUGAAUUUCAUAUAUUGAUCUCUAUGUUUCAGCCAAGUGAAAGUUGCUGUAUAUUCAAGUGGCUUUCAUCACUUAUUCAACAUGUUUAUAAUUUAUUUAACUUACUCAUAUUAUUAAUGUUUGUGACGGGGGAUAAUUGAUGUGGAAUUUCACUCGAGAAAGUGAACUCUAAUGGAAUACAAUAGAGAAAUUAAUAAGGGGUCGAACUCUAUUGAACACCCCACAUAUUUUUUUCUGAGACACCAGAAGAUGAAAGAAUUUGGUUCGUUUUGUUAGCAUCGGCUCUGCACACUGUUGACCCACAUGAUUAAGGUCGUAAGUUGAUCUCGGACAUACAAUCUAAUCAUGACACAUGACUCACACAUGUGUGCUAGGGACUAGUAUAUUUAGACUAAAAAACGACAUGUUUUAUCGUGGUUGGUAACAUUGCUUAGGAGUCAUAUAAAUGUUUCCGAAAACCGGUGAAAUAAUAAAACACUUCGCACCAUAGAAAAGAGACGAAUUAGACGGUAGACCGGAUAACCUAUAAUCCUCGUGGGGAGAGCGCGGACGCGGCGNNNNNNNNNNNNNNNNNNNNNNNNNNNNNNNNNNNNNNNNNNNNNNNNNNNNNNNNNNNNNNNNNNNNNNNNNNNNNNNNNNNNNNNNNNNNNNNNNNNNAAAUGAACCCGUAGAAAAAAAAAGAUGAGGACAUAUACCAACUACAUUUUUUUGGAACAGAGGAAAAAGAUUGUCUCGUCUAUUAAUUAAGCAAAAGUGAAUUGCUCAGCUAAUUAAUGAAAAACUAAGCUAAAACUGAAAUAAUCAAUUGAGCGGCACAAAUAGGGUACUCCAUGGACCCAUCUACAAAGAGAUAGCACACAAGAUCGUCAUCAUUUCUCCCCAAGUAGACAUGAUCGCCAUCCGUAAUCACUAAGCAAGCAAGUCUGACUUUGCAGCGAGUGAUCAUCGACCCAACUACCACCGUAGAUCCUUUGCCGAGACACGUGGAGACAUGUGUCAGAACUCAGCCAGCCGCGACGAGGAUAUUGUAGCUUCGACUCAAAGGGAGAUCUACGAAGGAAAAAUAUGCGACUCUAGCUCCGGGAAAGACCACCAAAUAGACCACCCCGCACUAUAGUGAUGACUUCCCCAUAACAAACAAGCGGAGGCAGUCCCACGGAAAUAGUGGAGAAGRGUCUACUACUGAAACCAAUAUCACGCUUCCAUCACCACUCACCCUGCCAUCGUUACCAUAGAAGNNNNNNNNNNNNNNNNNNNNNNNNNNNNNNNNNNNNNNNNNNNNNNNNNNNNNNNNNNNNNNNNNNNNNNNNNNNNNNNNNNNNNNNNNNNNNNNNNNNNGAUUGUCAGUUUUGUACACGAACUGCAUCUAGUUUUUGUCGUAGCCCUCUCAACUUUUUUAACACAUGCUAUGUGGGUGAAAUGAUGAUAGCAUGCCAACUUUCAACAUUUUCAGAGUUCAUUUGUAGUGCUUUUCAAUUUCAGGGUCAACUAGCUACAAAAAAAAUAAGUAAAUGCACGAAGAAUACCAAAUGAAGUCAGAGAUUGUUGAAAUUUUGUGAUGUGCCUUUGAAUGGUGCAUUUUGAACACACAAAAAGUAUGGAGUUCAAAUAAGUUCAAAAAAUGAAAUCCCUUUGUAAGAGAUGAGUUCUGGUUCGAAACCGUGCUACUUUGAGAGAGAUUGUCAGUUUUGUACACGAACUGCAUCCAGUUUUUGUCGUAGCCCUCUCAACUUUUUAACACAUGCUAUGUGGGUGAAAUGAUGAUAGCAUGCCAACUUUCAACAUUUUCAGAGUUCAUUUGUAGUGCUUUUCAAUUUCAGGGUCAACUAGCUCAAAAAAAUAAGUAAAUGCACGAAAUAUACCAAAUAAAGUCAGAAAUUGUUGAANNNNNNNNNNNNNNNNNNNNNNNNNNNNNNNNNNNNNNNNNNNNNNNNNNNNNNNNNNNNNNNNNNNNNNNNNNNNNNNNNNNNNNNNNNNNNNNNNNNNUCUCCCACUUGCACUAGAGUCAAUAAUCUAGCCCUCACAUCAUCAUGUGAAUUACAUUGUAAUAAAUCUAACACCCAUACAGUUUUGGUGUUGAUCAUGCUUUGCCCGUGGAAGAGGUUUAGUCAGGGGUCUGCUACAUUCAGAUCCGUGUGCACUUUGCAUAUAUUUACGUCCUCCCCUUCGACGUAGUCGCGGAUGAGGUUGAAGCGUCGUUUGAUGUGUCUGGACUUCUUGUGAAACCGUGGUUCCUUUGCUAAGGCAAUGGCACCCGUGUUGUCACAGAACAAGGUUAUUGGAUUCAGUGCACUUGGCACCACUCCAAGAUCCGUCAUCAAUUGCUUCAUCCAUACACCCUCCUUAGCCGCCUCCGAGGCAGCCAUGUACUCCGCUUCACAUGUAGAAUCUGCUACGACGCUUUGCUUGGAACUGCACCAGCUUACCGCACCCCCAUUAAGAAUAAAUACGUAUCCGGUUUGCGACUUAGAGUCGUCCGGAUCUGUGUCAAAGCUUGCAUCGACGUAACCUUUUACGGCGAGCUCUUCGUCACCUCCAUACACGAGAAACAUCUCCUUAGUCCUUUUCAGGUACUUCAGGAUAUUCUUGACCGCCGUCCAGUGAUCCACUCCUGGAUUACUCUGGAACCUACCUGCCAUACUUAUGGCCAGGCUAACGUCCGGUCUAGUGCACAACAACGCAUACAUGAUAGAACCUAUGGCUGAAGCAUAGGGGACGGAGCGCAUAUGCUCUCUAUCCUCAUCAGUUGCUCGGCACUGAGUCUUACUCAAUGUCGUACCUUGUAAAACUGACAAGAACCCUUUCUUGGACUGUUCCAUUUUGAACCUCUUCAAAACUUUAUCAAGGUAUGUGCUUUGUGAAAUUCCUAUCAGGCGUUUUGAUCUAUCCCUAUAGAUCUUAAUGCCUAGAAUGUAAGCAGCUUCUCCUAGGUCCUUCAUAGAGAAACUUUUAUUCAAGUAAUCCUUUAUGCUCUCCAAAAUCUCUAUGUUGUUUCCAAUCAGCAAUAUGUCAUCCACAUAUAAUAUUAGAAACGCCACAGAGCUCCCACUCACUUUCUUGUAAAUACAAGAUUCUCCAACCACUUGUAUAAACCCAAAAUCUUUGAUCACCUCAUCAAAGCGUUUGUUCCAACUCCGAGAUGCUUGAACGAGUCCAUAAAUGGAUCGCUGGAGUUGCACACCUUGUUAGCAUUCUUAGGAUCGACAAAACCUUCGGGUUGCAUCAUAUACAAUUCUUCCUUAAGGAAACCGUUAAGGAACGCCGUUUUGACAUCCAUCUGCGAGAUUUCAUAAUCGAAAAAUGCAGCUAUUGCUAACAUGAUUCUGACGGACUUAAGCAUCGCUAUGGGUGAGAAUGUCUCAUCGUAAUCAACUCCUUGAACUUGUGAAAAACCCUUUGCCACAAGUCGAGCUUUAUAAACGGUCACAUUACCGUUAGCGUCCGUCUUCCUCUUAAAGAUCCAUUUGUUCUGAAUAGCCUUGCGGCCCUCAGGCAGUACCUCCAAAGUCCACACUUUGUUCUCAUACAUGGAUCCUAUCUCGGAUUUCAUGGCUUCUAGCCAUUUGUUGGAAUCUGGGCCCACCAUUGCUUCUUCAUAAUUUGCAGGUUCAUUGUUGUCCAACAACAUGAUUGAUAAGACGGGAUUACCGUACCACUCUGGAGCAGCACGUGGUCUCGUCGACCUGCGUGGUUCGACAGAAACUUGAACCGGAGUUUCAUGAUCAUCAUCAUUAACUUCCUCCUCAACCGGCGUCGCAACAACAGAGGUUUCCCCUUGCCCUGCGCCACCAUCCAGAGGGAUGAGAGGUUCGACAACCUCGUCAAGUUCUAUCUUCCUCCCACUCAAUUCUCUCGAGAGAAACUCCUUCUCGAGAAAAGCUCCGUUUUUAGCAACAAACACUUUGCCCUCGGAUUUGAGAUAGAAGGUGUACCCAACUGUCUCUUUUGGGUAACCUAUGAAGACACACUUUUCCGCUUUGGGUUCCAGCUUUUCAGGCUGAAGCUUUUUGACAUAAGCAUCACAUCCCCAAACUUUAAGAAACGACAACUUUGGCCUUUUGCCAUACCACAGUUCGUAUGGUGUCGCCUCAACGGAUUUUGAUGGUGCCCUAUUUAAAGUGAAUGCAGUUGUUUCUAAUGCAUAACCCCAAAACGAUAACGGCAAAUAGGUAAGAGACAUCAUAGAUCGCACCAUCUCUAAUAAAGUACGAUUACGACGUUCGGACACACCAUUACGCUGUGGUGUUUCAGGCGGUGUCAACUGUGAAACAAUUCCACAUUGUCUUAAGUGAGCACCAAACUCGAAACUCAGAUAUUCACCCCCACGAUCAGACCGUAGGAACUUGAUCUUCUUGUUACGAUGAUUUUCAACUUCACUCUGAAAUUGCUUGAACUUUUCAAAUGUUUCAGACUUGUGCUUCAUUAAGUAGACAUAACCAUAUCUACUCAAAUCGUCAGUGAAGGUGAGAAAAUAACGAUAUCCGCCGCGUGCCUCUACGCUCAUCGGACCACACACAUCGGUAUGUAUGAUUUCCAACAAGUCACUUGCACGCUCCAUUGUUCCGGAGAACGGAGUUUUAGUCAUCUUGCCCAUGAGGCAUGGUUCGCACGUGUCAAGUGAAUCAAAGUCAAGUGACUCCAAAAGUCCAUCGGCAUGGAGUUUCUUCAUGCGCUUUACACCAAUAUGACCUAAGCGGCAGUGCCACAAAAAUAUGGCGCUAUCAUUGUUAACUCUAACUCUUUUGGUCUCAAUGUUAUGUAUGUGUGUAUCGCUAUCAAGAUUCAAUAUGAACAAUCCUCUCACAUUGGGUGCAUGACCAUAAAAGAUGUUACUCAUAGAAAUAGAACAACCAUUAUUCUCUGACUUAAAAGAGUUACCGUCUCACAAUAAACAAGAUCCAGAUAUAAUGUUCAUGCUCAACGCAGGCACUAAAUAACAAUGAUUCAAGUUCAUAACUAAUCCCGAUGGUAACUGAAGUGAAACUGUGCCGACGGCGAUUGCAUCAACCUUGGAACCAUUUCCUACGCGCAUCGUCACUUCAUCUUUUGCCAGCCUUCGUCUAUUCCGCAGUUCCUGUUUCGAGUUGCAAAAAUGAGCAACAGAACCGGUAUCGAAUACCCAGGCACUACUACGAGAGCCGGUUAAGUACACAUCAAUAACAUGUAUAUCAAAUAUACCUGAUUUUUCUUUGGCCACCUUCUUAUCUGCCAGAUAUUUGGGGCAAUUGCGCUUCCAGUGACCCAUACCCUUGCAAUAGUAACACUCUGUUUCAGGCUUAGGUCCAGCUUUGGGUUUCUUCGUCGGAUUGGCAACAGGCUUGCCGCUCUUCUUUGAAUUACCCUUCUUGCCUUUGUCAUUUCUCUUGAAACUAGUGGUCUUAUUCACCAUCAACACUUGAUGCUCUUUACGGAGUUCAGACUCUGCGACUUUCAGCAUCGCAAACAACUCGCCGGGAGACUUGUUCAUCCCUUGCAUGUUGUAGUUCAACACAAAGCCUUUAUAGCUCAGCGGCAGUGAUUGAAGGAUUCCGUCAGUGAUAGCCUCUUGCGGGAGUUCAAUCCCCAGCUCAGCUAGACGGGUUGAGUACCCAGACAUUUUGAGCACAUGUUCACUGACAGACGAGUUCUCCUCCAUCUUGCAAGCAUAGAAUUUAUCGGAGGUCUCAUACCUCUCGAUCCGGGCGUUCUUAUGAAAGAUAAACUUCAACUCUUGGAACAUCUCAAAUGCUCCAUGACGCUCAUAGCGACGUUCAAGUCCCGGUUCUAAGCCAUACAAGACUGCACAUUGAACUACUGAGUAGUCCUCCUUACGUGCUAACCAAGCGUUCUUAACAUCCUGAUCAGCCGUAGCGGGUGGUUCAUCUCCUAGCGCAGCAUUAAGGACAUAAUCCUUCGUCCCAGCUUGUAAGAUUAGCUUAAGAUUACGAGCCCAGUCUACAAAGUUGCUUCCAUCAUCUUUCAACUUAGCUUUCUCUAGGAACGUAUUAAAAUUCAGGGUGACUGUUGCGUGAGCCAUGAUCUACAACACAAAUAUAUUCAAAGUGAACUUAUACUAUGUUCAAGAUAAUUAGAGUUUAACUUAAUCAAAUUAUUCGCUAAACUCCCACUCAAAAAGUACAUCUCUCUAGUCAUUUGAGUGGUUCAUGAUCCACUUACACUAGCUCAAGUCCGAUCAUCAUGUGAGUUGAGUAUAGUUUCAGUGGUAAGCAUCCCUAUGCUAAUCAUAUCAUCUAUAUGAUUCAUGAUCGACCUUUCGGUCUCAUGUGUUCCGAGGCCAUGUCUGCACAUGCUAGGCUCGUCAAGCUUAACCCGAGUGUUCCGCGUGCGCAACUGUUUUGCACCCGUUGUAUGUGAACGUUGAGUCUAUCACACCCGAUCAUCACGUGGUGUCCCGAAACGACGAACUGUAGCAACGGUGCACAGUCGGGGAGAACACAGUUUCGUCUUGAAAUUUUAGUGAGAGAUCACCUCAUAAUGCUACCGUCGUUCUAAGAAAAAUAAGGUGCAUAAAAGGAUUAACAUCACAUGAAAUUCAUAAGUGACAUGAUAUGGCCAUCAUCACGUGCUCCUUGAUCUCCAUCACCAAAGCACCGGCACGAUCUUCUUGUCACCGGCGCCACACCAUGAUCUCCAUCAACGUGUCGCCAUCGGGGUAGAACGCUCAUGCUAUUACUACUAAAGCUACAUCCUAUCAAAAUAGUAAACGCAUCUGCAAGCACAAACGUUAGUAUAAAGACAACCCUAUGGCUCCUGUCGGUCGCCGUACCAUCGACGUGCAAGUUGAUAUUAUCUAUUACAACAUGAUCAUCUCAUACAUCCAAUAUAUCACAUCACAUCGUUGGCCAUAUCACAUCACAAGCAUACCCUGCAAAAACAAGUUAGACGUCCUCUAAUUUUGUUGUUGCAUGUUCUACGUGGUGACCAUGGGUAUCUAGUAGGAUCGCAUCUUACUUACGCAAACACCACAACGGAGAUAUAUGAGUUGCUAUUUAACCUGAUCCAAGGACCUCCUCCGUCAAAUCCGUUUCAACUAAAGUUGGAGAAACUGACACUUGCCAGUCAUGUUUGAGCAACAGGGUUACUCGUAGCGAUGAAACCAGUCUCUCGUAAGCGUACGAGUAAUGUCGGUCCAAGCCGCUUCAAUCCAACAAUACCGCGGAAUCAAGAAAAACUAAGGAGGUCCGCAAAAUGCACAUCACCGCCCACAAAAACUUUUGUGUUCUACUCGAGAAGACAUCUACGCAUGAACCUAGCUCUGAUGCCACUGUUGGGGAACGUCGCACGGGAAACAAAAAUUUUCCUACGCGCACGAAGACCUAUCAUGGUGAUGUCCAUCUACGAGAGGGGAUGAGUGAUCUACGUACCCUUGUAGACCGUACAGGAGAAGCGUUAGUGAACGCGGUUGAUGUAGUGGAACGUCCUCACGUCCCUCGAUACGCCCCGCGAACAGUCCCGCGAUCAGUCCCACGAUCUAGUGCCGAACGGACGGCACCUCCGCGUUCAACACACGUACAACUCGACGAUGAUAUCGGCCUUCUUGAUCCAGCAAGAGAGACGGAGAGGUAGAAGAGUUCUCCGGCAGCGUGACGGCGCUCCGGAGGUUGGUGAUGAUCUUGUCUCAGCAGGGCUCCGCCCGAGCUCCGCAGAAAUGCGAUUUAGAGGAAAAACCGUGGAGGUAUGUGGUCGGGCUGCCGUGGAAAAGUCGUCUCAAAUCAGCCCUAAAACCUCCGUAUAUAUAGGUGGGAGAGGGGGGNNNNNNNNNNNNNNNNNNNNNNNNNNNNNNNNNNNNNNNNNNNNNNNNNNNNNNNNNNNNNNNNNNNNNNNNNNNNNNNNNNNNNNNNNNNNNNNNNNNNCAUACAUUAACAAAUUAUUAGAUGGAUGGUAUUUUGAAGGGGAAAAUCCGCUUUACAGAAAAACCUCGAUUAACAAUGCAGGUUUCUCCAUCUAUAAUGGUGGAAAUAUUGUAAAUGCCAUGUUCAACGUUCAUUUCUAUUUUUGAUGACUCUUUGGGUACGUGGAUUCAGAUUUUGCUUCUAUUGAUUUGGAUAAAAGGGGUCCCAUACAAUUAUAUGUUCACUAUUGGUGAUUAUGGUGUGAGCUGAAAGGCAAUGUUGCAGCACUAGUUACCCAAUUCACUAGUGAAGUAGAAUACAUGACCAUUGCGGCCUUAAGGUGGAGGUGAAUGGCACGUCGGUCCUCAAGGGAAACUCGUUCAAGGACAAAUCUAACACUGUGAGCUGGGAUGAUGGUGUGCACAGUUGACCAUGACGGCUUACAGCUGUGGAGAUAGCUGCUCUAGCUACAGUUUGAGAUACUUCAUAAAGUAUGCGACCUAGCUUAACAACGGCUAUUCAAUAUUCGAGGAAUCCCUUUUCCGACCACAUACAUGUUUCCGUGAGUAUUAGUGUAACCAAUUUAUCGAAAAAUAUAUAUACCCAUAUUUAAAUUCAUCUACAGUCAUAUUGUUGACUAGCGCUCUCUGACCAGCCGGUCCGCCACGACACGCCUGCCAGGCACUACUGAAAAACGGGCCUUUGGCCGGGAUCCUUUAGUCCCGGCCUGCCUCUGGGCCGGGACUAAAGGCCCGGCCACGUCGCCUCAAUUCUCAAUGCCUUCCUCGAGGCUUUAGUCCUGGCCCGUAAGCAGGGGCGGAGCCCAAUGGGUCAACCCUGUGGCACAAGCUACACGGUCCAAGAAAUGUUUUAGUGCUAAUUAACAGUCAUUUGGCCCAAGGCAACAGGGUGGCCCAGCAAGUGUGCCACAGGUCCUAUGUUGAAACCAAACCGUGCGAUCGCGUGGUGGCUUCGCUUCCAACAGCCCACUACCCAUGUCACGUUCAUAUACCCGUAUACGCUCGAUCCCUUCACGUAAAACUUUAGUUGUUAGCCCGUGUGUGUAGAAUUAUUCGUACACCUGCACGUAAGAAUGUAACAAACUAUCGAUCCAUCUUUCCAAUCCAUGAUUUUUCUACACUUGAAAAAAGAGAUCUCGAUCCGUCUCCUCAUCUCAUGUAUUAUGCCCCGAGCAGGCGAGGCGAGCAAAUCGGUGCGCAACCUCGGUAAUCGAUCGAAUCAAUCCGUUCGCGAUGGAUGGCGGGCCGGCAAACGCAUACGAUCUAGAAGCAACCGGCAGGCCGCAGACAACGGAUCGACGACUCACGCAGCAGUCCGUAGCGCCGAUGCGACCACGCCUCCCGCACAAGUUGUAGCCACGUCGCACGCCGGUAUUGCUCUUCCCCUCUCUUAGCUAAUUAGUAUUAUGUUUUUGAAUUUUUCAUUCAGAUUACAGUCAUUAAUUGAUUCAAAUUCUGCUCAAUAUCCUUUUCUUUUGUGUUGUUUUUUCUAUAUAUUUUUACAAGUCACAGCAAUUGUAUGUACAAAAUUGUGGCUAGUAAGUUACAUCUUACUGAAAUAUAUUUAAAUCUAUGUGUUUUGGCAAAACAUGGGGCAUCAGCUAUUGUUUUAAGUUGUAAUUAGGUAUACUUCAUUGGCUUCACAAUUUUGAUUUCUCAUUUGUAAUUUUAGUUGUUACAUGCCUAUAAUAUGGACAAGUUUCUUGUCAAAAGAAAGGCACCAUCACAUUCACAAUUAGGUAUCCAUGAUAUCCUUUUCAAGUAACUGUGUCACACUAUAUUAAGCAGUUUGACUAUUGCCUUUUGUUUUUAAAGAAUCAAUUCCUAUUAUAUUUGGUAAUUCAUGUUACAAGUUGUGAAACAAAUCUUUAUUAGUGCAUUGUUGCUCGAAAAUUUAUGUCAAGGUUAAGUAGUGCAUCAGGGUAACAUUAGCUUCAGAUCCGCCCCUGCCCGUAAGGAGCCUUUAGUCCCGGUUCGUGUCCCAAACCGGGACUAAAGGGACACAUGUCCUGCCGUAGUGGUGGCAACCGUUGGUAUCCCUCUUUAGUCCCGGUUGGUGGCUCAACCCGGGACUAAAGGCCUAACACGUGGCCUGCCGUAGUGGUGGCAACCGUUGGUAUCCCUCUUUAGUCCCGGUUGGUGGCUCAACCCGGGACUAAAGUCCCAAACGGUUUGCAUCCCGCUUCACAAAACCACAACCGAAGCAGAGUCUCUGUCGCGCCGCCCUUUCUCUGUUCUCCUUCCUCUCUCGUUUCUUCCCUUCUCUGUUCUUCCCCUCUCUUCUUCCCUUCUCUUCUUCCACCAUGCCAACUCGCUUUGGAGAGGUGCUCGCACAUGGCAAGACCAAGCUCGAUGUCGUGUACACGAACGAGAGCACGGAGGUGCCGCAUUUUCUUAGACAGUUGAAGGAACGAUGGCUUGACGCCGCAGUGGAUCAUGAGAAGUUCUUGGGGCUUCAUCUGGAGUACACGGUCGAUCAACGCGGUGUUGCCGUCAUCCAACUAUGUUUCAAACACCAUGUCUUGAUCUUCCAAUGGGCGAGGUAAGUUUUGAGGCUUCCUUUGAUCCAAGGUAAUGACAUUGUAAGUUUAUUUGUUUCAAUCAUAGUUGGUUCCCUUCAAAUAGUUGUAGUGAAACAAUUUUGAUUAGUUGAAGGGAACACAAUCUGAUUGGAAUAGUGUUCCAUAAUCUGAAAAAUUGUAUUAGAAUCAACUAGUGUUUAAUAUGUUCCAUUGGAAUCAUAGUUGGUUCGCUUCAAAUAGUUGUAGUGAAACAAUUUUGAUUAGUUGAAGGGAACACAAUCUGAUUGGAAUAGUGUUCCACAAUGUGAAAAAUCUGAUUGGUUCAAUAUGUUCCAUUGAAAUCAUAGUUGUAGUGAUACGAUUUUAUGCGGUGUUCUUUGAUCCAAGGUUAUGAAAAUUGCAUAUAGCUAGUGAUCUCUCUAGGUUCCAUUGGAUAGCAAUAUGAUAUGUCAUAGUCAUGAAAAUUGCAUAUAGCUAGUGAUCUCUCUAGGUUCCAUUGGAUAGCUAUAGUGAUCUCUCUAGGUUCCAUUGGAUAGCAAUAUGCAAUAUGUCUAGCUUGUUGAAUAUUUCCAAAACCGUGGGAGAAUAUAUAUAUAUAUAUAUACAUGUCAUAGUUAAUUUACGGUUUCUUGAUCAAUUCGUAGGAUAUGAAAAUUGCAUAGGAUAGCAAUAUGUUCUAUUUGAAUCCUAAAGAUAAUUUUCUCUUUAGUUGUAGUGAAACAUGUUUCCUUAUUGCAGCAGUAUGUAAUAUUUCUUCCAUUUUAAUUUGUUUCUGUUGCAGUAGUGACAAGCAUUGUCCAGAACUCAUGGACUUCCUUCGCAGCGGCAUCACUUUUGCUACCGUUGACAUAACGAACGACAAGCUGAAGAUGAGGUACAGCUUCGGUAUUGAGAUACCAACUGGUUGCCUCAUUGAGCUCCAAACGGUAUUCAGGCUUCGACAUGUCAGGACUUCGAUGGCUCAUAUGGCAGUUGCCUUGAUCGACGAGGAAUAUGGUAAUAUGAAGACCAAUUUCCCAAAGUCUCAGCACAAACUUUGGGAGAAGGCCCCACUUGAUCGUAUCAACAUUGAGUAUGCAGCAAAAGAUGCAUACGUUUCAUACGAGUUGUACCGCAAGAUUCGAGUCGUCAACUAUGGCCAACGUCACCUCGAAUAAGGUGGACAUUCUGAUUCGAGUCGUCAACUAUGGCCAGCGUCACCUUCAAUAUAUAUAUCUACGGUAGCUAUUAUUAUGUACUGUUUGGACUAGUAUCAUGUACUGCUUGGACCAAUUUAUAUAUGUCUAGUUUCUGUUUGUGCCAUUAUAGUUUCCAAAUUUGAAUGGUUUAGCCCUUUCUAACUUCAUUUGCUACUUUUGAAUGGUUUAGCCAUUUCUAACUUCAUGGUAUCACACAUUUCGACCACAUAUAUAUACAAAAAGUCUUCAGUUCAAAUAAGUUCAAAAAAUGAAAUGUCUUUUGUAACAGAUCUAUUUUUGAUUAAAAUAGUCAUUUAAAAAUGAAAGACCAUUAGUCCCACGUGGCGUGGGGUUGCUUCUCCUUCUUCUCUUUGUGCUAGAUAUUUGUUAUGCACUAGGGGAAGAAGGAGUAGCGACCAUCAUCGACGGUUUAAAAAUCAGGUGAGGGAGUAUCCACCAUACAUGAGAGAAGAAGAAUGUCGACUGUUGCUGUGGGGGGUCGUUUCUCCUUCUUCUCCUUGUGCUAGAUAUUGGUUAUGCACUAGGGGAAGUAGGAGUAGCGACCAUCAUCGACGCUGAUACUUCGAGAGAGAUUGUCCGUUUUGUACACGAAGUGCAUCCAGUUUUUGUCGUAGCCCUCUCAACUUUUUAACACAUGCUAUGUGGUUGAAAUGAUGAUGGCAUGUCAACUUUCAACAUUUUCAGAGUUACUUGCAUACAUGGUACUUAAGUGAAUCAAAGAAUGGGAGAACGAUGAUCGUGGUGAGUGUCCCACGGGAGUACUACGGCCGCCCCGAAGAAAUCCAUAUCGACUUUGAUGAACUCUUCCAGAUGUACGACGCCGACGCCCUCGACAAAUCGCUUAUGAGUUGCUAUUGUCUGUAAGUUUUUCAAUUCGUUGUCUACAUAUAACUUGUUUAGUUAUUUCAAUUCAUUGUCUAUAUAUAACUUGUACUCUAUUAUGCAGAAUGAAGAUUCUGGAUUGUAAAAGAAAGAACGUCCUAAAUAUUGGGUUUAUUGACCCAGAUAAAAUACAUAUAGCGACGCUAACUAAUAAACCCAAGGAGACGGAGGAAAACCUUCUAAGGUUUCUAACAAAUCAAAAUUUCUGUGACCACAUAUUAUUUCCAUACAACUUCAGGUGAGGGUCUUUACUCUGUUGUGUCCAUUCACUUAUAAGUGUAAUUGAUAAGUUACUGACACACAUAUAUAUAUAUAUACAUGUGCAGCUUUCAUUGGAUUCUGUUGGACAUUCAAAUUGAUAAGGUAAGAGUUGAUGCCUUCGACCCAUUAUCGAGACCCUUGGAACAGUUCCAAAGCCUGCAGGACAUGCUCCAAGGGUAAUUUCAAUCAUUCUUGCGCUCUAUCGGUCUCUUUCGAUGAUUUUCUGAUAUAUCAAUUAAUGAAAAACUUAGCAAAUCAUUAUCCUUGUCGGGCAGGGUUUGGAAGCGGUUCAAGUGCGUGAAUCCCGGUAUCGAGCAUGAGAAGCUGACCUUUAGAGCGGCUCAGGUAAGUAGUAAUAUGAUAUAUUUCUAUUUUUAAUACAUUUAUGAUGCUAGAUUAUUAUUUUGAUUAUAUAUAUUCUAUUCUCGUAAAGUGCGACCAGCAGCCAUGGAGAACGCAUCUAUGCGGAUACUAUGUUUGCGAGACCAUUCGCACGUUUACCUCUGAGCAUAAGGAUCACAGAUUCGACGUAAGCAAUGAACAUUCACACCUCUAUUUUUACCGGUCAUUUUUUGUUAUCAUGAUUGCUAUUCAUAUUCAUCUCCUCUUCUUAUAUAGUACACGGCCAUGAGGACGAAGGUCCUACCAGAGCAACGUACGAUUGCUGUUGCAGAGGAGCUUGCGACCUUUCUGAGGACGGAAGCUAUAGAUGACAAAGGACAAUUUAGUGUAGCUAGGGGCCAUUACUGAUGUUCGUCCAUGUAAUUGAAUAGACGGGCUCUAGUCUCGAUAAUUCAGAUCUUCAUAUAAUUGUAUAUAUAUGCUCGCUUGUAAGAUAAGUUAAUCUUAUAUAUAUUUGCAUAAUUAAUUUUAUUUAAAUUAUAUGAAAACUAAUUCCCGAACACCAAACGAGGCAUCACGUUAAUCUCCCGAACACCUAAACCCGAAAUCCCUAAAGCCCAAAAAUAAUUUCAUUCAAAAAAACCCAAAAUAAACAAAAUUUGAAACUCUUUAGUACCGAUCCGUGUAACGAACCAGGACUAAAGGGCCUGCCCAUGGGGCGCUACGAGGCGCCCACGUGGAGCACCUUUAGUCCCGGCGUGGAACAGGGCCGGUACUAAAUGUUAGGCCUUUAGUUCCGGUUGGUGAACCGGGACUAAAGCCCCUUACGGGCCGGGACUAUAGGCCCUGUCCCCACUAGUGAGGGUAAAUGACGAUGAGCACGAUGUUCAUUAAUUAAGCUGCGGAUGUAGGAUAUUUUUCUAAAUACAUACUUGAAAUAUUUGUAUAAAAAUCUGCAGUAUUCAUACUCCAAAUAAAAUAUGCACUGAGUAUCCGAACAAUUUUGAUUCUUCAUAUAUAGUACUCGCUCCGUCCCGAAAUUAUUGUCGCAAUGGCAUUUUUUCACAAAACCCCUCCCCAAACUCCCGACACAACCCGCGCUCCUCGUCUUCUCCAAUCGACAAGCGACCGCUACGACAGAGGCACAUCGACGCCGGAGCUCCCUUGUUCAGCUUCGCCGCGCUCCUCCCCUGCUCUCCCGCGCAUCCUUCUCCACCGUCGCAACUGCCUUCUCCGCCGCUCCCUUCUGCCUCGCGCAGCUCCGAUGCCCCCUUGCCUAUCACUUGAAUCUCCCCUUUUGCAACCAAAAAAUGGUUCUUCUUCCCCCCCGUUUGUGUCUCCUGCUCGCGCACGGAGACGACACAUCCUCCUCGUUGACCCUGCCGCCGGAGGAGACGCGGGGCAGGCAACAAUGGCUCGCAUUGCGCUUGCACGACCUCGGGUGCGCGUGGGCCCCCGAAUUGCGGGCAUACGUACCGGUCGCCGCCUCGGUCGUGCGCCCAUCCGCAGAGGAGGAUGCGGGGAUUUCGCUCGCUGCCAAGGCGUCCUUGGUGAGAUUUCUCGCCCGCGGCAAAGGAGGGGUGUCACCAUGGAUUUGAUUGUCAAACAACUACAGACUACAUGUACUCCGAGCAGGGCAGGUUCUGAAACUCCAUCGGAAUUGUGUCAGUCAGGUUGUUGAUGGACAAGUCUAUUCUACUUACCCAGCUUGCCCAACUCGCGUGGGAUGCUUGUUAGAAGUAAACCUGACGUCCGCUUAUGAGUGUCCGAGAAUACACGUAUAUGUUGCCGAGUUGGUUUGCAGUAGGCCUAACUUAGCAAUAUAUAUACAUAUACUCCUGUGUAGUCUUUGUACCAGAAAAACGAAAAACAAUACAGAGUAUUCCAGGCUCGACAUGGGCCUUCAGCAAUACAUCGACUCGGCGUCUUUCGUCUAGAGUUUUACCGAGCCGUUCGAGUUCAAUCGCCGCGUUAAGCUAGCUCCAGUUCACGUGUAUGUACACGGCCAGAAUCCAUUAAGCUGCCUGCUAGCUUGCUGCCUAGCUAGCUUGCACUUGGUGUUUUGGCUUCCCGGAGGAUACAAACUAUCACUCUAAAACCAAUAAUUGAUAUCUAGAGCCUCGACGAUCUACGAUCUACGAUGGCGGACAGCGACGUUGAGUCGGUCAAGUCCGGCAAGGGCGGUACCAAGGCGAACAAGAAGGGCGUCAAGUCAGUAACCAGUGGUGGAGGAACGAGCGGCGCCAACGUCUAGGCGCAUCGCAACAUCCCCAUCCAGUACCCGAUGCUCACCGACGCCAACUACGGCAUGUGGGCGGUGAAGAUGAAAAUUAUUCUCCGAACCCUUCGAGUGUGGCAGGCAAUCACGGACGACGACGUCGAUGACGAGUCCGACGAAGGUGCCAUGGCCGCCAUAGCCCAGUCCGUGCCGGAUUCCGUGCUAAUGACAUUGGCGGAGUUCGAGACGGCAAGAGAGGCGUGGAACGCACUCAAGGAGAUGAGGAUCGGAGAAGAUCACGUCACCAAGGCUCGGGCACAAGUGUUGAAGCGCCAAUUUCACAAGUUGCAGAUGGAGGAAACUGAAUCGGUGAAUGACUAUGCCAUGCGUCUUACUACUUUGGUGGGAGAGAUCCGCGCGCUUGGUGCAAAGCUCGAUGAGACCGAGAUUGUGAAGAAAUUUUUCAGUUCGGUGACUGAUAAAUUCACGUACAUCAUCGGCACGCUCGAGCAGCUUUACGACAUCGACGACAUGACCAUAACGGAGGCAAUCGGACGCUUGCGGACAUGGGAAGAGAAUGUUCGUGGCUGUCGGAAAGGCAAAGGAGGAGGUAGCGACCAACUCAUGUACUCGCGCGCAGAUUGGGAGGCCCCAAGUAGCAAAGGAAGGCGUGAUGGUGGCGAAGGCUCAAGCAACGUGAAGCGCGACGGACAAACCGGAAAAGACAAAGGAAAAGGCAAGCCACAAGGUCGUGGUAAGGCGGACCAAUCUAAAGGGCGGAAGCAACGGAACUUGGAUUUAUCCAAGGUUCAGUGCUAUAACUGCAACGAGAUGGGUCACUUUGCAAAGGAUUGUCCGAAUCCUAACAAGAGGGAGAUCAAGGCAAAUUUGGCAAAGCAGGAAGACGAAGGUCCAGGUCUUCUGAUGGCCGAAGUUUGUGAUCUCGCGGAAACGGUGGUUGUGAAACCAACCCGGAAGGUGCUACUUCAUGAGAAGAAUGUGACACCUAAGUUAUCCGGGGAUCACAAUGUGUCGUGGUAUCUCGACACGGGUGCCAGUAACCACAUGACGGGAUGCAAGGAGAAAUUUCUCGAGCUGGAAUAUGAUGUUCAAGGCUCGGUCAAGUUCGGUGAUGCUUCAACUAUGGAGAUUUGCGGGCAAGGAUCUGUCCUCUUCGAGGGUCUCAUAGGCGAACAUCGCAUACUCACCGGAGUGUACUACAUCCCACGGCUUCGCAACAACAUUAUCUCUAUUGGGAAGCUUGACGAGAAUGGAUGCAAGGUGAAUAUCGAGAACGGAGUGAUGACGAUCUUCGACAACCUCCGAAACGUGCUAGCUCGUGUUAAUCGCACACGGAAUAGGCUCUAUAUCCUCAACCUUGAUCGAUCUCAACCGGAGUGUUGGCUCGCCAAGAGUGAUGAUGAUUCAUGGUUAUGGCAUGCUAGAUUUGAACACGUUAACUUCUACGCCUUGAAGAAGAUGUCAAAGAUGGAGAUGGUAUCCGGGAUGCCAUUUAUCGACCAUGUUGAUCGAGUAUGUGACGGGUGCUUGGUUGGAAAACAACACCGCAGGCCGUUCCCUGCUCAGUCUACCUAUCGUGCAAGUGAUGCACUCGAGCUGCUCCAUGGUGAUCUAUGUGGCCCUAUCACCCCAGCAACUCACGCGGGAAAGAAGUAUUUCUUCCUCGUGGUAGACGACUACUCGAGAUAUAUGUGGGUCGUUCUCCUACGAUCUAAAGAUGAGGCGUUUGAAGCGUUCAAGAAGCUGAAGGCUGCAACGGAGAUGGAACACAAAUUGAAGAUUCACGCUCUAUGGACAGAUCGCGGCGGAGAGUUUACGUCGAACGAAUUCAACGAUUACUGCGAGAAGAUUGGCAUAAAAAGGUUCCUCACGGCACCUUACACGCCGCAGAAGAACGGGGUCGUUGAAAAGCGCAAUCGAACUGUCGUUGACAUGGCAAGGAGUUUACUCAAGAGCAAGAACCUGUCGGGGACUUUUUGGGGAGAAGCUGUCUCGACGACGGUCUAUCUUCUCAACCGGGCUCCAACGAAGGCAGUUCUCGGCAAGACUCCGUAUGAAGCAAUUUACGGACGUAAGCCGAAUGUGUCUCAUCUACGGACGUUCGGGUGAGUGGCACAUGUGAAGACGGCGGAGACGCAUCUCUCAAAGCUUGUCGAUCGUAGCACCAAGAUGGUGUUCAUCGGAUACGAGAGGAGUUCCGACACCAAGGCAUAUCGCUUCUACGAUCCACAAACCAAGCGUCUACGGAUUUCACGCGACGUCGUGUUUGAAGAAAACCAAGCGUGGAAUCGGAGCGCCGCAGCCGACGAUGCUCCAAACAGUAACAUAUUCACGAUUGAAUUUCCAACUGAUGAUGAUGCAGGGGAGGAUGUCCAGGUGGUUGGCAAGACGCCCAACCAAGGUGACCACAAUGGUAGUGAUCAUCAUGGUGCCGACACCGACGACGACGCGCAUAGGUCGCAAGGAGAUAGCGACAACGCCGCGCAUGACACAGGCGGAGAUCUCGACGACAACAUCGACAACGAGGCGCAUAGUGACGACGACAAUCAAGAUGAUGGUCACGGUCACGACGACUACGCCGAUGACGCGGAUGUCGAUGACACGCCCGAGACUCAGCCAUCUUCCUCAAGUGCAUCAACAUCGACACAAUUUGUGUCACCUCCUUCGCAAGCCACAACGGAUUCCUCAGGGCCUCGUCGCUACAAGACCCUCAAGAAAGUCUACAAGUACACAAAGUCAGUUACGCUCGAAUACUCCGGACUAUGUGUUUUCGGAGUUGAGGAGCCGGCGAACUUCGUAGAGGCGAGCAAAAGUCCUAGCUGGACGCACGCCAUGGAUGAGGAGAUGAAGGCAAUUGAGAGCAAUGACAUGUGGACCUUGGUAACCCGUCCUCCAAACCAAAAGGCGAUAGGUUUGAAGUGGGUUUACAAGUUAAAGAAGGACACACAAGGUGCCAUUGUGAAGUACAAGGCAAGACUCGUUGCAAAGGGCUACGUACAACGUCAAGGAGUUGACUAUAAUGAGGUGUUUGCACCGGUUGCUCGACUCGAGACGGUGAGAGUGCUCCUAGCUUUGGCAGCACAAGAGGAUUGGAAGGUUCAUCAUAUGGAUGUUAAAUCCGCUUUCCUCAACGGUGAUCUCACAAAGGAAGUGUACGUGGAACAACCCCUCGGCUACGAGAAGAAAGACGAACAAGUGAAAGUUUACAAGCUCAAGAAGGCACUUUACGGACUGAAGCAAGCGCCAAUUGCUUGGAAUUUAAAGUUAGACCAAAGUAUGGCCAUGCUCGGGUUCAAAAGAUGUGCCCUUGAUGGUUCAAAAGUUAGUCUACUAAGCACCGACGAACAUGUGAAGGUUGAAGACACGACCAACGAGAAUUGUUGCUGUCAAGCUACGAAUGAGUCGACGACAGCAAAGUCGGUGAAUGGUACGCUACAAGGAACGAUGAAGGCAACGCCAAGGAGGAAGCAUGCGAGUAGUCGCAUUUGGGAUCCAGGUCGCAUCGAGGAUGUCAUGUUUAGGGGGUGAAUGUUAGAAGUAAACCUGACGUCCGCUUAUGAGUGUCCGAGAAGUACACAUAUAUGUUGCCGAGUCGGUUUGCAGUAGGCCUAGCUUAGCAAUAUAUAUACGUAUACCCCUGUGUAGUCUUUGUACCAGAAAUCAGAAAAGUAAUACAAAGCAAAAGCAAGGCUCGACACGAGCCUAUUUGCAAUCCAUUGAUUCGGUGCCUUCGUUCUCGCCUUGUUCUCGUCGGAUAGUUCGACCAGUCAAGAGCUCGUAUAGUAUACGUGCACGUCCAGCAGGAAUUGCUCUCAUACGUCCGUCGGCUAGCUAGCCUAAGGAAUCCAUCCACCAGAGAGCUAGCUUGCUUGGUACGUGUGACCUGCAGAACCAGUACGAUACGUGUGUAUACAUCCUUGACGGAAAGUACUCGUACGAGGUGCGUCAUACGGACCAAAGCCAACAAUGCUAUCUUGCAGGCGGUUCUUGAAGAGGUGGAGCAGCCAGGGAGUCUGUAUCUUGCUGAGCCCGCAGCUUGUUCUCUGAGAGGUCGAUCUCCAUGGCACUAUGCAGGCUCCCGGGCUCCUUCGGGAUGGUGUCAUCCAGCUGGUUCCGGUAAAUGCAGAGCUUUACGAGCAUGGGAAGCGCCCUGAGCUCGAAUCACAUUUCUCUUGGCGUCGUGCUCAUUGUCAUACUGAAGCUGAAUCACCUUUCUUCUGGUGUUUUGUUCUUUUUCAUAAUGAACCUGAAACACAUUUCUUGUGUUGAUGUGUUCUUUUUCAUACUGACCCUGAAUCACAUUUCUUUUGUUGAUGUGUUCUUUAUCAUACAGAACCUGAAUCAAAUUUCUCUUGUUCAGUCUUUGCUAAAGACCGAACUAGUAAAUCUUGUCAUUACAAAUGUUUAUUCAGAAAUCUUCAUUUUUUCUCAUGAAAUGCUCAGUUUUUUGCUCUCUAAAUUGUGUCUUUAUUUCCUUUGCUCCUCUCUAGAAUUACUAAAUGUUCAGAAUUGUACUGUAUUGGCAUGUCAUAACAAAGCUCGAUUCUUCCAUAUGCCAGUCUUAUGUGUAACAUUUUACACUGAGUUUUUAGCAAACUUGUGUGGUGUUAAAAUUGAAGAUUGUCAAGGCAAACUUGUGUUGUGUUAAACUUGACUAAAUCAUGCACACAUAAAACUGAAGAGAGUGGAUUUUUAGCUCCCGGAUGCCUAGGCACCCUCUAUGAACAGUAAAAUAAAAAAAAUCAAAAUCAAAAUCAAAAAUUUUUGAAACUUUGCAGCAUCAAUGAUGAUGAAACUUUGUAGGUGUUUGCAAAUUUUUAUGCCAAAAAACUAUUCGUGGAGCUCUACACACGAUGUAUUCGUGGAGCUCUACACACGAUGAAAUUCAUAUGUUGAGGUUGACGAUUUAGUUCAGUAACAGUUGAGUGAAUUUCAGUUACGUAAAAGAUGUCAUUAAGUUUAGUCAUGUUGUAUUCCACCCCAUUUUUACUGUCAAAACUGCAUUGCUGGUACUGCCAAAAAGGUUCAGCCUCAAUGCUGCAUUGCUGAAAACAGUAAAUUUUAACAGUUUGGAGUACAGAUUAACUCAAACCUGAAUUUUUAACUGAAUUUUACUCUUUUCUUCUUCCUGAGGAGCAGCAACACUGUCACGUGCAUGGGCAGUGCUCCACCGCGACAGGGGAGCUGCUACUGGAGCUCCGCUGAUGAUCAAAACGAUCACAGCAAGGGAGCUACGGAUUAAUUUCCCUUUAUAUCAGUUGUAGGUGAGAGGCAGAGUACCAGAGGCCUCGCAGAUCGGGGGAGCCGAUUGGAGGGUGUCGGCGUCGCCCACGAGCAGCAGCGUCGGCAGCAGAGGCGUCGCCCACCACAACCACCCGGCGGCUGAAGUAGACUAGCACGGUGACCAGCCCGACGGCCGUGAGCAGCGGAGUCAGGGGCGAAGCGGACCAGCGGGGCGGCGGUGGGUGGCGGAGGAUCCGUUUGUCGAUGGGCGGCGGAGGCCCUGUUCGCGGGUGGACUCGUCCACGGCACAUGACCUUCUCUUGGAGACGGUUGGUUGCAGAGGCUGGCCGUGGCAACGCGGGCGACGGGAGGAGGAAGGAAGGAAGGAAGGAGACGGGGGCUUUAUUUCUGGAGCUUUGCAAGUAGAAGGACUAGAAUGCAAAAAAAAAUGUACUACGCUCGCGUCAUGAAUUACGGGACGAGUAAUGCUACACAUACGGGCGUUCUACGGAAGAUUUACAGGCUCGUUAAGAAUGAUUGGUUGGAAUUUACUUAAAAAGGACGGUCCCACCGGUGAAAUCAGGGGGAGAGCAGUUAGAUUAGGCCACGUCGUCUUCCCGUAAAAGCCUGUUAGAAGCUGUCCGUAUCUUUAGCAUUAUCGAUUACGAGACGGAGGGAGUACUGUAUAUUGUUACACCACUUACAAAUAGAUUUUCGGUGCCGAUUUUUUCUAACACCUGCACAUUUUAUUUGGAAUACGAUACUCGCUGCAGAUUUUAUUUGAACUAUACGUACGGAUGUGUGAAAAAUGGCUACUUCCGCAGCCUAAUUAAUGAACAGUAUCAUGCUCAUUGCCGUUUGCCCUGGCAAGCCCGCCGAAGAGGCACGGGCGGGUCGGAGAGCGCGCCGUCGACGAUCUGGUCGAAGACGAACCUGUUGGCCGCCUCGGUGAAGUGCACGCCGUCCCAGCUCACGCUCCUCGACGGGUCAUCACACGACUUUCCUGCCAGCACCGACGUCCCGUUCACCUGCACCUUAUCACCACACCGGAUGUUCCGGUCGAAGUUGUACUCGCCGCCGCCGUACCCGCAGCACACGCGCAGGGGGUCCCCAAAACCGAGCUCCUUGGCCUGGCUUAUCAGCCUGUACUUGGCGGCGUACACGUCGACGUAGGUUAACGCUGCCCCUGGGAGCGUGUCCCUGAGCCUCGCCACGGUCUCCUUGAGCCGCGCGUUGAAGAACCGGGCGCCGGCGUUGAGCGCGACGGAGCAGCCGGCGGCGUCCUUGUCGGCGGCGAGGUCCGGGCGGAACACCAGGGCGUACGGCAGGCACCCGAGCGGCGCCGUGUUGUGCACCCAGAAGUGCCUCCCCCCGAGGUUGUAGACCGUCUGGAUCGCCGACGAGAUCCUCUCCAUGAGAUCGGGGACGUAGGCCUCGACUUGCUCCGUGGUCAUGUUGUCGAAGUAGCCCACGGUGAGGUCGUUCUGGCCCAUGUCCAAGGUGUAAAGCGCCUUGGAGAUCAACUGCUCCGGGUUGGGCAGGAUCUCCCGGUAGACUCCGCCGAUGUCGUUGUCGUAGACGAAGCGGCUCCUGUUGAUGAACUGCUGGAGCUGCCAGACCUGCACGUCCAGGGAAAUGGGGCUGUACCCUGAGGUCCACAAGCUCCCGUUCACUCGCCUGAUGGUUCCGGCGGCGCUCGCGAAAUUGGCUCCCUGCGUGAAGUUGCUCCCCAGAGAAUCCAGAUACGCACUCAGGUAACGGAGGCCCAGGCUUUGAGCUGCAAGCAAUACGUACACGUCGUAAAAAUUCUCCCGUUUUGAGCUGUUUGCGCGGGAAAAGGGUAAAAAAAACUGCUUCGGUUAACAUGCCGUAGACAAACGUACUCACGUACAUACCCAUGAAGUCGAUGGUGAGGCGGCCGUCGCUUUGCCGGCCGGCCGGCAUGCCGAAGAAGGUCCGGCCGUAGGGCGGCUGCACCGCCGGGAAGAGGGCAGGGAAUGCACCGGUGUCCGAGUUGGAGUCACCGAGGUUGAAGAUGGCCGGGAAGCCGCACGGGGAAUCAUCAGAGCGCGCUCCCGCAGAGAGCUUUAGCACCACCACCGCCAGCAACAGGACACACACGAGUUUGGUCGCCAUGGAUGGAUGAGCCGAUCGACGCCGUUUAGCUCCUGCCGCUCGUCCGGUGCGAAAAUGAUUUUAUGCCCUGCCGCGAGUGCAGCACCCGUGUUGGACCGACUGCUGCUCCGACGCGGCAGCGAUUUUCUAGCCACCAGAAUACUAAUUACCACAUGCAUUAUUCAUGGACUGGUCAAGGUUUAUUAUUAUUUGUUUAUCUUUUGUGAAGUCAGGAUUCAUACACGCCGGCACCGGCAGGUCCAGCACCCCGUCUUGGACUGGUGCUCCGACGUGAUCCUAAUCAAAGAUGUGCAGAAGAUUCAGCGAGGGAUAGCUGCGUUUUGUUGACAAGUAUCCCCUCCUCUCGUUUGUGCACCACCCGAGUUAUAUCAAGAGAGUGACGGGACUGUCACCCUUUACGUGGCAGGUUUGGACAAGCAACUAAGCGUGCUUGACCCUGAUUACUCUCUUAAAAUAAAUGUCUCAAUUUUAUACUAGAUUUAGUACAAAUUUAUAUUAAAUUUGAGACAGUUAUUUUAAAACAAAGGGAGUAUUUGACGUUUCUGUGGUGAUGUAGCCAAGACCGUUAUUACUUGUCAACCUAAAGCUUCAAGAACACAUGACCCGGGAAUGGGAGUACGGGACCUCCGGCAACGACCACGGUUCCUUACCCCCGAGGGCAUCCCGAUCACCAUUCUGCGCGUGGCGCAACGACUCUGCCACUCCAGUAAACACAUAUAUUUUUUUAAAUAUGACAAUUAAAAAAUAAAUAUCAGCACGUGUUCAAAAUAAAUAAAUAUCAGCAGCGAAUAUCUAUAUGUAAGGUGUGUAACCUGAAUUUUUGAUUGAUUUCAUCAAUAAAGUAGCUACAUACAUCGCAUUGAUGAAACGACGGGAGGGAAUCAUCCCUCCUUUUCUAAAAUAGGAAAAUACUAUUUAAGAAGAAUAGAAAUUGGACGAAUACUUAUUUGGAGUAUGAAUACUGUAGAUUUUUAUACAUACAUUUCAAGUAUGGAUGUCUAAAAAAAUAUUCCAACAUCCGCAUCUUAAUGAAUGAACAUUAAGCUCAUCACCAUUUACCCCGGCAGGCCUGUCAUGGCGGACCGACGGGUCAGAGACCGCUCGUAAACAAUCUGAUUGAAGAUAAAUUUAAAUAUGGUACAUAUAUUUCUUGAUAAAUCGGUUACACUAAAACUCAUGGAAAUACGCAUGGGCUUGGAAAAGGGUUCCCCGAAUAUUGGAUUGCCGUUGUUAAACUAGGUUGUAUACUUUAUAAAAUCGAGGAAGUAUCUUAAACUGUAUGUAAAGCAGCUAUCUCCAUAGCUGUAAACCGUCAUGCUCAAUUGCACGCCAUCAUUCCAGCUCACAUCGUUAGAUUUGUUCUCGAAAGAGUUCUCGAGAUCUAAUGCACCGUUCACCUCCACCUUAACAUCGCAAUGGUCUAUUUAGAGCAGCUAGCUAUCUCCAUAGCUGUAAGCCAUUAUGGUCAACUGCACGCCAUCAUUCCAGCUUACACCGAUAGAUUUGUCCUCGAACGAGUUCUUGAGAACCGACGCACCGUUCACCUCCACCUUAACGUUGCAAUGGUCAUGUAUUCUACUUCACAAGUGAAUUGGGCAACUAGUGCUGUAAUAUUGCCUUCCAACUCACAACACAACCACCGAUAAUGUUGGGGAACGUCGCAUGGGAAACAAAAAAUUUCUACGCGCACGAAGACCUAUCAUGGUGAUGUCCAUCUACGAGAGGGGAUGUGUGAUCUACGUACCCUUGUAGACCGUACAGCAGAAGCGUUAGUGAACGCGGUUGAUGUAGUGGAACGUCCUCACGUCCCUCGAUCCGCCCCGUGAACCGUCCCGCGAUCAGUACCACGAUCUAGUGCCGAACGGACGGCACCUCCGCGUUCAGCACACGUACAGCUCGACGAUGAUCUCGGCCUUCUUGAUCCAGCAAGAGAGACGAAGAGGUAGAAGAGUUCUCCGGCAGCGUGACGGCGCUCCGGAGGUUGGUGAUGACCUUGUCUCAGCAGGGCUCCGCCCCGAGCUCCGCAGAAACGCAAUCUAGAGGAAGAACCGUGGAGGUAUGUGGUCGGGCUGCCGUGGAAAGUCGUCUCAAAUCAGCCCUAAAACCUCCGUAUAUAUAGGUGGGAGAGGGGGGACCUUGCCUUGGGGGUCGGCCGAGCCAAAGGGGGGAAGGACUCCCCCCAAACCAAGUCCUACUUGGUUUGGUGGGUGGAGUCCUUCUUUCCUUUCCCACCUCCUCCUUUUUUUCUCCUUUUCUCUUUGAUUUUUCUUCCAAUGCGCAUAGGGCCCUUUUGGGCUGUCCCACCAGCCCACUAAGGGCUGGUGCGCCACCCUCAAGGCCUAUGGGCUUCCCCGGGGUGGGUCCCCCCCCCCGAUGAACUCCCGGAACCCAUUCGUCAUUCCCGGUACAUUCCCGGUACGGUAAUCCCGUCUUAUCAAUCAUGUUGUUAGACAACAAUGAACCUGCAAGUUAUGAAGAAGCAAUGGUGGGCCCAGAUUCCAACAAAUGGCUAGAAGCCAUGAAAUCCGAGAUAGGAUCCAUGUAUGAGAACAAAGUGUGGACUUUGGAGAUACUACCUGAGGGCCGCAAGGCUAUUCAGAACAAAUGGAUCUUUAAGAAGAAGACGGACGCUGACGGUAAUGUGACCGUUUAUAAAGCUCGACUUGUGGCAAAGGGUUUUUCACAAGUUCCAGGAGUUGACUACGAUGAGACUUUCUCACCCGUAGCGAUGCUUAAGUCCGUCAGAAUCAUGUUAGCAAUGGCUGCAUUUUUCGAUUAUGAAAUCUGGCAGAUGGAUGUCAAAACGGCGUUCCUUAACGGUUUCCUUAAGGAAGAGAUGUAUAUGAUGCAACCCGAAGGUUUUGUCGAUCCUAAAAAUGCUGACAAGGUGUGCAAGCUCCAGCGAUCCAUUUAUGGACUGGUGCAAGCAUCUCGGAGUUGGAACAAACGCUUUGAUGAGGUGAUCAAAGCAUUUGGGUUUAUACAAGUGGUUGGAGAAUCUUGUAUUUACAAGAAAGUGAGUGGGAGCUCUGUGGCGUUUCUAAUAUUAUAUGUGGAUGGCAUAUUACUGAUUGGAAACAACGUAGAGCUUUUGGAAAGCAUAAAAGGUUACUUGAAUAAAAGUUUCUCUAUGAAGGACCUGGGAGAAGCUGCUUACAUUCUAGGCAUUAAGAUCUAUAGGGAUAGAUCAAAACGCCUGAUAGGACUUUCACAAAGCACAUACCUUGAUAAAGUUUUGAAGAGGUUCAAAAUGGAAUAGUCCAAGAAAGGGUUCUUGCCAGUGUUACAAGGUACGAGAUUGAGUAAGACUCAGUGCCCAGCAACUGAUGAAGAUAGAGAGCAUAUGCGCUCCGUCCCCUAUGCUUCAGCCAUAGGCUCUAUCAUGUAUGCGAUGCUGUGCACUAGACCAGAUGUUAGCCUGGCCAUAAGUAUGGCAGGCAGGUUCCAGAGUAAUCCAGGAGUGGAUCACUGGACAGCGGUCAAGAAUAUCCUGAAGUACCUGAAAAGGACUAAGGAGAUGUUUCUCGUGUAUGCAGGUGACGAAGAGCUCGCCGUAAAAGGUUACGUCGAUGCAAGCUUUGACACAGAUCCGGACGACUCUAAGUCGCAAACAGGAUACGUAUUUAUUCUUAAUGGGGGUGCAGUAAGCUGGUGCAGUUCCAAGCAAAGCGUCGUAGCAGAUUCUACAUGUGAAGCGGAGUACAUGGCUGCCUCGGAGGCGGCUAAGGAGGGUGUCUGGAUGAAGCAGUUCAUGACGGAUCUUGGAGUGGUGCCAAGUGCACUGGAUCCAAUAACCUUGUUCUGUGAUAACACUGGUGCCAUUGCCUUAGCAAAGGAACCAAGGUUUCACAAGAAGACCAGACACAUCAAACGAUGCUUCAACCUCAUCCGCUACUACGUCGAGGAGGAGGACGUAAAUAUAUGCAAGGUGCACACGGAUCUGAAUGUAGCAGACCCGCUGACUAAACCUCUUCCACGACCAAAACAUGAUCGACACCAGAACUGUAUGGGUGUUAGAUUUAUUACAAUAUAAUUCACAUGGUGAUGUGAGGGCUAGAUUAUUGACUCUAGUGCAAGUGGGAGACUGUUGGAAUUAUGCCCUAGAGGCAAUAAUAAAUGUAUAGUUAUUAUUAUAAUUCCUGUAUCAAGAUAAUAGUUUAUUAUCCAUGCUAUAAUUGUAUUGAAUGAAGACUCAUUUACAUGUGUGGAUACAUAGACAAAACACCGUCCCUAGCAUGCCUCUAGUUGGCUAGCCAGUUGAUCGAUGAUAGUCAGUGUCUUCUGAUUAUGAACAAGGUGUUGUUGCUUGAUAACUGGAUCACGUCAUUGGGAGAAUCAUGUGAUGGACUAGACCCAAACUAAUAGACGUAGCAUGUUGAUCGUGUCAUUUUGUUGCUACUGUUUUAUGCGUGUCAAGUAUUUAUUCCUAUGACCAUGAGAUCAUAUAACUCACUGACACCGGAGGAAUGCUUUGUGUGUAUCAAACGUCGCAACGUAACUGGGUGACUAUAAAGAUGCUCUACAGGUAUCUCCGAAGGUGUUAGUUGAGUUAGUAUGGAUCAAGACUGGGAUUUGUCACUCCGUGUGACGGAGAGGUAUCUCGGGGCCCACUCGGUAAUACAACAUCACACACAAGCCUUGCAAGCAAUGUAACUUAGUGUAAGUUGCGGGAUCUUGUAUUACGGAACGAGUAAAGAGACUUGCCGGUAAACGAGAUUGAAAUAGGUAUGCGGAUACUGACGAUCGAAUCUCGGGCAAGUAACAUACCGAAGGACAAAGGGAAUGACAUACGGGAUUAUACAAAUCCUUGGCACUGAGGUUCAAACGAUAAGAUCUUCGUAGAAUAUGUGGGAUCCAAUAUGGGCAUCCAGGUCCCGCUAUUGGAUAUUGACCGAGGAGUCUCUCGGGUCAUGUCUACAUAGUUCUCGAACCCGCAGGGUCUGCACACUUAAGGUUCGACGUUGUUUUAUGCGUAUUUGAGUUAUAUGGUUGGUUACCGAAUGUUAUUCGGAGUCCCGGAUGAGAUCACGGACGUCACGAGGGUUUCCGGAAUGGUCCGAAAACGAAGAUUGAUAUAUAGGAUGACCUCAUUUGAUUACCGGAAGGUUUUCGGAGUUACCGGGAAUGUACCGGGAAUGACGAAUGGGUUCCGGGAGUUCACCGGGGGGGGGGGGCGAACCCACCACGGGGAAGCCCAUAGGCUUUGGGGAGACACACCAGCCCUUAGUGGGCUGGUGGGACAGCCCCAAGGGGGCCUAUGCGCCAAGAGAAGGAAAUCAAAGGAAAAGAAAAAAAAGAGGGAAGAAGUGGGAAGGGAGGGGGACUCCUCCCACCAAACCAAGUCCAGCUCGGUUUGGGGNCCAAGGCAAGGUCCCCCUCCCUCCUCCUAUAUAUAUGGGGCUUUUAGGGUAGAUUUGAGACGACUUUCUCACGGCUGCCCGACCACAUACCUCCAUAGUUUUUCCUCUAGAUCGCGUUUCUGCGGAGCUCGGGCGGAGCCCUGCUGAGACGAGAUCAUCACCAACCUCCGGAGCGCCGUCACGCUGCCGGAGAACUCUUCUACCUCUCCGUCUCUCUUGCUGGAUCAAGAAGGCCGAGAUCAUCGUCGAGCUGUACGUGUGCUGAACGCGGAGGUGCCGUCCGUUCGGUACUAGAUCGUGGGACUGAUCGCGGGAUUGUUCGCGGGGCGGAUCGAGGGACGUGAGGACGUUCCACUACAUCAACCGCGUUCUCUAACGCUUCUGCUGUAUGAUCUACAAGGGUACGUAGAUCACUCAUCCCCUCUCGUAGAUGGACAUCACCAUGAUAGGUCUUCGUGCGCGUAGGAAAUUUUUUGUUUCCCAUGCGACGUUCCCCAACACCAUAUAACUCAAAUACGCAUAAAACAACGUCAAACCUUAAGUGUGCAGACCCUGCGGAUUCGAGAACUAUGUAGACAUGACCCGAGAGACUCCUCGGUCAAUAUCCUAUAGCGGGACCUGGAUGCCAAUAUUGGAUCCUACAUAUUCUACGAAGAUCUUAUCGUUUGAACCUCAGUGCGAAGGAUUCAUAUAAUCCCGUAUGUCAUUCCCUUUGUCCUUCGGUAUGUUACUUGCCCGAGAUUCAAUCGUCAGUAUCCGCAUACCUAUUUCAAUCUCGUUUACCGGCAAGUCUCUUUACUCAUUCCGUAAUACAAGAUCCCGCAACUUACAUUAAGUCACAUUGCUUGCAAGGCUUGUGUGUGAUGUUGUAUUACCGAGUGGGUCCCGAGAUACCUCUCCGUCACACGGAGUGACAAAUCCCAGUCUCGAUCCAUACUAACUCAACUAACACCUUCGGAGAUACCUGUAGAGCAUCUUUAUAGUCACCCAGUUACGUUGCGACGUUUGAUACACAUAAAGCAUUCCUCCGGUGUCAGUGAGUUAUAUGAUCUCAUGGUUAUAGGAACAAAUACUUGAUACGCAGAAAACAGUAGCAACAAAAUGACACGAUCAACAUGCUACGUCUAUUAGUUUGGGUUUAGUCCAUCACAUGAUUCUCCUAAUGAUGUGAUCCCGUUAUCAAGUAACAACACUUGCCUAUGGCCAGGAAACCUUGGCCAUCUUUGAUCAACGAGCUAGUCAACUAGAGGCUUACUAGGGACAGUGUUUUGUCUAUGUAUCCACACAAAUAUUAUGUUUCCAAUCAAUACAAUUAUAGCAUGGAUAAUAAACGAUUAUCAUGAACAAAGAAAUAUAAUAAUAACUAAUUAUUAUUGCCUCUAGGGCAUAUUUCCAACAGAUAAUAAACACAUAAUUGUAUGGUGUCUGCUUUUAUCCAAAUCACUAGAAGCAAAAUCUUAAUCCAUGUACCGAACGAGUCAUCAAAGAUAGAAAGGAACGUUGAACAUCGUAUUUGCAAUAUUUCCAGUAUUAUAGAUGUAGAAACCAGCAUUGUUAAUCAAGGUUUUUCUUUAAAGUGUAUUUCUCCCUUCAAAAUACCAUCCAUCUAAUUUGUUAAAGUAUGGAACUCUCGCCCAGAGCCGCGGAACUCAUGACUCUAUUAGAAAGUAGAAUGACCAACUUUUACAUGAAUUUUCAAGUGGAUGAGAUCAGUCGAAUGGUCUCUGUUCGAGAUGGGAUAGUAUGUGUUUAUGGACUGAACGAGAUUCAAAGCAGGAGAAAUGAUGGAAUUUGCCAGCGGUGCAAAAGGAAUCAUUUUUAAUCUUGAGAAUGAGAGUAGGUAUUGUUAUCUUUGGUAGUAAUACCACUAUUAAAGGACAUAUUGUCAAACACACUAGAUCUAGUGUGGAUGUACCUACGGUUGAGAAACUAGAGAACCAGAAACACAAGCUUUCUAGGAAAGAUACUUCAAAACGAAUAACAUUUCUUCGAAGCAAGAUUGCAGGAUCAGCCUAACUGAGUAAACAUUGAGACGAGUUUCUUGUCUAGAAAUCUGUGCCAUCAAGAAAAAUUCUUGAAGGUUCUUCUACCCUCCACAAAAUGUACCGGGACACCAAAGCUCGUGCGCAAAUUGUCUUCAAAAUCAAACCAAGCCUGAGCGUUGAGGUCCGAAAGUGUCAUGAUUGAAAACCCGAAACACAAUGGGUCGGUAUGGUGCCUAUAGCUGCCGGAGUGUCCGCGAGAGGGAAAGGGGUGGUUGACGCGACCGGGGCGUGGUCAGCACCAGGGGGUCAGUGGUCGCCGCCGGUGAGGGGCUGAUUACGCAGAUGCUAGCAUGGGGCUAGGGGCUAGUACAGCUCGCGCCGAGUGUACUUACAUGUUUGUCAUGUAGUUCAAAUAUCAUAUUGAAGUAAAUUAUAAAUUUUGGCAUUCUACUUACUGUGUAAGUUCAACACACGAUUUUACCAUACAUACAUAGGGAGGUACAUUUCUUAUUCAUUGAUUUUUUUACAAGAGUUAUAAAUAGAUACUCAUUGCAUAUUUUAUUUGGAGUACGGACGUCAGAAAAAAAUCCUACAUCCGCAGUCUAAUUAAUGAACAUCAUGUUCAUUGCCCUUUGCCCUGGCAGGCCCGACGCAAAGGCACCGGAGGGUCGGAGAGAGCGCCGUCCACGAUCUGGUCGAAGAUAAACUUGUAAGCCGCUUCGGUCAAGUGCACCCCAUCCCAGCUCACGCUCUUGGACGGGUCCACGCACGACUUCCCCCCCAGGACCGGAUCGCCACACCGGAUGUUCUUGUCGAAGUUGUAUUGGCCGCCGCCGUACCCGCAGCACACGCGCAGAGGAUCCCCAAAACCGAACUUUUUGGCUUCGCUCAUCAGCUUGUACAUGGCGGCGUACAGGUCGACGUAGGUGAAGGCGGCCUCUGGGAGAGCGACCCUAAGCCUCGCCACGACCUCCUUGAGCCGGGCGUUGAAGAACCGGGGGCCGGCGUUGAGCGCGAUGGAGCAGCCGGCGUCAUCCUUCUCUCCGGCAAGGUCCGGUCGGUAGACCAGGCCGUAGGGGAGGCACCCGAACGUCCCCGUGUUGUGCACCCAGAAGUACCUCCCGCCGAGGUUGUACACCGUCUGGAUCGCCGACUCGAGCCUCUCCAUCAGAUCGGGGACGUAGGCUUCCACUUGCUCCGUGGUCAUGUUGUCUAGGUAGCCCAUGGCGAGGUCGUUGGCGCCGAUUUUGAAGGUGUAAAGCGCCUUGGAGACCAGGUGCUCGGGGUUCGGCAGGAUCUCCCGGUAGACUCCGCCUACGUUGUUGUAGAUGUGCGAUAACUAUGUCACAUCUAAAUGUGUCCUAAACACACCCUUGCUAAAAAUACAUCCAGGAGCUGCAUUUAAGUUUGAUUUUCACCUAUGUUGUUGUAGACGAAGCGGCUCCUGUUGAUGAACUGCUGGAAUUGCCAGAGCUGCACGUCCAGGGAAAUGGGGCUGUACCCGGAGGUCCACAGGCUCCCGUUCACCCGUCUGAUGGUUCCGGCGGCGCUCGCGAAAUUGGCUCCCUGCGUGAAGUUGCUCCCUAGUGAAUCCAGGUACGCAUUCAGGUAACGUAGCCCCAGGUUUUGAGCUGCGAUACGUCGUACGUGUUAGGAAAAAUAAAAAAUCUCUAGUUUUGAGUUGUUUGUGCAGGAAAGAAAAAACUCUAAAUCCAUCCUAGUUUUGAGUUGUAGAUAAAUGUCAUGAGUACCCAUGAAGUCGAUGACGAGGCGGCCGUCGCUCUGCCGCCCGGCCGGCAUGCCGAAGAAGGUCUGGCCGUAGGGCGGCUGCACCGCCGGGAAGAGGGCCGGGAAGGCUCCGGUGUCCGAGGAGGAGUCGCCGAAGUUGAAGAUGGCCGGGAAGCCGCACGGGGAAUCUUCGGAGCGCACCAUUUCUAGUACCACCAGCAACACCACGAACGUGAUCAGUUUGUUGGUGGCCAUGGUGGUGCGACGGCGAGCUGAAAUCAUUUCCGACCUCUCGACCGUGUGCCGUGACGGUGAAGCUGCUUGAAGUGGAUUUAUACACGCCGGCACCGAGGUCGUCACAGUCGAGCACCCGUGUUGGACUGGCGGUCUCCGACGUGAUCCUAAAGAGAUGGAAUAGCUACGUUUUGUUGACAACUAGUAUUAAGCGGCUGAUUUCCAUGCACCACCCUCCAUAGACCAACGGGUCAUCACCGUUUGCGUGGCACCUUAGGACAAGCAACAAGGCGUGCUUGACCCUUGAUUACUCUCUAGCACUACAGUAUCUUGACGUUUAGUUCCAUGGUGACGUGGCCAAGAUGCAUUCAUUUCUGCGAGAAAUAAUUAUGGACUGAUGAAAUAUCUUCUGUACAAUAUUUGAGUAGCGACACGUGUCGGAGUGGGAACAAGUGAAGGCGAUGGAUUCGGGGGCGGCGAUCAACUCGAUGCUGCAGACUGAAGAACGAUCAGGAUGCAUGAAGUCCUUUUGCGUUUGUCUUUCAAACUAUGCUCUCGUUUCGCAUGCGGAUUAUGCUUUAUUGUUUAAAUUCGAACUCAUUUGCCGAAAUCGCUGUCAAAUUCCAACUAUGUUCUAUUGCGUGGUUUUUCGGUUUGCGGGUCGCCGCGGUGGCACCCGAGCACACACCACAUUGACAACCCGUAUAAUAGCAUUUUUUUGCGAAUAUGCUUUAUACGGCUCCGUUUUGGGGGGUCCACCUCUGUCCGCACCCGCGCCGCCCGCAAGAUCCAUUUUUCACGAACUGUAAACGAUUUUUGCGGGUCGAAAUUAUACGGGGUCUGCUAGAAAUGCCCUUAUGAUCAUGUUGGAGCACCAGCCCAAAACGGAUGAUGGACUCCGACGACUUGACGGUGCCGGCGUGUAUGAAUCCUGACGGCCAGUGCCAUUCUCAAAAGGACAAAAGAAGAAAAAAGGACCAGUCCAGUAGUAAUGCAUGUGGUACUUCAUGUUCUGGAUGGAUGCUGGACUUGACUUGCCGGCCGGCCUGUAUAAACCACAAAUCAUUUUCCCUGCAGCUUCACCGUCACGGGCACCGGACGAGCGGCGGGAAAUGGCUUGAGCUCAUGGUUGAACUACCAUGGCGACCAAUCUCAUGUCCGUCGUGUUGCUAAUGGUGAUAAAGCUCUCUGCUGGGGCGCGCUCUGACGAAUCCCCGUGCAGCUUCCCGGCAAUCUUCAAUCUCGGUGACUCCAACUCGGACAACGGAGCUUUCCCGACCCUCUUUCCGGCUGUGCAGCCGCCCUACGGCCAGACCUUCUUGGGCAAUGGGCAUGCCGGCCGGGCGGCAAAGCGACGGCUGCCUCACCAUCGACUUCCUGGGUACACAUCUAUCUACAACAUCUCAUAGGGAUCGUAUGCAUCGUGCUGCUGCAGAGGUGAUAACCGAUGAUUUUAUUUCCUAACACACGUAACGUACGUAUUGCAGCUCAAGCAUGUUACCUGAGUGCAAUUUACUCAAUAUAACAUGUUUGUCAUGUAGUUCACCAUAGAUAUAUUUCUUAUUCAUAGAUUUUCUACACGAUAUUAUCUCAUUGCAGAUUUUAUUUGGAUUACGGAUACUAGUGCAGAUUUUAUUUGGAGUACGGAUGUCUGGAAAAAUAAUCCUACAUUCAGAAUCUAAUUAAUGAACAUCAUGCGCAUUGCCCUUUGCCCUGGCAGGCCCCACGCAAAGGCACCGGAGGGUCGGAGAGAGCGCCGUCCACGAUCUGGUCGAAGAUGAAUUUGUAAGCCGCCUCUGUCAAGUGCACCCCAUCCCAGCUCACGCUCUUCGAUGGGUCCUCGCAAGACUUCCCCUCUAGGACCGGAUCACCGCACCGGAUGUUCUUGUCGAAGUUGUACUGGCCGCCGCCGUACCCGCAACACACACGCAGAGGAUCCCCAAAACCGAACUUUUUGGCUUCGCUCAUCAACUUGUACGUGGCGGCGUACACGUCGACGUAGGUGAAGGCGGCCUCGGGGAGAGCCACCCUGAGCCUCGCCACGGUCUCCUUGAGCCGCGCAUUGAAGAACUGGGGGCCGGCGUUGAGCGCGACAGAGCAGCCGGCGUCGUCCUUCUCCGCGGCGAGGUCAGGGCGGUAGACCAGGGCGUAGGGGAGGCACCCGAGCGUCCCCGUGUUGUGCACCCAGAAGUACCUCCCGCCAUGGUUGUACACCGUCUGGAUCGCCGACGCGAGCCUCUCCAUUAGAUCGGGGACGUAGGCCUCCACUUGGGCCGUGGUCAUGUUUUCUAGGUAGCCCAUGGCGAGGUCGUUGGCGCCGAUGUCGAAGGUGUAAAGCGCCUUGGAGACCAGGUGAUCUGGUUUGGGCAAGAUCGCUCGGUAGAUUCCACCUGCGUCGAUAUCGAGGAACCUCCGGUAAGAAAUUGCUAAAAGACAUCUAGAUGUGAGAUAACUAUUGCACAUCUAAGUCCUAUGUGAUUGACCUUACGUCGAGAUUCGUGUGAGUAUCUUUUUUACUUUUUACUUUUUUUUAUGCUUGAUUUAGCAUUUUAGAUGUGCGAUAAUUAUGUCACAUCUAGAUGUGUCCUAGACACACCCUUGCUACAAAAUAUAUAUCGAGGAGCUGGAUUUAAGUUUGAUUUUCACCUAUGUUGUUGUAGACGAAGCGGCUCCUGUUGAUGAACUGCUGGAAUUGCCAGAUCUGCACGUCCAAGGAAAUGGGGCUGUAUCCGGAGGUCCACAAGCUCCCGUUCACUCGUCUGAUAGUUCCAGCGGCGCUCGCGAAAUUGGCUCCCUGCGUGAAGUUGCUCCCUAGCGAAUCCAGAUACGCAUUCAGGUAACGCAGCCCCAGGCUUUGAGCUGCGGCACAUACGUGUCAGGGAAACAAUAUAGAAAAUCUCCAGUUUUGAGAUGUUGUAGGUAGAUGUGUGUACCCAUGAAGUCGAUGGUGAGGCGGCCGUCGCUCUGCCUCCCGGCUGGCAUGCCGAAGAAGGUCUGGCCGUAGGGCGGCUGCACCGCCGGGAAGAGGGCCGGGAAGGCUCCGGUGUCCGAGUAGGAGUCGCCGAAGUUGAAGAUCGCCGGGAAGUCGCACGGAGAUUCAUCGGAGCGCACCCUCUCUAGUACCACCAGCAACACGACGAACGUGAUGAGUUUGCUGGUCGCCAUGGUGGUGCGGCGGCGAGCUCUCGGCCGGUGUCCCUGACGGUGAAGCGGCUGGGAGAGGAUUUAUAAUACACGCCGGCACCAGCAGGUCGUCAGAGUCCAGCACCCGUGUUGGACUGGCGGUUGGAAUAGCUACGUUUUGUUGAUAAGUAUCCUCCCCGUGUGAUGUUGAUGCACCACCCUCUAGAGAAUGACGGGUGAUCACCGUUUGCGUGGCACCUUAGGACAAGCAACUACGAGGCGUGCUUGACCCUUGAUCACUCUCUAGUGCUACAGUAUCUUGACGUUCGGUUCCAUGGUGAUGUGGCCAAUAUGCAUCCAUUUUUACGACAAAUAAUUCUGAACGGAUGAAAUAUCAUGUACAGUAUUUGACGUUAUCAUGAUGAUGAUGUGGCCAAAACCGUUAUUACUUCUGUCAGAGAACUUGCGCAGAACAAGGAAAAACGUGUGUGGGAGGGUCAGAGACACGUAUCUGAACGGUGACGUGGCCCGCCUAGUGUCCGUCAGCAGCAACGCGGUGUUUCGAGUGGAGCAUGUCGUCGGUGGUCUAGCUCGUGAGCGACCCGAUCAAGUAGGAGGAUUUCAAGUUCAAGAUCCGUGUGUUUACUGUUAGAGACUCACUACUCGCCCCGAUCUCUCGUUUGAUUUACUCAUGGAUACAGGUUAAAAUGUUGUUGUGUCACUAGUGGCUGGUGGCCCUUGUUUUAUGGUUGGCCCGCACAGUGGACGGUGGCUAAGAGCAUCCCUAAGAAACUCCGUAUAAUGCUCCGAUCUGUAAAAUAACUAUCGAAAUAUGGAUCGGGGAAGAAAUUGCUAUCAGACCAGACCCCGCAAACGCGUCCGAUCUGUAAAUUUUUUGUCGGGGCGACAAAAAUUCGUCCUCAACCUUCAGAUUCACGGGGUGGGAGGCCGAUCCAAGCUCGUUCCUUAUCCGCAACGAGAUUUGGCACGAGAGAAAUUUCCGCACGGCCGUUCCCCGCUCCCCCUCCUCGACAACCAUUUCCCCGCCCACCGCGCGUUCUGGACCUUCUUCCCCGCCAUUCUUAGCCGGCGUGGAAGCCUCCCACCCGACGGAUCUCGUAAACGUGGAGGUCGCGCACGUGCAAUCAUGUCCGGCGGAUCUCGUUGCCGGCCAUGUCGCCCCCGACGUUGCCUAAGCCACCAAUGCGCCUGCCCACAAGUGGCAAGGCAACGUUGUCAUGCAGGGCGGCAUUCCGGUUGGCCCCGCCGGAAGGGAAGGCGCGCUGGGCGCCACCGCUGCUGCGUGAACUGCUUGGCCGCCUGCGCGGAAGAUGGGCAAGGUUUCGGGCGUGAAGCGAAAGAAUGUUCAUACGAAAAAACCGUCGUACACUCACUCCGUCCUGGUGAGACGUUCCCCGACGGUGCCUUUCUACGGCGCUGCUUCCACCGCAGGCGAGGUGUUCGAUGAAAGGACCGGAAGGUAUGCAUCUUCGCUCGCUUAUUUUUGCUUUGAUUUUUCGCCAUUGUGGUAGGUCAUGAUGUGCUGUCACUCAAUGUAGAGGAGGAUGCUUGCGUAUUAUGACGGCGAUGGUUUCUCGUUUGAAGUCGAAACCAAUAUCGCCGAUGAUUUCGGUGCUGGAGUAGGGACAAAUGCAAGCGAUGGAUUCAAGGGAGUCGAUGGAUUCAGAGGCGGCGAUGACCUCGAUGGUGCGGAGUGAAGAGCGACCCGGAUGCAUGAGGUCCUUUUGCGUUUGUCUUUUAAACUAUGCUUUCAUUUCACGCGCGAACUAUGUUUUAUUGUUAAAAUUUGAACUCAUUUGCCGGAACCGCUGUCAAAUUUGAACUAUGGUUUAUUGGAAGGUUUUCCGGUUUGCGGGUCGACGCGGCGGCGUCCGAGCAGAUCCCGCAUUGACGAUCCGUAUAAUAGCAUCUUCUGCGAAUAUCCUUUUUUAUGACCGUUUUGGGGAAUCUGCCUCUGUCUGCGUCUGUGCAGGUCCGUAAAAGCCGUUUUUCGCGAAGUGUGAACGACUUUUGCGGGUUCGGCUUUAUACGCGUUUUGCUAGAGAUGCUCUACCACCUCCCCCUUUUUAACCCGACUUAUUCCCCAGCCGUUGCCACAUAGAGCUUUCCAAGAUCCCGAGUUGCUUGAACAUUCCUUAUCGUGUCGAAAUCGCCAUGGCAGUUGUUGUAGUAGUAACUAUUUUUUUUAGAAAAGGAGGAUUACCUCCGGCCUGUGCAUCAGCACGAUGCAUACAACCCCUUUAUUUAGCAAGCAAACAAAUAUCGGUCCAACAUUGCAGUGGUAGCUAUGGUCGAGGUCGACUUGAACAAGAUCAAAGGAGAAGCCGUCCUCGAUGUAGUAGUCACAGCCGUUGGGAACUUGCUCGAGGAUGCUGUCUAAAUAAAUAGGAAGGGGGGUACAAAGUAUAAGCACAAACUUUAGUGUGGUACCAAGUAUAACACAUACUACACUUUAUAAGGAGAAGGAAGAAUCAAAAUAUAUUAUACUUCCAGCAUGUUUUUCAUCUGUGCGCAAUUACAAAUUAAGAAUAAACUUAUAGCCUCACAACUUGGCUACGCGGAAAUACGCAUAGUUACUUAGUCAAACCAUAAACUAAGGAUGAGAACUAGGGUUGGAUCGUGGGAUUCUGAGAAAGAAAGUGAGAAGGGUGUGGUCGAGGGGUGGUUUUGGACUUCCAGGCCUGUUGAGCUGUGAUUUUCUUAUUUUUGCAUCAUGUGCAUGUUACAACGCUACACGUUACAACAUUAUAGCAAGGCAUAGCGUCCUAAUUAUGUGAUUAGCAUCGUAGCGGAUGAAUUUGUUAAAAUGUAGCAUCUUCUUUUCUAAUACGCUUUAACCAAAAUUGCGCGCUAUUUUUUCGUUCGACGUGUCAUAAUUUUUAUUAGCAUUCUUUCAAACCCUUAGGAAACAAUUCUUUGAUUUUGCUGUGAUGGAGUCAAGCAAACAAAUAUCUCGCGAAUUGCGGCGCUGAUGGAGGUGCAAGUGGCAGCCGCGGAGCUCGCCGCUGGCCGUUGGGGCGAGCGGCGGCGGUGGCGGCCAGAUGUUUAGGGUUUGCAUUCGAAGCGAUUUUGCAGAUGGUAUUGCGAGAAUGCCUGGUUGCCAUGAUCUGAUCAAAGAUUAUCUUGUUUUUUCUAACGGAACAUUUUGGUGCCCUGUAUCAAAUUUUCGAUCUGAAACUGAAAGAUCGACCGUACAUGCUUUUCUGCUUCAUUCGCUGUCAUAUAUGGCCAUCUCUAUUAUUGCUCGGUAACUUUGCAUUUCGCUGGAAGCAAUCUGCAGAAGGCUGGUGGGGAAAGGACCGUGGCGGCGGAGAGCUGCGACCGAGUCCGAGGCCAAGGCCGCGGCAUCGAAGAUCACGGUCAACUUAGAACCCAAGUUGCUGGAGUGCUCCGGCUGCUGCAGCCCAUUGGCUCCACCCAUUUUCCAGGUACCCAACAGGAGUACAGGACCUUGUAUUCCUUUGCUGAAUGCUUUCUGCAUUUUACUAGAUUCAGUUAUACCCUGCAGUUUAGGUAUGCUGGAUUAUUGACCAUUUGUAUAGUUUCUGAUACCAUCUGCAUGUUGAUGUAUAGUUUCUCCUACUUCACUUUCAGCAAAUCUUGCGACCGUCAAUUAGUAUGCUGCUUCUAGACUUCUGAUUCCUUUUCUUCUGAAUUCNNNNNNNNNNNNNNNNNNNNNNNNNNNNNNNNNNNNNNNNNNNNNNNNNNNNNNNNNNNNNNNNNNNNNNNNNNNNNNNNNNNNNNNNNNNNNNNNNNNNUAUAUGAUAAAUAGUACUUUUAUAGCUAACUACUGUACAAGCUAGCUAUAAGAUGGACUAUAGGAUGGCUUAUAGCCAGCAGUUGGCUAUACUAUUAACCAAGCUCUAAAGCCUUGUCCCGAGAAUAAUGCUGGACUUUAGCACCUCCCUAUGCCUAACCUCGGACGUCCUCAUUAACACAAGCAGCACUCCUUACAAUCUGCACACAAAUAAACAAAAUGGUAAAACUAGUCAACUAAACCUUCAAGCCCCUUAUCAAAACAAUGCAAUGCAUACCCAACCACUCUUUCUAUGGAGUCCCUAAAAGUACAAAAAAAAACUACAACAAGCACAUUCCAUCGAAACAGCCAUGGGACGGCCACCCCUGGUCCAACAGGAAAGAAACAAAGGUACUACUGGAGUGUUGUGUAACCUCAGAUUUUGCGAUUGUUAUCAUGAAGAUAUUUGUCAGACGAUGUCGACAAUAUUUGUGCAACUCAUCAUAGGCACGAGUCAACUCCAGAAGCAAAAAAGUAACAAGCACCGUGGCAAUAUUUUGUUUUUGUACGUAAGAAGGUAGGCCGAUGUCUACCUUGUGUGUUCCAAAAUCCAAAUCAAACCAAAGUUUAAGAAUCANNNNNNNNNNNNNNNNNNNNNNNNNNNNNNNNNNNNNNNNNNNNNNNNNNNNNNNNNNNNNNNNNNNNNNNNNNNNNNNNNNNNNNNNNNNNNNNNNNNNAUAAACGGGUCGUGCCAUGCCGGCCCGCGUGCCCAGCCCUCAGGCCCAGGCACGGCCCGUUUAAAUCGUGUCGGGCCGGGUCCGUGCUGUGCCGUCGUGGCGGGCUGGCAGGCCGGCCUGUUUAGCCCGGCCCGUUUGGCCAGACUUAGGAGUGAACACUUGUGGCGCACACAUCGACCGUAAUUCUGGGCCUCAACAUUUUUUUUCCUAUGGAAGGAUCAAAUAUAUUACUCUAUUCGUUUUAAAGUAAGUGUCUUAAUUUUAUAUUAAUUCUAGUACAAAACUAUAAUAAAAUUAAGACAUUUAUUUCAGAACAAAAAAUAUAAAAGUUUACUAAAAAUAUAAUAUCACCAAUCACUGCUGCGGUCGAGCCAUUUUCACGUUGUUGUUGCCACUCUUUUACCUCAGUCGACUAGAUCUCAUCGAUUACAACCAAAAAGACUACAUGCAUGUGCCCCGAAGGAUCAACGCCCUUGAGCUACAGCCGUUGUUGUUGAACUCUUGCAUAAAUUUGAAAUCAACUGACAUCAAAUUUCGUCAUAUAAUGAGAAAAUCAAGGCUCACCCCCCAAGGCGUAAAUUUCAUUAUGAUAAGAUAUCAAAUCAAAUUCACAAUAUGAAAAUACCACUAGCAUCACUGAAUUGUACAUUGUCAAAGAAUUUAGAAAUAUUUUUUUAAUAAAUUUGUACCUUUACUCUUCAUAUUUUCUAUACCCUUUCAUUUAUUACCCAUUUGCUAGGUUUCUAUGUUUCACAUUCACCGACAAAAGCGUGUGACAACGACAGCGCCACCACGCCAUGUUGGGGUAACGUAGCAUAAAUUCAAAAAAAUUCCUACGCAUAUUCAAAUCUUCUUAUGGAGAGACCAGCAACGAGAGAGGGGUAAGAGCAUCUUCGUACCUUUGAAGAUCGCUAAGCGGAAGCGUUGCUAGAACGCGGUUGAUGGAGUCGUACUCGCAGCGAUUCCGAUUUAGUGCCGAACUACGGCACCUCCGUGUUCAACACACGUGCAGCCCGGUGACGUCUCCCGCACCUUGAUCCAGCAAGGAGGAGGGAGAGGUUGGGGAAGAACUCCAGCAACACGACGGCGUGAUGUCGAUGGAGAGACGAGGUCUCCCGGCAGGGCUUCGCCAAGCACCGACAGAGAGGAGGAGGAAGAAGAGCAGGGCUGCGCCGAGGGAGAGGGAAAAGUCUAAUCUCCAAUGGCCAAAAGUGCCCACUAUAUAUAGGAGAAGGGGAGAGGGGGUGCGGCAACCCCUCCAGAUGGGAGGUGCGGCGGCCAGAGGGGGAGGAGGGGGUGGCGCACCCACUGGUGGGCCUUAGGCCCACCUGGCUUAGGGUUUGCCCCCCCUUUUCUCUCCCUUGCGCAAUGGGCUGAGUGGGGAGGCGCACCAGCCCACCUAGGGGCUGGUUCCCACCCCCACUUGGCCCACCUUACCUCCCGGGGUCGUUAUCCCCCUUCGGUGGUCCCGGUGGUCCCGGUACGUUACCGGUGAUGCCCGAAACACUUCCGGUAUCCGAAACCAUCCGUCCUAUAUAUCAAUCUUUACCUCCGGACCAUUCCGGAGCUCCUCGUGACGUCCGGGAUCUCAUCCGGGAUUCCGAACAACUUUCGGUAACCUCGUAUAACAAUUCCCUAUAACCCUAGCGUCAUCGAACCUUAAGUGUGUAGACCCUACGGGUUCGGGAGACAGGCAGACAUGACCGAGACACCUCUCUGGCCAAUAACCAUCAGCGGGGUCUGGAUACCCAUUGUGGCUCCCACUUGCUCCACGAUGAUCUCAUCGGAUGAACCACGAUGUCAAGGAUUCAAUCAAUCCCGUAUACGAUUCCCUUUGUUUGUCGGUAUAGAACUUGCCCGAGAUUCGAUCGUCGGUAUACCUAUACCUUGUUCAAUCUCGUUAUCGGUAAGUCUCUUUACUCGUUCCGUAGCACGUCAUCGUGUGACUAACUCCUUAGACACAUUGAGCUCAUGAUGAUGUUCUACCGAGUGGGCCCAGAGAUACCUCUCCGUCACACGGAGUGACAAAUCCCGAUCUCGAUUCGUACCAACCCAACAGACACUUUCGGAGGUACCCGUAGUGCACCUUUAUAGUCACCCAGUUACGUUGUGACGUUUGAUAGACCCAAAGCACUCCUACGGUAUCCGGGAGUUGCACAAUCUCACGGUCGAAGGAAAAGAUACUUGACAUUAGAAAAGCAUUAGCAUACGAACAAUACGAUCUAGUGCUAGGCUUAGGAUUGGGUCUUGUCCAUCACAUCAUUCUUCCAAUGAUGUGAUCCCGUUAUCAAUGACAUCUAAUGCCCAUGAUCAGGAAACCAUGAUCAUCUAUUGACUAACGAGCUAGCCAACUAGAGGCUUGCUAGGGACACAUUGUGAUCUAUUUAUUCACACAUGUAUUACUGUUUCCUGUUAAUACAAUUAUAGCAUGAACAAUAGACGAUUAUCAUGAACAAGGAAAUAUGAUAAUAACCAUAUUAUUAUUGCCUCUAGGGCAUAUUUCCAACAGUCUCCCACUUACACUAGAGUCAAUAAUCUAGUUACAUUGUGAUGUAUCGAACACCCAUAGCAUUAUGGUGUUGAUCAUGUUUUGCUCGUGGAAGAGGUUUAGUCAACGGGUCUGCAAUAUUCAGAUCCGUGUGUACUUUACAAAUAUCUAUCACUCCACUCUGGACAUGGUCCUGGAUGGAGUUGUAGCGACGUUUGAUGUGCUUCGUCUUCCGGUGAAACCUGGGCUCCUUGGCAAUGGCAAUGGCUCGAGUGUUAUCACAGAAGAGUGUCAUAGGACCCGACGCGCUUGGAACUACUCCAAGGUCGGUGAUGAGCUCCUUCAUCCAAAUUCCUUCAUGAGCCGCUUCUGAAGCAGCUAUGUACUCCGCUUCACAUGUAGAUGCUGCCACGACUUCUUGCUUGCUGCUGCACCAGCUCACUGCCCCACCAUUCAACACAUAUACGUAUCCGGUCUGUGACUUAGAGUCAUCCGAAUCUGUGUCGAAGCUAGCGUCGACGUAAUCCUUUACGACGAGCUCUUCGUCACCUCCAUAAACGAGAAACAUUUCCUUAGUCCUUUUCAGGUAUUUAAGGACAUUCUUGACCGUUGUCCAGUGUUCCAUACCUGGAUCACUUUGGUACCUCCCUACCAAACUUAUGGCAAGGUUUAUAUCAGGUCUGGUACACAACAUGGCAUACAUUAGAGAGCCCACGGCUGAAGCGUAGGGGACAGAACUCAUCUUCUCUCUAUCUGCUGCCUUGAUCGGCGACUGAGUCUUACUCAAUCUCAUACCUUGCAAAACUGGCAAGAACCCUUUCUUUGAGUUUUCCAUAUUGAACUUCUUCAAUAUCUUGUCAAGGUAUGUACUUUGCGAAAGACCUAUGAGGCGUCUCGAUCUAUCUCUAUAGAUCUUGAUGCCUAACAUGUAUGCAGCUUCUCCAAGGUCCUUCAUUGAAAAAACUCUUGUUCAAAUAGGCCUUUAUGCUCUCCAACAUCUCUUAAUUAUUUCCCAUCAAUAAUAUGUCAUCCACAUAUAGUAUGAGGAAAGCUACAGAGCUCCCACUCACUUUCUUGUACAGACAGGCUUCUCCGUAAACCUGUAUGAACCCAAACGCUUUAAUCACCUCAUUAAAGCGAAUGUUCCAACUCCGAGAUGCUUGCACCAGCCCAUAGAUGGAGCGCUGGAGCUUGCACACUUUGUUAGCACCCUUAGGGUUGACAAAACCUUCUGGUUGCAUCAUAUACAACUCUUCCUUAAGGUUCCCGUUAAGGAACGCUGUUUUGACGUCCAUUUGCCAAAUUUCAUAAUCAUAAAAGGCGGCAAUUGCUAACAUGAUUCGGACUGAUUUCAGCUUCGCUACGAGAGAGAAAGUCUCUUCAUAGUCAACUCCUUGAAUUUGUCGAAAACCCUUUGCGACAAGUCGAGCUUUGUAAACGGUUACAUUACCGUUUGUAUCAGUCUUCUUCUUGAAGAUCCAUUUAUUUUCUAUGGCUCGCCGGUCAUCGGGCAAGUCCACCAAAGUCCAUACUUUCUUCUCAUACAUGGAUCCUAUCUCGGAUUUCAUAGCCUCAAGCCAUUUGUUGGAAUCCGGGCCCGCCAUCGCUUCUUCAUAGUUCGAAGGUUCACCGUUGUCUAACAACAUGUUUUCCAUCACAGGGUUGCCGUACCACUCUGGUGCAGAGCGUGCCCUUGUGGACCUUCGCGGUUCAGUAGUAACUUGAUCCGAAGCUUCAUGAUCAUCAUCAUUAACUUCCUCUUCAGUCGGUGUAGGCGCCACAGGAACAACUUCCCGCGCUGCGCUACUAUCCUGUUCGAGAGGGGGUGUAAUUACCUCAUCAAGUUCUACCUUCCUCCCACUUACUUCUUUCGAGAGAAACUCUUUCUCUAGAAAGGAUCCGUUCUUGGCAACAAAGGUUUUACCUUCGGAUCUAAGAUAGAAGGUAUACCCAAUAGUUUCCUUAGGGUAUUCUAUGAAUAUGCAUUUAUCCGCUUUGGGUUCGAGCUUUUCUGGUUGAAGUUUCUUCACAUAAGCAUCGCAGCCCCAAACUUUAAGAAACGACAACUUAGAUUUCUUGCCAAACCAUAGUUCAUACGGUGUCGUCUCAACGGAUUUAGACGGUGCCCUAUUUAAAGUGAAUGUUGCAGUUUCUAAUGCGUAUCCCCAAAAUGAUAGCGGUAAGUCGGUGAGAGACAUCAUAGAUCGUACCAUAUCUAAUAAAGUGCGAUUACGAUGUUCAGACACUCCGUUGCGCUGCGGUGUGCCAGGCGGUGUCAGUUGUGAAACGAUUCCACACUUCCUUAGGCGUGUGCCAAACUCGUGACUCAAAUAUUCUCCUCCACGAUGAGAUCGUAGACAUUUAAUUUUUCUGUCACGUUGAUUCUCAACCUCACUCUGAAAUUCCUUGAACCUUUCAAACGUCUCAGAUUUGUGCUUCAUCAAGUAGAUAUACCCAUACCUACUCAAAUCAUCGGUGAGAGUGAGAACAUAACGAUAACCACCGCGAGCUUCAACGUUCAUUGGACCACACACAUCAGUAUGUAUUAUUUCCAAUAAGUCGUUUGCUCUCUCCAUUAUUCCUGAGAAUGGAGUCUUAGUCAUCUUGCCCAUGAGGCACGGUUCGCAUGUGUCAAAUGAUUCAAAGUCAAGAGACUCUAAUAGUCCAUCAGUAUGGAGCUUCUUCAUGCGCUUAACGCCGAUAUGACCAAGGCGGCAGUGCCACAAGUAUGUGGGACUAUCAUUAUCAACUUUGCAUCUUUUGGUACUCACACUAUGAAUAUGUGUAACAUCACGAUCGAGAUUCAUCAAGAAUAAACCAUUCACCAGCGGAGCAUGACCAUAAAACAUAUCACUCAUAUAAAUAGAACAACCAUUAUUCUCUGACUUAAAUGAGUAGCCGUCUCGCAUUAAGCAAGACCCUGAUACAAUGUUCAUGCUUAAAGCUGGUACUAAAUAACAAUUAUUAAGGUUUAAAACUAAUCCCGACGGUAGAUGUAGAGGUAGCGUGCCGACGGCGAUCACAUCGACCUUUGAACCAUUCCCGACGCGCACCGUCACCUUGUCAUUGGCCAGUCUCCGCUUAUUCCGCAGUUCCUGCUUUGAGUUGCAAAUGUGAGCAACAACACCGGUAUCAAAUACCCACGAGCUACUACGAGCGCUGGUAAGGUACACAUCAAUAACAUGUAUAUCACAUAUACCUUUAACGUUGCCGGCCUUCUUGUCCGCUAAGUAUUUGGUGCAGUUCCGCUUCCAGUGACCCUUUCCCUUGCAAUAGAAGCACUCAGUCUCAGGCUUGGGUCCGUUCUUUUUCUUCUUCCCGGCAUCUGGCUUACCGGGCGCGGCAACAGCUUUGCCAUCUUUCUUGAAGUUCUUCUUACCCUUGCCUUUCUUGAAACUAGUGGUCUUGUUGACCAUCAACACUUGAUGCUCUUUCUUGAUUUCUACUUCUGCAGACUUGAGCAUCGAGUACAACUCAGGAAUGGUCUUCUCCAUCCCUUGCAUGUUGUAGUUAAGCACAAAGCCUUUGUAGCUUGGUGGGACAGACUGGAGGAUUCUGUCAAUUAUAGCAUCAUUCGGAAGUUCGACUCCAAGUGAAGUUAGACGACCGUGUAACCCAGACAUUUUGAGUAUGUGCUCACUGACAGAACUGUUCUCCUCCAUCUUACAGCUAAAGAACUUGUCGGAGACUUCAUAUCUCUCGACACGGGCAUGAGCUUGAAAAACUAGCUUCAGCUCCUGGAACAUCUCAUAUGCCCCGUGUUGCUCAAAACGUCUUUGGAGCCCCGUUUCUAAACUGUAUAACAUGCCACACCUAACCAGAGUGUAGUCAUCACUCCGCGUUUGCCAGACGUUCAGAAUGUCCUGGGCUGCUGCGGGAGCGGGAGGGUCACCUAGCGGCACAUCAAGGACAUAAGCCUUUUUAGCUGCUUCAAGGAUGAGCUUCAAGUUGCGAACCCAGUCCGCAUAGUUGCUACCAUCAUCUUUCAGCUUGUUUUUCUCUAGGAAUGCGUUGAAAUUGAGGUUGACGUUGGACAUCUACAAUAUUUAUAAAGACAACUUUUAGACUAAGUUCAUGACAAUUAAGUUCAUUUAGUCAAAUUAAGUAUGAACUCCCACUUAAAUCGACAUCCCUCUAGUCAUCUAAGUGAUACAUGAUCCAUGUUGACUAACCCGUGUCCGAUCAUCACGUGAGACGGACUAGUCACCAUGGUGAGCAACUCCAUGCUGAUCGUAUUCAACCAUACGACUCAUGUUCGACCUUUCGGUCUCUUGUAUUUGAGGUCAUGUCUGUACAUGCUAAGCUCGUCGAGUCAACCUAGGUGUUUCGCGUGUGUAAAUCUGGCUUACACCCGUUGUAUGCGAACGUUAGAAUCUAUCACACCCGAUCAUCACGUGGUGCUUCGAGACAACGAACCUUCGCAACGGUGCACACUUAGGGGAAUACGUUCUAAAUUUUUUAAGAGGGAUCAUCUUAUUAUGCUACCGUCGUUCUAAGCAAUAAGAUGUAAAACAUGAUAAACAUUACAAUGCAAUCAUAUAGUGACAUGAUAUGACCAUUAUCAUCUUUGCUCUUUCGAUCUCCAUCUUCAGGCAUCGCAUGAUCAUCAUCGUCACCGGCGUGACACCAUGAUCUCCAUCAUCGUGUCUCCGUGAAGUCGUCACGCCAACUACUACUAUCACUACUACUAUAGCUAACCGUUAGCAAUGAAGUAAAAGUAGUAAGCACAUGGCGUCGCAUCUCAUACAAUAAAUUAAGACAACUCCUAUGGCUCCUGCCGGUUUUCAUACUCAUCGACAUGCAAGUCGUGAAACCUAUUACAAUAACAUGAUCAUCCCAUACAUCAUACAUGCAACAUCACAACUUUGGCCAUAUCACAUCACAUGUCAAACCCUGCAAAAAUAAGUUAGACGUCCUUUAAUAGUUGUUGCAAGUUUUACGUGGCUGAUUUGGGUUUCUAGCAAGAACGCCUUCUUACCUACGUGACAGCCACAACGAUGAUAUGCCAAAGCUAUUUACCCUUCAUAAGGACCCUUUUCAUCAAAUCCAAUCCGACUAGAGUAGGAGAGACAAACACCCGCUAGCCACCUUUAUGCACGGUGUGCAUGUCUGUCGGUGGAACCAGUCUCACGUAAGCGUACGUGUAAAGUCGGUCCGGGCCGCUUCAUCCCACAAUACCGCCGGAAAAGAAUAAGACUAGUAGAGGCAAGCAAAUUGACAAAUCAUCGCCCACAACUUUUGUGUUCUACUCGUGCAUAGAAUCUACGCAUAGAAAACCUGGCUCGGAUGCCACUGUUGGGGUAACGUAGCAUAAAUUCAAAAAAUUUCCUACGCAUAUUCAGAUCUUCUUAUGGAGAGACCAGCAACGAGAGAGGGGUAAGAGCAUCUUCAUACCUUUGAAGAUCGCUAAGCGGAAGCGUUGCUAGAACGCGGUUGAUGGAGUCGUACUUGCAGCGAUUCCGAUCUAGUGCCGAACUACGGCACCUCCGCGUUCAACACACGUGCAGCCCGGUGACGUCUCCCGCACCUUGAUCCAGCAAGGAGGAGGGAGAGGUUGGGGAAGAACUCUAGCAACACGACGGCGUGGUGUCGAUGGAGAUACGAGGUCUCCCGGCAGGGCUUCGCCAAGCACCGACAGAGAGGAGGAGGAAGAAGAGCAGGGCUGCGCCGAGGGAGAGGGAAAAGUCUAAUCUCCAAUGGCCAAAAGUGCCCACUAUAUAUAGGGGAAGGGGAGAGGGGGUGCCACCCCUAGGGUUCCCACCCUAGGGGGUGCGGCAGCCCCUCCAGAUGGGAGGUGCGGCGGCUAGAGGGGGGAGGAGGGGGUGGCGCACCCACUGGUGGGCCUUAGGCCCACCUGGCUUAGGGUUUGCCCCCCUUUUCUCUCCCUUGCGCAAUGGGCUGAGUGGGGACGCGCACCAGCCCACCUAGGGGCUGGUUCCCACCCCCACUUGGCCCACCUUACCUCCCAGGGUCGUUGCCCCCCUUCGGUGGUCCCCCGGGGCCACCUCCGGUGGUCCCGGUACGUUACCGAUGAUGCCCGAAACACUUCCGGUAUCCGAAACCAUCCGUCCUAUAUAUCAAUAUUUACCUCCGGACCAUUCUGGAGCUCCUCGUGACGUCCGGGAUCUCAUCCGGGACUCCGAACAACUUUCGGUAACCUCGUAUAACAAUUCCCUAUAACCCUAGCGUCAUCGAACCUUAAGUGUGUAGACCCUACGGGUUCGGGAGACAGGCAGACAUGACCGAGACACCUCUCUGGCCAAUAACCAUCAGCGGGGUCUGGAUACCCAUUGUGGCUCCCACUUGCUCCACGAUGAUCUCAUCGGAUGAACCACGAUGUCAAGGAUUCAAUCAAUCCCGUAUACGAUUCCCUUUGUUUGUCGGUAUAGAACUUGCCUGAGAUUCGAUCAUCGGUAUACCUAUACCUUGUUCAAUCUCGUUACCGGUAAGUCUCUUUACUCGUUCCGUAGCACGUCAUCGUGUGACUAACUCCUUAGACACAUUGAGCUCAUGAUGAUGUUCUACCGAGUGGGCCCAGAGAUACCUCUCCGUCACACGGAGUGACAAAUCCCGAUCUCGAUUCAUACCAACCCAACAGACACUUUCGGAGGUACCCGUAGUGCACCUUUAUAGUCACCCAGUUACGUUGUGACGUUUGAUAGACCCAAAGCACUCCUACGGUAUCCGGGAGUUGCACAAUCUCACGGUCGAAGGAAAAGAUACUUGACAUUAGAAAAGCAUUAGCAUACGAACAAUACGAUCUAGUGCUAGGCUUAGGAUUGGGUCUUGUCCAUCACAUCAUUCUUCCAAUGAUGUGAUCCCGUUAUCAAUGACAUCUAAUGCCCAUGAUCAGGAAACCAUGAUCAUCUAUUGACUAACGAGCUAGCCAACUAGAGGCUUGCUAGGGACACAUUAUGAUCUAUUUAUUCACACAUGUAUUACUGUUUCCUGUUAAUACAAUUAUAGCAUGAACAAUAGACGAUUAUCAUGAACAAGGAAAUAUGAUAAUAACCAUAUUAUUAUUGCCUCUAGGGCAUAUUUCCAACACGCCACCCAUUAGGCCAUCACCACAAAGUAGGGAUGCAAGUGGCGCGGGACAUCCCGCUAAGCGGCCACGUCACCCCACAAAAUGUUGUCGAGUUGUCCGAUCAUUUGGAAAAUUUUAAUCCUGAAUCCGUUGCGACUUUAUUUUGUAAUCGAGUAGAAAAACCUCAAACUACUUUCCGGACGCCUCUGAGACGCCGGAGACAUCACGAAGGGUCUUUCACUCGACCAGUUAAACCCCAACCGAUUCAGGAGCUACUGAUGGGGGUGCCUAUCAGGGGUAGGGUCAUGGACCAGCCAUCCAAGGCCCAUCUGGGGUCCCACACGACUAUUAACAUUUCAGGACUACCGAUGCAACUCAGGUUUCACUCGGACCCAUGAAGUCACCUGACCAAUCUUCCAGUCAGUCGGACAUGCACCAGCACUCCGAGUAGGACAAGCGUGGAUGACGAAGGAGCCGCAACGGCCGAAGGACUUAAACAACACAUCAAGUGUAGUGAUAGCUGCCAGUAACUCUUGUAGUUAAGGGCUGUCGUUACUAGAAACUACCUCCAUGAUGGCAUUAACUCAACCAUGUAAUGACCACGGUGUCAUCAACUCUAGAUGAGUUGGUAAAAUAGUCUACUUAAGUGCUGAAAAGAUUGAACAUUGCAUUAACUUUUGUGCCAACAUAGAAGAGAAGACAAGUUAAAUAGCCUAUUUGGUUUCAUUUCGUCUAAAAAAAGGAACAUAGGUGAGCUGGUUGGUUAGUUGAGUUACCUCAUGAGGGGUCAAGGAUUGAAUCAUGUUACGUGCACCUUUUUAUGUGAAAAAAGAAAGAAAAAAACUCGGACGUACUACAGUUUUCAGCAGAAGGAAAUAAAAAAUCAGUCCUGGGGGAUCAAGCGGGAGAAGCGGAUCGAGCUUUCUCGGACGUCGACGAUUAUUCGGAUUAGGUUUAUAGUAGGGUUUAGUUAAAAAUUGUCAAAACUUUAAUGAAUUUCUACCAUAAUGUAAUGAAUUUCAUCAAGUUUAUAUGAAAAUUCACGGUGUUUGCAUUAAUUUUGUCUGGUUUAACUUAACCGUGUUUCAAAUGUAAGCGAGUAGUGUUGGAUGGCUGACUCAUGUAUUCGUAUAUGCGGAAGGUCCCCCAGACAGAUGCGGAAGAGAAAUUGUGACUAGGCUAUGGAGAUGUCCUAAGAGCAACUCCAACCGUGUGACCCAUCUGCCCAUGUCUUUUUGGUUUUUGCGGACAAAUACGAUGACCCAAUGCAAAGACCCAAUCCCAAAUUAUGUCUGUUUCGUGUCCGUGUUGGCCCAUUUUAGACCCAAAUUUGAAAUACAUUUAGGUUGGAGGCGGACACAGAGCGAACGUUUGUUGCGUCCGCCUCGUCCGUGUGUGUCCGUUGCAUGUCCCUCCUACCCCACCUGUCAUCCACCCACCCAUCUCAUCUUUGUCUUUCUCUUUCUUCCAUCCACCCUACGAGUAUGUGGAUCUCGUGGUCGUGCAGAACAGGUGUUGUCCGACCCCGUUGCUGUCGUGUUCCACGGUAGCACACCCGUCGACAUUGCGCACCUGGAGGCUGUCGGAGUAUAGGAUGACCACCUUGUAGCCCCCACAUGACGCGGCCCACGUGGUGGCGAUGGAGGACCAGAGCAUGGGCGCGCCAUCCUUAGCGGAGCCGUCAACGAUGCGACGCUCGCCCCCGGCCGUGAGCGUGAGCGAUGGCGCGGCUACGACGGUCGUGUUGGCCCGGUUCGUGACACCUGGCCAUGAGCGUGAGCGACAACGCGGCCACAGCGGCCAGGUGUCCCACCAGACGCAGUGGUAGAGGCGAGUCGAUCGUGCGGGUCCUAUGCGUGGAAGCCCAGCUCGAACACCCCCGACGACGAGGGCAUCGACAUCGUCAGCGAGCCCCCCUGCUUCAACAUGUUCGUGGCCGCCACCGCCGCCAUCGCCACACCUAGCGCGCUGUAGAGCUAAGAGGAGACUUGAGUCCGCCAUCGCCGUGGAUCACCCUGGGCGUUAGGUUAUUUCGGUUUGGGUAGUUCGGUUUAUGGGUAAUUUGGAUGCUUAAAAUGGGAACGGAACAUUUUCUUUCAAAAAAAAUACCCGAACCCAUAUUACCGAGAUUUUUUGCUCGCGUAAUUCACGUACCCAAAAUACCCGAAAUGUUUGGAGCACACAUCAUUUUUUGGUAUGAAUAAUUUUGAAGGGCCAUCCCUCCUCCUCCUCCUGGCUCCCUGCUUUUGCCUGCUGGGCAUGACUGCGUGGGCGCAGCGGCGACGCGGGCAGCUGCGAGGCGGGGCGGAGGCGUGCUCACGAGCGCGCCGGGUAUACGGCAAUUCACCGGCGCGGCGGGCGGGUGAGUCGGUAGCUGUGGGGUGGUGGUGCGGGAGCUCGCGAUGUUUGACAAAAUGUCAUGACGGACAUGUUAGGAAAUGCGUCUGUCUCAUUGCACGUACGACCUAAAUAAAAAAAUGGACAUAUACGUCGUCAAUCCAAACAGUCAAAAAAACCGAACGAAACAUGCAUUCGUUUGGAUCGGCUGGUUGGAUUGCUCUAAUCAUGUUACACCAUAGGAAGGAGAGUGUAGCUUAUAGAAGAGAAUACAAAAUAGCAUACGUAUAUACAUACAAAAAGUCUUCCACUGUUACAGAAAGAAAAAAGAAGAACAUGGAGUACUACAUCGUAUCGUUCGAAUAUUUCGUCAUCCGUCUACAUUACAGUGUACAGUAAGCUGAAGAACAUGGAAACAAUGGCUACAGACUAGAGAAAUUAAGCGAGAGGGAGCCUGAUGCUUCCGGCGCUAAACCGAACGGGACAUUGGCCGUCAUGCCGGGACGCGCUUGCAGCGGCACCAGAAGGCGGUGCCGCCGCCCUUGCCCUGCGCGACGGCGAUCUCCUCGUCGACGUAGAACCACAAGAAGAAGGGGUCCUUGGUGCUCGGCUCCCUGCUCAUGUCGCCGCCGCCGAAGGGGAUCUCCAGGGAGGGCAGCGGCCCGAGCUUGACGCGCACCCUCUCGAAGACGAAGGCCAGCAUCUUCUUCUUCCAUGACAGCCGCCCCUCGAAGGUCAAGCUCCCCGCCGGGCCCAGGUACACGCCGUUCUCGAUCCUCUGCCCCUGGUCACCGAAAAUGGCUUCAGAGUUUCAGUUAUAGAACGACCAUCACUCAAGAUUCAGAGUGUCAGUUACAGAGCAUUCCUUCAGAGUUUGUUUCAGAUUCAGUGACAGAAGUUGUGUUCGUCUGUUUCGUCUAGAAGAACCGGAUGCCAUGGCUGAGAUGCGGGAGAGGCAUGAGGAGCUCACUCACCGCGGCGUCGAAGCGCUGGACGGCGGUCACCGGGAAGUAGCUGCCUUUCUCGAGCUUGCUGCCCUGCGACACAUCCAGAACCGGCCGAUCAAUUAACCACCAAAUGCAAACCGCAGAUCUGAAGCUGGAAUUCUGUGGGUGUUGCUCGCCUGGGCGGUGAAGAUGAGCAUCCACGUCCUGCCGGGGGACUCGGCCCCGCCGAGCGUCUCGAAGAAGGUGGAGGUGUCGAGCUUCGCCUUCUUGAUCUUUGCCAGCGCCGCCAGCACCUCCGGGGCCGGCACCUUCCUCGUCUUGGCCGCGUCCUUGAGCACCUUCACGCUCUCCGCCACGGCCUACGCUAAACCAGAGCCAAUAAACCAUCUUGUUCUUGUCAGAGCAUGGCUAAAAUGUCAGCAAAAUUGGGCGCGUGCCGUCGUGCCGAUGCUCGCUGCUCACCGAUAGGUCGGAGGGUUCGACCGGCGGCGGAGGGGGCGACGAGGAGGGCUGCUUCUGGACGUCCGGCGACGCGGCGGCGGCGACGGUCAGGGAGACGCCGCGGGGACGGCGGGGGCUGGAGCGGAGGACGAGCUGCGCGGGGGCGGGCGCUCGACGCGGAAGGCGAGGCGAGGAGGCUGGAGCGAGCGUGGAAGGGCGGAGCAAGGAGGCGGACGAGGCCAUCGUCUUCAUCUUGCUCGGACUGGCAGGCAGGUUGCUGUGUUCUCCGACGAGGUGCUGAGAUGGUAACCACUAGCUUGGAGUGUGUGUGGCUGUGGCGUGUGGACGAACGAGGUCCGUGUGGUGUGACCGUGCGAGUGUGGAGUGGACACUUGGGGAGCACACGUGGACAAGGCCAUUGUACUUUCUUUUUCAUGAUAAUACGUGUCUUACUUAUAAAAUAGAAUCAAGUUACAAGACACGUAAACAUCGUUCUUAUAAGACUGAAAAGAUAGAAAAAUCUUAUGCAAAAUACCAUCGUCUGUCCCUCUUUUUCGACACCAUCAAAGCGGUCAUCAAAAGAAAAGAAGCCAUCUCACCUCUUUACCUCAGCUUGACGCGGCUCUAUAGCUGAUCAACAGCUUUACGGACAUCUAAAGUAGUUUGCCAGCAGCAAAAUCAUUGUCGUUGAAAGAAUCAGACGGGGGCAGCAUGUCCCCGGGCACGCCAUCCAACUCCAGAUCCAACAACCCCGCAUGACGACAACAUCGGAGAGGGAAACCAGAACCGCCAUCCACCAACCACAAAACCAGCACAAGAUGCACCAUCUUCCAGCUGUCACUUGGGUAGACAACCGUCUGCGCGUACUCCUGAACGACAAAACCUCCCUGCUCCACCAUGACGUCGGAGACAAAGCCGCAGCAACGGGGACAAAGCAGAAGGAGAGACACACCUGAUGGAACUCCCCCCCCCCCCCAACACCCAUCCAUGAACCAUAAUGCCACCGAUUUGAAUGAUCGGCAAACGCACGAUGCCAUCAAUUCCGAGACACCGCCAUGAAGGACAUCACCGGUAUGGGAGUGAAGCUAAAGCAGAUUUAUUCGUCGACACGUCGCUUCCACCACCCCAACAACGCAUCACGACCUACAAAUCCAAACCCUAACUACAUAUCGGAGGAACGGGUCCCCCCUCCCUCCUGCCGCCGGAGCAGCAACCGGAGGGAGAGGGACCAACGCCCUAGCCGAUUGAGAUGCGGUGAAAGAAAAUCCCCUUCGUCGCCUGGCUCCUAGAGGCAGCUAGGGUAGGAAACGCGAGCCCGCAAGGCCACUUGUGGCAGCCCGAUGCCGACGUUCCAUAAGGUUCCCCUUUAUUUCCGUUUCUGUCGUGUGAUUAGUUUUAUUUGUUGCAUCAUCAUGUAGUUUGCAUCAUGGCAUCAUGCAUGACAUCAUGUGAACUGUGUUUUGUCGGUGUUGCUGUUGCUCCGUGUUGUUGGGUGUUAAUGCUUGUGAGUGCUUUGUGAGUGUGGCGUUGUUCGUUGGCGUGAUGAGAGUGGGUGCAACAGAGCCGCUUCAAACCCCUGUUACACCGUGGACCUAAAGCCUUCUCUUUCCUCUCUUAUUCUUUUGUGGCUGCGAUUGAUUUCAGUUUUAACCCCUAUUUAAAAAAAAGGUUCGUCUUCUUUAAAAAAAAAUCCUUUUAUUAAAUGUAGAGGCAACCCCCUUGGGUUUUCUUUAUUUUAUUUUCUUUUAUUUUGUUUUAUUUUAAAACUAUAGUUUCAUUUUAUUUGUAAAAGAGCUUUAUUUUAUUCUUUAAAUAAAAGAGGUUUUAUUUUAUUCUCUAAAAAGGUUUUAUUUUUAUUCGUUAAACGAAACUAUUUCUUAUAGUUGGGGUUAUUUUUUUUUAAAAAAAGGAGUAAAAGGCAUUUUUUAUUUUGUUAAAACAUUUUUUUGUGGUUGUUCUCUGUUUUUAUAAAAAAAGAAAACCAAAAGAGGGAGAGAGGAGGACCCCAGGCCCAAGGCCCAGCCGACCAAGGCCCAAGGCCUCCCCUCCAACCCUAGCGCCUCCUCUGCCCGAUCCCCUCGUCGUUCCCCCCGUGCGUUCAGCCUCCCCUCGUCCCUCUCCUCUCCUCCCGAUUCCCCCUCUGCCCNCGCCCGAGCCGCCUGUGCUCCUGCCCCUGCCGUCGGAGCCGCCAUGCCAUGGCCUCUCCCGUGUCCGCCCCCGCAGGAGCCCGACCCGCCGCUCGUCGGCCUCGUUCUGAGCACGCAGCCCCCGCCGGCUGCCUACUCUUGCUGGAGCGCCGCCCUGCCAUGGCCGACCUCCUCUUCCUCGUUGCGCCUCGCUGCACCGUUCCCCGCACUGCCCCCGUGCCGUCCUCGUCGCCCUGGCCAUGGCCCUCCUCGGCCCGAGGUCAUCCGCCGGUGCCCGACCUCCUCCUCCGGGUGCUCUCCCUCGCCGCGCCGCCGUGGCCUCGCCGUCCCAGCGCCCUUGGUCCCGCGCCGCCCCGCCGCCAUGCUGCUCUGCUGCUGCGCUGUGCCGGUUGGCUGUACUGUAUGUUUGCUGCCGAAGCGCUGCUUUCCGUUGCCGCUGCUACUUGCCUGCUGGCCUGUCGCUUUGUGAUGGUGAUGUGGCCGUGUGUUGCUGUCGGUGUGGCUGUGUUGCUGGCGCUGCUGCCUGCCAUUGCUUGCCUAUCACCAUGCUGGCUGCUGUUGCCGCGUGCUGCUGCUAGCAGAUGCUGGCUGUCGAUGCAUGUCGUUGCUGUUAGGUGUAGUUGCCCGAUGUCGCUUGCUUGCCUUGCUGCGUGCCGUUUUGCUAUUGCUCUCGCUUGUUGUAGAUGCUGUAGGUUGCUGCUAGAUGAUCGUGCCGGUUGCUGUGUGUUGCAUUGCCAUGCUAGAUAGCUGCUAGCGUUGCCUAGUGCUUGUUGUUGUUGCUUUGAUGCUUGCCGUUUUGCUGCUGCGGGUAGAUGCUGUAGCUGCUGUGUAGCCUGCCGAGCCGGUUGCUAGCUGUCGUGACAUGCUUGUUGUUGCCUGCUGCCGAGAGUUGUAGCUGCUGUUAGUGCUUGCUGUAGAUGCUUUGCAGUUGCUAGCUGUUCGCUGCUAGGCUUGCUGAUUGUUGUGUCGAUGCCUGCUGCCUAGUUGCUUGAUGCUGCUAGAUGUUGCCUUGCUAGCCGAUGAUGUAGCCUGUUGCUGCCAGAGUGUUGCUGCAAGCUGCUAGUCGCCGUUGUAGAUUGUUGUUGCUUGCCUUGCCGUAGCUUGUGUUAGUUGCUGCCGCCGGUGUUGCGUUUUGCUGUCGCCUUUCGGGGUUGCUACUGCAACAAAAGACCUUCCAACGGCGCCAGAAACAAGCGUGUUGACGGGAGACUAUUCUUGUCUUGAUACUCCUCAGCAACGGCGCCAGCAAUCCUUCUGCUACGGCUACGCCUUUAGGGACUUCCUUGGCAAAUAUGCAAAGGAUUCCCCCGUGGCCUUGGAGCCUUGCGUUGGUGUUCCCUCGAAGCAGAAAGGGUGAUGUAGCACAACGGCGACAAGUAUUUCUCUCAGUUUUGAGAACCAAGGUAUCGAUCCAGAGAAAGGAUUGCGUCAAGUCACAAGUACGUGCACAAACACAAAGAGCUUGCACCCAACGCUAUGAAGGGGUUGUCAAUCCCUUAUAGAUUGUUUGCAAAAUGAGAACUGAAAGCAACAAAGAAAACAAAGCAAAGUAAAAGUGAAAGUGGAGACGAUAGUUGUGAAUAGACCCGGGGGCUGUAGUGUUCACUAGUGGCUUCUCUCAUGAAAGCAAGUAGACGGUGGGUGAACGAAUUACUAUGGAGCAAUUGAUAGAACCGCGAAAGUCGUGACAUUAUCUAAGGCAAUGAUUAUAUCUAUAGGCAUCACGUCCAAAACAAGUAGACCGAUAUUUUCUACAUCUACUACUAUUACUCCACACGUCGACCGCUAUCCAGCAUGCAUCUAGUGUAUUAAGUCCAAAAGAACAGAGUAACGCCUUAAGCAAGAUGACAUGAUGUAGAUGGACAAUCUCAUAUCUACGAUAAAAGCCCAUCUUGUUACCCUUAAUGGCAACAACAUGAUGCGUGCCUUGCUGCCCCUUCUGUCACCGGGAAAGGUCACCACACGGUAUGAACCCAAAACCAAGCACUUCUCCCAUUGCAAUAAUCAUAGAUCUAGUUGGCCAAACAAAACCCAAGACUCGGAGAGACUUACAAGGAUAUCAAAUCAUGCAUAUAAGAAAUCAGCAAAGACUCAAAUAUAAUUCAUAGAUAAUGUGAUCACAAAUCCACAAUUCAUCGGAUCUCGACAAACACACCGCCAAAGAGGAUUACAUCGGAUAGAUCUCCAUGAAGAUCAUGGAGAACUUUGUAUUGAAGAUCCAAGAGAGAGAAGAAGCCAUCUAGCUACUAACUACGGACCCGUAUGUCUGAAGUGGACUACUCACGAGUCGUUGGAGAGGCGAUGAUGUUGAUGUAGAAGCCCUCCAACUCCAAAGUCCCCUCCGACAGGGCACCGGAAGGGUCUUCAGAUGAGAUCUCGCGGAAACGGAAGCUUGCGGCGGCGGAAAAGUGUUUUCGUGGAUGCCCUGAUUUUUUCUGGAUUUUUAGGGAAUUUAUAGGCCAAAGAGCUAGGGCAGGGAGCGCCAGGGAGGCCACAAGCAUGGUUGCCGCGGGCCCCCCCGGCUGCCGCAACAGGGAUUGUGGGCUCCCUGUGGGCCCCCUGCCUUGGCCCUGAAGCCUCCCGAUCUUCUUCCGUUCUGGAAAAUUUUAUUUCGGGGAUUUUAUUCCGUUUGGACUCCGUUCCAAAAUCAGAUCUGAAAAGAGUCCAAAACACAGAAAAAACAGGAACUCGCACUUGGCACUGAAUUAAUAAGUUAGUCCCAAAAAAAGAUAUAAAAGGUAAACAAAACAUCCAAAGUUGACAAGAUAACAACGUGAAACCAUCAAAAAUUAUAGAUACGUUUGAGACGUAUCAGGGACCGUCGCCGAAGUUCGCAAGCACCCUCCUCGCAACCGUGGACCCGACAAGAUCGCGUGUACAACUACAUCCUCGACGACCGCCGGAACGUGUUCCACUACCGUCACUGAAGACCCGUCUCCCGACGCCUAGUGCACGACUACCGACGAGAAGACGGUGUACCAACGCCAAGCGAACGACUACCGUCGACGAGACCUGAGUACCACGACGACAACGACUUCCACGACGUCCGCUACGAACCGAUCCGCUCCGAUAUGCACGCUUCGAAGGUAUAACGUUGGGACGUGUCGUGUAUCGAACACAUAUGUUGUAUGAGAUGUAACCGCAUGUUUGCGCCUAUAGUUAUUGUUCGUUGCACGUGUUCUUCUUUUGUUGUGCCCCCGACACAUGGGAACCCGAUAAACGGGAUCACCCCAUCAAUAUUUUGUUUGUCCCGCACACGCUUCCUAUACGUUGGCACGAUAUCUCGACGAGUUAUCGGGAUAGGAACGUUGCCGUGGCUUCGUUUCCGUCUUGCCGCCAUGGUUCCCUCUCGCUUGUCAUGGCGGCACAUGUUUCUUUCUCUUCUUGCCCGUGUUGUUGUAACUCGCAUGCAUGACGCAUUCAUGGCAUAAUUAUAUUGUGUUGCAUGUCUCUUGUGCCGUAGCUCCGUUCUAAGUCUCGCGUGCUAUCGACUAGGAUGACUUGUAGAAUCACUCGCUUCACCCCUUGCCAUGUUAACAACAAUUUAAUAUUGCCGUGUAAAUUAACGGGAGUGAACUAAAUAAUUAAUGUGGAGUUUCGUCGGUAUGCAACUCGUUGCAUAUCGAGCUUCACUUAAUGUGUAGUGUUUGCGUGAGGUGAAUUGUCAUGCCAUCCCUUGCAUCAUUGAACUGAUCAUGCAUCAUGUUGUGCAUCGUGUGGUGAAUAUUUGUGUUGAUGUUUGUUUCCGGUUUUCUCCGUCUUGAUAGAGUUCCGCAAGCGAGUCGGAAUGUGAGGACCCGUUCGACUACGUUGGUUCGCCGACUUCAUAGAGUCAUUCUUCUUCCAAGCAGGAUCUCAGGUAAGAUGAACAUUUCCACAGAUACCAUUACAAUCAUUGCCAUGCUAGUUUGAUCGCUUCUAUCGAUUAUGUCUCGUUGCCUACCAUAUGUUAAAUAUCAGCCUCUCAACAAUGCCAUGAUAACCUUCAACCUGUUCGACCUAGCAAACCACUGAUUGACUAUGUUACCGCUUGCUUAACCAUGUUGUUAGCGUUGCUAGUUGCAGGUGCAGUUGCUUUCAUGUGAUAACAUGGGUUCCUUGUCAUAUCACCAUAUUUAAAUGCUAUUUAAUUUAACGCACCUAUAUACUUGGUAAAAGGUGGAAGGCUCGGCCUUUCUAGCCUGGUGUUUUGUUCCACCUUUGUCCCCUUAGUUUCCGCUACCGGUGUUAUGUUCCAAAAUUGAGUGCUCCUAACACGAUCGGGGUUGUUAUGGAGACCCCUUGAUAAUUCGUUUUAGAUUAAAGUUGGUCUGGCAAGGCCCAACUUUGAUACUACAUUUGCCUAAUAACUAAUGAACUGCAUAGGGAGUAAUUAACCCGAGGAAAUUUAAUCAACCCCCGGCGAGUGCUCCUCAUGAGUGUUGGUCCAAAAUAGAGCAGCUUAUUAACGCUACCCGAGACAACUCGGAGUUUGGCGUGGUAACCAUCGCUCAUCCGUCGUGUCCUGAAAACGAGAUACGCGUCUCCUAUCGGGAUCGUCGACACGUCGGGCGGCCUUGCUGGAUUAGUUUCACCUUUGACAAAAUAUCUUGUGCAUCGGGAUUCCGGUGAUGCUUUGGGUAAUCUCAGAGUUAAGGUUUUCCCCUAGGGAAUCCGACGAGAUCGCGAGCUUCGUGAUUGAGGAUUUCUAUGCGGCUUGUGGUAAUUUGUAAUUCGUGACUGUCUCUUUCGUGAGUUCCUUCUCCGAUCGAGGACACGUGGGAUUAUGUCUGACGUAGGUAGGUGUUCAGAAUCAUUCAUUUGAUCAUCAGUAGUUCACGUCCGUUAUGCGUAGAUCACCCCCCUCUUUAUUCUUGUACUCGUAAGUUGGCCACCAUACAAUUAUGCUUAGCCGCUGCUGCAACCUCACCACUUAACCAUGCCUCACCUAAUAAGCUUUGCUAGUCUUGAUACCUUUGGAAAUGAGAUUGUUGAGUCCCCUGUGGCUCACAGAUUACUACAACACUAGUUGCAGGUACAUGUAAAGGUUACUCGACGCGAGCGCGUUGAUUGUUCAUUUGGAGUUGCUUCUUCUUCUUCUUCAUCAUCGAUCCAGGAUGGGUUCCAGGCCGACAGCCUGGGAUAGUAAGGAUGGACGUCGUUCUUCUUUUAUCGUUUGUUUUUGUUCGUAGUCGGACCCUGCUCUUCUUCAUGAUGUUGAUGUAUUGUAUGUAUGUGACUCUGAUGUAGCUUGUGACGAGUGUAAGCCAAUUCUAUAUAUAUAUCUCUUCUUUUCAGUACAUGUACUUGUAACGAUAUCCAUUCUUGCGACUCGACGAGAUGCACUUCUAUACCUGACGAGGCUCUCGUGCCAAAUUGAGGAUAGGGUCGCAUCUUGGAUGUGACACCAGUGUACUUCCACGGCUUCAAAACCUUCUCUCUAUAAUGAAUGUAUACUUUUUUUGUAUUACUCCCUUCGAUCCAUAUUAUACUUGAUUUACUUCUUUCCUAUAAAUUAUCCGAAUUCGUGGCCCUCACUUUCAUAUGAUACCAAAUCAAGGAGAGGAGCAAGUGGUAUUCGAAACGCCUAAUGAGUACUCAAGGUGCGGAGACCUUAACCCCAUCCGCAUCAACCUAGACCCAUCCUUGUCCCCUGCUUCAUCCCUUGUUCUCCAUUCUCUCUACCCGAAUCUCACCCCAGCUUGACAGCUGCCGCCUCGCCCCUCAACUCGACCAUCGUAGUGCAUCUUCCACAGUCAUAUGAAUCUUCUUUUUGACUGGGCUUCAACCGCUUUUCACUAAAAACUCAAUGGAAGUACAUCAGUCUUAGACAAAGGGGGAACCCACUACACCUACUCGUUGUCGAAACACAUGAUAUGGGGGAAAACGUAAUAACACCAAAAUACCUUACAUGAAUGAAAGAAUCCUAUUUAAAUCGACAAGAACUACAUGGACAUGUCGGGUCUGUUCGACAUGGACCCGCGAGGACCAAGGUCAUGUUGGCCGCUCCCGGUCCAAACAGUGAGAACAGAUCGCACCAAGCAAAAGGUUUGUAGCUCCUCCAACACGUUCAUGUUGUGCAUGUGCCCGCGCUUGCCCAGUUCGCCCCGAAGACCCACCCGGGGCGGAGGGGGCAAGUAAAAGCCAAAUAAAACCAAAGUAGAGUCAAACAAAAACCAUAUGAAGGGAUAUUAUUUUUGUAUUUCCUUUAAAGUAUUUUAUCGAAAAGAGAAGACAAACAUCCAAGAAAUACUACGAGAAUUUUUGUUGUUGUUUUUAAUUUUCUUAAAGAAGAAAAAUGCAAAGGAAGAACAAAGAUUUUUUUAUUUAUUUUCAAAGUUCAACCAAGAGGCAAUAAUAUACUCAACCAAAGAGAAAUUAAAAGGAAUAAAGAAAGAUUUUUAUUUUUAUUUUUUGAAAGCAGAGAGAAGAUCCAAAAAGAACCGCAUAAAGAACAAAGAGAAACAAUAAAAUAGUUUGGUAUAUUAUUUUCUUUGGAAAUAAAAGAACAAAAGGAUCAUAAGAACCAAUAGAAAGAAGAAAAAAAAUAAACAAACAAAGAAGAACGAGAUGUACUUUUGGAUUUUAUUUUUAUUUUUGAAGGAACAAACAAAUAUAUUAAGAACAACAGGAGUGAAUGUACAAAGAUACAACAUGAACGGACAAGUACUAUAAAAAGUAUAUGGUAACAUAGUCCCCUAAAUUGGCUAUAUUCCCAUCCUGGGUAGGCCAAAUUCACGGUUUUAACCCUUUUGCUAACUUUAGCCUGAUCUGGCCCGUUUGCGGGAAAAAAAAAUUAGAUCUGGCCUUUUUUCCUACCGCCACCCGCUGUAAUGAUAGGCAUGCACACCCUACCGCCACUAGGGGUCGGGUCAAUGCAGACGGUGCCGUUUGACCGCGCUGACCCGAUGACACUAUCUGCAUUGACCCGACCCCUACUGUCACAGAGAGUGGCGAUAGGGUGUGGAUGCCUACCGCCACAGCGGAUAGCGGUAGAAAAAAAAGGACCAGAUCCAAAAAAAAAAUCAUGAAUGAGGUCAGAUCGGGCUAAACUAUGUCAAAAAGAAAAACAGUGAAAUCGGCCUCCUGGGUAAUGUGGUACCCAAUCUAGCAUAGUCCAGUACUGCUCUACACCCUGCUCGGAUUGGAACUAUAUUUCCGCCACUACAUCUGCCUGGUUAUCAGGUUAUUUAUGCAAACCAUCACAGCUGGUGGUAGGAUAAUGAUUUUGUAUCAAAUUGUGUCAGGACACAAAAAAACCAUUGAAAUUGCGCCUAACCUGUAAGACGAAGCACUGGUGUUCUAAUUUGGUCGCGAAAACAACCAAACCGGCAAGUAGGACCCACCUAUCAGGCUGACAUGGCAUGCGUUGACGGACAUUGUUAGAUGGUCACACAUGGUCAUCUCGUACAACAUUUUUAGGUCUACCCCCCCUCCCCCCCCCACCCCCCAAUUCUCCUGAUUCUGUUUCAUUCUUGCGCUCCCCAUGGCCAUUCCAGCAUGCGACGACGACCAUGGACUUCACGGCGACAACGUGAGUGUCUAUGUGAACUCAAACACGUCAACUAAAUAGUAAGGAACUCUAUUUAAGCCAAAAAAUCAGUUUGAACUAAGGAGUGCCAUCAAAAAUUCAGUAAUUCAGCACAUGCAAUUGGCAACAACAUACCUUAACAGCACAUGCAAGAAACCUCCUGCCAGUAUCCAUGUAUUCAAACGCAACAAAAUUAAAAAAGUUGUAGACACACACAUCUCAAGUAUGUAGGGCAGUUUCUGAAUGCGUUAAAUCUAGGCACACAUUUCUCGCGAUGCUAUUUGUCUAUGAUUUAUGAUGAAAUGUACGAGUUGUAGCUUAGAAUACUCACAUGAUCCACUGAAUAAUAUGAUUCUUUCGAAUAAGUGAGAAACAAAACGAUUUAGUUAGCCUUUUUCUUUCAUCAAGUUUUGAUCUCUCACACCACAUGUGCCACAUGGUAAGAAUUAAGAUAGCCCUUCAUAUAUUUAGCCACAAAUCUGAUUGGCAAACUUUUUGUACAAUGUUUAAUGUAGUUUUGCCAAAAAAAACUGUUCUUUUUUUUUUGCAGGAAGAUGAAACCCAGUUGUAGCUUCAAAAUGUUAAUAGGAUGCGUCGAAUAAUGUAGGAACCCAAACAAUUUAUGUAGGCACUUCAACAAUCAAUGGCGAAUCUAUGAGGUGGGCGUUUCUUUUCCAAUGGUAAAUGUUCAAAUCCAUGUUAGUGCAUUGUAAUUAUCAAAAAGAAAAAUCGGUGACUGCCUUUGGCUUUCAUAUGUUCAAUUCAAUACAAGAAAAGAAACACUCUAUUUGUUUUCUAUUUUGGGGAGCAUUUUCCAUCUUGACUUGGAGAGGAGAAAUCAAGCACAUGUGUAUACAGCAAGGCUGCCUGCCUCGCGGGAGGCCGGCGAGAUCCGGCAGCUUUCCUCCUCCCCUAUGCUCCUCCGAUCGCCGCAUAUAAUCCUGCUGUGUACCCCUCUUUGUAAUAAAAUGUUCCAUUGCUUGUAGAAAAGUGAAUGGAUCAAACUGGGGUGAGAAUCGACCACAGUUACAACAUGGAGAAAUUAAUGAAGGCAUAUGUUACACCUCCUUCCCACAGUGGAGGGAGGGAUGGCAUACUUGUUUUCAGGUAUAGAUAUUGUCCUUCUCUGACCUAAGCCGCGACCAAGCCGUAUCACACUGCAACAUGUAGAAAAAGCCGCGACCAAACCAUAUCAGCGCAAAGAAAAGCUACAGCUGCAUGAACCAACUAUAAAUCACAAGACAAGCAUGCUCUCCGUCACGCCAGUCACGCAAGAUGACUUCUCUGGCAUUCGGGCUUCCGAUGGGUCAGGCUUGUGUAUCCGGAUGCCGCUCAAGAUAUAACCACCAAAUGCAUUCAUCUGCAUGUGUGGGUGGGUGCGCGAUGGAAGGACCUGCAUUCAGAGAAAAGAAAGGAAGAUUGAAAAAAGAAAAGGAAUCACAACUUUUUACAUGCGGAAGUAGUAAGCACUAAUCACAUAUCCUUUGUUGUAUUUCAAGCCUAAAUGACUAAUAGGCCUCAGGUGAUAGCAGACCGACCUUGUGUGUCAAACCAACAUGCAAUAAAAAUCUGUGCAUUCGAUUAUUAGUAUUGAGUAUGUUCCUCACAUCAUAAUGCUCAUCAGUUUAUUAGUAUUUAAGUAGAACGGCUCCCAAAAUUGCACAGUUAACAGCCACAUUUUCGAAGUUUAGGCUUCAGAUAGGUUUCUUAUAUUCCUUAUUACUGGCACGACACAUUAAUCAGGCUUAUAAAAGACAAGCAAGGUAAUAACUCAAACAAAACUCUGAAGUAUAAUUAUUUCCGGUGUAACAUCAUCAUUGCUAAUGUACUGACCUGAUACUCUCGGAGCCAGGGUUCAGUAAUCUGUAACCCAAUUGCCAUUUUCGACACUUGCAAACUAUGCAUGCAUGUCGCAAGAGGCUGCAUGUAGAUCCCAGAAAACAAAAGAUAAGUAACAGCAAAACCACACUUUGCAAAAGGAGCAAACAGAAAUAAGGAUGAAACAACACAGUCAAUUUAACACGUAAGUUGAUGGUUUUAGGCAAGCAACAGGAUAAUAAUUUUUAAAUAAAAUUCAACCUAGAAAGGUAAGCUCUCUGCAGAAAUGCCGUAAGCUACAUUUAAGUAAGAACUGUCAUGCUUGUGUGUCAACUGUAAAGGAUUAUGAUUUACCUGAAGAUAUUGGUGAUAGAUAGCAAAUGGGGCCGAGUAAGACAGGAGUGGAAGCAAAUCGGCAACCACACUUUCUACCUCAUGGCCCGGAGCAGCAACAAUCAAACUGUGUUGACAUAAAAUCAGUAUAUCAAUGCAAAUAUUUAGCCGCAUACUGCAGUUGUCUUCUACUGAUGGAGUAUAUUUCGCGUUACCUGCUAAACCCAUGUUUUCCCCAAUACUUCAUCCUCUCUGGUGAGGGUGCUUUUCCUGCUCUCGGCGCUUUGGGAGCUAUUGAAUUGCCAUUACUUCCUUUGCAAUCUGCAGAUCAAUAUAGCAUCAACAGUUGGAACACUGCGUUUUUGUGGAAAGUUCUUCAUAUUAGCUUGAUCGCUGCUUACCCAACAUAGAAAUGUCACCUUGAUUAAGGUGCUCAUCCGUUGCAGGCUCAGGGACCUCUAUAUCAAUUGGCUGCGCUGUUGUUGACUGCGCAUUCCCAUCUGAUACUGCUGUAUCAACUGGUUUUGCCGGGGACAACUGAAGAGCCUCAUCUGGUACAGCAGCAGUUUCGACCACAUCGCCUUGAAUGCUACCACUGAGGACUGAAGGAGCAUCGCCAGAACUUUGCAAGGAGCAAAGGUCACCAGAACUUUGCAAGGAGAAGAGGUCACCAAGUGGUGCCUGGAAAAUCCUGAAUGGAGUGUUUAUGAAAUUAUAAUUUCAACUCUUGAGCAUUAUAUGAAUUAUAUAUUGAAGUAUUGGACACUUGCUACUUCAAUUAUAAUUUCAACUGCUUCAUACAGUUCCAUUACAUAGGGAUAAAGUACUAGAUGUCAAUUCAGACAUAAUAGAAAAUGGUAAAAUGGUACUGCAUAUAUUAUAUGAAAUCGUAGAUAAUGUAAUUGCCAACAUUCUUAGUAUGCUCUUAUGGCCAGUUAAGGAUACACUGUAGUGUUACAGAUUAAUGUAUGGCACUAUGCUCCUGGUUGUAUUCCGAAGGUUCUCUAACAAAGGAGUAUCUCCUUAAAUGAGAACCCUCUGUAAAUGAGAAGCCAUGUAGUGCCAAAAAGUAGAUUUACCUGCUGGCCAUGUCGCUGCUCAAAUUAUACAUUCUUAUUAUAUCUAUGGAGCUGGGCGCUGAUCCAAGAUAUGUGCUGCAAACAUAUCCCGUGCCUAUAAUAGAAAUAACAGAGACAAUCAAUAAUGAGUGUAACUAACAUAUGCAUCAAAAUGGCAAUGCACAAACACAAGAAUCAGGUUUACUUUACACAUUUACAAAUAUUUACAAACACCUCGAGCUGGCAGUGGCAGAUCAGUCUAUAGCUUUUAUAUUCGUAGAGGUAUAUUGCAGUUUGGUGGAAACAAGCACGACUUGUGAGAAUUAGUGAUUACAUGCCAUAACAUUUUCUAUUGCACAUAUACCAAGUAAAAGAUUGAUAUGUAACAGCUUUCCACUGAAAUCAGGGUGAUUUUUCAACAAACAGCUAGGUUAAAAUAGUGUCUUUUGACAAAACAUAUUAAAUGGAGCACAAUCUCAAUCAAACUAAAUUCCAUUCGAUUGGUUAACACCAAAUAAUAUCCAGUGUCACAAGAGAAAGCAUAAUUCACCUCCUAAGCGUUCAGCUACAGCUCCAACAAUUAAACCCCCCACCAUAUCAACGGCAAGCACAUCUGAAUAUGCACCAACAUUUGCCAUAGACAACAAGAGGGAGAGCGCAUCAACUCGCAUAAACCUGGGGAACACAGAAAAGACAGCAUUAACUAAGUGCUAUAGCUAUGCACUUCUGUUGUUUCUAGACAACAAGAUCAAGAAAUUUACUAUGAUGAUGAUAAGGACAAAAAUAGAUUAGCUCUAGCAAGUAAUGAAAGGGAAAUAAUAAUUACCCUAUUCGAGCUGGGUACUUCUUGAAAUAUGUCUCACAAAUGCUGUAGCAUAAAAGGGAACAACAAUAUUAGAUAAUUUUGCACUAGGUCUAAUGAGCGAAAUAAAAAAGGCAAUUAUCUUUUCAAGUGCCAAGCACUUUGCAAAUAUGAGUUACAACAGAAUUAUUUCAAAAUUACACCAACUUUCCAGAUAGCUAAGUUGAAUCCAGUUCACUCGGUAAUCUUUCAAACCAAAAGCUGGAAAACUGACAUGUUCUAUUAAGAGAAAACAAAACUUACCCAGCCCCACCCAACAAACCUAAAAAAUUAAUUUGCACUGCGAAUUUUAUAAUGUGACAAGUUAUUUCUUGUUGUGAACACCCUAUACCACCACUUUCUAAUUAAACAGAGGAUACACGAAUAUUCAAAAGAACAGCACGAAUAUUACCCAGCCCCAUCCACUAGAAAGAGCAAAUCCGAAGAUUAUCUUUGUAUUCAAAACGAACAACUACAUAUGUGAUUGUCAUACUGUACAGCACCACAAGUUUGAUAGUAUACACUUUCAAAAGAUAUGUGACAUUUGUCCUGCUGCAAAAAGGGCAGCACAGGAUAUACCUUCUGGCAGAGGGGCGUCGCAAAAGCACUUUAGGUGCAUAUUUCUUUUGUUUCUUCAGUUUGUAUUUCUCCUGCAACCAAAACGGUUGAACUAAAUCAUCCCUCAGCAUCCUCCAGAACAGCAAGGAAUCAAACUAGACAGUAACAGGUAGUCUGAUGCUAACCUGUGAGAACACGGUCUUAUUUCCAAAUGUGGAGCUAUUCGCUAUCAAAGCCUCCACAAUCGCGUCGCCGCUCGCGCCCUCCCUAUUAAAACACGGAUCAGACAAAUACGCAUCCUACUCAACCAGGACACAGUGGAUCACGGUCGAACCCUCACCGCUUCAUCGCCUCGAUGUCCUCGCUCGACAGCGUCUGCGCCGUGUUAUUGUCAACCAGGGACCUAUUGUCCCUGGUCUCGUCCUGCGCCUGGCCGUCGGCGCCGCCGUCUCGCUGCUUAUCAUCUGUAUAUACCAAUGCCAGCCACUGUUAUUGCUAAGAUAAAAUUAGCAGAAUUUUGUUUUACAGAGCACAUUAAUGGGCCGGAGGAAAGAACAUUCUCAUGCUUGCUUGCCUUGAGACGGCGCGUCGGUGGCGGCGCAGGGGACGAGGCCGGAGGGCCCGACGCGGAAGAGGGAGCCGAAGGGGCGGCCGAGCAGCGGCUGCAGCGAGCAGCUCUUGUCCCCUAUCUUCACCGUCCUGCGCCACCGCACAACGGAGAGAUGUUUGUUAGCCCGGCCGCGCCAGCUAGGGUUUCGGAGCAGGAAGGUAAAGAGGGGAGGGGAGGGGAGGGUACGGACGCGGCGGGGGUGAGGCGGAAGAAGGCGAGGCGGUCGCCGUCGUUGAUGUCGAGGAGCACGCUGCAGCCCUCCCACGCCUCCCGCGCUAUCACCGGCGUCGGCGUCUGCGGCGGCGGCGGCGGCGGCGGCGCCAUUGGAGUCGCCGAGUUGGGGAGUUGGGGAGGGAGACAGAAGCAGAGGAGGGUUUAACCAGACCUGGCCAACGGGCCCUUAAACCGGCUGAAGGGUGCGCAAGUUGGGCCAGCCCAGGCGCGCGGGAACAGGUGACUCGCUUUUUGCUCUGUUGUUUAUAUUUUUUUGCUUUUUUUCUCUCGUUUAAAAUUGAAAUAUUUAUAAUAAAUAAAUGAAAAAACUCACUCUACAUAUUUUUUUUAAAAUGUUGACCAAGCAUUUGAAAAAUGUUACAUGAGUAUAGAUAAAAUAUUUAUCAUGUAUACGAAAAAUGUAUACAAAUAAAAUAAAAUGUGUGUGAAACAGCUUGAUCAUGUAUUUAAAAAAUGUUAAUCAAGCUUUAUUUUUGAACAAGUGUUUGAAAAAUGUUUAUUAAGUGAAAAUGUUAAAUGUGUAUAGAAAAAAUAUUGACCACGUAUUAACAUGAUGAAAAAAACAUUGAUAAUGUAUAUAAAAAUGUAAUAAAAUGUUGAACAAUAUUUGAAAAUGUUAAUCAAGGAUUUGAAAAUUGUUAAAAAUAUAUAGAAAAAAUAUUGACCAUGUACAAAAAAUGAUGAUUUUGUUAUCAUGUAUUAAAACAUUGCACAAAUCAUACAACAAAGUUGGUCCAAUGACUAUGGACUUGGAUGUGACACUGCUAAAUCUCAUCUAGAUGAGCUUUAGCAAACCCAAUGAAAAAAUCCAUAUGAUUUUGAUUUACUGUCCAUCCAUGGGAGUAGGGUGUCAAAACAUCGUCCUCGUGACAGAACCAUCUAUAUGCUCUAUUACUAGAUGUGCUACACAUUGUGGUAGCUUGUCUGACAUGCCUACAUGGCGCUUCGUGCAAGGAUGACGCUCCUGCUAGUGGCUCUCGCUGGGGCCGUCACCCCCCUGAUGACACCCAUGUAGGAGAUGUCGCGAGCCAUCUCGGAUGGCACGGGGGCGUUCCCUUAUGUUAACCCUCUCUAAUGGCACUAAGGAGGCGUUCUUGUGCAGGAUGGACAAAGUUAUGACUAUGUCUUAGAUAUGACAUCGCUAAUAAUCUCAUCUAGAUGAGACUUAGCAAAUCCGAUUUGGUUUUGCUAGAAAAAGCAAAUCCGGUUGGGUAAACCUAUGUGUCAAAAAAUCCAGAUUGCUUCGAUUCAUUUUCUUCACUGUUCAUGCGUGUAUUAUUAAAUGUGCUACACACUGUGUUAGCUUUGUGUGUAGAAAUCUACUCCCUCCGUCCCAUAAUAUAAAACAUUUUGACACUAUCAUAUAUUCCUACUACUCAUUUUCUUCACUGUUCAUGCGAGUACUUAGAGCAUCUCCAACAGGCGCGCAAAAAGCCCCGCGCGCGCUAAAAACGCCAGCUUACCGCGCGCGGGACUGAAAUGCGCGCUCCAGCGGCGGCGGGAAAACCACGCGCGCGAAAAGGCGGCAGCCCGCGCGCCAUUUUUGCGGCGCCGCGUCCCGCGCGCGCCAUAAAAGGCACCGCGCUGCCCUGCCUCUCGCGCCGCGUUCUCUCUUCUCUCCUCCUCUGCCGCUCGCGCCGCCGCCGCGUUCUCCCUGCCUCUCACGCCGCGCUCUCUCUCCCUUCUCGCGUCGCCGCCGCCGCCGACGAGCCACCAUGCCGCCGCGCCGCCGGUCUGCGUCGGGCUAUCGCGGCGUUCGCCAGCGCCCCAACGGCGGGUUCUACGCCGAGAUACGCUCCGGCGAUCUCCGACUGAGCCUCGACACGUACGACACGGCGCACGAGGCCGCCCGCGCGUUCGACGCGGCGGCGUGGCACCUAGGCAGGCCGCGACUGCAGAUGAACUUCCCCGACGUCCGCACGCUCCAGCAGGCAUUAGACCUGGCCCGCCGCCUCGUCUUAACUCUGCACAAGACCGUGCGGAGCACGCUGCGAUGCAGCGCCGCCUCCUCGUCGCCCAGGAGGACGAGCGGGUCAUGGCGGAGUGGCGCCGGCGCCACCCGGAAGACGUCGCCUACGAGCAGGAGUACUGGGAACGGCGUCGCGAGGAGGACACGCGCCGGCGCCACGAGGAGCGGUUGGAUAGACGUCGUCGGAAGGCUUUGGCGUGUGCGCAGGCCGACCUCGUCAAUGCAGGCGGGAGUUCCUUCUUCACUGAAGAAGAUGAACGAUGGUUUGACAUUUGGCUGUCAACCUCCGACGACACCGACGACGAUGGUGGUGCAGAUGACUGGAGCGACUAGGAUUAUUUUUUUUUAUCGAACUAUCUAGCACCGAACUAUCUAUCUAUGUUUUCGAACUACCUGUCUAGUUGCUAUCUAUGUAAAAUAACUUUGUAUCUUUUUUAUUUAAAUGCAAUUUAUUUAUUAAAAAAAAUUGUGCGCUCUGCUGGAGCGGAGCGCGCGCGCUGCAAACCAGCGCGGCUGCUGGAGCCAGCGCUGCGCGACGCGUAAAACCAGUCGUCCAACGCGCUGCAAACUUGUUUUUUAGGCGCGGCGCGAAGCGCGCCUGUUGGAGAUGCUCUUAUGAUAUGACAGUGUGCAUUGAGGGUGGGUGGCCUAAUUAAGGUCUCCCGGCCACUAAUAAUAAACAAACAAAAACGAAGAGCCCGUUGCAUGAUCCGUGGAUCAUGCAUGCAUGAUGCCCAAACGCAUGGCUAGAUCGUGCUUCUUCUUCUCCUUCAUCACAUUAUCAUGGAAGCUGAGUAUCCAGCUGCGGUUUAAUGCCAAGAUCGUCUAUCCACAAAGUCAAACAGAUCGCCAGGAGAGAAGCCACCAGCACGUGGUUCAGGCUCAGGCAAAUGCAAGGUUGCAGGUCGAUCGUGCACCGGCGAGACAUGAGAUGCCCGAUCCCUCCACCCGCGCGCAGAUCCGCAUCUUGCUUCGCUUUCGUGCUCGAUCGUGCAGCGCCGUGCUUGCCGUGCCCCUUUAUCAUCCCCCCGCCGGCGUUGCCGCACACUCACCCGACUGUGAACUCGCGCCGUGGCUGAGCAGUGGCAGCCACGCCGAGCGAGGUAGCUAGCUGACCUGCCUGCAUGGCGCUUCGUGCAAGGACGACGCUCCUGCUGGCGGCUCUCGCCGGCGCCGCCGCGGCCCUCCUGCUGCCGGGCGCCGUCGAGGCCCACGUGCUGCUCUCGCUCGACGACUUCGGCGCCGUCGGGGACGGCAUUGCCAACGACACCCACGUACGUACGCCAUGUCGCGAGCCAUGUCGGGCGGCGGCACCGGCACGGGGGCGUUCCCUUGAGGCUUGACCCUCUCUUUUGUUUCUUCAUCAGGCAUUGGUCGACGCGUGGAAGGCGGCGUGCGCCACCGGCGGACACACCUACCUCAACGUCCCCGUCGGCAAGUCCUACCAGAUCUGGCCCGUCACGCUCGCCGGCCCCUGCCGCGACGAGAUCAACCUCCUGGUAUUCUUCUUCUUCUUCCUCCCUCCUCCUACUCCUCUACCACAUCAGUCACAGACUCACAGCUAUUAAUUACUCCAACCUAAUAGUAAUGUGUGCGUCGUCAGAUUUCGGGGAACAUCAUCGCGCCGGAGAGCCCGGAAGAGUGGUCGGACGGCGACCAGGGCAGGUGGCUCCACUUCCGGGGCGUGGGCGACCUGUCGCUGAGCGGCGGCGGCAUCGUCGACGGGCGGGGCCAGCAAUGGUGGGCGGGGACCUGCGAGGACGAGAACUGCACCUCGCACCGCCAGCACGAGGUCGCACCCAUGGCGCUCCACUUCGAGGACUGCCGGGACGUCAGCGUGAAGGGCAUCACGGUGCAGAACGCCCAGCGGCAGCACCUGGCCUUCACCCGCUGCCACGGCGUCGAGGCCAGCUACCUCAGGGUGACCUCGCCGGAGCACAGCCCCGCCACCGUCGGCGUCCUCGUCGCCGGCUCCACCGACGUGCACAUCAAGCACGAUCUCUUCUCCGUAGGUACGUACGUUGCAUUGGUUGUCAACCAAAAUUUCUUCUGGCAGGCGAAAUUUUGCUGGCGUUUCUAACUGUUUGCCUGUCGUUUUUAUAUUAGGUGGUGACUGCGUGUCGAUCGUGGGCGACUCCUCGGAUAUCAAGCUGAAAGCCAUCUCGUGCGGACCUGGCCUCGGCAUAAGGUAAUUAACGUGCAAUCUUAACGAAUAAUACUUUGUCCGAUCCAUAUUACCUGUCGUUGAAAUGGAUGUAUAUAGACGAAACCUUCGUCAAAUCUUAAUCUGAAUGUUUCAUCUUCUUCUCCAUGGUCAGCAUUGGGGGCUUGAGCCAGAACCAAAGUGAUCACAGGAUACACAAGAUCAAGACGGACACUAUGUUCAUCGCCAACACCAAGAACGGCCUAAGCAUCUACGAGGUAAUAGCACCAUUUCCUUUCAUAAAAGAUGUUAUGUGAGGUGUGAGUGACAUCGUUUUCUUUUUCAUCAUCGUCAUCUUUCGUGCUGUGGUUUUGGCUUUCAUUAAUUCAUUCAGAACGGCCGCGGCUUCGUGCGCAAGGUGAAGUUCGAGCACGUCAUGAUGAGGAACGUGGCCAACCCCAUCAGCAUCGACCAGAACCGCUCCGCCUCCAACCGGGGAACUCGCCGUGGAACCCCGGUACGAUCAGCUCGCCGGCCGGUCGCCUUGUCUGAGUCCGACGAUGCAUUUCACGAUAUAAUUAACACCGUGCACGAUCUCUGAAUUUGUGUUGGGAUUGCCGUGCAGAACGGGAGCGCGGCGGCGGUGGAUAGGAUCAAGUACAUCGACAUCGCCGGCACGUCGGCGACGGAGCGGGCGGUGACGUUCGCGUGCAGCGACGCCAUGCCGUGCAGGCGCCUGUAUCUGGACGGGGUGAGCCUGAAGGCGGCCGGCGGGGGGAGCACGUCCGCCUACUGCUACCAGGCGUUCGGGAAGCACGCCGGGGACGUCCUCCCGGAGUCGUGCCUCGGCAAGGAGGACUUCGUCCAGCUGCAGGCCCCGGCCGCCGGCACGGGGGACGGAGAAGAUGAUGAUUGGUGAAGCUGCCUCCAAGAAUUGUGCCGCGCGUGGAACUGUAUGAGAUCUUGUAAUGUGAUCCAACGAGCUUUGUUCGUAAGUCUAGAGUUAUUGGCCAUGCACGACAAAUCAGUGCCGCUGUAUCACCAGAUAUGACAAUAACAAAUUAAAUAAAAAGUUAUUCUAUCAAGAAAAAGGCACGAAUUUUAUAUACAACUAGUAGAAUGUCCUUGCGUUGUCAUGAGCUUAUAAUUUUUUUCCAACUACACCUAUGAAUAUAUGUAUCAAAUUUCACAUGUAUAGAUGUUUCUAAAUAAUUGCCCAUGGACAUACUUAGUCUAGUGGUUCAAAAUCAAUUGUGUCUAAUAUAUAUCGUUAGCAUUUUUAUGUACAUCAAGUGAAAUUGUCGUAUUUUUGGGUAAGUGUCUCCUCCUUCACAUCAAGAACAAUUGUUGUUUUCUCGGGGUAUGUCGCUCUCUCCCUCCUCCUCAUGCCGCUUCUUUGUCUUCUUCUUCAAAGCUAACCAUCAUUAAUAAUGGAGCAUCCGACUCAAAUCGUCACAUCUUCCACACCCACACUUUAAAUUUUGAUUAUGUUUGACGACAUGGAUAAAUGGUGUUUAAUCAUAACACAUUACUUCUAUGUACAUGAAUUAAAGACAACUGACAUCUAAGACAGAAAUGAACAAGCAAAAAAAUUAGUACACAUAGAUACAUCUCUUUCUCUCUCCUUCCCUACCUCUCUCUCUCUUUGUGUAAGUUAAUCUUUCAAAUAAUGGUAUAUGAUCAAUUUCGCUUACUUGUGUUAAGAGCUUAGCCAAGUAGAAAUCUUAAACCCUUGUCUUCAUUCCAAUUUUAGAGUAACGAUCACAUCUUGAAUAACAAAAUUUUCAUGGAACAUAUGAUUCAAAACGCACAACAAGAACUAUCCAAGAGGUAAAUCGAGUUUGCCCACACAAGUUACAAAGAUGCUGCCUAUGGUAGAAAAAAUCGAAUGAUGGUAUCAAAAGGAACUCGCUUGCGGCGUGGGAUUUAGUCUGUCGACCUAAGGAUAGGGGCGGUUUGGGUGUGAUAAACCUUAAGGUGCAGAACCAAGGUUUGCUGCUCAAACAAUUGCACAAAUUUUACAACAAGGCCGAGAUGUCAUGUGUGCACCUAAUCUGAUGUGUACUAACAAGAUUCCCCAUGCUUUUGAUCGGUGUGGGUCCUAUUGGUGGUGAGACCUUCUGUAUCUAUUUAAUGUUUUUAGGGAAGUGUCACGAAAUAGGUUUUUGUCCCGUUUUAUAGAUACCAUGUUAGAAAAGUAACUUAUCUUUAUUGAAGGUCCAAGGGACAUAUAUAUUACACAAGGCUUGAGUUGCAAAAAAAGUAAACAUAGACUAAGAGUAAGUACAAUAGAGUUGAGUCAGCUGGCUAUAAGAAAUAAAGUAGUAUAUUUUUUGCUUAGUUGAAGGAGAGAGAAGGUAAGCGGACUCUUAUGCCUACUAACAAGAGGCGAGGAGAAACAAAUCGAUCGAAUUCGCCACGAAUCAGUCGGGAUCUUGCUCCAUCUCCAGCUCCGGCCGUCGUCGUUCGUCGUCGAUUCCUUCGCCGUUGCUGCUUCUCCGGCCUCCCCGACCUCGGUAUCGAGCUCUACAUGAGUGCGCGCACCUAUUCCCUCUGUCCCCGCUUCCGAUUACGGCCUAGAGCCUUCGAUAGCCGAUGCCAUGGUCACCACCUCGCCGUCGCUGCUGGCCGGUCCGGCCCGGGCUUUUGCCUCGCCGGUGCGGUCCCUGAAAAGAGGACCGCCAACCUGCUCAGUCCGAUCCGGACCGGACCGCCGGCGGCCGGUCCAAACGUCGGUUCGGACCGGGACCGGACCGGACCGGACCGUGUCCACCCCUAGCAGCAAAGAUGAGCUAGAACAGGUGUCGGCGCUACCUAGUGUGAUGGUCUUUGGUUUGUAGGAACUCUGUGAGGUCCUGGGCCUCCCAGUCGGGUCCCAGGGCCUGGCGUAAGAAUUCCCACAUGGCCCUUGCCGCCAUGCAAGUAAAAAAUAAUGUGGGUCGUUGACUCCGGGAUCACGCAUAAGAGGCCCAUGUCAUCACCCGACAUAUGCGCACCUCUAUCCCCGAGGGAAGGCAAUUGCGGAGUAACUGCCACACAAAGAUUUUGAUCUUGAGAGGAAGAGGGGCCUUCCACAAUGGCUUGAGCCAAUGUAUGAUAGGGGCUCGAUAGAGGGCUUGAUGUGCCGAACUCACCAUAAAAUCCAUAGCAGCAAAGUUGGAUGCCCUGUUUCCGGGUCCAUGAUGUCCAUGUGGUAACUUGCGCUGAUGUCCAGUUGAACAAACUUGAGACAGCCAUUGAUGAAGGCAAUGCCUCGGCAAUCCAUUGCACGGCCUAAACGAUCACCGCGGAUGAUCUGUUCCAUCGGCAGCGGCAACGGUUAUUCCUCUGAGAGUUGGCUUCUCACGCAGCACAUCGCAGAGCAGGAUGCCUCGCCAGAGAUCGACCCAGCCCAUGGUGCCUUAUUUACCACCGAUUUCGAUGACGCUGGAAGUACUAUGGUAGUACAGUAGAAAAGAUCCGUGUUAGUGGGGAUGACGCAAUCGAAGCACCAUGGAGGUCCAGCUGGAUGUCUCGGAGAGCUCGAACUUGUGGAAGCUGCAGAGAGGACAAGGAACCAGCGCAGCGAUGGUGUAGUGGUGGAGACCACGGGGAAGAAGACCAACCUCAGUGUCUUCGAAGCUGAGCACUCGCAAACCGGGGGUCAGCAUGGUAGAUGAGAUAGUCGCAAUCCAUCCGGCCGCGUCGAGAAACGGCUGUCUGGGACACGAUCGGAGAUUGUCGACCCGGAAGAGGAUCAGGUCGCCGGCGAUGCAGAGGAGACAGGGGGUGCCGACGUGCACGGCCUCCGGGCAGUGCACCCACAGCUUGGAUGGUUGAGGCUGGUGGUUGGGGGGCAAAGGACGCCUUGAUGCUCAGGACCUCUCGUUGGACCGGUCGCCGGCGAAGCCUUCCGCGGCAGCGAGGAACCACGCAGGGUGGCCGGCCUUGGUUGACGUACGGAUUGUGCAGGGCAAGGGGGCGGAUCUAACAAUGCUCCAUCGAGGAAGGUCCGUCUGCUGAUGGCGGCUGGGACGAGGGAGGGGAAAGGGCAAUCUAUAUUUCUAUCGGCUUUGUUAAAAAUCAGUCGACUGUCGUCAAGUCUUAAUCGAUACUUUAAUCCGUUGAUUUUGCAUUGAGAUUCGUGUAGAUAUUAUUUUUUCAGUUUUUUUCUUCUUGCAUAUUACACUACUUGACCAAAGUCUCAGUCGACUGAGACCUAGACAAACUUUCUAUAUCUAGUAGUUUUUUUUAGAAAAACUCGCCAAGCUUUAUUCCAGAGAAAGUUCGGUCAUGGGGAUUAUCCAACCAUAAGUGUCGACCUAGCCUACAUUACAAGAGAACUUAGCAAGUUUAUGAACCUCAUGCUUAAAAUUUCUACAUUCAUGAGUAAAAAAACACGUCUGAAAAAUACUACUACGCCCUACUAUUUCAUGAAUAAUGGUCCCAUGGGGUCCUCCCGUUCCCUUGGUAAUAUCAUUGACGACUUCUUAACAGUCGAAGCGACUAAAAAACUUUGUAUGUUAAGGUCUUUUACAAGAGCUAGAGCCUCUCUCCAAGCCAGUGUCUCAAGCACCACCGAAUCCGUUACUCCCUGGACCACCACCACAGACGACCCAAGAAAAGAACCCUGAUUGUCUCGACAGACUGCUGCAACUGUUCUUUUUUUUUCCUGUCUAGCAACUGCUCCAUCUACAUUGAUUUUCAAGCAGAUCUGAGGCGGAGGUAACCAUCUAGCUAAGAUCACCAGCUCGGGACCUCCUAUCCAAGACCCGCCGGUUUUAGCACCCAUAUUGGUGGUCCAUACAGAUCCCCCUACGUGAUCACAAAAGCUCGAUGGAGGCAUCGAUUGUCGAUCAUAUCCACGACGAUGUGCCCCUCACAUCAUGACCUUGAGUAGGAGCUCGUUCUGGUUGGGGAAGGGACGUGCGGUGUUGCCUACGAGAUGAUCAUGACUGGCAAUGGAAGGGCCAUGGAGCUUGACCAACGACAAUGGCUCACAACAAAGCAUAAAGUGAUGUAGCAUUGGGAUGAAACGUAGCUCCGGCGUGCGCGCUCGAGCGGCUAUGGUCAUUUAUCACGAGCGGACAUGGAAAGGUGAAAAAAGAAGGAGGAAGAGGAAGAAGAUACGUCAAAAGAAAAACAGACAUCUUGAGAAGACAAGGCUACAUAAAUGAUCGACACACGACUUAUAGAUCCGUAACACGUAUUCUGUUGCGAUCUUACAACACGACCAAUGUUGCGAAACACGUGUGCGGCGUGAAGUGUGUUGUGCACCGCACAAUCAGAUGGAAACAUUUUCCCAAGAAAAAAAAUAUAUCAAUUUCUAUUUUGGGUGAGUAUAAUUCUCCCUCUUGACUUUUUUUUUAAUAACAAAUUCUCCCUCUUGACUUGGGAGAGGAGAAAGCAAACAUGAGCACGUGCGUAUACACCCCCACGCCGCCUGCCCCGCGGUGGGAGGCCACCGAGAUCCGGCACCUCCCCACCCCCCUUCCCCUUCCUCCCCGCACCGGCCGGCCGCCGCGAUGCUCCUCCGGUCGCCGCCGCGGCGCCUCCACCUGCUCCGGCCGCGCCACCUGCGCGUCCUCUCCAACGCGGCCGCGGCGCUCGCGGCCCCGCCCCCCGCCCCGACCGAGUGGACGGAGGCGCCCGUCGCGUCGGUGCGGGCGGCCACGGCCGACGCCUCCCUCUUCCACGUCUCCCUCGACCUCUCCGCCCACGGGCCCCUCCUCGCCUCCCACGUCGCCGCCGGCCAGUUCCUCCCCUUCCGCCUCCCAUCCGCGCCCUACCCCAUCUUCCUCGCCAUCUCCUCCCCUCCCCCGGCCUCCUCCGCCGCGUCCCCGCCCAGAUCGUUCGACUUCCUCGUCAAGCGCCUCCCCGGCACCCCCUCCGCGCGCCUCUGCGACCUCCGCCCCGGCGACCUCGUCCCCGUUGGGGGCAGCGUCGUCGGCCAAGGGUUCGAGGUCCGCAGGAUCGCCCACGCCCGCGACGUCCUCGUCUUCGCCACCGGAUCCGGGAUCAGGUGGGUGCCUCACUAACUAACUGCCCCUCUGCUUCUGCUCUGUACAUUUAUUCGUUGGCUUCUACCGAUCAACGGAAUCUGACAAGCCCGCGUCAAUUAUAUUGCGAGAUACACCCCAAUUGUUCUAGAUUGCAAUUCUUAAUAUGAUGAUUGGGAUGCUUGGUAACCGCAGAAUCUGUUUUAGACUGCCACAUUUCCCAUGCCGUGUACUCUGUAGUUGAUUGGUGAUGACCUCUCCUGGAAUUUCCUGGCACUUUGACUGGAUGAGCAUACAUGGAUAGUUUUACCUAAUUUGUUGAGUUGGGAUGUUGGUACAUCUAGAAUUCUGCUCUCCACAUUUUUCCCAAGCUAUCCUUGGUCCGAUUCCAUUAUCACUGAUAAUGGAACAAAUAGCAGCAUCCAGUGCAAAAGCUAAGCUAAACUAGAGGUUUAAAGGCCGCUCUAUAGCUGGCCCGAAAAGUGUAAACAGCUGCAUCACACUUCCUAUAUACAGACAGCACUUAGAGCUGCUGCCCAUGAAUCGACACAUGAUCCCAAAACCAACUUCAAACGAGAACAAAACAGACCAGUCCAAAUCAACACUAAAUCACUAAAGUAUUCGUUCACCGAUAUCAGCAUGAGGUUCUUCAUCUCCAUUGGUGAUGCGCAGCGUCACGGGUCCAGCCUUCUGCUCUCUACAUAUGUUGCAUCCAUGUCAACACACCAAUCCACCCUCAGAUUAAGCAACAUUAUUGCCAUGUCAAAUGUAUCAGUGAUGUUGAAAGUGCAUUUUGAGAAGAUAUAUUUCAUUGUUGUAUGUAAGUCUGCUCACAUCAUCAUCAUUUUUAUAUUUCUGUGUCGCAGUCCAAUCCGGUCACUCAUUGAGUCAGGUUUUGGCGAAAGUGAGAAGAUUGAUGUAAGCCUCUUUUACGGGGUUAGAAACCUUCAAAGGAUGGCUUAUCAGGUAGAUGUUAGUCUAAAGUUACAUUUUACAAGUACAAUCUUCUUUAUGUAACGGCUGGAGACUUGCUCUUACAGGAAAGGUUCAGUGACUGGGAAUCGAGAGGAAUACAAAUUAUACCUGUUCUCUCUAGACCAGAUGAUCAAUGGACUGGUCAGCGAGGCUAUGUUCAGGUACCGUUACCAUUUUUCCUUUUUGGCUGUUCUUAGCUCACCAGGUUCCCUUGUAUUCUUAUUUAUUUUGCAUUUUCAGAAUGCCUUUUCAAGGGAAAAGAAGGUUAUAAAUCCAUCAUCGACGGGAGCGAUUUUGUGUGGACAUAAACAGAUGACUGAGGUAUAUAUUCUCAUUUCUAACUUUUGUAGCUAAUGAUACAAGUCAAACUGAUCUUCGUUCAAUUGUCUCAAUGCUUUCUGUGCGUUAGAUGUUGCAUGUGUUCUGUUAUUUAGACAUCCGUACAUCAUAAACAUACCCUUCUGGCAACUUUGUGGUCAGUUUAAACUUUCUCAAGAUGAACCUACUUAUAAAAUAUAGACACCAGUGUGCCAUUGCCUUUUGUGGGCCAUAUCCUUACUGCUCUGGAUUUGUUGUUAAUAAUACUCUUAUCUUUGAGGCCACAUUCAUAGGCUAACAGAGUACCAGUACAAAUUUUCUGCCCAGACGUAGCAAUUGACCGUACAAAUAGAGUAAGAAUUAAAGACAGCUUUGAAACUGAAGCCUGUAUUAUUGCCGACUGUUGCCAUUGAAGAGUAGUACUCCAUUUCUCUACUUCUGAAAUUGGUGGCUUGUUUCUAUACUCAUAGGCUCAUCUUCGUCUAUGUUAAAUAUUUGCAGGAAAUUACUAGAGCUCUUAUUGCUGAUGGUAUGUCCAAAGAUAAAAUCUUAACAAACUUCUGAGUUCCACUGGAGCACGUUUCUUGCCCUUUUGGCUGUUGUACACUUACCACCACAAUCUGGUGGCUGUUCUUUACAGCAAAUGCGAUGCGACUUAGAUCGUGAAAAAGAUACUGGUACGUACUAACAAAUAAGGGCAACACAUUUUCCUUCGCGCCGCGAGUUGCCUAUCAACCAUUGGAUGUUGAUAUCCUGAUAUAUUAAUCUCAAGCAAGAAGAAAAUGAUUGGUGGUACCCUCAGACAGUAUUCCCCUGGAAGGUGCUGAUGCACUCGAAAAGCCCCCUUCCAGAAUAGUAAAAGGGGGCGCAAAAGGGGACAUAGGUUGUAAGUUGGUAAAAUCAUCUUUUAGUUUGUAUGCCUUUGGAUAUAAUCGGCUGCAAGUGUUUCUGCCGCGAAAUUUUGGUAUGCUUGAAGGUUGUAAUAUUUUUUGAAUUGCCUGGAUGCAUGUGGAGCCUGUUCUCCCAACUGACUGUGUGUAACUGCUUUCUCGACUGACAACAAAAAAAAAAUACAUGAAAGAGGGGUUUGUUCUUAGACCCAACUGAAGUUAUCCGUCUGCUAUAUCUUGGAUGUGAUCAAAGAUAGUUGUGCAGUUGUGUUCCUGUCAUGUUUGUUUAUGUUGAUACUAUGUUGAGCAGCCAAGGCCCAACAUAUGCACCCUUUCAAGGCUUUUGUGCAGACCAACUCUACACAUUCUGCUGAGUGGAAUUUAGAUCAAAUAGUCCUGCAGCAUUCCAGGUGGUCUAAACUCCCCUUGAAGGUCAGGGCAAUUGCAUUGCAGGAGUACACAAGUUUGGUCACGUUCACUUGGUUUAGACCGUUUUUCGAACUUUAUGUGCGGUUUUUGGUGUGUGUUUAUGUGUUGGUUUUUCUGUUGGUUUUCUAUACUAUGUGUUUCUUAACCAGUUUAUUCUUUCUUUUUUUAAUUUUUAAAAAAUACAUGCUAAUUUUUUAUUCUGUUUUUCUAAUUUUUACAAAAUACUCCCUCCGUCCCAAAAUUCUUGUCUUAGCUUUGUUUAGAAAUGAAUGUAUCUAAAUACUAAAACUUGACUAGAUACAUUCAUAUCUAAACAAAUCUAAGACAAGAAUUUUGGGAUGGAGGGAGUACAUGACUAUUUUUUCAAUACAUGUUGUAAAUUUUUCAUAUACAUAUGGACUAUUAUUUUGAUACAUGUUGAACAGCUUUUAAUUACAUGAUGAAUAUUUUUAACAUAUUUAAUACUCCCUCUGUAAACUAAUACAAGAUCGUUUAGUCACUCAGGUAGUGAUUAAAAGAUGUUAUAUUACUUUAUGGAGGGCAUGCAUGUCACUCGUUGAACAAAUUUUUGACUGAUAUGCAACUUAUUUUGGACUACACGUACAGUUUUGGAUAUUACAAGAAAAUGUUUGACUGUAUAAUUGUUUUUCUAAAUAUCACGUAUAUUUUUCAAAUAUUACAAGAAAAUGUUUUUUGAAUUACAUGAACAUUGUGUGAAUUCUAUAAACUGUUUCGUAAAAUCCAUGAACAUUUUCAAAUUUAACAAAGAUUUAUUGAAAGCCAUCAAUGUUUAAAAACAAUGCUUAAAUAAAUUUUUUACACCAUGAAUUAAAAAAAGUUAAUGAAAGUCGAAAUGUAUGUUUUUGCAAUGUUUUAGAAAAUAUAAACAAAGUAAGAAAAAACGUAACUAAUGAAGAAGCAGAGAAGGGGAGCUCCUACCUGCGCCUUUUGCGGCAGGGAGUCCCUCGGUCGCACAGGGAGGUCGCCCGACUGAGCUGGCCCAGUUCCUUUUUUUUAUUUCUUUUUUUCCUUUUGUGCUUAUUUCCUUUUUUUUUUAAUUUCUUGGUACAUUUUUCUUUCUUUUUUCGGUUUAUCAUUUGUUUAUGAAAACGAAUUAAAGUUGAAUUUCCCAAUCAUUUUCUAAAAACAUGAACAUUUUCAAAACUAAGAACAAAUUUUAAAUUUUUUGAACAAUUUUUUAAAUAUUGUUCAAAUGUUUUUAAAUUAUAUUUUUUUUGAAAAUUAUGAACAUUGUUUGAAAAUCCGGAAUAUUUUCUAAAAAACGUUUCUCGAAUUUUAGGAACUUUUUUUGAAAAAAACUGAACAUUUUUGUUUCGGCUCUACAGGUCGCAUACGAUCUCGGAUUAAGACGAUUUUUAUAUCAAAAUCAACCGUUUCAACGAGACGAAGAUUUAUCAUGUUGGUAUCUUUUUCAUUUAAGAUCAACUUAAUCACAUUUUACGCCCCUGACACUCUUCGGCCUCCUGGAGGCCGACGGCCCCUCUUGGCCAACCCCAGGCUGACAUGUGGCUCUUCCCGACACCCGCAGGCCGACAGGCCCCCAUCGGCCACCCAGAGGCCUACAGGUCCCCCGUCGCCUGUCGGCCACCCACAGGCCGACCGGGUGGUACUUUUGACAUUUUUAGAAACGUUACCAUUCAUUUCGAAUUUAUUAUAAAUUUGGUGCUAGUUUUGAAAAAAAAAGCAAUCACAUUCCUAUAAGGUGUGCCAAAAACAAAAUCAGUGCUCCAAAAUGCCUUUUAAAAGUCGCAUUUUUAGAGCAACUAGAUUUUUUUUUUGCCAUGCCAUCUCGGAAUGUGAUUCCAUGGAGUUUUUUUUGCAAGCACUUAAAACUUUUGUAAAUGUUUGUUACAAAAAAAAUCAUAUUUUUCUAAUUUGUUUUGAUUUUAGUGUUCACUCGAACUCAUUUGAGCUUGGGUUGAGAAACUUUGCAUCCCGAUGGCGCAUGCAAUGGCUUUACCUCUCUUCCCACCUUCUUGUAGAAUGCAAGGGCCUUUGUGAGGUCAUGCUCGUAGAGCACGGCGUUGAUUUCCCCCUCCCGCCGACGGCACUGCAACUUCUCUUCCUCCUCCCGCGCAUUGCGCGCGAGAAUGGCAACCUCGAUGGCGUCCGCCUUCGUCGGGGGGAGGAAGUCCUCCGGCCCGAUGACGCCACCACCGCGCCGCUAAAGCUUCCUACUCCCUUUUUACCGCACCGAGUGGGGGGAGCUCAUUCGGCUCCCUUUUCAUUGGGGUGAGCGACGAGCGGGAGCUCGACGCCCCAAAGGAGCUGCCUGUGCCAGAGAAGAGCCGCCCGCGCACGGUUGUAUUCCUCCGUCUCGUGAUGGAGGAGCGACGGCGGCGGCUGAAGCACGUGAUUCUUGUACUGCAGGGCGGAGUGCUUCUGAGCCGCGUCGGCUUUGACGCAACACCUCCGAUCAGGGUCGUCGUCGCCGCGCCAACCGGAGCUCCACAUCUCGCGGAUCGGUGAGCUAGGCUGCGGAUUUUGGCCACCGACGGUGAGAAAUGGAGGUAAGAAAUGGGGAAUCGCGACGACAGAGGGAUNUUUUAUUGGCCGGCCCGAGUAUACGAGUUCUGGUCUGACCAAGAAAUUGGGCCAAACCGGUAUACUCGUCGGAAUUUUAUGGGCGCGAGCUUUUAUGGGGUCUAUUACAAUUGCUUUUAGAGCUCACAUCUGAAAAUUGACAUCUGAGCACCCACAUUGUGUUUGUUUUUUUGAAGUGUAACAAAAAUAGAUUUUACGGCUUGAUUUUUUUUAAAUUUUUGUGUCCAAUCAGGUAUAGCAAAUUAACAAUGCAGUAUAAGGGGCCAAAAUUUUAGCAAUACACGUGCCUGCAUGUGAAGGAUAAAAAAGACAAAAUAUAUGCAAAUUAGGAGUUUUUAUUUGUUGUUUUGGGGCGAAAAUUCAUUUUUGUACGCAGCACGUAAUACACCGAAUUAUUGAAUGAAAUUUCACAAGUACUUAGACCACAUGCCUACAUAUUCAUAUAGUAAUAUCUUUCUUUUUUCAGAGAUUUUCUAAGCACCUUUCUUGCGGUGGAGUUGGCUAUGGCCUAGGACUCGUGCUCGAGGGGACCAUACUGGGCCCAAGGCGGGUCAUGGACGCCGUCUCUGGUAGGCGAGCUUGGGCUUGGUCUGGAUGAUGUUCGUGGGCGCAGAGGUUUUCCUCCUUGUGAGCAGAGUGGGCAGUGGUGGGGGCAUGGACGAUUUUAGGAGGGACGAGGGAGGCGAAAUCCUCCUAACAAAUUGAUUCUUUUACUAUAAUUAUGGUUGUUGCAGUAAAAAAAAUCUUACUUCAUAUGAACUUUGCCUACUUCAUGAACACACUUGCCCCCUAUGCAUAAAUGCUGGCUCCAUCCCUUGAUGGGGGUCGUGACAUGGCUAUAUACACUGAUGGAUGGAUCGGCGUCGAUGAACACAAAGAUGGCGUCCUGUGAGCUCUCUUGUGCCAAGGCCACCAAGCUAUAUGUCUAGGGCUUGCUCGACCACGGCCCUUGGCAGUCACUGGAUCAUGUCCUCCUCUGGUUGACCAUGAUAGGUUGGGCACAAAUGAGUGGGCGUUUUCUACCGUGGAGGUGCUGACCCAGACUUGGUGGCUGAUGCCUGGCUAGGAGUGGAUGGAGGUGUCUCUGCUCUUCUUACCAUGGUUGGUGCGCUGUGAAGUGGGCGAUUGACGUUGUUUCAAGCUUUGGACAACGAGGCAGCGACCCCGGCCGGAUGGUGGUUCGCAUGGUUCAUACACUAUGGUCGAUCUGGCAUGCUCGGCGGAAGGCACUACAUGAACAGAUUUUCCACGGCUCAAUUGCUACAUAUAAUUUUGUGAUGAGUUGCAUCGGAGAACUUAGCGAAUGCAAGCCGAAGAGCCAUCAUACAUUAUCUACAGAGCCCCCUAGGUGUCCAAUGCUUUUGUUCAAAUAUUUAUUCUUAAUUAUCGAGCUAACCCUUCGAUGCGGUAAAGGCCUGCAGUUGGACAACCGGUUCUUGGUACAAGUCGCGUAUCGGUCAAGACGUACUUCGGACACAUUUCCAUAUCAUCAUGUCACAAGAGAUUAUAACAGUUAUUAUCUUCCGGAGCACAAUUUAGUAUUGCGAUAAUCACAAGCACAAACAUAAUGUUGUAAGUGUAAGAACUCAUAGACAUGCCAGUUUUUAGUACUAGUGUUUACUCCUCUAAUGUUAACUAUCUGGUUUAAAAACUGGAAUCAAGUCAUAUAGCAAGAACUUGUGAGAGCCUUUGUCGUAGUCCAUAUCCUCUCGUGGUUCAAUAACCCACGGCCACUCCUUCGGGAAAAGGUCGGCAGGGAACCUUUCUGCCAUCCGAACCCGAUCUUAAAGCGGCAUCAACGAGGUUCUAUAGCUUGACCAAGUUGAUCACGUCGCCAUUCUUCGUGGCAUGCUCCACCGUCACCUAAUCGUUCGUAAACACAAUAUUAGUACCGCCGUACUCGAAGGACCCCGGGCUACUCGUAAAUGAUUGGCGCCGUGGUGGAGUGGUAGAGGUCCAUGAGAACCUGCAGAUUUUCGGUUUUCCCCAUGCAUGGUGCGCAUGAUCUUUACUUGUCUCCUCAUGGAGAGAUCACAUUGUCUUACUAUUUAGGGCACUCUGAAUGCUUGUCUCCCAGGACAAUUUCAUAGGAAAAAAGUUGAGGUGUCAUAGUAACUAAAGUGGAUAUAGAGGGGAGCUGCAAGUUAGUGGAGAUGCAACUCUUAGCUCAUUCCCGUAUGCAUAGUAAUUAAGGCUCUGAUCUGCUGUGGCUUCUCUCCCUGCGUUUCUCUGCAUCCUUUCUCCUUCAAAUUAGACCACAGUGUUGAGAUGCAAACAUGAUCACUGAACUUACUAAAUGCAACACAUUUAGAUACAUGACCUAAGAGGUAAUACAUUGGAAUGGUACACCACCUAAGGUAUCGCGUUAAGAUGCAACGUAUUGGGAGCGCACUUAGGCGCGCAUAACCAAUAGCCAUUACCACCGUGCAUGCACGACUCCAAUGCAAAUCUCAAAGUGUCAGAUCAAGACUCGAUUGGGGCUACUACACGGUCAAGGUGUCGUUUUUCUAGCUUUAAUGCGGGUUGGUGGAGGUGAUGGCAUGUGACCCCGCGUCGUCCCUAGGUCGGCUCGGGGAAUCCAUACCAGUGUUUUAAAUUGCCGGCUAUUAUCAGCUAUAGCUGCCGCUAUUGCUGUUUCUGCAGUGUUCAGCUAUUUUGCUUUCCUUUACAAUCUUACCGCUAUAGCCUCAAAUAACCCAGCUAUAGCCCCAAAUAGCUCAACGAAAAAGCCAGGAGCUAAAUCCAAUAGCCGGCAAUUUAAAACCUUGAUCCAUACCUGCUUCGCCAUCGUCCCCCUUCAGCAUGGCUCCCCCUCCCGCUGCUCGUGGCUGCCUCAGCACGACGGCCUCUCGAGGUGUCAGAUUUGGCCGCGGUGGGCUCGGCCCGAUCUGGCCCGACGGCUCCGGUCGGCGAUGAGGUGGGUGGUCCUACGUGGUGAUGACACCGUUGCCGUGUAUGAGGUUCUUGGGCUAGUGGAUUCACAGGCUGGGGGCGCGGGGGUUCCCCGUCUUCGUUUAGCAGCAUGAGGGUGUGGAGGUACGGUUGCAUCGGGCGAUAGCCAAUGGCUCAGCGGCUGCGGAUGUCGUUCUCCUCCUAGGGGCCGUCAUGGAGCUCUCCGGCCUCUUUCGCCCUUGGGCCAGUUUUUUGGGUGAAAACCUAGGUCCUGCGGUGCAGGGCCGGACAAUGGUGUCGAUCCACGUCGCUUUCCCUCUUGAGGACGUUAUCUUGAAAUCGUCAUUUCUUGCAUGCUUUCCCGGGGCUAGACUUGCACGGCAUCACAUCAAGUGGUCGAUGAUGCAAGAGGUACUGGAUGGAGGGGGUCCAGAGGUGGAGCGGUGUUACUUCCUCCGCAUUGACGACAUCGCAUCUCGGCGGCGUGGCGCUCUGGAGUUUCGGCGUCCGUUGCAUGUAGACGGAUUAGCGCAGGAGGAUAUCGCUGUCUCGCGUCGUGGUGAUGUCGACGGUAGAUCUGACAAGGUCGAUGCGUCAGUAACUGCCCUGAAGAUUGAUCGGCGGAAGACGGUGGCAGCCGCCUAUGAGAGUGUGCCGAACCGGUGUGUGACCCAGACUCGACAAUGUGGCUUGGUUAGGCCCUCCGGUAUUAGAUGUUAGGCUUUGCUGCGAGUUCUAUUUGGUAUUCGACUCGGACUAUCAUCACCUCUUCAUCAAAUGGAUAGGAGUAGCGACAUAUGUUGCCAAAAUGAUGACUUCAGACUUACUGAUGUAUUACUUUAUAAGAUUUUUGUGAAUAAUAAAUAAAUUGACUGCAUGUAUCGCUCACAUGCCGAGGCCGGGGUCUUCCUCCUUUUCUAAAUAAAUGUGGGUUGGUAGAGAAACCAAAGCUAAGCAACCAGGAGCAUGCCAAAUGAUGAAUUUACUCCGACCUCCAUGAGGUUGAAUUCUACCAUGAGCGUUACAGAAAAAGAAGAGUUGCAAUGUGAUAAUGGACAACUUUAUCUAUGAGAACCGUAAAAGAGGAAUUUUAGGGGCAUGAGUACGUAAAACAUUUCGGUCAUAUGUGUAUAUGCGGGGAACAUUCUAGUUAUGGUUCUAUCGAAUAGGGAGAUCUUCGUUUUCCGAUAAACUUGCACNAGAUAAACAAAAACACGAUCUAAAAAGAUCUAUUGAAAACCAGCACCGAUCGAAUCCAAACAUAUCAAGCAUUACUUGAUAGCAACAAGCAUAUGCUACCAAGAAUUCCAAAUGAGGCGAUCGAGUGAUGACAGAUGAAGAGUUGAACUUGCAUACAAAUCCAAUCAUAGUGUACGUCUCCUCUCUUUUUUAGAUCAACCAAGCAAAUUAAGUCUUGAUAUAUCUCCCCUAAUAAUAAAGCGCCGAUCGCUUCUGUCAUACGUCGUCGGUAGUUUUGCACAAAACCCCCUCCAUUUCUGGGUAUUCAACCCGCAGUCCCUAUAUGGAUCUGGAAAAAAACGUUUCCUCUCUCACUCGGUCUCCCUCUUCCCUGCUGCGAGGCUGCCGCCAUGGGAGCCCGAGCUCAAAGCUCCGCCGUCGGCCACCUCGCGCCCGUCUAUUGCCAGAUCCGAACUGGAGCCGCUCGGAUCUGUUGACCCCAACCCGGAUCCACCUCGCCCCGGCCUUCUCCGGCCUCGCCUCGCGAGGGUCUGCGCUCGGGAGUCGUGUGCGGUGAGGGAGAGGAGAGGGACGUCGCGCGCGAGUCCGCGUCGUGGGCAGCUCCUGCUCCUGGUGGCGCCGUCGCGGGCUCACGGUGCCCGCCCUGCGCUGCCGUGAGCCGGAUCUUUGGCGGCAGCUGGUGUUGCGACGUGCUCACGGGAGGCGGCGGGGUCGGUGAUGGAGUUGGAGCCGACGCGGGCGGCAUGUCGGCGUCGUUGGGGUCGCGGAGGAGGGGGAGGCUGAGGGACGGCUCCUGCUCCGGCGGCUUCGGCCCGCGGCGGAGCAGGCGGCGGAGCGGCUUGGUCUCCGUCGAGGAAGAGGAGGAAGACGACGCCGACGCCGACGCCUGCUGCUUCCGCAUCCGCAGCAGGUCCCUCCACCUCCUGGCCGGAGCCUCUUAGCUUCGCUACGAGCUGUGCAUGCCAACACCACUUCGUACCCACUAGCCGUAGCAGAAGUGCAGAACAGCGAGCAGCGCCAUGAGCAACAUGUUCGGCGCUGGCGGCCAUGGAGGUGGCGGAGGGGAGCAGCAUGGGGGAGCCGACGGCACGGUGCUGUGCUACUUCCACCCGAGGGAGCUGCUGGUCGGCGUGUGCGCGCACUGCCUCCGGGAGCGCCUGCUGCUCCUACUCGCCACCAAAAGCAACAACGUUAACGGCCGCGCGCGCCCGCCGGCGGACGGCGCCAGCUACCUGUCGGCGCGGCCCUACUGCCGGGCGCUCCGGCGCAGGACGGGCAGCAUCUCCAGCUCGCUCCCCAAGGUGUUCGCGCUCGGCUCCUUCCUCCAGCGCCUCGACUCCUCCCGCCACCACCAUCACCACCACCACCCCGACGAGGUCGUCCACGACCACGACCUCGCCGGCGAGGACAAGGACACCGACGCCGACGACGCCACCUCCGUCGCCAGCCUCGACGGUACGGACGCAAUGAUUGAUCCGAGGCUGUCUUUCUUUCUUUCCAUGCUCUCGCUCACGGGUCGGCUGGUCUGCAGAUUCCUUCAUCUCGAUCAAGUUCGAGGACAACGGCAAGGCGACGUGGGUGGACAGCCAGAACGGGGCCGGAGCAAAGCCGGUGCGCGAGGCGGCGGCGGCCACGACGAAGACGACGGCGUUGGUGGUGGAGCACGCGGGGCGGCGGGGUGGCGUUACGCGGUGGCGGAAGCAGGUGGUGGGGCGGCUGCAGCUGGCGCGGUGGAAGCGGGCGUCGGGCAAGCAGUUGUCGUCCUCGGCGGCGGCGUACCAGCGGUCGAAGGCGCGUGGCGGCGGCGGCGGCCGGGGCUGGAUCCGGAGCCUGACGCGGCGGCGCACCGCGCACGGCGAGAGGGCGUGGUCGUGAGCGGGCCACGGGCACCUACACCUACACACGUCCACACGUGAUCGGUGAACCUGAGCAUGUACGUACGCACGCACGUGGUGCUCCUGUUUGCUUGUGACUUUGUGCAUACGGCCAGCCACCCACAGAUCCAUCCAUAGCCAUAUCCAUAUCCAAUUAUUCAUUUCAGAUAUACUCCUAUAUACAGUAGCAGAUUAGCAGUGAUAAUCAACUAUAGAUAUAUACGCAGCAAAAAAAGGAAAGAAUCGCAUUCGGCAGAUGUCGUUUCUUUCUUGCAUGAGAGGUGUUUGUUUCUUCCCAAGAUCAUGCUCAUGAGUUUACACAGAGAUUUUUUUUUUCUUUCUGGAUUGUUGUCUGCUUUUCAUCCUGUGAAGGUAUUUCUCUAAACUCUGAAGUCUGGAUUGCCUGUUUAGUGGGAGUGUCAAUUUUCAGCAAAGGUAAUUUUGAUUUGCGCCCACAAAUGCCGUUUUAGCACUUGGUCUGUUUGUGUUUUAUUUGUUGUGAUGUAUUGUCCUGUAUUGAACCCGCGGUCCUUUUAUGAGUUAAAAAACGUUUCGUUUUUAUGUGAACCCCCUCGCAAUCAUCCUCGCCUCCUCACCACCAGCACCGGGCUCUCCGCCACCGCCAGCCUCCCCGCCGUCGCCCCUCGUCGAUGCGCCCUCCUGGCCGCCCGGCCGCGGUCGAGGCGGAGGUGGAGCCGGUGGUGGUGGU